UGCUGCCAAUUCAAUCGAGUGGUGCUAUUGCCGAUUCAGUGGAUUUGACGAGCUAGCCAUUUGCCAUCGUCCAGACGUUGAUAGUUGUCGCCACCAGUCUACCGUCUAUUGCUAUAGCCGCCCCUUCCCAAAUCCCAUUGACCCAAGGUUAGUUACAAAGUCUACAAGUCUUUACUCUUAUUUUGUGUUUAGAUUUUAACUUACAUAAACACUACAUCUCCUGAUCUCCGAACUCCGGUAAUGACAUUAGUUAUGGCAGUGUGGCAAAGUGAAAUUUGAACUGAAGAUUUAUUUUGUGAUUUAGGAAUCUAUUUGAAUUUGUUGAACUAGAUAUGUAAAUGCUAGGGAUUGAAUUUGCUUGGAGCAAAUCUGAAUAUAUUAUUUGUGAAUUUCUGUGAAUGUAUUGAACUAGCAAAAUAGGUGUGUAAAUGUUAGGGAAUAGGGAUUGACUGUUUGAAUUUUGUUUGGGAUUUGGAAAUUUCAUCAAAAAUUAAAAAUAAAGAUAGCAUUAUUAGGUAAUUGUGAGACUGAUAUGCUUAAAACUUCAGGCAAUUAUGAAAUUUAUUUUGUGAUUAUUGAUAGAAGGACUAUAUUUUUUUUUACUUGAAUUGAUUGUUUUAUUUUCGUUGAUUGUUGUAAUAGUUAUGAAAAAGUACUUUAAGCAUAAAUCUGCAUUUUCUUGUGAUAUACAAAAUGUUAAUCAAAGGAAUAUUCAAAAUGAAAAGGAUGAAAUGAAUGCUGGGGAUGAAAGUAUGAUAUGAAUUUCUAUUGAUUUUUUCCUAACUUUUUGGAAGUUUGAGUGUGUCCUACUAACAACAAAUUCCCGCAUCCGCCACUGUGCACACGCAUCUGUGCCCAUGGUGUAAUGAAGAUUGAUUCAAGUUUGCAAAAUGGAAGUCAUGCGUAUGCAUGGGCAAAAAUUUGGGAAAAAUUACCCAAAAUAAGUAUACAUUUCAAAUAUUAAUUUGGGUUGAGUUAGUUUGAUUUUAAACAUAUAAUUGAGUUGGAUAAAAAUCGAUCCAACCUGACCCAUGCCCACCCUACAAAAGGUGCUUUAUAUAAAUAACGAGUUUCUUGGAAAUGUUUCAAGAUAUUCUUUUUUUGUAUAGAGCAUCUUAUAUAUAUUAUAGAAAGUAUAUUUAAAUUUAAAGAGUCAAAAUUUUUAUACACUUCAACAAUACUCUCUAUUUUUUAAAACAUUUAUUAAUUUCUCCUCAUAUUUUAUUUAACAAAAUUUUUUAUACGUUAAUGACCAUUCAAUUUAAAUAUUACUUGAAUAGUUUAAUAAAUAGAAUAGUGAAAUUUGCGACUUAUUAAAUGCAGUCGUCGUUAAUUAGAAAUAGAAAGUGAGUGUGACUCUCUGUAUUUGAAGAGUCAAGCACACUCUCUAUUUUAAAAGGUUAAAACAAAAAAAAAGUUUCUUAGAGCUUAUUUUUUAGCAUUAGCUCUUUAAAAUAAAGAUCAUUUUUUAUUUAGAGAUUUUUUUGAGAAUAUUAUUACUAUAGGCACUGAUCUUUGGCGACCCCAUGCAAUUACGUCAUGCUACAAUUAUAGAAUCAAAUAGGCACGUUUUUCAAAAUCAAGUGACUAAUUCUGUCUAGUUAAAUAUUAACAAAUGAAUAAAGAUAUUUGUACAAAAUUUGGUUAACAAAAAGUUUUACUCCCUCUCACAUGCAUACGGGCCUUACAUGAAAUAAAAAAUUCCAACAUAUGGUCCCAUAAUCCCACCUUCCCAUUGUGAGUGUAAGUAAAACUUUUUGUACAUCUAGCAUUGUCCAAAAAAGUUUUCCAUUCCAUUUUUCUAAUAAUUUUAGCCCUAUUUUUUUUUAUUUUAUAUAGCACCAUGGCUCCUAGUUAACAAAAAUACGGACAAUGAGAACUUAUUUUUGAAUGUUUGGCCCAAAUAAGUAUACAUUGCGAUGGCAUCCAAUUUAGUCAAAUGGCUAAUCAGGAGAGAAGGUCGCCACUCUUCAUGAUUAGUCAGAUGAAGUUUAGACACUCGAGUCAUAAAAAAAAAAAUACAAAGAAGCCUCACGUAUCUCAUUUCCCAAUGGACCGCUCCACGCGCAAAUUACUUCAACCACCCAUGUUUGCAAAUAUCGCUGUAAAUCAAUUAAGUUCAUAUUUGAUAGAGAUUUUUGGAAAUUUUUUUUUUUUAAAAUAUAUGAUUAAAAUUAAUAAUUAUUUUUUUAUUUAGUUUUAAUCAGAUAUUUAAGCAAUAAUAACAAAGGCUCAAUGAAAUUUAUCUCUCUGAAGAAGUGGUCCGAACGUAAUCACAUUUUUGAACAGGUAAUUUUAUCAUUAAAAAUGGAUUUAUUGAGGAAGUGCUAAAUUAGCUUAAGGGCCACACUUAAGGUAAAAAAUAGUGUGAAUGUGAGACAAACAUUAACACUUGCCCAACCACGCCUGGUCCCUAGAUCUGGACGGACAAUUAAACGGAGACGACAAGUAUCCAAUUGUAAUAGAGAUAUUGGAAGCCAAAAAAAUAAAUGAAUCGAGAUAAUUUUAUCAAAUAUAUUCUCGAAGACCAUUCUUAAACAUUUAUAAGUAAUAUAAUAUUUUUAAGAUUGACUCGAAAGUUAACCCAAAUGAGAGGUCGGUUUAUGGGGUCAAUGGUUCAACAUCUAAUCCAGUUGUUGAAUGGGUGAGUCAAUUUAGGUCAAAUAUAAUAAAAAUUACAUUUAUUAUAUAAAAGUUAGUAAUUAUUAUUUACUAAAUUAAUCCUUAAUUUAUUUAUUUUUUCAAUUUUUGCUCCGAAACUUGAAAAGAUGAAAGGUUUUUAAAAUGAAGUAGAAAAAAUAAUUAGCACUUAAAAUGUGAACAAUGAAGUCUAGUGUGUUAUGCAAACUAUUCAAGUGCUCAAUAAAAUCUGAAAUUUUUACUUAGGCCUUGUUGAGAGUGAUUUUUCAUCUUAAAAACUUGAUUUUUUUGACCGUUAUUUUACUAUUUUAAACAUAAUUUUUGACUUCUUCUUUCAUAAGUAGCCUCCACUUUUCUUUUUAACGAUCAAAAAAUCAAUUCUCAAAAUCACUAUCGAACAGGUCUUUAAUAAUGGCUUGAUGGGUUAAUGGGUUUGGUUCAUUGUCCUUUUAUGAAAAUUUGUGGGAUUUUGAUUUUUUAUUGUGCCAACUGUAGACUGGUCACAUUGAUAUCGUGUCUCGGGUUUUAUCGUUGAACCUCUUGAUUGGUCCAAGUUUUAUAAUAAUGGGUAAUAAAUCUUGAACGAAUUUUUUUUUAUUAAAUUUUCAAAUAUAUAAUUAUUCCGUUUAUACCUGUAAUUUAAUAGUCGAGUAUAAUUAUUUCAUGCAACAUAAGUACCUAACUCUCUUUUCUUUUCUUUUUUUUUUCCUAGAAAAAAAAAGUCUUUACUCUAAUAUUUCAAUGAAUGAAAAGUUACUUCGACUUUUAGUAUAACGGGAUAAAUUUCGACAAGCAAUUAUUGAGUACACAUGGAUUUUAGCAAUCACAUGCACCACACUUCCUCGACUUGCACCACACUUCCUCGACUUGGAGUGGUAAUAAGAAUAUCACUUCUAUAUAUAUAAAUGAUAAGAAAUAAAUUACUAUAAAAGAUUAAUGUAUUACAAAUUUACAAUAGUUAGUAAGCAUGAGUCGUCGGUGACCCCAUGCAAUUACACCAUGCUAUAAUUAUGAGAAUCAAACAAGCACGUUUUACACAACCAAAUGCCGAAAAAUCGAGGAAAAAUGCAGGUUUCAAUCUAGUCAUGUAAUAACAAAUAGACCAUGUUUCUAUUUUUCUGAUCAUUUUAGUCGCCCAUCUUUAAUGUUACAUAGAACCAUGGUUCCUAGUAGGGUUGGACAUGGUCCGAUUUAGUUCGAUUUUAACGAGAAUCGAACUGGAUCCGAAAUUUUUAGAUAUUUAGUAAGUGGAACCGUCGAAUCCAAAUUUAAUUAUAGAAUUGUUCGGGUUCGGUUCCAUUCGAUUCGGUUCGUUUCCAUUCUGUUUCCAAGUUCCGUAUUAAAAUUAAAUUUUUUUAAUAUUUACAAAGUUACAUUAAUUCAACUAAUAAUAUGUUCAAUCUUAGCUCUAACAAAAUAAUGUUGUUCAAUCUUAUGUGUCUUUUGCGUUUCUUUCUUCAUAGAUUUGAUUGUUAAAAUAGCGAGAAGAGGAAGAUAGCAAGCUCAAACUAAUUAAGAAAGCAAUUGUCGAAUUUCAAUUCAAUUUUUUCAUAAUGGUAGAAACGGCACUACGAUAGAGUAAUAGAUUUGGAUAAAUUUUAGGUCAAUUUAAUUAAAUUGUAUUUGAAUUGAAAAUCAGAAAUAGAGAAAUCAUAUUUUUGGAUUCGAACUAAAUUAACCAGUUACCAAAUUAUUUAUAAAAAUAUAAUAAUUUGACUUGUUUAUAUAAAUUAAUUAAAAAAAAUUAGAGAGAUUCGAUUCUUCAAUUCUUGAUCCAGAACCGAGAAUCCAACUGAAUCCAUCGGUUCUUGAUUCAGAUACUCAUUUGGGUAUUUAACUUAAAAAGAACCACUCGAUUCGAUUAGUAUUUUGUCCAGCCCGAGUUCCUAGUUAAUAAAAACUAUCUAAUUGAUGGUGAAACAUGUAGACAAAUCUCACAUAUCACCUUUCCUAAUGGAUCACACCACGCACGAAUGAUUUCAACCGCCCAAACUUUGCACCCAUCGUCGCUAAAACAAUUAGGCUCCAUUUGAUUCUUAUCAAAAUCAGAGGUUCUCAUUUUCCAACAAAAAAGAAAAAAAAAUGUUUUAAAAUGAUCUUGUGAAUAAGAGUUGUUAGAACAUCAAAAAUGAAGGCAGAACCCUCAUUUUUUUACCGCCACCAUUUAAAUCAAGGGUGUUUUGGGAAAGUGAAAUUUUAACAUGACAUAUCCAUACACAAGUCAACAAUUCUAGUGCGUUCCUCUUUCCAACAGACAGCUUCGUUAAUUAUGGCUCCACUGAAGCAGAAAAUGAAGAGAUGCUAGACGGGCUCCCAGCCAAGCGGACACGCGUCCUCCUGGACGUGGCCCUCUCCGUCAAGAAUUAUUGAAAUGAAAAUGGCUUCAAUCUCAUAUUAAUGAAUAUCAAACAGGGUAUAAGUCCAAUGUUUGUUAGAAAGUUUUUAAGAAUAAAUUUUGUGAAAAAAUAUUUUUUUAAGAUGUGUGAUUAAAGGUUAAAAAUGGAUUCACGGGAAAAAUUAUUUUAUUUUUGACAAAUGUUUAUUUUAAAAAUGAGGGCAAGGCCUAAAUAAAAUUAGGUACGUCGUUACUCUUCAACAAGAUUCAUGUAAAUUAAGCAUUAACACGAGCGUAAUGGCCCUUCGAUAGACUAGCAAACAUAGACAAAAAGUAUCCUAAUAUAUUUAGAUAUCUAAUUAGAAUGGUAAGCCACAUAUUGAAUGAACCGAGACAAUUUCAUGAAAUGCAUACCUUGAAGUAGUUGUUAAAUUAAUGGGUAAUAUCAUAGUUUUAGAUUUGACUCGAACACUAACUUAGAUGAAGAGGUGAUGUCACUGGAUCAAUGGUUAAACAUUUAAUCUAAUGGUUGAACGGAUAAAUCAACUCAUGUCAAAUAUGAUAAGAAUUAUUUUUAUAAUAUAAAAGUUAGUAAUAAUAAUUAUAAUUAUUUACUAAUAUAAUCCUUCAUUUAUUUUUUUCAAUGAGAAGAUGAAAUGUUUUAAAGAUGAAGUAGAAAAAAAAAACAAUUAAAAGAAGUGAAAAAUGAAGUGUAGAGUGUUAUGCAACUCCACAAAUGCUAAAUAAAAUCUGAAAAUUUUAAUUAACAAUAAAUCAACGGUUAAUGGGUUUGGUUCAGAGGUUUUUUUAUGAAAAUUCAUGGUUUUUUUGCUUUUUAUUGUGUUGAUUAUAGACUAAUCUAAUAGUACAGCUUGAACAGGUUUGGUAACGAGUUUUCCGUUGAACCGUCUAACUUAUUUGAGUUUUAUAUUACCGAUUAAUACAUCUUCGAAUGGAUGUUUUAAUAAAUAUUGAAACUAUAUUAUUAUUCCUUUUAUACUUCUGAUUAGUAGUCAAGUAUAAUUCUUUCAUCCUGUGGAAUUCAAAACCCCAUUCAUCACCCCUCACUAUGAGAUGAUCAUCUCUUAAGUAACAUAAAAGGAUUUGUCGAGCUUAACAUUUGUUAUAGAUAAAAAUAAAUAACUAUCAUAAAAGGGUCUCUAUCACUCUUCUUAACAUGAUUAGCUUUUGUAAAUUGAAAUCCGAAUCUUAAUAUAUAUUUCUAUGUGAUGCAACAUAAGUAUCCAACCCCGCUACCCCCCGGAAAGAAUUGUCUUUACUUGAAUAUUUCCACAAUAUAACAUUUACAUUGACUUUAAUAUGACGAGAUAAAUUUUGAUAAGCAAUUAUUAAGUACAAACGGAUUUUAGCAAACACACGUAUUAACUAUUCCUUGACUUGCAGUGAUUAUAAAAAUAUUUUUUCUAUAUAUAUAUUAAUGCUAAGAAAUAAAUUACUACAAAGGACUGAUGGCGAUGUCUGCAAUCUUAAUGUAUUACAAUAUUUAAUAAGCACUAAUCUUCAGUGACUCAUGCAAUUACGUCGUGUUACAAUUAUGAGAAUCAAAUACAACCAAAAGACUAAACAGCGAGGAAAAUUGCACUAUCAGCUUUCAACCUAGUAAUGUAAUAACAAAUAAGUCACCAUUCUAUUUUUCUUAUCAUUUUAGUCCUCUAUUUUUAGUUUUACGUAGCACUGUGGUUCAUAGUUAAACUGAAAUUAUCGAACUGACCGUGAAACAUGCAGACAAGUCUCAUUCCUAAUGGGCCACACCGCAGCAAAUGACUUCAACGACCUAACCUUGACUAAAACAAUUAAGUCCAUCCACGUGUUGAUAGAGAUUUUUUGACAACAAAUUUUGUAAAUAAUAAUUUUUUGAAUAAUGUACGGUUAAAAAGUAAGAAACCCUUAUGGAUGGAUCCAUGUGCACAUUAUUUGAUUGGAAAAAAGUGAUCGAAAAUGAGUUUAAAAAAUGAAUUUUAAAAAAUGAGGACUAAACAUUAGGGCUGUAAGCAAAAACCGCCAAACCGAAAAAUCGAACCAAAAUCGCAUUUUAGAAACCGUCGAUUUGGUGCCACGUGGACCCGAUCAAAGAAAUGGUUUUGACCCAAACCAAACUGGUCAAAAUGAUUUGGUUUAGGUUUGAGAAUUUUAAUUGCGGUUUAAAAUCAAACCGGACCGACGAAAAAAUAUAUAAAAAUGAAAAAAUGAUUUUUUUGGAAAAUUUAUCCAAGUAUGUAAAAUUCAAUAGUUUUAUUUGUGGGUAUUUUUGUCAAUUUCUAAUUUUCUAAUACAGAUAUAUUAUUAUUAUUAUCAUCAUCCAAUAAUCCUAAUAUAUAUCUAAUAAUCUCAAGACUAACAUAAUCUAUCAAAAAUCAUUUUCCUCUUCAGAAUUUAGAUGAACUCCAGCCGACAUCUAACACAGUUUUGAGUCACCGGCACUACACACUUCUUUUUCAGAUUUUUCACGCCUCUUCAAAGUUGAAUAGUAGUCUAUUAUACCAAAUCGGAGACAAAAAGAUCCUAGACAUUCGGUGAUAAUAUUUGCUACGAAUAAAGUUUCAGAUUAAUAAUUUUUUGGAACAAACUAAAGUAAGAAUUUGAAAUUAAAUGCGUUUCGUAACAUCAUACAAACGUACACUUGUGUAAUUGUUAUGUUUAGAUAUUAUAAACAAUUGUUUUAUUAUUGUUGUUGGUUAUUCUCUUUAUCUAAUCAGUAUCUUUUUUUCAGAUAUGAUGAUCACGAGGUCUAUUGAACAUCAUUAUAUUUUUUGGGCCUUAUAUCUAAUUUAGUAGACUUAUAUUGUAACGUUAUUAUAUUGUCAUUAGCCUUAAAAAAGGUGAAUAAAAAUGAAAAAAAAACUAUGUUUUAGUUUAUUAUAAUUUUUCUUUGAUUUAGUUGGUAUUUAAUUUAUAAUAGAUAUAUUUAGCCUCUGUUUAAGUCAUAUUUUCCAUAUCAUCAUAACGAGAAAAUUGAUCAUUGGAGAGGAGGCUAUGUCCCACACAUGAAACGGCAGGUCAACAAAGGCGGUUGGACUUGUGGAAUAAUGAUCCAAAUUUUCAUUUUUUUGUUUCAAAAAUUUGAUUCAAACAGAGGUUUAGUUUGUUUUAGAUUUAUUGCUAGUAAGAUAUAAAUAUAUAUUGAAUUCAAUGUUUCAGGAAUCGAACCCCCACACUGCGGCUGCUAGCAAGGUAUGAGAUAACCUCACUCUUGUCAUUUUCACCAUUGGGCUAUGCCCUGAGGGCUCAAUUCCCCAACUCUACAUUUGCGAAGGGGGAGAGCAAGAGAGCGCGUGUGUGUGUGUGUGUGUAGAUUUCUUUUUCUCAUGGGCAACACACAAAUUUUUCUUGUCUAACCCCAAAAAAUAAAAAUAAAAAAUCACAAAAUGCCAGUUUAAAAUCUUUAAUCCAAAUUACAGAUUUUUUGACGUAAAAUUUACAAAACAAUAGGAUUUAUGUUAGAAUUUAGGCUUCCAUCUUAAAAGAUCUACUUGGCUGGGAGGAGUAGCUCAAAACCUUAUAAAUUAGUCUAUAUUUUCUUCUUUAUUCAACGUGAGAUUUUAUCUCUUAAUAUGCCCCCUGCAAGUAGGGUUAUUAAUGGAUUGAAUUUUGAUCCGAAUCCGAUAAAAUUAAUGGGAGACGGAUUUAGGGUCUUAGUCCGAUAACCCGAUCAAGAUCCGAAUCCGAUUAUUCAUUAACUAAAUGAAAUAAAUAUGGAUUUAGAUCAGUCCGAUCCGAUUUAUUAUAAUAAUAUAAUAUAUUUUAUAUAUCAUCGAAAUUUUUUAUAAAACAUAAUUUUUUCCAUUUUGAAAUACUUUACACAUAAUUUUCAAAUAAUAAUUAAUAUUAGAUAAUGAUAUGAUAUUGUUAUUUGAAAUAUUUUAUUUUUUUAUUAAUUAAAAUAAGAUAAAAAUAAUAAUUAAUUUAUUAUUUAUUGAAUAAAAAGCCAUCUAAGCCUUUUAAGUUUAGGGCUUAAAAGUUGACUAAUAUAAAAUAUUUCUCCUACUAAUUUUUUCCAAUGUUUUAAAAAUUGACUCGAGCAUCGAUUCAAAAAAUGAAGAGGGUUAAGAGUCAAAGGGUUGAACCGUGAUCGAACUGUAUGACAAAUUAAAUAAAUAAAUACACAAAUAAACUAUAUUAUAUCACUAAUAUUUUUUAUUUUUAGUUUACCAAUUAAAAAAAUAUAAUCCAUAUUUAUUGAUUAAAUUUAAUGUAGUAAUUUGUAUUAAAACAAUGAUUUUUUUUUUUCAAAUUCAGAUCGGAUUAUCGGAUAACAUAGCAAAUCGAAUAUGGAUUUAACAAUCAAAUAUCCGUUGGAUUAUGGGAUCGGAUCGGACCGAUAAUUAUUCUUAACGAAUCGGAUCGGAUUUGGGUAUAUCUGCUUCAUAUCCGAUCUAUUUACAGCCCUACUCGCAAGGUGGUGGUUCAUUUGAGCACAUCAAUUUUGAAAUCCGUAUGUUUAUUUAUUAAGUCUAAAUCGGAUCAAGGGUUUCAUUUUAAAAGGUCAACCUUUUAAAUAUAAGUAGCUCAAAGCCUUACAAAAUGAUCUAUAUUUUCAUCUUUAUUCGAUAUGAGAUUUUAUCCUUUAACAAUUUAAAUAAUGACGUUAUUUUUGGAAACUAACUCCAAUUAAAAUACAAAACAACUAAAAACCAUCGAGUACAGUUCCUUAAAAGUCGGCCACCUAAAUUUCCAUGUUUAAUACAUUCAAAAAAUAGAUCCCGCUUAAUUGACACCAAUUACCUCCAGGAUACGUGGAAUAAGAAUAUAUUACCUUUGAAAAAUCAUAAAUUUCAUUAUUAUUUUUUUUUUCAUUUUUUUUCUUUUUCACCAGAUUCAUAAUUUAUAAUCUCUAAAGAUGUUUAAGGCUGCCUUUCUUCUACAUAUGUGAUUUCCAUUACAUGUUACACAUUUUUUAUGAAAUGUUUUUGUUGCAUAUAAAAUAUUAUACAAUGUAAUAUACGGAAGUAUCACGUGUAGCAUAUGAUAGCUCGAAAACCAGCGCAUGUCGACUUUAAUCUUCUUGUGGUUCACCUUUUGCGAUAAAUUUGACGAUGAAAAAGUAACAAUGGAACGUUGAAAUUACAAAAAUAAAAAAUUGCGCGAGAAAUUAUCGGAAUCUGUGAUGGACAUCUUGGAGAGAAGAUACGUGCUUGAUAGCUUUAGGCUUACUCCGUGUCUGGGGGCGAAAAGGCCUUGGGACCCAGCCCUGCCACCACCUACUCGCCCCUGCUAGGUUAGCUUUCAAGUCGAAUCUGGAAACUAUGAUAUUGCCUACAGAUAUUUAAGAGCUGUUUUGAGGGUAUGCAUUGGAUUUUGAUAAUUGUACAUCAGGUUUGACAUCCCGAUGUACCAAUCCCUCACAACAAAAGGGGGUCCACGAUGAAUAAAAAAAUUAUAGACCCCCUAUUGUGAGGGGGUCGGUACGAGUAGCAUGGUCCGUAUGCAUUUGAUAAAUUGGUCUUAAGGGUUGUGCAUGUGUUAAAUAUCUGACUUGCGUUGAUUCCUUGUCCCUUGAAUCUCCUUGUUGAAGAGUAACAUUGUAACAACAUUCACAAUUUAGCUCCCGUUCGGUAUUCAUGUUUUUCAAAAUGCAUUUUUCUCUCUUCUUUUUAAUCACACAUUUUUUAUUAAAAUAAUAUUAUACGUAAAUAAAAAACUUUUCCUUUUUUUCAACCACACACUUCCCAUCAAAUUACUAUUCUAAAAUGUAUUUUUACAUAAAAAUAGCUCUCCAACACCCCCUUAAUUUAGAAUAAUGAGUUACUUGUACAUAAACAAUUACGUAUGAGUAAAGAGGGCGUUGAUGGUGCUAGAGACGUGAACCACUAAGUACAAAAAUGUUGUAACUCUUCAUUUGCAAGGAGAGUUUCGAUGAAUUCCUUGGUUAGUUUAAAAUAAGAUCAGGGGAAAGAGACCGUGCUAAUAAUGGAGAUAAUGAAGGAGUAACAUUAGCAAUUUAAGUGUUCGAAGUGCUAAAAGUCGUACCGUGUGCAUGCAAAUUUCAAGGUAAGAUUCAACGAUAAUGUCCAAUCUGGAGAAACUAUAAAAAGUAAGCGUAACACUGUAGUUACGUCUCAAUAAUGUAAAUUAAAUAUCAUAUGUGGAUCGCCUCUAUUGUGACAUGAGCAAUUAAGUGAUUACUUAAGAAGUUUUUGAUUUUAAGUGGAGAAAUUUUUAAAUCAAUUAUAAACUGUGUAUAGAUUAGUGAUCGAAGUUGAAUAAAAUGUAAUGAAAUUUUGUAAGUUUGCAAAAUAAAGUACAUAAUGUUGAAACACUUUAUCAUUGAUUUAAAUGUUUAAAUAGCUAAAUGAAGUCACAUGUAUAUCAUUUAAAAUAUUAUCUAAAACAGUCAUUAAGUAGUGAAUUACAAUUGUGGAUCUAAAUCAUAAGUAGAAAUAAUAUUAACUAAACACUCUAGUAGUUUGCAAAGUUGCUACUUAGUCUCCAUUCUUCGCAUAAUAAUUAUUAACUUGUAUUGCCUCCCGGGGCAUAGUCCAGUGGUGUAAAUGAUAGGAAUGAGGUUAUCUCAUGUCUUGCUGGCAGCCGCAGUGUGGGGGUUCGAUUCAUGAGACAUGGAAUUGGAUUCCUUGUAGGCGCAGUGUACAGGCAACUCUUGUUCCCUAGCUUGCUGGGGCACAUCCCGAGAUUUACCUCCCUCACAAAGCUCUAGGGGUGGGGGCCCUCAAGGUUGAGGUUCAAACUUUUUUUUUUUUAAUUAACUUGUAUCACGACAUUAAUUAUGAACCCACUAAGUAGCAAUGUAAUGACUGAACCCCCAAUUCUCCCAAAAUACAACAAUUUUAUUUCUUUCUUCGUCUUUGCAUUUUAAUUUAAAUAUAAUUCAAGACGUAAUCCCAUAUCCAAAAGAAAAAAAUUUAAUAAGUUUUCUUUAGUUAAUUUUCUAAUGUGGCAAAUUUCAUUUAUUUAACCGUCAAAAUAUCAAUUUUUUUUUAUUGAAAAUAUAUUUAAUUGUACCUCAAUUUUAGUAUUUAACUGCUUUAUAUUGCAAAUUUCAAAACAAAACUUCAAUGCAUUUUUCUUGGCUGGCUGAAAGCAUCUCCAAAAAACUCUCUAAAUACAAGACAUUUUUUAUUUUAGAUAGUCAAUGCUUAAAAAUAAAUUUCAAGAUACAUUGUAGAGGCCAUUAGCAUCUGCUUGAAGGAUAUAAUACUAUAUAAUUCUUGAGAAAUUACAACUGGGAACAGUAGAUUUUUUCAUGUAAAUGGACAACAAUUUCUGAAGAGAAAAAACAUCCAAACGAUGUACAGUUUAAGCCCUUUCUGGAUUAAUAGAAGUUGAGAGACAUCUUAGAGUAUAUAGUAGAGAGACAUACUAUAAUUUCUUCUAUUACUGUUCCUCGUCUGAUUUAGAAAGAGGUUGUCAUAAUUCUACUAAUUAAUAUAAUCCUUCUACUAGCCUUAGAACAUAUAAUUAGCACAAGAAAUAUGUCCAAAUCUUGUAGGAGUAGACAAUACUUACGAAGCAACAAACAAUAAAUGGAGAUUAUCCUGCAAUUUUAGGUGUGAUUGAGCGUGCUUAUUUUCAUUCAUAAUCAACCGUUCUUUCCGAUAAUCAACUUGGGAUCAAAAUAAUAGUCGUGAUACUUCUUCCAUCCCACUGUUAAUUCCACUUCCAUUUAACGGACGUCCCAAAAUUAGAGUCUACUUGAUAAGUAGAAUAAUCUAUUAACUAACUGUUCUCUAAAUGUAUGGUAUCAUUGACUAAAUAUCAAAAGCCGUGACCCCCAAAAUGCAAUUGUAUUUUUGGAAGUGAACAGAGUAUUAAAGGACCGCACGUGGCUCCAAAAUGAAAUGAGUUGAAAGGAGGUAGCAGAAAUAUUUGUUUACUAUCAAUCAGCUUGACAUUUUUCGGGUAAAUUAGGAAUUUGAAUUUAUCAUCAUCCAUGAGGCUAUAAUCUAAUAUUUGAUUACUAUUGCUUCAGGUACAAACCAAGUGGUCUAAUUUGAAGAAAAGAGUGUUUAGAUAGAAAUCGUGAUAAAGAUUGUAUUUUUGAAGAAUUCUGCAAAUCUUUUGCUUUUCUUUUCGUUCCAGCAAUCUUGAUUCGCCACGCACAGCCGUCCAAUUGUCCAGCCUCCAAAGGUGAUCCACACAGAGAACAAGAUUGCAGCUACCAGGGUUUUCUCCUCUUGUGCUAGUAAGAAUAAUUAUGAGAAAAACCAUAUGGAUUGAUAACCCUAGCCAUGUAUUUAUAUAAGCCCAAAUGGGCCUGGUCUGGUCCUAUCAAAUAUUUAAUUAAUCCAUUUAAUUAAAUUCGGUCCGUGAAUUAAUUAAUCCAAUUAAUUAAUUCGGGCCUAUAAAUAACCAAACCAAUUAAUUAAUUUAUCAGACGAUUGUUAAAUUAAUUAAUUGACAAAUUAUAAUCUUCCAAUUCUCUUUUGUGUGCGACCCAUCAGGUUCCCGAUCACGAUGCCUAACGACGUGAAAUAUUAUUUUGAUCUAAUCAAAAUUGAUAAAUUAAAAUACCAUUUUAAUUUAUCAUCAAUUCACACUUGCCGUCCCAGAUUGACAUUUAACAAUGUGUCAGGGUAAUACAUGUGAUAGGAAAUGUCACGUGGUAUGACAAAACCAAACUCGUUGGUUUACCGUGAAACUAUAAUCCCUUCGUCAAUAUGAUCCUAUCAAUUACGAGAUAUGAAAUUGUGUCAAUCCCGAAUAUCGAUCAUAUCUUUCACUCCACUAUUAAGUCAAUAUAAGUCGAAAAUUCCUUUUCGACUUAUGAGUACACCUUGGCCAAUGAUUUUGUUAUCAACUUAAUUUGAAUGAAACGCAGAUCAUAAUCUCCUACUAUCUAAGAGUGAUGAAUCCUUUAUUGGUCAAUCACAACCUUCAUACGAUUCUUGACGUACCCGAACGAUGUCGUAUUAGUGGCCCUUUGCAGAGCGACAUCCAACAUCGCCAAAGUAUGACUGUCCUCAUAUAAGGUACCAUGACGAUCUCAAGUAAAAUGACCAAUUUCACUACCGAACGUUAGAGAUUAACCACUGACACUCAGAUAAUUAUCCAUGUGGAAUCUCUCGGCGGGUCUCCAAUAUUUUGUUUUAUAACAAAACAUUCACGUGUUCAUUUAAGUGUUAUCACACUUUAACUUGUGAGAUCAGCUACUUACUUCACAAGUAAGAAAUGCCACACGUGAUGGUCUAUCCGUAAUAACGAUAUCUGUAUCUCGUUAUUACUUACGACCACGGAUGAUUUAAGAUUCAAUCAGAUGUAAUCUGUAUCUCAAAAUCACAACCCCUUGUGAUUAACAAAUUACGAAGAUUUGAAUCUACGAACUCUAUUAUUUAAUUAAUAGGCAAUUAAUCAAAUAUUAGAUCUGCCAUUAAACUGCAUUAAUUAGAUAUCCAAAGUAUUUAUGUCCAAAGUUGAUUGGACCUAGGGCAUAAUACUUACAAACUCCCACUUGCACUAGAUCCAAUCACUUAUGUAUCCAAUAUCAUAAGUCUACAUGACGAUCAUGUUUAUGCUACGAUAACUCUUAGUCAGUGGAUCUGCAAUAUUGUUAAAUGUGUGAAUUUGUUCUUCUCUUUACGUCAUUUCUAUGUAUUAUCUUUCUGAUGAGAUUAUACCACCUUAAUACAUGUUUGGAUCAUCGAUAAGACCUUAGUUCCUUCACUUUCGCAAUGGCUCUAUUGUUAUCACAAUACAAUGGCAUGUGAUCAACAAUAUCAGGAACUACUCCAAGUUCAUUUAUGAAUAUCAUGAUCCAGAUUGCAACUCUUUGCUACUUCUGAAAUAAUCAUGUAUUAGGUUUUUACUAUUGAAUCAACGGUUGCUUCACGUUUGGAACCUUUCCAACAUAUCGCUUAAGAGUAAACCAGUUUCUCCAUAUGAAAUUGGGAUGAGUUAAGCAACCUUCUAGAUCUAUCUCUAUAAAUCAAGUUACUUCUCCCAUAUCGUUCAAGAAUAAAUAUUUUAAAAGCCAUUAUUUCAACGAUUGAAAUAUAGGGAUGUCGUUUUCUAUAAUGUUAAUAAUACGACAAUGCUCACACUAUCUUCUUGUAAACACACAAUUCGUCUUCAAAUUUGAUGAAAUCAAACACUUUGACUUUUUCAUCAAAUCUAAGAUUUCAGCUCCAAGGGAUUUCUCUUAACAUAUAGUCACGGUAUGCAACUGUUGUAAGCAAAACCCGAAUGGACUUAAGCAAGGCUACAGGAGAAAGGUUUCACCAAGGUCAACACUUAACCUUUGCUUCUAGCCUUACUUUGUGUAUAUGAAUAUUUACAUCCAUAUUGACCUUUUCCUUGUAAACUAUUUACAAAAACUUAUGGGUUUUAUUCCAUCAGGAGGCUUGACCAAGGUCCAAACCUUGUUCAUAUACGUCGAAUUCAUCUCGAGUUUCAUGGCCUCUUACUGUCUAUUUUAGGUCAACACUUGACUUUAUUUUGGUGCAACUAGCAAGUUCAUUAUCCUGGAUCGGUAAUACCUGAUUAGUAAUGAUGGAUUCGUAUCGUCUUCAAGGUCGAAUGAUCCUACUAGAUUCACAUAGAGUUGAUAUGUUCUCAGGAGUCUUUACUUCCUGAUCAAGAGCAUUUCCCAUAUCAGAUAUGGGAUCAAACUCGGAUUUAUUUACUUGGUUAACUAUAUCUGUGGACUCUUGAGCUCUUUCAUGUUCUAUUUUGCUCUCACUGUCCUCCCCUAUAAUAAACAUUUUCUCUAAGAAGACGGUAUGUCGAGAGAUGAAGACUUUCUUCACAAUAAUAGAAUUUAUAUUCAAAUAUUUGCUUUGAAUAUCCCACAAAUAUGUAUUUAUCGGAUUUAGUUUCAAACUUAUCCGAUUUAAUGCGCUUCAAAUAAGCGUCAUGGCCCCAAACUUUCAUAUGAGAUAAAUUGGGACUACUGUCUUUUUAUAACUCGUAUGAAGUUCUGUUAACCAAUUUAGAUGGGACAUGAUGGACAUGAUUUAGUGUGUUGCACACUGCAAUCAAUACAUGAUGCCAAAACAAUUUUGGGAGACUCCCACGGCUUGUUAUUAAUCGUAUUAUAUAUAAUAGUUAACGAUUCCUCCUUUUUGAUACACAACUAUGUUAUAGCGUAUAUGGAGGAGUCCACUGCAAGAGAAUCUUAUUCUCUCUUAGAUAAUCUAAAUUUUAUCUUUAAGAUAUUCUCAUUCGAUCGAAUCUUAAUGUGAGGGUAUCUUUACCUAUUUGUUUCUCUACUUCUUGUUUGAAUUCCUUGAACCUUUCAAGAGUUUCAUGUUUGAAUUUCAUCAAGUAUACAUGAUCAUUGAUAAAAUAAGAGAAACAUUACCUGACAUCAAUUGACAUGAGUCCAUAUGCAUCACUAUGCAUUAGACCAGUAAUUAUGCUGACCUUUCUUCUUUUCCAGUAAAAGAAGAUUUGGUCAUUGUGUUAGACAUGCACAAUUUAUACUUGUCAACAUCAAUUAAUCCCGAGUAUACAUCUUUAUGUAACUUUGGAAUUGCAUUUCAUCUAUAUGACAAAGUCUGCCAUGCCAGAUUUCGGCAAUAAUUUGAUUAUCAUAUUUAUGCCUUAUAAUUUCUAUACUUAUUAUAGAAUCCUUAGUAUUAAAGAAUAUAAACGUCGUUUUUUUAAUUUACCAUAGCCAUUAGGAUUUUUAUCAAGAUAAAUAAGAAAAAAAUUGUCCUUAAAAUUAAAACAGUUCAUGUCCGAACAUGAAAUUCAUUUUAAUGUUUCAGCUAUGGUGGGUAUAAAGUAACAUUUCCCUAAUUCCAAUACUAAACCAAAAGGUAAUGACAAGAAGUAUAUUUCUACAGGCAAUGCAACAACCUUUGCUCAUCUCCAACGUGUGGGUUAACUUCUCCCUUUCGCAGUGGUCUACUUCUAUUUAGUUUCUCCAUAUUUGUAUAAAUAUGAGAUUUACAUCUGGUAUCAGAUACCUAAGAAACUCGUGAAGUAGAUGCAAGCCACACAAUAUUCUUUCCAAUGACCUUUCAUUCUAUAAUGAAAUCAAGGGUCAUUAGAUUUGGUAUUGUCCUUCGCUUAGACUGUCUUAACCAUAUUGGGUACUUUCUCAAAGUCCCUUUAGACUUCCUCUUAAUACCCUUAGAGGAAUCAAUGGUUUGCCCACUACCAACUUUGAUAAAGGGGUUAACAGUCCUAAGCAUGUUAAGCAACUUAAUGAGUAUGCAUUCGAGUUUAUUCAUAUCAUAAUUCAUAAUUAGUAUGAAUGACUCUAUGACAAAGAUUGCAUAGCUAAGUCAAUACUUAGUUCAUAGUUAAUGAUUGAACUUAGUCGAGACACUUCUCAUGUCAAUCAUCUUCAGUACCUUAGCACUGACCAAAGAUCGUUCUGUCAUUUUGCAUCGAUAUAGUUGUUCGGAAGUCUCAUAUCCUUCCACACAUGAUUAUUAUCAUACAACCCUUUGAAAUGAAAAAUCACGUGUUAGCAUCUAUACUCUCAUGUUGUUUCCGUAACUCAGGUGACAUAGUUGCAAGAAUCACAUACGUUGCGGUACUAUUGUCAUCAUUGCGUUUAUUACAAUAGAUACCUCUUCUUUAAUCGAAUCAUCAGCAGGUGUCUCUGGAAAAGGCUACUCAAGGACGUGACCAAUUUUCUCAUGCAUUAGAACAAUUCUCAAAUUGCUGAGUCAAUUAAGAAAAUCUAGUUUGGUUGUUGACAUCUAGUAUGCCAUUCAAAUACAUAUGGUUACACAUGAUUCAAUAAGUAUAAAUGACGAAAAAAUGAAAGAAUAAUAUAUAAAAUACAUCAAUUAAUUUAACAUGGACUUUUAUUAAAUUAAUUAUGCUCCCACUGUUUAAAUCAAAUUUAUGACCCUCUCACAUAAAUUUAUGGAAUCCAUAUUUAACUCCCAGUGGGCUGAAAUCCCAUCUAUUAUAUUAAGAUCUUGAGUAUAAUCAACAAGCCUUAAUAUAACAUUAGGGUAGAUACUAUUAUCAAUUGUAUCUCCAUACAACUCCCAAAUCAUUAAGCUGACAACUCUUUAUCUUCACAUAUCUUAUGUGUUAGCUUAACAUGCCUCUAAAAUUUAUCUCCUUGAGUGUACUUAACAAAAGAUAAAUUUUAGUUAAGUCAAACCCGUCAUUCAGAAAUAUCAAAUAUUUCAUAGUGUCAAACAUACCCCUAAUAGACCAGCCUUGAGUAUACUCAACAAGUUUAGACGAUUUGGGACUCUAGUUUUUCACUAUAAUGAUGGAAGGCGAUUAUAAAUGUGACUUAAUAUUUUAUGGAAGGAUUUUGCAUUCAAGGGUCUCAUUGUAACAGUAAUAUAUAUUUUAUUAUACAUCUACUAUGUAAAUAAAUAUAUAUAACAUAAUUUAAUAGUGUGGACGAUUAUAGACUUUACUAUCUAGUCUUCCCGAGCCAUAAGGAAGACUAGUUGGUCAGUUCCUAGGGGGUAUUACACUGACCAAUAUCAAUGCGCCAUUUCCAUGGUCUCCUCCUCUUCUUGUUUCUUCAAUUAGUCCAAUUGCAACCUGUAUCUUAUACUAGUUGGCAUGCAGGCUUAAAUGAAAUUGGACUCGCAAGCCCACAGCAAUAAUAAUAAUAACGGACUCGCAGGUCCAAAAUGAUCAAGAGCUUGCAAGCCCAAAAUAAUGACAAUAAUAACGGGCUCGCAGACCCAGAACAACAAAAAUAAAAAUUAACCAUUCAACACAUUCAUAUGGUCGAGUCCAUAAUUGUCCACUAAUAAUACAUUCAUUAAAUAAAUGUAUACCUCUAUAAUAUCUAAUAUUAUAUGCAAAUUAGUUUCAAGUUUCUAGUAAUUAAGUGGUCUAAACUCCUUUAGACAAAUGGAUUGGAACAAUUAAAUAAUUAAUUAAUCAUAUUAAUCAAUUAUUUAAUUAGCGGGCAUUAAAAUCAAAUUUCAAUUAAAUACCAAAUUAGAGUCCAACUCUAAUUCAACAAUUAUAUGACGGAAUUAUUUAAUUAAAAUCAAAUUCUAAUUAAAAAUCAAAUUAGAGUCAAACUAUAAUUUCACAAUUUAAAGUGGUGGAAUUUAAUUAAAAUCAAAUUUUAAUUAAAUAAAAAAAUUAGAGUCUAACUUUAAUUCCAAGAUUUUAGGGCGGAUUUAUUUAAUCAAAAUCAUAUUUUAAUUAAAUACCAAAUUAGAGUACAACUCUAAUUCCAAGAAGAAAUUUAGGGCGAGACAAUUUAAUUAAAAUCAAAUUUUAAUUAAAUGUCAAAUUAGAAUCCAAUUCUAACUUCAAUAACAUAUUUAGGUGAAUAAUUUAAUUAAAAUCAAAUUUUAAUUAAACACUAAAUUAGAAUCCAAUUCUAACUUAAAUUGAAUUAAGAUUUUCAUUUAGGAUAAAAUCCCUAAAUAAAAUAAAAUUCAAUUUAGGGUCAAAGUUUAAUAUUCAAGUUAAAAUCUAAUUUUAACGAAAAUAUAAAAAGUCGUCAACUUUAAAUAGAAUUUUAAAUCUGGGUCAAAAUUAAAAUUAUGGGUCAAACCCAUUUAAAGUACAAUUUUAAAACCAAUUCAAAAUUCAAAUUCAAAACCAUUUGGAAAUUGAAAUUUGACCCGAGUUAAAAUUUAUAAUCAAAGCCUCACAAUUUCGAAAAUUUUAGAACCGACCCUCCCAAUUUCACAAAUUACAGAAAUAGGUCCUUAUUUGAAAAUUACAACUUAACCCUAAAAUUUAAUUGUAGGCAGGGGCCUAAAAAUUAUCAAUUUGCAUUAGAAGCCCCCGCCUCCAAUGACCCACGGUUUGAAAACCCUAGAAAAAAUUUUUAUUUUUAUUUUUAUUUUAUUUUCUCUUAGCUGGCGGUGCCGCCCUAAUAAGCCGGCAAGCCCGUCGCCUAAAGACAGCGGGUUGUUGUCGGCCGCCCCAGUAGCGCGAAAGCGCUGCUGCAGCAGCGGCAGACGCGGCUGUUGUCGCUUUUGGCAGCGUCAUCUCUUAGCAGCCGCAUCUGCCGCCGGUAGCUUCGCUAUCGCCAGCAGCAAUUGUUGCUGUCGGCAUCCCAUCCCUCCUAAAUCAGAUUUCAAAAAUUAAGAAAACUAAAUUUUCUUCAAUUGCUAGAAACAUGAAAAAUAAUAACAAUCAAAGAUCAAUUCCUAACAAACACAAAGUAGGCUCUGAUACCACUGCUGGGAAUCUACUUAUACAUGCACAGCGAAAAAUUAAAAUUAUUUCGAUUCCCACCAAGGAUCCCUUUGUGGUUAGAUAGAAAUCGUGAUAAAGAUUGUACCUUUGAAGAAUUCUGCAAACCUUUUGCUUUUCUUUUCGUUCUAGCAAUCUUGAUUCGCCACCCACAGCUGUCCAAUUGUCCAGCCUCUAAUGGUGAUCCACACAGAGAACAAAAUUGCAGCUAUCAGGGUUUUCUCCUCUUGUGCUAGCAAGAAUAAUUAUGAGAAAAAUCAUAUGGAUUGAUAACCUUAGCCAUGUAUUUAUAUAAGCCCAAACGGGCCUGGUCCAAUCCGGUCUAAUAUUUAAUUAAUACAUUUAAUUAAAUCUGGUCCAUGAAUUAAUUAAUCCAAUUAAAUAAUUCGGACCUAUAAAUAACCAAACCAAUUAAUUAAUUUAUCCUACAAUUGUUAAAUUAAUUAAUUGACAAAUUGCAAUCUUCCAAUUCUCUUUUGUGUGCGACCCAUCAGGUUCCCGAUCACGAUGCUUAACGACGUGAAAUAUUAUUUUGAUCUAAUCAAAAUUGAUAAAUUAAAAUAUCAUUUUAAUUUAUCAUCAAUUCACACUCGUCGUCCCAGAUUGACAUCUAGCAAUGUGUCAGGAUAAUACAUGUGACGGGAAAUGUCACGUGGUAUGACAAAACCAAACUCAUUCGUUUACCGUGAAACUAUAAUCCCUUCGUCAAUAUGAUCCGAUCAAUUACAAGAUAUGAAAUUGUGUCAAUCCCGAAUAUCGAUCAUAUCUUUCACUCCACUAUUAAGUUAAUAGAAGUCGAAAACUCAUUUUUGACUUAUGAGUACACCUUGGCCAAGAAUUUUGUUAUCAACUUAAUUUGAAUGAAACGCAGAUCAUAAUCUUCUACUAUCUAAAAGUGACGAAUCCUUUAUUGGUCAAUCACAACCUUCAUAUGAUUCUUGAGGUACCCGAACGAUGUCGUAUUAGUGGCCGUUUGCAGAGCAACAUCCAACAUCACCAAAGUAUGACUGUCCUCAUAUAAGGUACCAUGACGACCUCUAGUAAAAGGACCAAUUUCACUACCGAACGUUAGAGAUUAAUCACUGACACUCAGAUAGUUAUCUAUGUGAAAUCUUUCGGCGGGUCUCCAAUGUUUUGUUCUAUAACAAAAUAUCCACGUGUUCAUUUAAGUGUCACCACACUUUAGCUUGUGAGAUCAGCUACUUACUUCACAAGUGAGAAAUGCCACACAUGAUGGUCUAUCCACAAUAACAAUAUCCGUAUCUCGUUAUUACUUACGACCACGGACGAUUUAAGAUUCAAUCAGAUGUAAUCUGUGUCUCACAAUCACAACUCCUUGUGAUUAACAAAUUACGAAGAUUUGAAUCUACGGACUCUACUUUUUAAUUAAUAGCCAAUUAAUCAAAUAAUAGAUCUGCCAUUAAAUUGCAUUAAUUAUAUAUCAAAAGUAUUUAUGUUUAAAGUUGAUUGGACCUAAGACAUAAUACUUACAACAUAAAGGGUAGUAUCAAUGAUGCUAGUAAGUCUUUCGCAGGUCCUUAAUUUGUUUCUGUCACAGUGUGAUAACAGGCUUUCGAGCUAAAAAUCUUAAACAGGUAGAUCCAUAAGCGAGAUUUAAUACCACUCAUAUAAGUGUGGAUAGUUGAUACAAGAAGCCUGGUGCAUUUCUCAGCCUUGAAAUCUCGAAGAGAUGUAAUUUUGUAAAGAUAUGAAAUCAUUUCUUUGUUUUCGAACAAAGCAGCUGCCUUUUCAAGUGUGGUCAUUUCUUGGCUGCCUCGAGUUGUUGGCAGAGUACGAUUUUUUUUCAUAACGACCUUGGAAAUUUCUACAAUCCCUGAUGCAGCUGCUAAACAAAAGGUGGUAUUUCCAUGUGCAUUUGGCAACGCCAAGUCACUAGAUUCUUGACAAAUUCAGUUUGCUUGGUGACAGAAUCUAUGCGAAGAGGCCAUUUUCUCUUUCUAUUUUUUCUAUACAAGCUACACUUCUGUCCACAAUCAGAACAAUUUCAAUAGCCUUCCAAUCACCUCCUAGAGCAGCUGGAUAUCAAAACGCUGGAACCUUUAGAGUAUACAAUGUAACACACAAAAUUAGAGGACAUCCCAUGUGAAUAACUUAUACAAUGCAUCAACUCUUGAAGUCUACGAGUAGAAAGGAGAACAAUUUUAUUACUCAAUACCAAAUCUAGAACUCUUGAAAAUACUGAGCGAGUCUAGAAAAACUCCAAAAUCUAAUCUAAAAUAAAUUUAAAACCAGUUUUUAUUUUUAUUUUAUUGUUUUUUUCUUUUUCUUUUUUUGCGCACUUUAAGGGACAAUAAUAGAUUUCAUCUAUCUCUUCUACGCAAAUGUGAUACCAUACACUUUCUUAUUUCAUUAAUUUGCUUGACUUUGGUACUGGUAUAUUGAACUCAAAAACUGACUGCCAGUUUUGUUCAUUGCAUUUAUCUUGAUUAUGUUGAAAUAUGUGAUGAAGCUUCCCACACUCUCACUCAAACAGGAAUAUCAUCUUCUCUUAUCUACUUUACUAAACUACCACCAUCAUUUUAUACAUUAUGGAAAAGGCAGACAACGUGUUUACUACAAUCAUCUUAGUUCUUUUCAAGUCAUAAGUAUUGGUCUAUGAUUCAUGUGGUUUUUAGUCCCUGGGUAGUUAAUCUAUCAGAUAUUGUCAGUGUAACGAUAUGCCAACAUCAGAAAUAUGCCCUAAUAUAAUAAUAUUUUGCUCUUCUAGCUGGUUGGUUACUGUCUUCAAUGAUGAAUUUUCUUUUGUCAAGUGCACCUGUUCAGUGAUUGCAGGUAGUGGAUACGUCAUACUUGAAAGAGAGUAUGAACAGAAACACACACUCUGGAUUGGCCAUGACACCGAAACCUUCGAUCCUGAGACAGAGAAUAGUUUUUCAGCAGAAGCUAGCAUACAGAAUGCAGCUCUUCAUUAAGUUCUCUGCUGAUUAUUUUGGAAUUUCAGAAUGGAAGCGAUAGGUAUGACAAUGAUAUUUGCUUGUAAGCUUAUGGUAUCUUAGUAAAAUGCUAUAUUAAUUGGCAAACACAUUAUCUGGUAAGAUGAUAAUUCUCCUUUAUUUGCCUAAGCAACAGUAUUUUGGUUGAAACUUUUAUCAACUCAUUUCCAUACUCGUGACACUAAAAAGUCAAAUAAAAUGACAUUUGGAAAAUUGAUAUCGUUUCUUUUGUUGGACCCGAAAGAAUUGUAGUGAAUGAGAUUAAUGAUGCGAUAUGAAGUAAUAGAGAUCGUAACGAGAAACAAGAUUUAAAAGUAAACAAAGAGAGUUAAUCACAGAAGCAUGACGUUUUAUUAAUAGUCAAUAUGGAGAGAAAUAUAAGAACUCAACAAUUAUUACUUGAACAAAACUGAAAGAGGAUACCACUGUUUAUAGGUACAUGGCAUAACAUAAAGAUGGAAAUAAUGUGGAACAAGAAAUAAUAUGUUUCCAUAAAAUAACAUAUAAGGAAACAAUUUUUCUUACAUGGAAAUAAGGAAACAAUUUAUUUCCAAAUAAAUCCACACUAAUUUGGGUUACAAACCACCUUGAUCCAAAUUCCGAUGCAACAAACUAAACUCCAAAAUUUCAAAUCUGUCUGCAUCAAAAUAGCAAAUCUUAUCAACACAAUAAAGAAAACUCUCUAAACCAAACUAUCGUUCUAUGAGAAGUGUCCACAAGCGAUACCUGAACCCAAAUUUCGGGUUCCCAAAAUCCUACCGAAGAAUUACUGUUGACCAAACAGGGUCAAAGCACACCCUGUAAAAGAAACCAUACCAUAUGCUGGAUCAGAAGGCCCUUUGUUAGAUCUUCCCAAAAGCAUCACAGACAUUAUUGACACCACGAUACCUACACUCCAUGAGUCCAACCCUAGCAAAUGAACACAGCUUAUCCACUGAAAAUGGUGGGAAAGUGGAAUCACCAACGCUCUCCCUAACGGUGUUCUUAACCAACUCAAAGCUUGCCACAAGAGGUACUGUACCAAACUGUAUAUCUAUCACGAUAUUGAACUUGUCCAAAUGUCUCUUAACUAGUUCUGCGUUCCUCUGGAAGAUGUACAACUUAGACCUUUUCCGUCCCUCAAGUACAACCCGGACCCCCAUUCGAACCUUCAAAACUUCACAUCCACCAGAGAAUUUAUACCCUUUUGCAUCCAAGGAAGUCAGCGAGAUAAGAUUACUUUUCAGGUCUGGAACAUGUUGAACCUGAUUAAUUGUUCUGAUCGUCCCAUCCUGCAACCUUAGUCUGACUCGAUCGAUUCCAACAAUACGGCAAGAUUCGUUGUUUCCCAUCACAACUCCACCUUGCUUAACAGCCUCAUAUGUCUGAAAAUAUUUUGAUUGGAACGCAUAUGAUACGAAUGUGCCAAAGCGAGAUUCCACUCCUCAUUGGGUCUAGACUCCACAUCAGAUACCACGGUCAACAACACAUGACCACCAUCCGAAAAAUUCUCGGCAACACUAGUUACGUAAGAAUUACAGAGUUAACCCCGUAAUUUGCAGCUAAAUCACCUUUAGCCUGCAACUUGUCACAAUCCUUCUUUACGCGUCCUUUUCUCUUGCAGUAGAAGCAGUACAAAUUACUGAAGUUCGCCCUCGAUCUAUCCCAUGUCGAUCACCAUGAGAUACUAGAGCUUCAUCAUCCCUCAAUAUAGCUCCAACCAAAUACUUCAACUUCUCCUUUGAGUGCAAAGCAUCAUAGACGUCAUCUAUAGUCAAAGUAUCUCGACUAUACAAAAUAGUGUCUCGAAACGACGUAUAAGAAUCAGGCAGCGAAUAUAAUAGGAUCAAGGCAAGAUCCUCUUCAUCGUACUUAACAUUAAACGUUUUCAAACCUACGCCAAUUUCCUUGAACACGGCAAGAUGGUCUUCCAACGACCCUUCUUCCACCAUGCGAUGAGAAUACAGCUUCUGCUUUAGAGCCAGUUUACUGGUAAGACUCUUGGUCAUACAUAACUACUCAAGCACAAAGUAGCUGCUGUUUUCUCCUUCAAGAUAUCUUACAGAAUAUUGUUGGAUAGAUGAAUCAACGACAAGGCCUUCCAAUCCCUUCGUUGUUUCUCUUUCAUUGUCCAAUUAGUUGGCAUCUACUCAAAACCCAACAACACAUUGUCCAAAUCUAACUGUGCUACAAUAGUUCUCAUCUUGACUUGCCAUAAAGAAAGUCUUGUAUAGCGAUCCAAUUACAGAAUAUCAUACUUUAAAGUAGCCAUCUCUGAAAAACCUCAACCAAUCCACAAGAAGAACCAAACUUUGAAACCACUUGUUGGACCCGAAAAGAUUGUAGUGGAUGAGAUUAAUGAUGCGAUAUAAAGUAAUGAAGAUCGCAACAAGACCCAAAAUUUAAAAGUAAAGAAAUUAAUAGAGAGAGUUAAUCACAGAAGACAAUGUUUUAUUAAUUGAUAACAUGGAGAGAAAUACGAGAACUCAGCAAUUAUGCUUGAACAAAACUGAAAGAGAAUCUCACUAUUUAUCGAUACAUGGCAUAGAAUAAAGAUGGAAAUAAUGUAGAAUAAGAAAUAAUAUGUUUCCAUAAAAAAUCACGUGAAAUAUAAGAAAACAAUUUUUCCCACAUGAAGAUAAGGAAACAAUUUAUUUCCAAAAAAAUCCACCCUAAUUUAGGCACAAACCUAACAUGUUUCUGUGGUGCAAUACCUUUUUUUAAAUGUUUUUAGUUUUAUUCAUGUUAGAUAAUUUGUUGUCAAACGACCUCUCGAGCAAUGAUGUAACCUCGGUUUUAUGUAUUAUCAGUCGGCCUUGGUCAUAUGAUUGAACUAUAUGUUGACACUAUCAUCGAGACAACCCAACCCAAUUUUCUAUGGACCAUUAGAAGCAACCUAUUUUAAUAGUGUUGCUCGUGGUCCGUCCCAUUUACUUGGAUGGCUACGAUAUCCAUUUGAAGCCCAUCAUCUUUGUGCUAACCCUUUUUUGGACCACUAAGUUAACCUACCCUAACUUACCUUUUUUGGUCACUCUCUUAGGCUAUAAUUCUCAGCUCCCCUACGCCUCCAAUAUGCCGUCUUCUCCACCUCCCUUUGUGACCUCUUCUCUGCUGAUUCUCGACCUCUUUUUCUCAAGCAACCUAUGUGGUUUCUCUUGGGUAAUAUUGUUCUCAUCUUGGUCGACUUUUUGUGGGUAUGAAUAACAACCGUAGGUGGGAAGAAAAAAAGAGAAAGUUAGGUGUGUCUCAAUAGUGGUGGUGUCGACUUUGGUGAAAACUGAGCUCGGUAUCACCUUGGACAUUGCUGGAUUUUUAGCCUCUUCUGGUAUCAGAGCCAAGGGCUUGGUUUUCUAGGAGAACCAAUCCAAAAUUAAGAGAGAGAGAGAGACGCCAUUCUUCAAACUGACCGAAUUGAAAUUCGUUAAUUACUCUCAAACCAUACCUCCGUUGGAUAAACGGACCUCGGACCCAUCAUCAGCAGGUUGAGGCGUCCCCUAUGAGGUGGCGCGUGGCUGUCCGAUGUCGAAAAGUGGAGGAGCUCCUAUGUUGUUUUUUUUCGUGCCAUUCCACUUAUUUUGAUUCCCUGAAUGUACUAAUGUGUUUGGUUUAGUGUUUCAAGUUGUGUAGAAAAUUUUGGAUAAUUUUGCCCCUGAUUACAAUCUGCAUUCGUUGCUGAACGAGCUGUUAUAUUUGCUGAAUCUUUAGGGAGAAUAGUGGUGGCCCUAAAGUAGCAAAUUCGCAUCACUCCACGUUGCGGACUCAAAUAGGUCCGCUCUGCUAAAUUGGCUGAAAUCUUUACAUUUUUGCACUAGCAGAUCAUUGUGUGGGGUGAUCAUUAGAUUGGGGGUUGCCAUUGCUUGUACUAGAAAUUACGGUUACGUGCUCUUGAUCAGGCCUAGUCCUGCUUAGAGGCAGAUGAAGCCUGCACCUCAGGCCCAAAAUCUAAGAGGGCCUCAUAUUACUGGCCCAAUUUUUUUUCUUUGAACAAUAGUAGUCGAGGCCCAGCAAGAUUGCAAGAGCAGCCCAAACCUCUCAAGCUCAAGCGUGUAUCCUGAUCCAUUAUCCAUUUUUCCCAAAAUUCCCAAAUUGAAAUCCAUUUUCCCCAAAUGCUCUGUCAUUUCCAUCUGACUGUCUCUCUCGCUCGACUUCUCUUGCUUUCACUUCCAGUUCCAAACUCUAGACUUCCAGUUCCAGUCUUCUAGAAUCCCAUAUUUUCUCGCUUGGUUAGUUGGCUACUUGGCUUCGCAGUUCGGUAAAAAGCCUCGAGUCUCUCUCUCGUCCACGCACACUCACAUAGAGAACGAAAGCUAGGCAUAUUUUGGUAAUCAUAGAAAUUAGGGUUGGUUGAACCAUUUGGAGAGAGAAGUGUAUUAAGGCUCAAAUUGUAGUGGAAAAUGGAAGGUUCUGUGAUUCUUGAUUUGGAGAAUGCUGUAACAAUCGGAGGUAGUUCUUGAUUCCAGACUUCCAGUUUGUAAUUAUUUUUUUCUAGCCAAUUUAAAUUUUUGCUAAUAGCAAAAUUAUGAGCUUUUUGAAUAUGCAUGUGAACGCCAGCUAAUAAGUAAUACCUAACAUAAACAGAGAUCAAGAAAAUUCAGAGGAUUCACAUUAGAUCUGGAACCACCAAGCUUUUUCGGUUCAUUUCAUUUUUAGGUACCCAAAGUUAAGAAAAUUAUUUUUACUUUGUGCUUGCAUUAGGGAAUAAAGAAAGAAAAGAAAAAAAGAAGUCUAGAGGUCGGUUUUGGAAUUGAAACCUGCUUUCAUAGGCUAAGAAAUCGAGUUUUUUGAGGGAUUUUUGGCACUUGGAUGGGUAUUUGCCUCAGCAACCAAAUCAAGGCGGAUAGUCCAUUUAAUACUGGAACAGGUAUAUUCUCAAAACACAAUUACUUUCUUUAUGUAGAGUGAAAGAGAGAACGGUGAAAUUAUAUUUACUAGAGAGAUUUAAACGAUAAAUUCAAAAUUUGUGAUCUUUUUGAGUUGUUUUUCUAAAACUAAGAAUUCAUGUCCUCUGCAUUUUCUGGUUUGCCGUAUCAUUUGCCUUCAAAGGUAAUAAGAUACCUGAAACUUCUAAUGCUGCGUAGUCUACUAUUUCUUCAUUGAUUUUAAUUGGUGGCAACUAAUUUCUUCUACACAUUGCAUAUUACAAAUAACACGUGAAAAGAAAAUUCUACCACCAGAGGAGGUUUGUGUACUUGAAGGGAAAAUUGUUAUGCUUCGAACUCUGAAAUAUUUAAGGUUCAUUUUGAAGAUAUAAUAUGAAUAACAAUAUUUCUCCCUUUUUUAACAACUCAAAUUUUUGGACGAGUCUAUAGUUUUAAAGCAUACAAUUGUUCUAUGUUUAAUUCAAAACUGUUUCCUACUUAUGAAAAUUCUACUUUUCAACCCUUUGAUGAAAAAGAAAAUCUGGUGCUGGUGUGGUAUGCAAGUGAGGACUGUGAACCCUCUUUUUAAUGUACUUGUAUGCUUUUUGUGCAAUUCACGUGAUGCUUGAAAUUGAAAGCCUUGAAUAUAUUGUAACUGUAGUCUGUAUAGUCUGUAUUAGUAUGGUUUUAGGUUUAUAGCGUGUCAUUUUGGCUUUCGCAAUUUUUUCACCUUGAAGUGCCUAUUAGGGUUCGAGGCUUUGCGUUUUGCUCUUUGCGAAAUUUCAACAAGAAAUUGGAUAAAUAACUGUCUAAUCUGUUUAAAAUAAAAAUAUUCAAUUUGACCAAAGAACCCUAAUUAUCUGUGUUAACUUUUAGAUUUCAAUAGUGAAUUUGUGAUCUAUUGGUGAUGAUUAGGGCUUUCUCGAUGUGAAUAAAAGAAUUUGGGUCAUUUUCAAAAAUCUAGGCCCUCGUUUCACUGGGAGAAACCACAAUCUAUUUCAAGAACUACUAACGAGUAUAUUGACCAGAUCCAAAAGGUAAUCCAUUCGUAAGUCUUGUAAUCUGCAUGAUCACUGUAUUUGUUGGUGUGUAUGAUUUUUCUAAAUUGCAACUUUGCUUUAGUAACAAUGCUGGCAAUAAAAACAUGAACUGACGAUUAAAAAUCAGAGGUGGGCUAAAGUGAAUGUUAGAAUUUUGAUUCUUAAUGCUAUCUCCUAUCAUGUGUAAGUGUAAAAUAGUUUAUAGUUGAUUUGAAUAACUUAGUUUGAUAGAAUGAUAGGUAAAAUGUACAAUUGUUAUUUCCCUAAGCUUGAUGAUCAUGUUCAUAUUUGUAUUAGCGUUUGAUUUGAUGUUCAUGUUCAUAUUUGUAAUUUUGUAUUAGCAUUUGAUGUGAAAUUUUUGUUUCAGGGUCGUGAGUUGUGAGUCUUUUGACAGUGGAAUUCUCGAAGGUGUAACUCUACAGUUUUCGUAGAAAUUCUACUUCUUAAGUAAGUAACGGCUUGCCUUAACUUGUUAUUGAAGAGAUUGGAAAUGUUUAAAACCUUGUCAACUUAUAUAAUUGCAGCCUGGUCGGCUUAUAUGAUUGCUUAUUGUACGAUGAACAAUUGCACAGGCGCACGUAGUAACUAUAUUUGAAACUAUAAUUGUGAGAUGAUUGAGAUAUUGUGUAAUUAUUUUUCAACUUAAUCAUUGGACAUCUGAUAUACACUUCUACACUAUGCCUCCUAAAUAUGAGUCUGGUGCUCAAAAGCGAAAAACGAAAUGAAAUAAAAUUGCAUUAAUUCAAAGUCAAGCAGGGGAUACUAACAAGUACUUCAAAAACAACAAUGUGAAUGCGUUGGAUGAGAGUGAAGAUGAACUAGAGAUUCAACAUGCCCAUGUUAAUGAAGUAGACGAUAAGGAUGAAGCAGUGAGUUAACCUGUUGAUGUUAACGAAGUAGAUGAUAAGGAAGAAGAAGUGAUGAAGACCGGUUCUAAUAAUGAAGAAGAUGAUAAGGAAGAAUAGGGUUGCUUUUCUCUAAAUUUGGAUGAUUCCGGGAAUUGGAAAAUCAUUGAUCAAAGAACAAGGGAUUACUUAGUUGAAAGAGGUCCAAAAAGAGUGGAUGACAUCUCGUUUCCGAAAGACUAUACAAAUAGACAUUUCGAUUCUUCACAAUAUAAGCGGUUGCUACCAAAUGGGCAAACAGUUGACAGAAGAUGGCUAGUAUAUUCAGUGUCUAUGGACAGGAUUUUCUACUUUUGUUGCAAGUUGUUUAAAACACCAAUAAAUGUGACCAAAGUUGGCCACCUAGGUAAUGAUGGAUUCAAAGAUUGGCAUAAUUUGCAUCGCUCUAUUAAAAGUCAUGAAGAAAAUGAGGAGCAUUUACGUUGCAUGACUAGCUGGAUUGAAUUGGAAAAUAGGCUUCGAACAAAAACUACAAUUGAUAAAAGCUUUGAAUUGUUGAUUGAUGUUGAAAGGGAACAUUGGAGACAUGUAUUAACAAGGAUAAUCGCUACUGUGAAAAGACUUGCGAAAAACACCUUGCCAUUUCGUAGAGAUGGUGAAAGGCUACAUGUUGAGAACAAUGGCCUAUUUUUACAAAUGGUGGAAAUGGUUAGUGAAUUUGAUCUAAUAAUGCAAGAGCACCUUUGACGGACUAAAGCAAGAGAGAUUCAAUAUACGUAUCUUAGCAAAAAAAUUCAAAAUGUGUUGAUACAAUUGUUGGCUAAUGAGGUGAGAAGUUCUAUUGUCAAGAAAUUUAAACAUGCAAAAUAUUUUGUAGUUAUACUUAAUUGUACUCCAGAUGCAAGUCACGAAGAGCAAAUGUCUUUAAUUGUACGAUUUGUAGAUGAUUCAGCAAACUUACCUAUAGUUGAAGAAUAUUGGCUAUAAUUUUUCUAGGUAGAUGACAUAACGGGACUUGGAAUUGCAACUCAGCUUCAAAAGGCUUUGAUAAAACUUGAUCUCGAUAUUGAUGACAUUAGAGGGCAAGGGUAUGACAACGGAUCUAACAUGAGCGGGAAGCACAAAGGUUUGCAAAGAAGAUUUCAUGAAAUGAAUUCCCGAGCUUUCUAUACUCCAUGUGGCGUUCAUUGUCUAAAUCUAGCAUUAUGUGAUAUGGUGAACUGUUGUUCCAAAGGUGUAUCCUUCUUCGGAGUGAUACAACACAUCUACACAUUGUUUUCCUCUUCUAUCAAGCGAUGAAAAAUUUUCAAAGAUAAUGUACAAGGGUUGACAGUGAAGCUAUUGUCACAAACACGCUGGGAAAGUCAUGUUGAGAGUGUGAAGCUUAUAAUGGAGCAAACUGCACAAAUAAGAGAUGCAUUACUUGAUUUGGCAGAAAGUAAUGAAAAUCCUAAAGUAAAGUGUGAAGUUGAGUCAUUAGCAGCACAUGAACUUCAAAAUUUUGAUUUUUUGCUUGGCAUGAUAAUCUGGUACAAGUUGUUGCAUGCUGUCAAUAUUGUGAGUAAAUUUCUUCAAACCGAAUCCAUGGAUAUUGAUCAUGCUAUCUACCUCUUGCAAGGACUUGUUUCAUUUCUUGAAGAAUAUAGAGAAAUUGGAUUUGCUAUUACCAAGGAUGAAGCUACAAAAAAGGCAAGCGAAAUGGGAAUUGAAGCUUUAUUACAGAAAAAUGCAUAAUUCGAAGCAAAAAGCAAUUUGAUGAUAGCGGUAGUGAUGAGGUAAAGCAAUCAGCAGAAGAAUCAUUUAGAGUUGAGUGUUUUGUUUUUAUAAUUGAUCAAACUCUAUCUUCUCCGAUGACCCGAUUUGAAAAUUUUAAACAACAUGAUGACACAUUUGGAUUUUUGUUUACUUUGAAGAGGUUAAGGAUUGUAGCUUUUUCAAGUUUGUUGAACUCUUGUAUGAUUCUUGAGAAAUAUCUUCAACAUGAUGGGUGUUCGGACAUUAGUGGGGAUGAUUUAUGUUCGGAGUUACAAGUUUUGAGGUGUUAUAUACCAAGUGAAGCAACAAGUGCAAUUGAAGUGUUAUAAUAUUUGAAGACAAUGAAUGUUUGUUUUACAAAUGCUUAUAUUGCUUACAAAAUUUUGUUAACCAUACCGGUAACAGUUGCAUCCGCGGAAAGAAGUUUUUCGAAAUUGAAGUUGAUCAAGACCUAUCUCCGAUCAACUAUGUCGCAAGAAAGAUUAAACGGGUUGGCUAUGUUAUCGAUAGAGAAAGAAAUGGUUGAGCAGCUAAAUUAUUCAUAUUUGAUUGAUAUUGUUUUCCUCUAAAACAGCAAGACGAAUAGUAUUUAACUAAUUGUUUCAAACGUUAUUGGUUUUGAUAAUUGAUAAUAUAAAUCUUUUCUAUAAUAUAUUUGGUUGUUGUUUUAAUGUUAAUUUUUCAAGUUAGUUAUGGGUCGCAUAAUACAUCGUUGAAGUUUGCGUUUACGUUGAUUUUAUCGGGGGGCCUAAUUUCCAGACUUCACCUUAGGCCUCGAGAAUCACAGGACCGGCUCUGACUAUCCAGCAUGACAUUAUUCAGGUAAAUUAGGAACUCGAAUUUAUCAUCAUCCAUGAGGCUUUAUCUAAUAUUCGAAUACUAUUUCUUCAGGUACAAACCAAGAUGUCUAAUUUGUAGAAAAGAGAAAUAAAUCUUUAUUAUCUUACAUGGAACAUAAUGGAUGGUAGCAAUUUCUACAACCCCGAAUGCAACUGCAAAAUAAAAGGUGAUAUUUCCAUGUGCCAAGUCACUAGAUUCUUGAUCGAUUUAGUUUGCUUGGUGAUAGCAGCUAUGCAAAGAGGCCUAUUUCUUCUUUCUAAUUUUUCUACAAUCUACACUUCUGUCCACAUUCAAAACAAUUUUAACAGCCUUCCAAUCACCUCCUAGAGCAGCUGGAUAUAAAAAUCGGGAACCUUCAGAGUACUUAUACUAUGUAGCAUAUAUAAAAUUAGAGGACAUUCCCAUGUGCAUAACAUAUAUAAUGCAUAUGUAGCACGUAUAAAAUUAGAGGACACUUCCAUGUGCGUGUAACGUAUACAAUGCAUCAACUCUUAAAGUCUAUGAGUAGAAAGGAUAACAAUUUUAUUACUCAAUUCCAAAUUCAGAACUCUCGAAAAUACUAAUGAGUCUAGAAAAACUCCAAAAUCUCAUCCAAAAUAAUUUUAAAACCAGUAUUUUUUUUUUUGCGCACUUUAAGGGAUAGUAAUAGAUUUCAUGUCUCUUCUACGCAAACAUGAUACUAUACACAUUUGCACUUCAUUAAUUUGCUCAACUUUGGUAUUGGUAUAUUAAACUCAGAAAUUGACCGCCAAAAGCUCUUAGAUGUUGGACAAGGAUUAACAGUGUUCAUAUUGGUAUUGGAUAUUGGAUUUUCAACUCUAAUUUCAAUCUAGCUAGGUAUUUGCUAUAAAUUUGAAUGAGAUAAAAACAAUUAAAAGAAUACCAAAAUAUUAAUAGAGAAAUGCAUUCUUAUGCAUGAUUAGGGAGAAUAUUUACUUAAUUAAAUUAGGUGGUCUAAGUAGCAAGGAGUUUGAACCGUCAUUAUAUUCAAAUGUGCGAGAAAUUUUUUAGUACUCAUGGAGUAUGAAAAUCAGUACUUUCUGUCACUACUUAAUUGACAUGUAUAUUAUUAUAUGUUAAUAUUUGUGAUUCCGUCUUAAAAGAUUAACUUUAUUAAGAGGAGUAAUUCAAUUUUUUAUAAGUUGGCCUAUAUUUUCAUUUUUAAUUGAUGUGGAAUUAAGCAUAUCAAUCUUGAAAUUCAUAUGCUCAUUUUUCAGUCUUAAUUUGAUCGAAUCGCUCAUUAAAUUUUAAUGGGUUCUGAUACCAUGUUAAAAUUUAUGGUUCCAUCUUAAAAGGUAACCUUAUUAAGAUGAGUAGUUAAAUCAUUUAUAAAUUAGUCUAUGUUUUUCUUUAUUAAUCAAUGUGGGAUUUUUAUCCCUUAACAAUCUGUUUCCAAUCGAAAGUCUCAAUUAUUUAAUGCACAAGUUAAUUAAAUAGUAACCGAGAGUGCUAGAAAUUUCUCUGGCAAGUUCUCCCAAAUGUAUAAGCACUCUCUGAACGUUCUCUAAAAAUGUAAAAUGACACAAAAUUGGCAGCAAUUCAUUCAAUUUUCUGAAGUUUCUGCCUCUCUCUUGCUCCCAAAAUUACAGACAUUUUCUAGGAUUUGAAUCUUGUAAUAUAUAGUAUAAAUUUAUCUUCUUUAUUAGUAUAUUUUCCGAGUUUUGAAUCUUGUUCAUCGCAAUUAGAACAUGGGUAUUGUCUAAUAACCAAAGUGCACUGAUGCAAGGUGAGUUUUUUAUGGGGAAUCCUCGUGAUGAAUAUCAGACCGACAACCAGGAAACAAUUCAUAACGGAACAAGUACUAGUUGUAGAAAUCCCAAAAUCAAUUAUAGGAUUAUUGUAUGGUAUAAUUAGAACUAAGUAAGGAAAUGGUUUUUUCUUUCUUUCUUAAGUCAGAAUAUUAUUUUCCUUUUCUUCACAAUUGUAUUGUAGUAUAUAUUGAGGCAUAAUGGUGUAAGAAUAGUGUAUGGAAGAGAAAAAAGAUUAUUUCUCAUUGUGUCUUUAUUAACUUUAUUGUAGCAGAGUACGGUGAAACCCAAAAUAGAUUCGUAAUGGCGAAAACACCGCCAAUAGUAAAAACUCGACCAUCUUUGAAAUAGAAUCCGGUGAAACCGAAGUCAUCCAUAUUGUGAAUUCAAUUGGAAGUGAUAAUUUCCCCUUCCAACUCACAAUGAGAAACUUUAGAGAAUGGGCUCAAUCAAUCAAGUUGGUGAUCGAUAGGAAAGGAAAAAUUGGGUAUCUUACUGGCGAUAUGAAGAAACCCAUGGAUGCAAAACUUCCAACAAAAAUGAAAAUCGGAAAACUCCAUGGUAAUGUCUUAGCUUGUCAGUUCGAUGAAGAAUUGCCAAGAUCUAUCUCUUCAUGGUGACUACGAAGGAUAUAUUGGAUGCCGCUAAGAGAUGUACUCCAACGCGGAAGAAUUUUCCCAAAUCUUUAAAAUUAAAACUAAACUAUGGCAGGCCAAGCAAGAAGAAAGGGACAUCACUGAGUAUUACACGGAGAUGACUACCUUCUGGAACGAAUCGGACCUCAGCAUUGACGAAUAAUGGGUUUGUCCAAAUGAUAGUGUUCGAUACAAGAGAAGAGUGGAGAAUGAACAAGUGUAUGAAUUAUUGGCUGGGUUGAAUAGGGAACUAGAUGAUGUGACAGGUCAAAAACUUGGCCAUCGGCCAGCCCCCACCACAUGUGACUCUUUGUAGAAGUAAGGCGAGAGGAAGUCGUUGGGUGAUUAUGCUGAAGAAAAAACUGGGUCUGAAAAACCAUCUGAUUGAAAACCAAGAUAGAACACCAGAAAUCACGACUUCCAAACCACAAUCAAUUCCACUGAAACACAAAACUAUACUUCGAGUUUAAUUCCGAAUAACUAGAACAACUCUAAAAAAUGUUUUCCGACCUGCAGUCAUUUGGCUCAUCAACCACCUUAGCCCACAGAAGUAAUUCCCUAAGAGCUUUAAACACCAUUGCACUCUCUAAAGUACCAUGUAUUAUUGACUUUGGUGUGUGUGAUUAUAUAACAGACUCUCACCAUUUAUUCCCUUCAUAUUCACCUUGUGCUGGUAAUCCCAAAGUCAAAAUUUGCAGAUGGUUCUCUCUCUCCGGUAGCUAAAAAAUGGAGUAUUUGAAUAUCUAAUUCAAUCAUACUCGAACGUGUUCUACAUGUCCCAAAUCUAUCCUGUAAUCUACUAUCCAUUAGCCAAUUAAUAAAUAGUUCAAAUUGCUACACUAACUAUUUUUUCUUCUCACUAUGUUUUUUUAGCACCUAUCAUCGAGGAAGAUGAUUAGCAGUACUAAAGAGUGUAAGGGACUCUACUACUUUGACGAGAUUGAUAUGAGUAAAGAAAGUCGAUUUGUUAGUUGUGAUUCUACAUUUGUCCCUAAGAAUAGUGAAAUUCAUUUAUGGCAUUAUAGAAUGGGUCAUCCAAAUUUUUAGUAUCUAAGAAAUGUAUUUCCUUCAAUAUUAGAAUAAAAUACCUUCUGAUUUUAAUUGUGAAAUUUGUGAACUCGCAAAAUAUUAUCGCUCUUCAUUUCCAAAAUCUACAUACAAAACAUCUAAACCAUUUACUUUGAUCCACAGUGAUUUAUGGAAACCAUUACGAACCCUAAUUGUACCUACACAAAAUGGCUUCUUAUAUUCAUCUGCGACCAUACUCGAAUCUAUUGGUCUAUAUACUAAAAGAAAAAAAAUUGAUGUCUGUUUUGUGUUCAUAAAUUUUCAUUCUAUGGUUCAAACCCAAUUCUAGACAAAAACUCAAAUUCUACGCAUGGAUAAUGACAAAGAAUAUUCAAUAAUAUGCUAAAAAUCUAUCCCCAAGAAAAUGGAAUAAUCUACCAAAGCUCAUGUGUCGAUAUAGCCCAACAAAAUGGAGUUGUCGAACGAAAAAGUAGACAUCUACUUGAGGUAGCCAGUGCCCUAAUAUUCACUACAAUUAUAUACAAGAUUUUUUGGGGCCACGUCAUUUUAAUAUCAACCUAUCUCAUCAACAAAAUGCAUAGUCGCACUCUCAAUUUCGAAACUUCCUUCUGAAAACUCAAGAAAUUCUUCCCCAACUUCGAUCUCACUUCCAAUCUCCCUCUAAGAAUAGCCUUUGUCCAUAUACAUUCUUAUUACCGAAGUAAGCUCGAGCCCUGUGUACUUAAGUAUGUAUUCAUUAAAUACUCACCUACACAAAAAUGGUAUAAAUGUUAUGAUCGAAUAACAAAAAAGGUAUUUGUCAGUCUUGAUGUCACUUUCUUCGAGAACAGUCCUGCUUUCAAAAAUCCUCCCUUCAGAGAGAGAACUUAAGUUAAGAUUGGUUCUUGGAAUCUCUCUUCAUCCAUCUGAAUCUAUUUUGAACACUGAACCUACAACACCACUAUGCCCUACUAUGCCAUUUAUAGAAGGUAAUUUGAACUCAUGGAGAGAACAGAAAGAAAAACAUGACAAAGAGAUCAUAGUUUACUUAAAAAGGCCAAAAUCAAAGGAUAAGGACAAACUCACACUCAAAGCACCAAGAGAAUCGAAACCAAUGAUAGCUCUAGAUGAGCUUUCUCCAAAAUCACAUGACAUUGAUUUACCUAUUGCUCUUAGGAAAAAACUAGAUCAUGCACUCUUCAUCCUAUCUCAGAUGUUGUUUCUUAUAAAGCUCUAUCUCCAAGAUUUUCAGUUUUUGUAUUUAAACUUAAAGAUACAGAAAUUUCGAGAAAUAUUCAAGAAGCCUUAAAAAUUUCCUGGUGGAGAAAGGCAGUUAUGGAUGAAAUGAAAGCUUUAGAGACAAAUGAAACUUGGGAUGUGAUGAAACUACCAAAAGAAAAAAGACCUUUUAGGUGGAAAUGGGUGUUUAAUGUGAAAUAUAAAGUAGGCAAAAUAGUAAAACAGUGUAAAGCUCGCCUGGUUGCAAAGGGAUGCACUCAAACUUAUGAUAUAUAUUACACAGAAACAUUCGCACCGCUUGCAUAAUUGAAUACAAUUCAUGUUCUCCUACCACUAGCAGCAUACAUGAAUUGGCCACUCUAACAACUUGACAUUAAGAAUGCAUUCCUGAAUGGGGAGUUGGAAGAAGAAGUCUACAUGAUGCUACCACUUGGAUUCUCCAAUAUAAACGAAAAAAAAUAAAGUAUGCAAACUGAAAAAAAUCUCUAUAGGCCUCAAACAUUCACCUAGAGCAUGGUUUGAUAAAUUUGCAGACGUGUUGAAAAAUCAGAGAUAAAAACAAGGGUAGUUAAGUCAUAUUAUGAUGUUCAAGGUAUUUGACGGUGAGACAAAGAUCAUUUUGAUCAUAUAUGUUGACGAUAUAAUCCUCACUCGAGAUAAUACAGUUGAGAUAGAGAGACUAAAAAGGGGUCUAGCUACAUAAUCUGAAGUAAAAAAUCAAGCACAAAUGUGAAUUUUCUAGGAAUGGAAGUAGCAAGAUCAAAGAAGGGUAUUAGUAUCUCACAAACGAAAAUAUGUUUAGGAUCUCUUCACUAAAACUAGUAUGCUUGGGUGCAAACCAAGUGAUACCCCUAUGGACAUUGGAAGAAAAUUCAGAACGUCGGAGAAUCAAUUGAAAAUGACAUAUAUUAGCGACUGGUUGAAAAACUAAUCUAUCUAGCACAUACUAGACCUAACAUUGCAUUCGCGGUAAGUGUGGUAAGCCAACAUAUGCAUUCUCCAAAGAAAACUCAUCUAGAAGCAGUAUAUAGGAUUUUGAGAUAUCUCAAAGGCUCUUUUGGGAAAGGAUUAUUGUUCAGAAAAAUGAAAAAAGAGAGAGAAAUAUUCACUAAUGUAGAUUGGGCAAUAGCAAUAAAAGAUCAACCACUGGUUAUUGUACUUUUGUGUGGAAAAAUUUUGGUUACUUAGAGUAGUAAGAAACAGGUUGUGAUAGCCAAAGCAAUGCUGAAGCAAAAUUUAGAAUAUCUUUCAAGGAAUAUGUGAAGGACUAUGGCUAAAGAAACUCUUUGAAGAAUUACAAAUUACAAUGAAAUUCGCAAUUAAUCUAUUGCGAUAACAAAGCAACUAUCAGUAUCUCACUCAAUCCCGUUCAACAUGAUAGAACCAAACGUAUAGAAGUGGACAGACAGUUUAUCAAGAAGAAACAAAAAUGGAACUAUCUGUAUGAUCUAGGGUCUUACCAAAGAACAAAUUGCACAUAUAUUCACCAAAUGGCUACAAGGACAAAAUUUUGAUGAUUUUAUCUACAAGUUGAAUAUGAUCAAUAUCUAAAAUCCAACUUGAGGGGGAGUGUAGAAAUCCCGAAAUCAAUUAUGGGAUUAUUGUAUGGUAUAUUUAGAACUAAGUUAGGAAAUAUUUUUUAUUAUUUCCUUUUCUUCACAAUUGUAUUGUAGUAUAUAUUGCGGCAUAAUACUGUAAGAAUAAUAUAUGGAAGAGAAAAUACCGAUAAAAAAAAUGUACGGAAGAGAGAAUUUUCUCACUGUGUCUUUAUUAACUUUACUACAAUUGGGAGUAGAGCAUUAGACGACGUUGGACCUACAAUAACAUUGGCAGGCAAAUGUCCCAUUUCUAUGUGCGUGUAAAAUUGACAGCUACUACUAUUGACAUUGGAAUGAAUGCAGAAACCAACGCUCGACAAAUUGUUGAAGAAUCAAUCCCAAAAUAUUCUAGCAGUGGCAAGGGGCGUCGAAUAUGAUAAGACUAACCACACACCGGCUAAUGGCUUUGGGUAAUGUGUACAGCUAGCUCCAUCCUGCCCUUGGUAUUGCAAAGCAAUCCUAUAGUAUUUCGUGCUAAUUGAAAUUCAACAAACGAGCACUGACAUCGUUUUGCUCUUUUCAUUAACAGUGGAUCUAUCCAUGUUAGUAAUGAUGAAUUCGUUCGUGAUUUCUUGUCUUUUCAUUUUAAUGCAUGUGAGUUCUAAUUUUCUGGUGGACUACUCUACUUGAUUUAAUUUGGACUGCAAUGAUAGUUGUGAUAUUUAUUUAUAAAUAUAUAUAGAAGAAUACAAAGACUAAUUAAUAAGAAGAGAAAGCUUUUCCACUUUUUUCACACUCGAUAAACAAAGCAUUUUAUUUGAAAAUACAACAACAAUUAAGUAACAACUAGAAAACUAAAGGCUAAACGAAGCCUUUUAUUAGAAAAUACAACAACAACAAAGUAGAAUAAAGCUUCUCCACUUUUCUUAGUAACAACAACUAGUAUUGUAGCUCCUUUUAUUAGAAAAGCCUGUGCUCACCUGGUCGGAACAUAAACCUUGACGGUCGGAUUGUUGAGCGGAAUACAGAAUACCAUAACCUAAAAUUUAGCAUUACAUAUAAAGUGACCGGAAGCAAAGCAAGACCAACAACCAUUUUUGGCGAUAUCCCUGGCUUUUCUUCCUUGUGGACCAAAAAGUAGGUAGCACUAAAUUAAGUCCAUGCAAAUGAUUGAAGCAAAGAGUGUAAAUAGUCCAACCAUGAACUUUACCGUUAAUAUAUAUAGAAAAUCAUCUUCUCCAUAGCCUGAAGUUAAGAUAGACAAGAACGUCAUUAUGGAAGCUGUCGAGCUAAACAUUGCCAAUGCAUUAGAUGUAGCAAAAACUGUGAACCUCCUGUUGUGAGCUACCUUAUUCCCAUUUGGUACGAUAAAGGAUGCAUUUAAUGCAACUGUGGCAGUUAAGUUUGCGACAACCAUGUAAAAAGUUGAUGUGUCCUUCAUCCACCUUUCACUAGCUUCCCGUAACUCCUCAUGCUCCUACAUGAACAACUCCCUAGGUGUUUUGCCCUCUUGGUCUUUCUUGUCAUUUUUCCCUCCUGAAUGACCCAAUGUCGAAAUGCCACCUCGAUGGGUGGCCCACACACCUCGAGGGUGUAUGGUGGGCCACCCGACGAGGUGGCACACAGUGAUAGGACUGUCACACCAUCAAGUGGUGCGACUGCCUCAUGGAAGAGUUUUCCCUCCCGAACAUUGGAAGACUGAGGGGGAGACCGUAGAAUAUUCUCCACCUCCUGCAAAGCUUACUCAAAUUAAUGUAUAUUGCAUAAUCAUUAAAUUUUUAACUCUAACGAGAGGAAUUAAUUUUGUAUCUUGUAGNNNNNNNNNNNNNNNNNNNNNNNNNNNNNNNNNNNNNNNNNNNNNNNNNNNNNNNNNNUAUAUAUAUACACACACACACACACACACACACACACAUACACAUACACACACACACACACGCAUAUUCAAGAUAAACAAGAAAUUAAUGAUACAAUUCACCAUCAUGCUAUGAAGUCUUCCCGUUUUAUUUGAGGGGAUAAGGGAAAAGGGGAUUCGAUAGUCAAGUAAAUUUCUCACCUUAAACCACUGUAGCUCUCUCUACAUUUGAAGAACUGCUCCAAAUACACUAUUGAGUCUGCUUGAAGGUGGUAAUUUCGCGGCCAACUGCAAAACGUUGUUUCCAAAUUUAUCUUUUCUGACCAUCAAUAAAUCUUUAAUAGCUCCUGUGUAGUAGAUGAGAUUAAAGACUUCCUCUUAUCAGUAAAUAACAGCAACAUGAAAUAUGGAGUAAAAAUCUUUGUCGACUGUCCAUAUAAGAUCAGGAUAUGAGCGGAUAAGCAGAGUCAAAAGCUCAACGUUCCCAAUUUUUCCAGCAUCAGUAAGUAUAGGAGUUUGAUCAAAUAGGUUUGAAAUUUUUGAGCCUUCUAAAGUCAGAAUCUGUUUGAACACCUUCUCUGCCAACUGAUUGGCUUUUCUUCUCUUUGAAAUUAUUGAACCAUAUAUCCUUUUGAAACCUACAAAUCUUUGCUAAAUUAUUUCUAAAAUUCAUGUUAACUACAGUGCCAAAAAAAAAAUGAAAAUCUAAGAAAAAGGUGAAAUGAAUCUAUAUGUGGAUCAUUCACAGAUAAAGCUCAACAUGAAACUAGCAUUUUCAAGGAGUUACUUUUAAAAAUAGAGCAAUUUAUAUUCUGAUAAUUUUGUGAUAGUAUAAUGACUUAAUAAUCAUCAGAAAACAAUAAAACAAAACAGAAACACUAGGAAGGACACAAAUGAGUUGAAAGGUGUAAAUACAUAAAUGUCUACUAUCAACUAGAAAUUUUCAGGAAAAUUAAGCUUGAUUUUUUAAUUUUUUGUUAGUUGAAAGUUAAAAACAAAAUAGAAUGUUCUUACAGGGAACACUAGGGACGAUUCUAGCAAGUCUUUCACAUAGCCAUUCUUGAAUUGUACCAUAGUGUGAUAAAGGUUUUCGAGCUAAAGCGUGUAGGGCACUUCCUUUCUUCGGUUUUGGAGUUUUGAUGACUAGAUAUCUAUCUGCUUCCAAUAUUUGUAAUACGAUAUCUGCAUAUAAGAAAAGCAAUUUUGAAACUAUUGCAAACAUAAUUUUCAAUGUCAUCUUGCCCAUAGUCAUGAGCAGAGAUUCCAUACCAUACAUCUCCCUGUUGAUAGUUACAACAAGAAUGUCCAUGCGCUCCUCAGCCUCGAAAUCUUUAAGAGGCAGGGACAGAACCACAGUGGGUCCUGGUGUGUCACGUAACCCACCAAGUUUGGAUUUAUUUAUUUUUUUUUGUUAAUAAAAUCGUAUUCAUUAGAACUAGAGGAGUCUAUCCCAUUCCAAAUUGUAGUCGAAAUAUGAAGAGGAAAACCAACUGUCCCUCUGUAAUGUUCGUCUUGCUUAAACUCUUCCCUAAUAAUCCUCUUGACUUGAGUGUUGCCAGCAAUUGGAGACUUAAAGUCAUCCACCAAUCCAUCCACCAUCCACUGUGGGCUUGUUGCUGCCGAUUCAGUCGAGUGGUGCUGCUGCCAUUUCAGAGGAUUUGACGAGUUCUGCUACUGUCAAUUCAGUCAUCUGCCAUCUACUCUCGUCCAGACGUUGACAGUUGCUGCCAUCGGUCCACUGUCCAUUGCUAUAGCUGUACCCUUACCAAAUCCUAAGGACCCAAGAUUAGUUACAGAGUCUACUGGUCUUUACUCUUAUUUUGUGUUUAGAUUUUAACUUACAUAAACAUUACAUCUCCCAAUCUUCGGACUCCCAUCAUGACAAUUAGCUAUGGCAGUGUGGGAAAGUGAAAUUUGAACUGAAGAUUUAUUUUGUGAUUUAGGAAUCUAUCUGAAUUUGUUGAACUAGGUAUGUAAAUGUUAGGGAUUGAAUUUCUUGGAGCAAAUUUGAAUAUAUUAUUUGUGAAUGUGUUGAACUAGCAAAAUAGGUAUGUAAAUGCUGGGGAAUAGGGAUUGGCUAUUUGAAUUUUGUUUGGGAACUGGAAAUUUCAUCAAAAAUUAAAAAUAAAGAUAGCAUUAUUCGACAAUUGUGAGAUUGAUAUGCUUAUAACUUUAGGCAAUUAUGAAAUUUAUUUUGUGAUUAUUGAUAGAAGGAUUAUUUUUUCUCUUGAAUUGAGUGUUUUAUUUUGGUUGAUUGUUGUGGCAGUUAUGGAAAAGUACUUUAAGCGUAAAUCCGCAUUUUCUUGUGAUAUGCAAAAUGUUAAUGAAAGGAAUAUUCAAAAUGAAAAGGGUGAAAUGAAUGCUGGGGAUGAAAGUAAGAUACGAAUUUUUAUUGAUUUUUUCCUCACUUUUUGGAAGUUUGAGUAUGCCCCACUAACCAAAAAUUCCUGCGUCCGCCACUGUUAAGAGGUGUAAUUUUGUAAAGAUGUUUAACCAUUUUUUUUUCUUGAGAAAGCUACCAUUUCAAUUGGGCUCAACUUGUUUUUGUCUCGAAUUGUUGGUAGAAUAUUAUUUUUUUCGUACAUGAGCUUGGUAAUUUCUACAACCCCUGAUAUAGCCGCAAAACAAAAAGCUGUAUCAUUAUAUUUAUUCGUCAAUUCCAGGUCUUCUUUGUUCAAGCGUUUGACUAACUUGCGGACAAACACAGUUUGCUUGGUGACAGCAGCUAUGUGAAGAGGCCUAUCUCCUCUUUCUGUUAGCUUAAGACAACCUGCAUUUUUGUCUGAUUCUAGAACAUGUUCUGCAUCCUUCCAGUCUCCUUUUAUAGUAGCUUUAUACAUACGAAGCUUCCUUUCUUCACCUGAUGAAGUCUGGGGAGAACUAUCAUUAGAUAUGUGUUAAAAAAGAUGCUCCAAAACUUGGCGAGAAAUAAACGUAUACUAUGUAACAUAUAUAAAACUAAAGUAGAGAUAAAUCCACUUACAUAAUCAAAUCUUAAUUUUUACUAGCACAUCAACUUUGUAUUGCAAAGACUAUUGCAACAAUGUCCAUCUUAUUACUGUUGUAUGCUAUGUGUCAAAUGUACAAGUUGGGCCAGGGACAGUUUGUGUGGGUUAUUGCUGAAGUUGGUUAGGGCUGUAUUUAUUUAAUUUCUGUUUUCAUUUGUAUAUAACUUAGUCCAAGUCAUGGUCUAUAGAGCAGUUAUUAAAUUUCUUUUUGUUGUUAGCUCUUAGUGGAGCAUUAGGAGUUCAUGUGUGAAUGUGUUAGAGCUUGUAGGCUCACUUUCAGUUUCUUGCAUUUCCAUUCUGUAUUAAUUUGGCAGUUAAUUGAAAAUGUUGAUUUAGAGGACAGGCUCCCUCGAAGAAGCCAUUCAAGGUGUGAAAAAGGUGAUUUAGAAAUCGAGAAAUGUUGACACAUAUCUAGAAAUCGAGAUACGUGUGUGUAUGGAUUCUCCUCGACUUUGCCAUAGAAUUGGUGUCCAUUUUGAAACAGCUGUAUUACAUUGGUCUUCAAUUGAAAAUUGGGCUGCCCAAACGGUGGAUAUACAAUGCUGGAUUAGCUUUGAAUAACUUGAGGAGUCAAGAAGUCCCCCAGAAUUUCAUUUCCUUCAUCCAUUGCCUCUCCUUCGUUAGCUUGAAUGACAGGAUUGUUUAAUUCGUUAACCAUUUGUACUUGUGCUUCGCGAUGAUCUCUUUGUCGUCGAUGAAAGGUGCGCUCAAUUUCAGGAUCAGCUGGAAUCAAUUCUCCUCCAGGCAAUCGUGACAUGCAAAUCUGAGAAUUAAAACCAGUACGAGCACUGAGAUUCAAACAAUUUAAAUAACUAAAACACAAAUAAAAGAUAAUAACUUAAAAUAAAAAUAAAAACAAAAACAAUAUUAUACUAGCAAAAUAAAAAUUGAGUUCGAAUUAGUGCCUCGAGAAAUAAAAUUAAACUAAACUCAAUCCCCGACAACGGCGCAAAAAAUUUGUUCACGAAAUUAUUUCUUUCGAUUUUAAACCACCACAAGUGUACGGUUCGUUAACAAGUAAUAAAGUGGAUUCAAUGAUUCCGAAUGUCGUCCCACAGAGAUUGAUUAGCUCAAAUUUUAUCUAACAUAGCCUUAACCGAAAUUGGAUUGUCAAAAUGGAUAUGGACCUAAUUAAAAACUCUAAUUUCAAGAAGAAACCCUAAUUACGCAAAUUUAAUGAGUAAAUUGAAACUAAAACUCAAAACAAUAUUUUAACACUCUAGAAAUAAACUAAAAGUCGAGAAUGCACGUUGUUAUAAUCAAUAGAGAUUAAAUACGCUAGGAACACGAAUUCCCAUGCAAUUAUCACUUUAAACCCUAGUUUCACAAUAUGACAACACACUCAAUUGUGACGAAUCAAUAUUCCUAAGUCUAUCCAAUACUCUCUCUCGAGAUGUAUCAAACCUAUUUCUACAUACCACCGGUCUAUUUCCAUGACAAGAGCAUAUGUAAAAAUGCAUGCGAUUUUAUGAACACUUAAAGAUUCACGUAGGGAAUAACAGUAUAUUUCUAUCCACUAUCGGAGCCUACGAUGAUUUAUAUUAUGUCAAAUCUAUUCCAAUUCUCUCGAAUGCAAGAAUAAAUCACUUAAAUUCACACAAUUAUGAGCCCUUAAUUGCGGAAAAACAUUAAUUGCAUAUAAAUCAUUCAAAACAAUAAAAAUUGUGUCUUAACAUCAAAUUGCAAAACAAGGAUAUUAAAAUUCAAAUCACAUGGUUCAUCGAUCUCCUAGCAUAAUAAAAAUCUAGCCUAGCAUAGUUAAAAUAACAAAAUACAUCAUGUUUUGAAUAAAAGAUAUCACUGGGUUAUGAAAUCUUGAAGAAAUCUUGAAGUUCUUCGUGCCAAUCCUUGUUCUUGCGCUCAAAUCCUCUCCAAGAAGUGUUUUUUGGCCUCCAAUUACGUUCUGGUCAUCUUUGGAAUGUUUUUGAUAUUUAUAUCCUGUGGGAAAUUAGGUUACCAAAGGUGUUUCAAUCGUAUAAAGAAAGAAAAAAAUUGCGUCGGAAACGUACCAUGCGACCGCAUGGUUUUAAUCCGUGUGGCCGCAUGGUUAUUUCGUAUUUCCACUUGAAUUCCCUACAUCCAUUUGUGCGGCCGCAUGAGAGUUCUACCAUGCGACUGCAUGGUAGAAUUCAACUUUCAUUUUCUACAAAUGGGCCCCUCUACUUGAAUCUUCCACUUCUUUACAUCUUUUCUUCAUUCUUCACAUUCCAUCAUCCCAAAAUGUCAUCAAUUUGUAUUUGGCAAACUCAAUUUCUUGAUUUGUUCAUCGGGUCAACUUUUGGGUAAUUGCACCUUGGUCCUUGAACUUUCACUUUGUGUCAUUUUAAUCCUUUUUCGUGUCUUUUCUCAUGUAUUUUACCAUGUUCAUCGGUGUUACCUACAAUUCACAAAUGUAACGAAAUUAAGUCACAAUUCAAUCAUUUUAUUCGUAAUUAAGUCAUGUUUGUAACCUAAAUAAGUGUGCAAAAACACACUUAUCAAACCCCCAAACUUGAACUAUUGUUUGUCCUCAAACAAGAUAGUGACUAAAUUCUGAACAAAUAUGGCUUAAUACCCUGCUACGACUUAGGAUUGGACUAAGUGUUUGAUUUGAUGAAGAUAUAUCAGUGCAAAAAUGACAUCAACCUUCGCCUGUUAAAUGCGUACUUAACAUGUGUGUGUGAGUUCAUGCCAACAUAUUAGGUUCAUGAUGGAUUUGAGUCCCGACCCCGAGUGGUCAAUUCUAUCCUUACUCGCUCGAGAGAUACACAACCCCCCAAACUUAUGUUUUUUUUCCACUCAAUUAUCCCAGGGUUGUGUUUCGAAACUAGGAAUUCACAUAGCUAUAGUCUUCACCCUUUCGUAGUUUGGAUUAAUCUCACUAUCACAAGUUUACAUUUCAACAAGUGAAGGCUCUCCUAAGUUUGAUCGCUUCGACACUCAAGAUUAAACUAGGUUACUUGCCUCGCCUCAAAGGUAUAGUUUCUUUAACCAAAUGUCCAAGGGCUUUUCUUCAUGUUAUCAUCUCUCUUUUCUCUAAUUGUUCUGAUUUUAUUAUUAAGCUUCUCAUUUUUUUUCAGUUUCAUCUUCUCAUUUGCUUUGUAUAUAACCCAUGUAACGAGUUUUAGGCCGAUGACUCCCAAACCAGUUGGCUUUAGGGCACCAGGUUUUAAAUCCUUGCAGGCUUAUUCACUCGAGUUAUAAAGGCUCGAUCAGAUGACUUUCAAUUAACCUUUUUCCCUCUUGCUUUCUAUAUGACCCUUUUAAUGAGCUUCAGGCCGGUGACUCCCAAGCCAGUUGACUUUAGGGCACCAGAUUUUGAAAUAUCCUUACAGGCUUACUUGCUCGAGUCAUAAAAGCAUGAAAAGAAGUGUAUUGUUCUCACAAAUUUAUUUUAUGCCCUUAUUGUUCUAGACAUUUAGUUUCCAAAACUAACCCUUAAUUUAAGAUUUUCACCUAAUUUUCACCUCACUGGUCUAGACAAUCCACACAAUAAAAUUCAUGCACCGAGCCUCCACUCAUCUCAAUGCUCUCUUACAAUAGCUCAACCAUCACCAAAUUAUCUUAAGGCAGUUUACGGUUUAAUUCAAUAGAAGGUUAUCAUUCUUUUCCUAUUUUAUGCUCAAAAUCUAGUCAUUUAUCUAAUAUGUCAAGCAUGAAUAGUGUGCACAGAUAAUGUCAAGUUUUGCAUCAACAAGUGUCAGCUAGCCUAGUUGUAUCAGAUCCAAAGAUUUUGCAGUUUAAACUAGUCCAAUUAUAACAUCGUAGCUAGCAAGGUUAUCAAGCCCACACAAGCAUGCAUGAAAAGAAUUAAAGCAAAACUGAAUAAAAUGCAAAUCUGUUUUUCAUGCACACAUACAGAUGAACACAGAUAACACAGAUACUCAGUUAAAAUUAUGUCACCUCCCCAAACUUUGUUACUACCUCAAUGUAAAAUUAACAGAAGAUUAAAGACAGAAUUUUACGGACAACAUAAAAAGAAAAAUCCAAAAUGUGGUAAAUAGUACUUCCCUUGAAUCAAAAUGGAUGAGGUGGUGGGAAACUGGGUCCUACUGUACCAUCAUUCGGCGGAGGAGGGUGUCGUCCAAGGAGCUGCCGCAUUAUCUCAUUCAUUUCCCGCAUCAAGGUAGACUGUUGUGUCUGCUCGGCCUGGAUAGCUCUCAUGGUCUCCCAAGUUUCAUUGACCCUCAUUUGGAUACCGUCCACCCGACCAAUAUACAUGUUCAGUCGGCCAUUCAAGGUAUCAACCUCCUAUCGCAUGACUGUAGCAUGAUCCCUAGCAUCUCUGAUGUAGUUCAACACAAGGUGAUUGUCUCAUUGUAAACUUCCCAAUUCAGUCCUCAUGUUGCCAAAAUCUUGAAAGAAACUGUGGAGGUCUCGGCUAAUGCCCGUGGUGGUGGAGAAGAUCUGUCUCAGCAACUGAUUAUCCAUUUCAGCUUGUGGUGCUGGAGCCCGUUGGUGUUCCUGAUCUGCAGGGAUUUGGCCUUGUUCUGCCUACUGUCUACGUCACUCAAUUUCUUGUUGUUCCCGAUGUUUAACCCGAGCCCUUGUCUGAUCAUCAAAUGUCAUUCGUUUGAUCAUGGGACUGGGUUUUUUAGGUAAUUCUUCAGGUAGGAGGGCAACACCCGCAGCCCGACAUAUACCACUAAUUAGGCUCGAAAAUAUCAAAGUGGAGCGGUGAUCUCUCCAAGUUCCCAAUGAGUGUAGUUGAUUGUAUAUAUGAGUAGCGAGAUCAAUAUUGUUGCCUCGAGCCAAGUGGUAGAUGAAUCCUUCUGUCUGAUCUGGAAAUGUAGUCCUGUGUGAUAUGAGCUCAACAUUGUGGCACAUAAGGAGCCAUAGAAUAACCAUGGAAGGGGUGAGCUCAAUCUGAUGCCACUCGAUAGUUUCAAGGGGCCAUGCAUUCUCCCGCCCCAUUAAAACCUUAGCCACCUCAUUCCAGAUAAAGUCAAUUGGGAGAGGGACCACAUUCUCCAUGGUAAGCUGGUAGUAAUCAUGAAUGACCUCGGGAGAGAACAUUAUCCACUUCCCCUGUACCCAAGUCUGAUGGAAAUGCUCGGAGCCUGGCAUGUCAAUGUCACUAUUGAAGUUGGCGAAGAACUCUCGGCAUAAAGUCUCAUAGAGUGGAUAAAGUCUCUCCACUAACUUUUGCCACACACAGAGCUAAAUUAAGUUGACCAACUCAAAACCCGAGAAGUCAUCAAGCUUAACGGGUCUUUCAGCAUGUAAAGUCCAAUGGCGUACAAUGUUUUCAUAUCGUGCCGCGGUAGUUGCAGUUAAGAAUCACUGAACUUCUCCCGCGAGCUCUCGAGUACGGGCUGUCCUGGUGGAGGAGCUUGCUUUUUCUUUCCCGUGCAAAGUUCUUUUAGGGGGCAUCCUGCAAAGUUUGUAAGAUUAUACUCAUUAAGUUCGAUGUGAAAAGAAUAGGCAAGAAAUGAGAAAAUAAAAUAUGCAUUGCACAAUUCCCCCAAACUUUCCUAGAUGCAUGUGUAGUAACAUGGUGUGCACUAGUCAAGAUAUGAUGUUUAAUUGAAUUCAAGUAUUUUGCCAAUAUGAAAAAUGGAGAAAAACUCGGCGUAACAAUGCAAUAUUUUAGAAUUUGGAACCAUGACCGAGUGCACACUUUCGGCCCUUGACAUCAUUAAGAAUUAUCAAAAUUUUCCCGGACAAUCUUUGGGCAUAUCAAAGUAUUGAUUGAAGUGUAGCACAUACUCGAAUUUCAACUCAAUUGGAUGUCGUUUGGUAUGUCAAAUGAAGAUGCAAAGUAAGGGACAGAGGAUGCGUUAUGUGCGGUGACCUAGUCAUGUGCCUAUGUGGUGCAAUGUGAAAGUGGAUGUUUUCUUGUUCAAAUUAUUUGGGAAUCCAUUAAAAUAUAUCUUGUGCCAUGUUGGUGAAUCAACGUAUAUGCAAAAAGUACCUAAUUGUACACAAAAGGUUAUUGUGGCAUUUUAUCAAACACUUGGUGUGCAUUAUGUGAAGGUAGCCCUAAAUUAAUAAAAUUAAUAUCCAAUUCAUCCAAAAAAAAAUCACACAACACAAUCACAAUAAAUCUAUUUCUAUAUGAACUAGCCCAUUCUCCUUCAAUUCAUAAAAAGAACGAAUUUAAAGACGAAUUUCCCAAAAGAAAAAAAAAGGGAAAUGAGAGAGAAGAGGCAAUACUUUACCUUAAAGUGGAUAGCGUGGUAUACGGGGUGAAUGUCGUGCGAUGCAAACAUGAUUGGAAGGGAAGAGUGUGUGUGUGAAAUUGGUAAAUGAAUCGUGAGGAGAUUAGGGUCGAAGAACAUGAAGAGAGGAAGAAAAAAAAAUGUUGUGAAGAAAAGAAACCGAAUGUGAUUUUAAAAUCACACCCGUCUCUGCCAUGCGACUGCAUGGUUCAAGUGGCAUUAGCCACUUGAGUUUCGACACCUAUGUGUGCGGUUGCACCAUGCGACUGCAGUAAAAAAGUUUUUUUUUUUGGAAGGAAAAAAUAAUAAUAGGAAUAAAAUAAAAUAAAAACACGUUUGAUAUCCCCAAAAACCCGACUUUUGAUUAAAAUUUUGGUUUUCAAUUGAUGAAUUGACCCGGCUCUCAACGUCCCCAAUUAUUCAAAAGCAUACUUCUAAACAUUCUGGGACGUAUAUGGGUCUUAAACUUAGUACCCAAAACCAAAUUUUUGUAUUCAAAAUCAUACAUUGACAUGUGAAAUUUAGAAAACAAAAUUUACCUCAAAAUGCGUGAAUUCCACACCCAAUCACCCAAACUACUCCAAUCAUCCCGAACUCGUGUGUACAGUGCUUGGACUCUUUUAACACGUAUGGAUGAUCGAUGACCAUAUAAAAAGUACAAAAUGAAAUUGAAAAAAAAAUAAUUCCUAAUCUAAUGCAGAGAGCUUAAUAAAUUAAAUAAAAAUGAUACAGUGGGUUGCCUCCCACCCAGCGCUAGGUUAUAGUCGAUAGCUCGACUUCUCUGCAGCUGCUUCAUUUUGGCGUCUCAAGUUGAACGGUGAACUUUUGGUUGGAGAAGUCACCUCCCCAGUAGUGUUUCAGUCUUUGCCCAUUAACAGUGAAGGUACCCUGAGUCUCAUGGCUCACUUGUAUAGCCCCAUAUGGUAGGACCUUCGUGACAGUAUAAGGACCUGACCACCUUCAUCUUAGUUUUCCUGGGAAAAGCUUGAGUCUCAAGUUAUACAAUAGCACUUUCUGUCCCACUUCGAACUCUCGCCUCUGAAUAUGCAUGUUGUGCCACUUCUUGGUUCGUUCCUUGUAAAGUUUUGAAUUUUCAUAAGCUUCCACGCCUCUGAAUAUGCAUGUUGUGCCACUUCUUGGUUCGUUCCUUGUAAAGUUUUGAAUUUUCAUUCUAAACUCGUCUAACUCAUUAAGUUGCAGUAGGCGCUUUUCACCGGCGGCGCUCAAGUCCAUAUUUAACUGUUUCAUAGCCCAGUAUGCUCGGUGCUCCAUUUCUAGUGGCAGAUGGCACACUUUCCCAAAGACUAGGCGGUAUGGAGACAUGCCUAUCGGGGUCUUGAAUGCUGUUCUGUAAGCCCAUAAUACAUCGUCCAGCUUUUUAGACCAAUCCUUUCUAGAUGAGUUCACAGUGACCUCAAGUAUUCUCUUCAGCUGUGGAUUAGAUACCUCAACUUGCCUGCUGGUUUGUGGAUGAUAUGGAGUAGCAACGCGGUGUUUAACGUCAUAUUUAUUCAACAACUACUCAAACUGGCGAUUGUAGAAGUGCUUGUCCCCGUCGCUGAUUAUAGCCCGCGGUGUACUAUAUCGGGUGAAAAUGUAUUUCUUCAAGAACCCAAUUACUGCCUUUGAGUCAUUUGUUGGCAGUGCAACUGCUUUCACCCAUUUUGAUACGUAAUCCACUGCUACCAAGAUAUACUGAUUUGAGAACGAAGGGGGAAAAGGUCCCAUGAAGUCAAUUCUCCAAACAUUAAAUAUCUCCACUUCCAAAAUGUUAUUUAGUGGCAUUUCAUUCCUCCUUGAGAUAUUCCCAGUGUGUUGACAUCGGUCACACCUCUUGACAAACUCAAAUGUGUCUCUAAAUAGUGUAGCCCAGUAGAACCCUGAUUGUAGAAUCUUUGUAGCUGUUUUUGAAGCCCCAAAGUGCCCUGCGUAUGCAGAUGAAUGGCAGUGCUCGAGAAUCUCAUGUACUUCUUCCUCGGGUAUACAUCUCCUUACCAUCUGAUCAGCCCCUCACCUAUAGAGAAUUGGGUCCUCCCAAAAAUAAUACUUCAAUUCAGCGAAGAACUUUUUCCUUUGGUGACUCGAGUAGUCCGAUGGUGGGAUGGAACUGGCCAAGUAAUUGACGAUAUCUACAUACCAAGGUGCUUCAUCUACUCUCAACAUCUGCUCAUCUGGGAAGAUUCAUUGUUGUCCACUAAUUCUUCUGUCUCCCCAGGCUCUAAUCGGGAUAGGUGAUCUGCUACUACAUUCUCACUGCCCUUCUUGUCUCGUAUCUCGAUAUCGAAUUCUUGCAACAAUAGCACCCAAUGAAUCAACCUCGACUUUGCAUCCUUCUUUGUGAGUAGAUACUUCAAUGCAGCAUGAUCUGUGUAGAUGAUGACUUUAGACCCGACAAGGUAUGACCUGAAUUUGUCGAAUGCAUAUACUACAGCUAAUAGCUCCUUUUCAGUGGUGGCAUAAUUGAUUUGCGCUUUAUUUAAAGUCCUACUUGCAUAGUAAAUUACGUGAAAGAUUUUGUUCCUCCGCUGUCCUAAUACUGCACCCACGGCGUGAUCACUUGCAUUACACAUCAAUUCAAAAGGGAGUUCCUAGUCUGGUGCCACAAUUACUGGUGAUGUCGUAAGCUUUACCUUUAAAGUGUUGAAUGCUGUGAGGCAUUCUUCAUUAAACUCAAAGGUUACAUCUUUCAUUAGCAGAUUGCAUAACGAUUUAGUGACCUUUGAGAAAUCUUUUAUAAAUCUCCUGUAGAACCCCGCAUGCCCCAAGAAACUACGAACUCCUUUAACUGAUGUAGGCGGUGGUAACUUCUCAAUAACUUGAAUUUUUACCUUGUCCACCUCAUUUCCUUUUGCUGAGAUUCGAUGCCAGAGUACAAUGCCUUCUUGCACUAUAAAGUGGCAUUUCUCCCAAUUUAAAACCAGGCUAGUCUCCUUGCAUCUCUGUAAGACCAAAUUCAGGUGCUCUAGACAUUCAUCGAAUGAAGAUCCAAACACUGAGAAGUCGUCCAUGAAAACUUUAAUAAACCUUUCAAUCAUAUCGUAGAAUAUCGCCAUCAUACAUCUCUGAAAUGUGGCUGGAGCAUUGCAAAGACCAAAAGGCAUCCUACGAUAGGCAAAAGUACCAUAGGGACAGGUGAAAGUGGUCUUCUCCUGAUCUUCUGGUAUGAUAGGUAUCUGAUUAUAGCCCGAGUAUCCAUCAAGAAAACAGUAGUGUGAAUGUCCAGCCAGUCUCUCUAACAUCUGAUUAAUGAAUGGGAGGGAGAAAUGAUUCUUUCGUGUGGCUGCAUUGAGUUUAUGAUAGUCGAUGCAAACUCUCCAUCCCGUAACUGUUCUGGUAGGAAUUAAUUCAUUCUUCUCAUUUUUCACCACCGUGAUUCCUCCUUUUUCGGUACCACUUGAACUGGGCUAAUCCAUGCACUAUCUGAAAUUGGGUAGAUAAUUCCUGCAUCCAGUAAUUUCAGUAUCUCUGUCCUGACCACUUCCUUCAUGUUCAGAUUUAAUCUUCUCUGACCCUCUAUACUUGGCUUGCAAUUUUCCUCCAUUAGAAUUUUAUGCAUGCACAGAGAAGGGUUGAUUCGUUUAAUGUCUGCUAUUGUCCAUCCAAUCGCCGUCUUGUUCUCUCUGAGUACCAUGAGCAAUUUUUCUUCCUCCACCUCACUGACUGUAUUCGAAAUGAUUACUGGAAGUGUAUCUGACUCCCCCAAAUAUGCAUAUCUAAGAUGUGACGGUAGUUGCUUGAGUUCUAAAACUGGUGGCUGCUGAAUGGAAGGCAGUGACUUUGUAUUUCCCGUCCCCAGUUCCUCGAAGUGCCUCUUUCGAGUGUAUGGCGGGUUGGUCUCCAAAAAUCUUGCAUAUGUUUCAACUUCAAGAGACUCUGACGGGACUGAUUGGGAUUGUGCAAUACAUGCUUCAUAGGCAUCAGAUGGGCCGUGAAGUAAGAAUGUUUUUUGUACUGCCUUGUCAAUGAUGUCAACUUGGUAACAAUUAUCUGAUUCUGUUGGCAGUUUCAUGGCCUUGAAAACAUUGAACAAUAUCUGCUCCUCUUCCAAUUUUGAGAUCAACUGCCCCCUUUGAACAUCAAUUAACGUUCUCCCUGUUGCCAGAAAUGGUCUGCCAAGUAUCAAUGGGACGUCCUUGUCUUCUUCCAUGUCCAAGAUAAGAAAAUUCGCUGGGAAUAUGAACUUCUCAACCUUGAUAAGCAUAUCUUCAAUUAUUCCUCUGGGAUGUGUCAGUGACCUGUCAGCCAGCUGAAGUGUCAUAGUGGUUACUUUAGCUUCUCCCAAACCGAGUUUCCUGAAAAUAGACAGAGACAUUAAAUUAAUACUUGCACAGAGUUCACAUAAUGCUUUAUCGAAAUAUACUUCAUCGAUUUUGCAAGGAACAGUAAAACUUCUUGGAUCUUUUAGUUUUGGUGGGAGCUUAUUCUGGAUUCUGGCACUACAUUCCUCCAUAAGCAUAACUGUCUCAUGGUCUUCCAGAUUGCGUUUAUUUGAUAUGAUAUCCUUCAGAAAAUUUCGAGUAGCUAGGCAUCUGAAAUAGUGCAUCGGCUAGUGGGAUGAUGAUAUGGAGCUUUUUAAAGACUUCUAGAAAUUUUUUGUAUUGUUACUCCACUUUUUGCUUCUUCAAGCACUGUGGAAAGGAAAUCGGAGGCUCGUAGGGGUUGACUGUGACCUUGGCCUUAUCCUGUGACUCUUCUGAAUUUUCUUUGUACUUGAUUCCUUUGCAACAGUCUCUUCUUCAGCGGGGGAAGAUGUCUCUCCAGUCACACCCGAUCUCUUGACAUGGAUUUCAGGCAAUUGUACUCCACUUCGAGUUGUAAUGGCCCUGGCUUGCUCUUUAGGAUUGAUUUCUGUAUUACUUGGUAAGUUACCUAGCAUUCUGCCAGUCAAUGCGAUGGCUAGCUGCCCCAUCUGAGUUUCCAAAUUUUGGUUGGCUGCAUUUUGAUUUUGAAGUGUAGCUUCGGUUUUCUCCAUGAAUUUUCCUAUCAUAUCUUCCAAUUGAGGCCUCUUCUCUUGUUGUUGAAAUUGCCCCUGUGGCUUAUUCUGAUUCUGGUUGCUCCAAGAGAAGUUGGGAUGCUUCUUCCAGCUGGGAUUGAAAGUCUCUCCAUAUUGAUUGUGUUGCAGGCGUUGUCCCUACUGUGCGUAGUCUGCUUGCUCAAUUCCUUGCAUGAGUAUUGGGCAAUCUGAUGUUUUGUGCUCGGCUCCACAUUCCUCACAAUUGCUCUUCUUAGUUUGUGAUGCUUGUGAUAUGCUUUCCACCUUGUGAUACAGAGAGUCAAUUUUUGCAGAUAUUGCUGAAUAAGCGUCCACGUCGUAGACACCUGGAGUUUUCUUUGGGAUAGCCCUCUCAGAAGACCACAUGGCUGAUGUGGUAGCCAUACGCUCAAAUAAUUCCAAUACCCCAUCAACUGUUCGUGUGGAUAUUGGGCCAUCUGAUGCUGAAUCCACCAUGUUUUUAUGGUAUGGAAGUAAUCCUGUGUAGAAGAAUCGGAUUUGGGUCUUUUUAUCGAACCCAUGCUGAGGGCACUUCCGGAGCAUUUUUUGAAUCUGUUCCAUGCUUCGCCAAAUGAUUCAUUUUCUCCUUGAUUGAAUACUGAUAUGUCAUGUCUCAGCUUUGCUAUCUUGGCCGGGGAGAAAAACUUUGUACAGAAUUUGUGUGCCAGCUCAUUCCAUGUAGUGAUACUUGCAACCGGGAGUGAAUCCAACCAUUCAAGUGCUCUGUCUCCUAACGUAUGUGGAAAAAGCCUUAACCUAAUAGCGUCAUCCGAAAUCCCUUGGUAUCUGAAAUGUUGACACAAAACCAUCCAUUCUGGUUCUAUAUUUGUUCGAAUAAAAUGCUUAGCCAAUUCCAUGCGUCUAACUAAAAAAUCCUUUCUUCUUCCAACCUUUUGAUCUUCCCAUUCAUUUCCUGUGGGUCCUUCUUCCCCUAAUUCUUUCCAUUCUACCAACGAAUUAUCUAGAAUAAUUCGUAAAUCUAGAUCGGCUAAUUGUUCUCGGCCUUCCUCGUCAUUAAUAUGUUUGCUCGCGGCAAUUGUGAACUCUUGGGAGAAUUCUCAGAUGUACUAGCACUGCAUCAAACCCAGCGUUUACCGUGGGCACGAUAACUGGUACACCAGAGGUGCGUCCUUCCCGGUCCUCUCGUACUAGAGAAAGGUCCUCUCAAUGCUCUAAGACCCACACCAGAUAUGGACCGAACUGUCUCACGACGUUCUGAACCCAGCUCACGUACUGCUUUAAUGGGCGAACAGCCCAACCCUUGGAACAUACUACAGCCCCAGGUGGUGAAGAGCCUAGAGAUAGGGGACAUAACUCACAUGGAUAUAGUAAGUCUCGCUUGGGCUGCUUUAAUGGUAGUCUUUACAUUUUCCCUUUCACUCGUAGUGUGGGGAAGAAGUGGACUUUAGAAGUACUACUAAUUAAGUUGAGGAAUCAAACUGUAUCAAUUAUUUUAUAGAUCGUUCUGCAACGCGUUUUGAACUAUUUAAAAUCAAAAUAUCUUAAUUUCCAAUUCCAUUGGACAUCUAUUACCAAAAACAAGUCAUUUAUUGAUAUUAUUAGGAGGGCCGUGCAGAUCUAGUCUAGUCUCACUUUCGCUUCACAAGGAUCAAGAUCAAAUAAACACGCAUUCUCGUUCCAUAUUUUGGACCUUAGCUCCAUGGAACAAUAUGUUACUGCUGAAACAGAAACACGAAAGAAUUGAAAUCUUAGAUCAAAACACUAUGUAUGUCCGAGAUCUACAUCUAUGAAUUGAAAGGUCCGAAUGAUCAACUCUGCAAUCAGUUGUUAGAAUCAAUAGGUCUUCAAAUUGUUCAUUUGAAAAAAUGGAAACCCUUCUUAUUGGAUGAUCAUGAUACUUCCCGAAAAUCUAAAUUCUUGAUCAAUGGAGGAACAAUAUCACCCUUUUUGUUCAAUAAGAUCCCAAAGUGGAUGAUUGACUCAUUCCAGGCUUAAGAAAAAAAGGGAUUCCUUGAUAUUGAAGAAAUGAUUUUAAUUUAUACAAGUUAAUAACUUGGGUUUGUGAUAAUUUGUAAAAUACAUAUGCCUGUGAUAAGUACGAUAAGUCAUAAAAAAUAUGUGAAUUUGUCUCGAGGUAUAAUGACAGACCGAGAGGCUCGACUCGAAGGAAUCGGCAGAGAAAUUUUGUGUUAUAUAUGGUAAUCCUUUUAAUAUCCAAAUUGGAUCCGAAACUUCUUCCUAUUUCUAAAAUAAAGAAAAGGGACGAGUUGUCUAAUAUCGUUCCUCCUCCAUUAGUUGAUACUUCAAGGAGGCUUUACCUGGAAUGAAAGAACAAAAAUGGAUUCACAUAUCUAGAAAUCGAGAUACGUGUGUGUGUGGAUUCUCCUCGGCUUUGCCAUAGAAUUGGUGUCCAUUUUGAAACAGCUGUAUUACAUUGGUCUUCAAUUGAAAAUUGGGCUGCCCAAACAGUGGAUAUACAAUGCCGCAAAUCUGAGAAUUAAAACCAGUACGAGCAUUGAGAUUCAAACAAUUUAAAUAACUAAAACACAAAUAAAGGAUAAUAACCUAAAAUAAAAAUAAAAACAAAAACAAAAUUAUACUAGCAAAAUAAAAAUUGAGUUCGAAUUAGUGCCUCGAGAAAUAAAAUUAAACUAAACUCAAUCCCCGGCAACGGCGCCAAAAACUUGUUCACGAAAUUAUUUCUUUCGAUUUUAAACCACCGCAAGUGUACGGUUCGUUAACAAGUAAUAAAGUGGAUCAAUGAGUCCAAAUAUCGUCCCAUGGAGAUUGAUUAGUUCAAAUUUUAUCUAACGUAGCCUUAACCGAAAUUGGAUUGUCAAAGUGGAUAUGGACUUAAUUAAAAACUCUAAUUUCAAGAAGAAACCAUAGUUUCGCAAAUUUAAUGAGUAAAUUGAAACUAAAACUCAAAACAAUAUUUUUACACUCUAGAAAUAAACUAAAAGUCAAGAACGCACGUUGUUAUAAUCAAUAGAGAUUAAAUACGCUAGGAUCACGAAUUCUCAUGCAAUUGUCACUUUAAACCCUAGUUUCACAAUAUGACAACACACUCAAUUGUGACGAAUCAAUGUUCCUAAGUCUAUCCAAUACUCUCUCUCGAGAUGUAUCAAACCUAUUUCUACAUAUCACCGGUCUAUAUUUCUAUGACAAGAGCAUAUGUAAAAAUGCAUACGAUUUUAUGAACACUUAAAGAUUCACGUAAGACAUAGCGAUAUAUUUCUAUCCACUAUCGGACCCUACGAUGAUUUAGAUUAUGUCAAAUCUAUUCCAAUUCUCUCGAAUGCAAGAAUAAAUCACUUAAACUCACACAAUUACGAGCCCUUAAUUGCAGAAACAUUAAUUGCAUAUAAAUCAUUCAAAACAAUAAAAAUUGUGUCUUAACUUCAAAUUGCAAAAUGAGGAUUUUAAAAUUCAAAUCACAUGGUUCAUCGAUCUCCUAGCAUAAUAAAAAUCUAGUCCAGCAUAGUUAAAAUAACAAAAUACACCAUGUUUUGAAUAAAAGACAUCACCUGAUUAUGAAAUCUUGAAGUUCUUCGUGCCAAUCCUUGUUCUUGCGCUCAAAUCCUCCAAGAAGUGUUUUUUGGCCUCCAAUUACGUUCUGGUCGUCUCUGGAAUGUUUUUGAUAUUUAUAUCUCGUGGGAAAUUAGGUUACCAAAGGUGUUUCAAUCGUAUAAGGAAAGAAAAAAAUCGUGCCGAAAACGUACCAUGCGACCACAUGGUUUUAAUCCCUACGGCCGCAUGGUUAUUUCGUAUUUCCACUUGAAUUCCCCGCAUCCAUUCGUGCGGCCGCACGAGAGUUCUACCAUGCGACCGCAUGGUAGAAUUCAACUUUCAUUUUCAACAAAUUGGUCCCUCUACUUGAAUCUUCCACUUCUUUGCAUUUUUUCUUCAUUCUUCACAUUCCAUCAUCCCAAAAUGUCAUCAAUUUGUAUUUGGCAAACUCAAUUUCUUGAUUUGUUCAUCGGGUCAACUUUUGGGUAAUUGCACCUUGGUCCUUGAACUUUCACUUUGUGUCAUUUUAGUCAUUUUUUACUUCUUUUCUCAUGUAUUUCACCAUGUUCAUCGGUGUUACCUACAAUUCACAAAUGUAACGAAAUUAAGUCACAAUUCAAUCAUUUUAUUCGCAAUUAAGUCAUGUUGUGACCUAAAUAAGUGUUCAAAAACACACUUAUCAACUUCAACUUGGCUGGGCCUGCUUGGUAGCUCAACAAUGGGUGCCUCAACCUCUGGUGCUGUAAUUGUAGAAAAAUUAUUUGCAGAUACCUUUUAGAAUAACAAUUAAAAUGCAAAAAGUAAAAAAGACUAAUCAAUUGAUCGAGAUUCAUGACAGUACGUCUUAAACUGAAAUUGUUCAUUAUUAACUGUUGUGAUUUAUUUGGACAAUCUCUGGCAAUAUAACGAUCGAAUCACAAUAACAAGAGCUGUCCAAAAACUCAAGUUUUACUCCAAGACUAUGCCCUAUCUGGAGCUGCUUCUUCAACAAAUUUUAAGCAAAAUAGAGCCAUUAUCUUUGACCGCUAUCUCAACAAAGUUAUUAUAAACUAAAAUUUUCAUAAAGUGCAUAAGAUAAUUUUUGUAUAAUUUCCAAGAAAACGAAGGGUAUAUAUAGCCCACAAAAAAUAACUUACAAUGAUAAUUCAAAAUUAAUAAAAUAAAAUAAAAUAACUGCAGGUUUAAUUAUUCUCUUUAGAAUUUAAAUCACUCCAUAAGUGCCUCUAAUAAUUUGUUUUAAUGGAUAUAUAUAUCAAACUGUCUCUAAAUAUUUAAUUUUACUGGGUAGUUUUUAACAGAAAUAAAUUUGGAAAUAACUUAAAUAAACAAUAACAAUAAGAUAUUUAUUAUACAAAAUCCAAGAAGUCCAAGAUCCAAUUAUAAACUUAUAAAUACUCACUUGAAGUAUGUUUUGAAUUAUAGAUCUCUCACGUAAAUUCCACUCGUUUUAUCAAUCGACCAACUAUCUCAAUUCAAUUAUUUCUUCCAAAUUAAAUUAUGAUAUACAUUCAACGGUGGCUGGCUUGUUUAUAACCACAAGUAUCCGAGAAUACGCAUGAACCUGACCGAUCAGCCCUUGCCGGAUCUUUUUCUAGUUCUGGAUCCGUUUCAUAUCUCGAACUCACUGCUUUAUCCGUCUUUAGUCUUCUUCUAACCGCUGAACUGGAAAGAUAUCAAAAAAACCAACAUUAUACAGUUAAUUGGUAUCAGUUUGUGUUAAUUUCUACAUAAAUGGUAGAUAGAAUUUGAUAACAUUUCAACAUGGUGCACGUAACAGUUGAUCAGCUAUAGUACUUCAGUACUUGAUCAUAUAUGGAAAUUCUGCGAAUGCUGAUUAUUCCAUGCAGGCUCGGGUGAUACUGCCCAAAAAGAACUUUCUAAAAUGCUUUUAAGAACGCCCAAACAAGCUCUCAAUUUGUUCUGUGCUAUGCUGCAUACUUGCAUGGAAAGUGUUAGCGAAGGUGAUGGUUUUUCUUGUUGUGAUGAGAUUAGAUUAGAUGGGUUAAUAUGUUUUGUAUGUGAUAAUUCUGGAGGUAGAAAAUAAUUGGCUUUUUGUUGGAAGUUAGUAGUAUGAAGGAUUUUGAUAGAAAGUAAUUUAGCAGACAAGGUGGAUAGGAGAAAGGAACUUUAUUAGAAUGAUAAUGUCUUAAUUUUGGCUUGCGUUGGCUUACAAUGGCUUUUACUUGCUUACAAAUGAGAGAUUCAUGCUCUAUUUAUAGACCAUAGCUUACAUCAAUUUGUGGCUAAUAUGAUUUUUCUUCUAGAUAAUUCUACAUGUGCCUAAAAUACAAACCACACAAACGUUCUUGGUGCCCAAGUUUCUCUAGUGAAUUUUAGAUAAUUCUGAUUUUUUAUUAUUCUUGCUUGCCAAGUAAUUCUAGGAUAUUUUUGCCAAGCAAUUCUAGGAUCUUCUAGAAAGUUUCUAAAAUAUGCAGCAACCAUCAAUACUCCUCAUUGAUGCAUAUUUUGGUAACUCCAAUCAUUUCUCGUAGUAUUUCAAAUUGUGAAUAAAUCUGCUAAUUGUUCUUCAGUAUUGCAAUGUUUGACCUCUAUCUCUUUAUUUGCUUCAGCUUCUAUGAUAAAAUGGUACUUGAUGUUAAUGUGUUUGGUUCUGUUGUGGAAUAUGGGAUUCUUGGCCCUUGCUAUUGCUGACUUGCUAUCGCAGUAGAUCUUUGUUGCUUUAUUUUUUGGUUCUCCCAUAUCUUCAAGUAUAUGUUUUGACCAUAUAGCUUGACUGGUUGCCAUUGCUGCUGCAAUAUACUCUGCUUCAACUGAUGAUUGUGCAACCGUUGCCUAUUCUUUGCUGCCCAAGAGAAUAUUUCGGAACCUAGUGUGAAUGCGUAGCCUAAUGUACUCUUCAGAUCAUCUACUGAUCCUGCCCAAUCGCUAUCAGUAUACCCAAGUAGUCUUGAGUCGGGCUUCCAUAGUCUUUUGUUCCUUGGAGGUAUCUUAGUAUCUGCUUUGUAGCUCCAUAGUGAACUUGACUUGGAUUUACAUUAAUCUUGAAAGUAGGCUAGUUGCAUACAUUAUGUCUGGCCUUGUAGCUGUGAGAUAGAGCAAACUUCCAAUUAAGCUUAGAAAUUGUGAGUUGUCUGAUUUUGGACUACCAUCUUCUUUUCUGGGAGAUUUAUGCUAUCUAAGGGUGUUGCUACUGUUUUGCAACCUUCCAUCUUGAACUUCUUUAAUAGAUUAGUGGUAUACUUCUUCUGAGCAAUGAAAAUCCCAUCUUCAGAUUGCAUUAAUGUAAUACCUUAAUUUGGUUAUAAAAAAAAAAGGGUCAAACAUAUCAUGCAAAAAAUAAUAAUAAUAAUAAUAAACAUAUAAAACAAAUGGGCAGGCGGUUAGCCCAAAACAAAUCCAUUUCUAUUAUUAGGAAGAGAAAAGAGAAAGGAAAAAGAAAAAAAAAAGGAUGAAGAAGAAGAAAAAAAAAGAAAUUUUUUGUUAACGUGUUAGGAAUUAAGUGGUCUACAUUAUUAGGCUUGAAUUCCUCAAUUUUGAAAGGUAAGUAAAAAGUUAUUUAUUGUUAAGUUAUGUUUGAUUUUAUAGUUGUUAGAUUGUUAAACUAAAUUCAAUUUUAUUGAAGGGGUUAAGUAUAAUAAACUAUGAAAUUGAGUAAAGUGAAAGAAAAAUUAGUUUUAUUGAUUAAAGAGACCGUGAAAAUCGCUUAAACGUGAAAUGAUUAAGUUUGGGUAUCGCCUAUUUAAUUAUUGAAAUUAUUUAAAAUAAUUAAUUGUUUAUUUAAAAAUCAUAUCGUAUUCCAGGCGGCGAUACGGAUAUCAGGACAACAUACCAAAUGGAUUGAUUUUGCGAACGUAGUACUGUGAGUGGAAAAAUAUAAAUAUUUUUAAAGUAUUUAUAAAUUAAGUUUAUUGUUAAAGUAUGUGCAAUUAUAUGCAAUUAUGUGUUCAAAUUACAUGAUUUUUAUGAAAAUAUCUUUUAUUAUGAUACAUGUAGGAUUUCAAAGAUUAUAUACGUUACAUUGUAAAUUGGAAUAUGAGAUAUGAUUUUUUGAUCGACCAGAAAAGUACCCGUGAUUAUAUAUUUCUUCUAGUUCACUGAGGGGUCUUGGCCGUGUUCUAUACUACACUGAGGGGUCAUGGACCGGGGAUGAAGGGGUCUCGACCGUGUACAUAUAGUUCACAGAGGGGCCUUUGCCGUGUUCUAGAAUUGAUUUUGAUAGGUCUUUGAGACCGGCUUUCGUUCACGGAGGGGCCAAAGGCCCAUGGCGAAAGUUCUUAGCCCGAGGGGCGGAUUACAUAUUUCAGUCAGAGGGUACAUUUUUGGUGGAUUUUUCAGCACGUUUGAUAUGAUGAGAUUAUAACAUGGUUAUCAGCUGAUGUUAUAUCAUGAUUUUAAAAUGAUAUUUUUAUGACAUUAUGUGAAUAUUUCACUUUUUGGCUAUAAUUACAUGAUGAUAGCUUGUGAAUUAUCAAAUGGUAUGAAUUUGAUUUUCAAUAAAAAUGUAUAAAUGAAAAAGAAUAUUUAUUUUGAACUUCUCCACUCACUGAGCUAUCAACUCAUAUAUUUUUCCACGAUUUUUCGUACAGGUGAAAAUUAAUCAUUAUUAGCUGGAAGAGCCUAAUGAUUUCGAAAUAAGAGCCACACGACAUGUUGAGUGUUAUAACUCAUUUUGAUGAAGCACAAAGUAAAUAUUUUGGGCCCAUCGCAUUAUAUUUUACAUAAGCAAUUGAUUUUGUUGCAUCUUUUUGAAAUAACUCAUAGUCAGCCUUGGUGGUAGAUUUGACAUCUAGUCAGCAUCUAUCAUCGGCGCACGUCACAUUUCGGGUCCACUAGGGUGAUUCGGGACGGGUCGUGUCAAAAUGGUAUCAGAGCAUGGUUUCAAAAAUUUUUAUAGUUCAUGCAUGUUCAGUUGGUAUGUUCACAUGUCGUGGUGGCAGAAAUCACAAGCUCUCUAGCUCAAAUGUGUGGAACCAAACAAAUGAUAGAAAAUUAUUUUUUUAACAGAUCCAGAAGAGACUAGAAUGUAAAUAUGAUAGUUGCAAUGAUCCGAUUGGUGGAAAAAGAUUGAUUAGCAUAUUUCAUAUAUAUGCAUGUAUGGCUAAAGAAAUGGAAUGAGACCAUGGAAUUAAGGAAUAAGAAAAGGAGAAAAAGCAAUGAAUGGCAGAGUUGAAAUUUAUUGAGAUUUGGAAUUGACAUAUGAAAUUUUGGUAGUAUAUUGGUUUGUGAAAGAUUCACGUGAUAAAUAUGAAGAUUAUUAUUUUGUGAUCUUAAGGAAAAUUGAUAUAAUUAAAAGUUAGAAGGCAUAUGAUAUAGCCAUAAGUAUGUGAUGAGGUUAUAUGAUUACAACAUAAUAUGGUGAGUAUGUAAAUAAACGUAAUGGUUGUCCUAUAGCAAAAUAAUGUGAUGAUUGAUUUGGUUAUUAAAUUAAUUAAUUUCGUUAAGGACAUUCGUUAGAUUAUUGUGUUAUAUUCCAUACAAUUUGGAAGCGUUGAGUUAAAUUUUGAAGUUAAGAUGAAUUUAAUGAAUUUUUAGUGAUGUAAUUUUUGGGUGAUUUCAAUUGUAUUUUUGGAUUUCACGUAUAAAGUAUUUCAUUUUUAUUGAGAUCUAUUUGUUAUGGAAUAUAUGGAUGAUAUGUCGAAUAGUUUGAAGUUUAGGGUGAUCAUUGAAUGUAAAUUUUAUUCAAUUGUGGGACAGUAUCUUUGUGUUAUAAUCUUAGUUAAAUGUCUUUAUGCGAUAUACAAGAAGGAUUAUGCAGUGAUGAUAGAUCAAUGACCCAUUUAUGGAAUAAGAGUAUAGAUUUUCAUGAAUAAAUGUUAUUAUUUUCUCUUCAUAGAAAGAAAGAACAAAAUUUAUAUGGGUAUAGAAAUAUCAAAAGUUUGCUAAUAAGAAAUUCUGAGGAAAUAUUUGCUCUUAUAUCUAAAGAUGAUAAGUGAUUGAUUCACGAUAAUGAUUUAUGUUAAGGUUUAGAAAGUAUUCUGAAGUAAACUUAUAAAUUAUAUAUGAAACUUUAGAUUGUUGAAGAGUCAUGAUUAAAACAUGAUUUGGAGUUGGUUAUAUCGGGAUUUUGUCAUCACAUUGUGAGAAAUAUCAAUAUUUAUCAAUCAUCAGACUUUAAGGUAUAUUUUAUUCGAAAUGGUGGAAAUGAAAAUUGUGUAUAUAUUAUCAUUUGGUGAUAUAGAAUUAAAGGAAAAGAACACCAUAUUGAACUAUUUCAAUUGUUUUGUUGGGGAUAACUAGAAUUUUAGAAAAUCAUGAACAAUUGAAUUUUUGGAGAUAUUGUCAAUUUAGAAUGGAGGUAGUUACCGUUAAAGUAUUCUUUUUUUUUUUUUUGGAUUCCAAAUACACGGAAUGGAGACAAAAUAGUAUCUAAAUCCUUGUGGAUAGAUUGAUAAAGGUUACAAGAUUCUUUUUAAAUCAUAUAGUCAGUUCAUAGGAUAGACUUACAAAAUUAUAUUUAGACAAUAUUGUUAAUUACAUGGUGGAAUUGGAGUAUUUAUCUUUGGUUAGUUGUAAGAAGUUAUGUAAUUAAAUUUCACUAUGCAUUUUCUUUUGAUAGAAUAUCAGAUAUUAUGAAGAUAAGUUUAAAAGAGAGACUAUCAACUAGUUUGUUAAUCAAAGAGGACUCUGAUGAUUACCUAUUCUUCAUGGAAUUGACCUAUAAAAAUUAGACAUAAGUGACGACAAUUGAGGUUAUAUAUAAUAUUGAAAUAUUCCAAGGAAGCAUGACGAAAUGGCCGAAAGAAUGUUGUUCGAUCUUAAUAUGUAACCAUUGUUAUAGAAAAAGAAUGUAAACGUGAGGUGAAGAUUUGGAGAACAUGAAAAGUAGUACUUGAACUUCAAAUUGGAAAAAUAAUAGAGUUUUCCUAAGGUUUGGAAAAAAUAAAUAAAUAAAGGCUGAGAAUACCAUAUAUUGGCUCUUACGAAGUUAUUAAAACUAUGAUGGGAAAGAUUAAAUUUUGGUACUAAAUGUUUGUUGGAGAAAUCAUUCAAUAAAAGAGGCAUUAUGGGUAGCGAAAGUUAAAUGUGAGUUCUAUAUCCUUACGUGUUGGACCUCUAGCUAAUUGAAUUUCGAGGAUGAAAUUCUUUUAAGGGGGUGAGUUUUUGUAAUACCUUAAUUUGGUUAUUAAAAAAAAAGGGUCAAACAUAACAUGCAAAAAAAAAAAAUAAAAAAAAAAUAAACAUAUAAAACAAAUGGGCAGGCGGUUAGCCCAAAACAAAUCCAUUUCUAUUAUAUUAUAUUAUAUAUAUAUAUAUAUAGGUAAUCCAAAUCCAUUUCACCACAAAAAACACGUAAAGAGAGAGAGAGAAAAUGAACCCGAGAGAAAAGGAAGAGAAAAGAGAAAGGAAAAAGAAAAAAAAAAGGAUGAAGAAGAAGAAGAAAAAAAAUAGAAAAUUUUAGUCAACGUGUUAGGAAUUAAGUGGUCUACAUUAUUAGGCUUGAAUUCCUCAAUUUUGAAAGGUAAGUAAAAAGUUACUUAUUGUUAAGUUAUGUUUGAUUUUAUAGUUGUUAGAUUGUUAAACUAAAUUCAAUUUUAUUGAAGGGGUUAAGUAUAAUAAACUAUGAAAUUGAGUAAAGUGAAAGAAAAAUUAGUUUUAUUGAUUAAAGAGACCGUGAAAAUCGCUUAAACGUGAAAUGAUUAAGUUUGGGUAUCGCCUAUUUAAUUAUUGAAAUUAUUUAAAAUAAUUAAUUGUUUAUUUAAAAAUCAUAUCGUAUUCUAGGCGGCGAUACGGAUAUCAGGACAACUUACCAUAUGGAUUGAUUUUGCGAACGUAGUACUGUGAGUGGAAAAAUAUAAAUAUUUUUAAAGUAUUUAUAAAUUAAGUUUAUUGUUAAAGUAUGUGCAAUUAUAUGCAAUUAUGUGUUCAAAUUACAUGGUUUUUAUGAAAAUAUCUUUUAUUAUGAUACAUGUAGGAUUUCAAAGAUUAUACACGUUACAUUGUAAAUUGGAAUAUGAGAUAUGAUUUUUUGAUCGACCAGAAAAGUACCCGUGAUUAUAUAUUUCUUCUAGUUCACUGAGGGGUCUUGGCCGUGUUCUAUACUACACUGAGGGGUCAUGGACCGGGGAUGAAGGGGUCUCGACCGUGUACAUAUAGUUCACAGAGGGGCCUUUGCCGUGUUCUAGAAUUGAUUUUGAUAGGUCUUUGAGACCGGCUUUCGUUCACGGAGGGGCCAAAGGCCCAUGGCGAAAGUUCUUAGCCCGAGGGGCGGAUUACAUAUUUCAGUCAGAGGGUACAUUUUUGGUGGAUUUUUCAGCACGUUUGAUAUGAUGAGAUUAUAACAUGGUUAUCAGCUGAUGUUAUAUCAUGAUUUUAAAAUGAUAUUUUUAUGACAUUAUGUGAAUAUUUCACUUUUUGGCUAUAAUUACAUGAUGAUAGCUUGUGAAUUAUCAAUGGUAUGAAUUUGAUUUUCAAUAAAAAUGUAUAAAUGAAAAAGAAUAUUUAUUUUGAACUUCUCCACUCACUGAGCUAUCAACUCAUAUAUUUUUCCACGAUUUUUCAUACAGGUGAAAAUUAAUCAUUCUUAGCUGGAAGAGCCUAAUGAUUUCGAAAUAAGAGCCACACGACAUGUUGAGUGUUAUAACUCAUUUUGAUGAAGCACAAAGUAAAUAUUUUGGGCCCAUCGCAUUAUAUUUUACAUAAGCAAUUGAUUUUGUUGCAUCUUUUUGAAAUAACUCAUAGUCAGCCUUGGUGGUAGAUUUGACAUCUAGUCAGCGUCUAUCAUCGACGCACGUCACGUUUCGGGUCCACUAGGGUGAUUCGGGACGGGUCGUGUCAAUUAAUCCCAGAUCAAUCAUCUUGAAUGUUUUCAUCAUAUCUUCUUUGAAUUUCUCGGUCAUCUUCUCAUCGUUCCUUGUAUAGAUGAGAUCAUCAAUAUAUAAAGAGAUUAUACAGGUACUGCUUGUACCUUGAUUUUUUAUGUAUAGAGUUGGUUCACUUUGGCUCUUCCUGAAUCCUUGCUCAGUGAAGUAAUUUUCUAUUCUAUUAUACCAUGCUCAUGGAGCUUGUUUUAAUCCGUAUAGGGCAUUCUCGAGUUUGAGAACUUUAUCUUAUUUUCCUCAUACCAUGUAACCUUGAGGUUGCUCUAUAUAAAUUUCUUCUUCAAGAUAGCCAUUAAAAAAUGCUGAUUUGACGUCUAGCUGGUAAAUCUUCCACUUUUUCUGUGCAGCUAGUGUAAUCAACACCUUUAUAGUGUCAAGACAUGCAACUGGAGCAAAUGUCUCAGUGUAGUCGAUGCCAAAAUGUUGUGAGUAUCAUUUGGCGACUAGCCUUACUUUAUGUUUUUGGAUUGAGCCAUCAGCAUUGAGCUUUGUCUUGUAGACUCACUUAACUCCAAUGACUUUUUUGUCUUGAGGAAGAUCUACAAGUUUCCAAGUGUUGUUUUUCUCAAUCAUUUUUAUGUCUUCAUCCAUAGCAUUUUUCCAUUUUGGUUGUUUUGAAGCUGCUUCAUAGCUUUCAGGUUCAACGAUCGUCAAGUUGCAGCUUUGAUAUAUUUCUGAUAAUUUUCACGUCUUUCUUGAUGACGAUUCUGGUGUGUCAACUGGUUCUUCUAUUGUUGCUUGCUGUGGGGACUCUAGUUGAUUGUUUUCCUCAACGUCACCCUCCUAUUUUUGUAGUUGUGUAAGGAUGCUGAUAGCUUUUCUCUUGACUUGACCAGUCUCUCAGUUAUAGGUGGCAUCUUAUCAAACUUAACAUCUCGACUUAUAAUCAACUUCUUUGUUCUUAGGUUAUAUACUCGAUAACCUUUUGAUUGGGUAUUAUAACCUAAGAAGAUUCAUUUUUAUGUUUUUUCAUCUAGCUUACUUCUUUUCUCCUGUGGAAUGUGUGUGUAGCAAACACUGCCAAAAACUCUGAGAUGUUUGGCUGAUGGUUUUCGUGGCUCCAUGCUUCCAUUGGUGUUUUGUCUUGCACAGCUUUAGUCAAACAUCGAUUUAGUAGGUAGACUAUAGUGCUUACUGCUUCUGCCCAGAAAAUUUUUGGAAGACUUUUCUCCAUUAGCAUAGCUCUAGCUGCCUCCAUUACUGUUUUAUUCUUUCUUUCUGACACGCCAUUUUGUUCAGACGCGUAUCCAACUAUGAGUUGAUGCUCCAUUCUUUCAUCUUCACAAAACUUGUUGAAUUCAUUUGAUGUAUAUUCUUUGGCUCUGUCGCUUCUGAUAGCUUUGAUUUGCAACCACUUUGCUUUUCGACGUAACUUUUGAACCUUUUAAAAAUUUCAGUACUUGGAAUUUUUCACGUAAGAAAUAUACUUAUGUCAUUCUAGUGUAAUUAUCAAUGAAGAGAAUGAAGUACCUGUUUUGCUCAUGUGAUGGAAUACGCAUCGGACCGCAUAUAUAUGUAUGUAUCAGCUCUAAUGGCUUUUUAGCUCUCCAGAUUUUAUGGACGGAAAUGGUUGGCGGUGUUGUUUCGGGAGCAAACAUCCUUCCCAAACUGCAUCAAUCUCUUUUAUGAUUGGUAAGUCUCUCAUCAUGCUCUUUUGCUGCAGGAUCUUUAACUCGUGGAAGUGGAAAUGUCCAAAUUUUUUAUGCCACCGCCACGACUCGUCCACUUGUGCCAUCAAUACCGCAUUGUUUUCAUAUCUCCAUUGGAUUGGAAAGCAUCAGUUCUCCUGCUUUUUGACUUUUGCAAUUACAAAAGAUUCAUCUUUCUUGUCAUAGAUCUUGCAAGAAUCUCCUUCAAAACGUAAUGUAUAUCAUUUCUCCAUCAUUUGACCUACACUUAAUAGAUUUUGAUCUAUUGUAGGGACUAUAAGAACUUUAUUGAUGUAUCUCUUGCCAUUUUUUGUGUCAAUAGCAAUAGUGCCUAUACAUGUCGCCUUUAUAAAAUUUUCAUUGCCAAUCUUGAUUUUUGCCUUGAUUUUAUCAAGACUAUAGAAAAUACUUUCGUCUUUCGUCAUAUGAUUACUACAACCACUAUCUAGAUACCAUGUAUCGAGUUCGUCAUCAGAUGCAUCUUUGCUAGUGGUGUAAAAUAAACUUCCUUCUAUAUCUUUUUUCAGAGAAAUUAGCUUCAUGAUUUUGUUUAGAACGACAAAAUUUUUCGUCAUGACCAAAUUUUUUACAGUGACGACACUAUGGUUUUCCUUUAAACCAACAGUCCUUCUUCAAAUGACUUUUUCUUUUACAUAUACCACAUGAAGGAUACUUGCUGCUUUUAUCAAAUUAUUUUUCUUGAGUUUCUUUAUUUUUACAAUUUUCUCCCACCUUCUUUAAAUUUCUAAAACAGCAUAUUAACUUUAGAUUGGAAUGCGUUUUCCGUGUUAAUCUCAUAAUGCAUUUCUAAUCUUUUUUCAUGUGAUUCUAAUGAACCUAUUAUUCUGCAGCUAUCAAUUUAUUUAUAUCUUUUGACUCAUCAAUAACUUUCGUGCAAGUAAUUAAAAUUUUUCCAACGACUUUCUUUUGCCGAAUAUCAUCUCCAUAAGAUCUUAAUUGAUUUAAUAUUUCAUCUAUUCUUGAAUAAUAAUCUUUCGUGAUUUUAGAAUCUUUCAUUUUUAAAUUUUCAAAAUUCCUUCUUAAUGUUUGAAGAUGGCAAGUACGUACUUUGUCACUGCUGUGAAACUCCUCCUUCAGCUUAUUCCAAGCUUCUUUUGCCGUUUUGGCUCCAACGAUUUGUGGAAAAUAAGUGUCCGUCAAACUCAUUUACAGAGCUAGUAGUGCUAGAGAAUCUUUUUGUUGAUUCUCUUUAAGUUCCUUCUUUUGUGUGGUAGACAGAGUGGAAAUGUCAUCUGGGUUAAUAUACCCGUCAUUGACGACAUCCCAUAAAUUUUGUGCACAAAAGUAGGUCUUAAUUUUGAUGGACCAAAAGUCAUAGUUGUCUCCAUUAAAUGUUGGAAUAGGGAUGGGUGAACGGAAAGCGUUUGCCAUAAUAUCUGAUUACGCCCAAUAUCAAUCGAACGUAGCUUUGAUACCACUGAUGGUUUUUCUUGUAGUGAUGAGAUUAGAUUAGAUGGUUUAAUAUGUUUUGUAUGAGAUAAUUUUGCAGGUAGAAAAUAGUUGGCUUUUUGUUGGAGCUAGUAGUAUGGAAGAUUUUGACAGGAAGUAAUUUAACAGACAAGGUGGGUAGGAGAAAUGAACUUUAUUAAAAUGAUAAUGCCUUCGUUUUGGCUUACAAUGGCUUUUGCUUGCUUACAAAUGAAAGACUCAUGCUAUAUUUAUAGACCAUAGUUUACAUCAAUUUGUGGCUAAUGUGAUUUCUUCUAGGUAAUUCUACAUGUGCCUAAAAUACAAACCACGCAAACCUUUUUGGUGCCCAAAUUUCUCUAGUGAAUUCUAGAUAAUUUUGAUUUUUUUCUAGGAUAUUCUUGUCAAGCAAUUCUAGGAUCUUCUAGAAAUUCCUAAAAUAUGCAUCAACCAUCAACAGAAGGCAGUGAAUUUAUAGCUGUUUUGAGGGGAAAAUUGCAAUAUUUGUCUUCAAUCUAUUGCCUUAUUAGCAAAUCAGUCUCUAAUAUUUUUUCUUGACAUUUAAAAACAAAUUACAAAAUCAAACUAAAAUCGUUAUUUUUAGACCAUUGAUUUGGGUCUACAUAGACCCAUGAAUGUUUAGGUUUCUAAAUCAACCAAACCGUUUAGAAAUAGUUCGAUUUAAAUUUUUGAUACUUAAAAAUCAUUUAAAAUCGAAAUGAACCGUUAAUAUAAUUAGGAAAGAAGAAAACACUUUGCUUAAUGAUAAAGCUGCUUGAAAACUGAAAGCAAUUUAAAAUAAAUACCACUAUUUUCACUAGUUCAAUUUAUUUAAGACUCAAAGCCACAAAGCAAGUAUUUAUAAGCGAUGAAUUAUAAUUAUAUCGUUACACCUUCCUCACUUAUUUGCUUGCUAUUUGGAUUCUUCUUCUUCUUCUUCGCACCAAACAAUUAUUAGUCAAUAAAUGUAUAAUAAUUUUAUCAGAAAAUAAAGUUUAUUGGAUUUUCUUAUGUUAAUUGAACUCCUUCGCAUGCAUACGUGGUUCAUUUAGAGAUACAACUUUUUUGUCCUUCUCUAUUAAUUUCUUGAGAAUUGAAGAAAAGAUGAGUUGUCAAAUAUUAUAUAUUGGAUUUUCCUAAGUUAAUUGAACUCUUCGCAUGCUCACGUAGUUCUUUUAUGGAUAUUACUUUUUUGUCCUUCACUUCUGUUAAUUUCUUGAGAAUUGAAGAUAAGAUGAGUUGUCAAAUAUUAUAUUAAUAUUCUAGGAAAAAAUGGAAAAAUGUACAAUCAUUGUGCAUUUGGGAGGUGCUUCCAUUAAGUAUUGUCGUCUUGUAGUUUAUUUUCACACCUCAUUUUGCAUUAAAAUUCAAUAAAUUUAAUGGAAAACGUGUUAACAUCUGUCUCGCUACAAAUUAUAAAUGGUAGUUAAUGGCUACAAAUGAAAAAAAAAGUAAAAGAGAGAUAUUAGUUCAUUGUUGUAUGAAGUAAUUGCAUCACUUUGUUGUAUUCGAGUUAAAAUUUAUUGAUUGUUUACUUAAGAAACUAAUAUAAAAUAUAUAUAAUCAUUUUAAAUAGUUUGAUAUAUAUAUAUAUAUAUAUAUAUAUAUGGAAAAAAAUCAUUCAAAUUGAACCAUUUUCAUUCCUUGAAUCUCUCUGUGGAAGUUUAGCAACAUACCCAAUUUUAUUUAGGUCAUGUUUUGCCUUCAUUUUCUAAAACUUACUUUCUUUAAAUUCAUUUUAAAUCACAAAUUCUCUCAAUAAAAUAAUAUUACACGUUAAUCUAUAAAUUUUUCCUACUUCUUAAUCACAAAUUCUUCCUUAUUAAAAAAAAAAAAACAUUUUUACAAAAUAUAUUCUCAAAAAAUUUCUAUCAAACUUGUACCUAAUUGUUUUAGCGGCAAUGGUUGCAAAGGUUGGGUGGUUGAAAUCAGUUGCAUGUGAUGUGGUUCAUUAGGAUAUGUGAUAUGUGAGACUUUUCUGCAUUUAACUAGGAACUAUGGUGUUACAUAAAUUUAAAAAUGAGGGACUAAAAUGAUUGGAAAAAUAGAAUGGGGACUUAUUUGUUAUUACAUGACUAGGUCGAAAGUUGUACAACUAUUUUCCGCGCUCUUUGGCCUUUUGGUUGUGAAAUACGUGCUUGUUUGAUCCUCAUAAUUUUAGAAAGACUAAUUACAAUAAUUGUAGCAUGACAUAAUUGCACAUCAGUCACUAAAGACUUGUACAUCAGUCACUAAAGACUUGUGCUUCUGAGUUUAUUUGAUUCGGAUUAAAAUCUAAGUUUAAUUUAAAUCAAAGUCAAACAAUCAAUUAAUAAAAUCUUUUAUGGGUAUCACAACUUUCUAAUCAUGCAUUUCAAAAACUUCUAUUGUAAUCUACUAAAAAAUCUAAUUUUAUUCUCCACCAAACACCCUCUAAACCUUUGUUUGAACUCCAUUUUCUCAAAAAACUCAUUUUUUGCCAAGGAUUUGAAAGAAAAUAAUCAAAGUGAUUUCAAUGUGUAUAUUCGGGUGAAUGAACACGAAUUGGACGUUUGGUAUUUAUAGAGGUCGACACAUGGUAAUGUGGAGCGUUAAAUAUUCGCGAGCGUUUAAAAUUAGGUUUGGCUAGAUAACAUGGUCGCUCGAGCGAGGUCUUAGCGAGCCUCGAGCGACGUGUCUUCCGCUCGAGCGACGGUCCAGCGUCUGUCCAGCGAAGUUGUUUCUGCAAUUGUGGCUCGAGCGAGGUCAUGGUGUGACUCUAGUGAAAUCACCGCGCCGUUUGCAUCUUCGAGGCAUCCCACACAACCCUAGACCAAGCCUACAAACUUUGGUUAAUUGCAACUCUAGUCCCUGAACUAUUGGACGUUGACAAUUUGGUCCUUGACCUUACAAUUUUGACAAUUUCAUCCUUGACUUUACAAUUUUGACAUUUUGGUCCUUGGUCACAGAUUUUCCAAUUACAUAUAUUCCUAACAAACUCCCCCUUUGGCAUUCUGUGACAAAAACACAUUUGACAGUCAAGGAUAAAAACAAAUUGACACCAAACUACCAAUCUAUUCUAUUACAUUGGUAAUAUCUUGUUGAAUCUGUUUCCUGAAAAACAAAACUCAAAUACCACGUAAAAACGCAUGUGAAAUGGAAACAGUAAACAGAGACAAGAUAUAAAUCAUAUAUCAUUAAUCAGAUUAAGAAGCAAUAAUAAUGUAUGUCUAAAACACCAAAAACCGACAUUAAGAUUGCCAAAAUAUCAAAAACUUAAUCUAGUUAUAAAAUGACAUAUAUACAUCAAUUUUAUAUCACAGUUAUCAAAAACAAUUAUCUGCUCUAAUAUCUACUCAAUCUACUCUAGUCAAAUUAAUCUAUCUACUCCCCCUUUUUGUCACAAAGGGCCAAAGAUACAGAAACCAACAAAACAAGCUAAGAAGCAGCAUCUGCAGCAUCGGACGAAUCAGAGCCACUCUCAGCACUCGUGCUCGCCUCCAAAUGAUCUCGAAUCAAGCGCAACUGACGCUGACAGACAGCAAGAGCACGACGAAACGUAGUCAUCUUGACGGACUGACGCUCUGAAGCAGCACGUAACUGCGUGAUCUCAACUACGGUACGAGCCUGUUGCUCGAUCAGUGUAGUCAUCGAUCAGUGUAGUCAUCGGACCCAUAAGCGGCACCAAGGGGUCAAUGGGCAAUGUAGCCACCCCAGGCACUGAUGUAGAAGUAGAAGGACCGGAGGAGCUAAGCGGAAUAGCUAGAUGAGGAGCGGAACGAGAAGGAAGAAAGACCCGAGAACCCCUAAUAAGAAUAUCAAAAAUAGGAUCAAGGGGCUCGGAUGAAUCAACAACAUCAAAAAUCGCAGCCGCAGCUGGAGCAUGAGCAGAAGAAGAAGAAGCAGGAAUAUGAGAACGACUCUGAUGUAUAGUCUGUUGUCCAAUCGGACGUCCAAUGCAUCGAGUCAAACUCUCUGGAAAUGAAGCACCUAAGGAUAAAGCUACCCUAUGGAUCAAACAAGCAUAUGGUAACCCGAUCUGACUCCUCGGAGUACGAAACGAAGCCAGAAUCUGCUGGCAAACAAAACUAGGAAGGUCAAUCGAGUCCCCGCGAAGUAGGGCAUAUAGAAAGCGGGCCUGUCCCAUGGGUAAAGAAGAAGUAUGGUCUACGGGCCAUAGGUUCGUGCACACUAUGCGCAACAAAACCUGGCGAUCAGUGGGUAAAGAACCCGUGGCCAUCGCCGUAGGCCCCCCGACAGACGGGGUGUUCAAAAUUGUCGACCGAACAAGGGAGUCGGUCGGAACAAAAGAACGUAAAAUAUAGGGGUACGUAGGAUGGGUAAUCUCAGGAAUACCUAAAGCAAGAGCUACAGCAGAAGGUGUAACUCUAAACGUAUGACCCCGCAGAAAAACCCUAAAAGACGACCCGUCAAUAUCGUGGAUGUUCGCAUAGAACUCCUGAACUAGAAGAGGGGGUGGAGGUGAUAGACCAACAAGCAAAGGCUCCCAACCCCGAGACACUAAGAUGGCAGCUAUCUCUACGGGAAGGUCAGACAAAAUUACCUCACGCUCCAUGAGAACGGGGCGUAAGGAGAACUGGGAAGUGAAAACCUCCUGAGCAGUGGCAGAAAUGAAUCGCGAUCGACUGUAGACGUAGAACCACUAGCUGGCUGGGAAGAGGGACGUGAUCGCUUACGGGCCAUCUGGCACACGUAAAGAAGCAAGAAAUGAGAUACAUGAAAAAUGCACGUGAAACGAUGCAAUGUGACAUGGCACACCGUGCACACAAAUGAGACACAAAAAUGAGACAUCGAAAAAUGCGAUCGACCCUAAGACCAAAGUUAUCACGACCCUGACACUCGACCAAGAAUAUGCACACAAUUCCAAUGGAGAAAAAAAUGCAAAAAGAAAAAGAACCAACCAUGCCAAAGAAGGACAGAAAUAGUUAAGUCAAUUCAUCGAACAUGUGGCGUGAGACACUUCGGCACGAAUUUCCAAGCACACAAGAAACGUAACCAUGUAACCAAAUACAAAAUCACAAACUAGGCAACAUGCUCUUCACAAAGAAACAAACCACACGCAAAACGGAGUUACGGAAUGGAAGAACCAAAGCGAUGAACAUGGAUGAAAAUCACACAAAACAUAAGUAAAACACAAGCACAAAUCAAGCAAAAAUCACACAAUGCUAUGUAAUACAUGAAUUCAACGUGCAAGAAACUUCAAUCCAACGAUGCUAAACAUGCUAGAGGCUACGAACUCAUGUAAUAGAAGCAAUAAAUCAAACAAAAUGGAAAGAGAUGAGGAAAAAUAAAAAAAAACGAAAAAAAAUGAAAACAAAUGAAAAAACCUACCUCAAUUGACGUUCAAAAUGGAAUUUUGAUGUUGAAAUUGGGUGCUAUAGCUUCGAAACAAUCAAUAUAGAAGAUUUGGAGAAAGCCCCGCCCUCUCUUUUCAGGUUGCACGUAUCUGUCGGAGUAGCAGAAACACUAAAGGUCGUAGAUAGAUUCAUGAGGCAUUAUUCCACCACCAUUUCAUAACGUGAGGCUUGAAUCAGGGCCUUAUGCUAACUUCAAAUAUGGGGCCCUAUGAAUAUUAAGCUCCAGGUAGAUAGAAAUUAAAAAUUAUACUUUUAGCAGAUUUUAAAGAAAAGUUGAUGGAAUGUGUGGCUCAAAAAUUGUGGAUCCUAUGAAAUGUGUGGUUAAACUUAAUUAUUGACUUUUACUUAGAAAAUAGUUAAAUACAAUUUAAAAAUAAUUAAACAUAAUCAAGAAAAUCGGAAGAGAACAUACAAGAUUUAAAUCAAGAAAAUUGGAAGAGAACAUACAAGAUUUAAACUCGUGUACAAACAUUAAAAAAGGGUAAAAUAUAAUAAGUGGAUCGAAAAAAUUCCAAAGCAAAUUACAUAACACAUAGAAGCAUCUGUUUAAUUAAAACAUUAAUCAAUACAAUUACUCUGGAAAACUGGAAAAAAUGGGACAAAUAAGACGAAAUGCAAGAACCUAGAGAGAAAUGAAUAUCAUUGCUUUUAGCAGUAGCUCCUUGAAUAGGUAUAAGACCCACCAUGAGAAAAAUUAGAAAAAUUAUCAACAGUAAAUUUUAAAGAGAGAAAAGUGACAUUUUGUUUCUUGUAAAGAGAAGGAAAAAAAUAAUGGUUGGGAAGAUAAAUAGUCAAAUUUAGUAUAUAUAAAGAAAAUAAUGGUUGUGAUAUAUUUAUGUGAUACAUAAAUGUAUGUGAUAGGUUUUAUGCCAUUUAUAUGAAUUUUAUACAUGUGUUUGUAUUUUCAAAUUUUAUUAGUUUCUUGUAUUUGCAUAUGAUAAUUUUAAUUUAAAGAGUUUUGUAAUUGUAAUCUUCGCUUUUCUUCAACCAGUCAAUUUUAACCUUACAUAAUUUGGAGCCUUCAUUAAAGCUAGACCAUAGUCGAUUGCAUAUGUUGCCUAUAGUCAGGGUUGGCUCUGCAUUUGAUCAACUUGGAUCAAUGUUUGAUUUUCGACAUGGCAAGUAUGAAGUUUAAAAUUCCCUUUUUGGACCAAAACAUUGGACUUUUUUAUGAUAGGCUUUUGUUUGUAAGCUGGAGGAAAAUCAAUGUAAGGAUUUAUUUGUGAUUUUAUUGCUCGUGGUGAUAACUGGAGCAAAUUUGGUACUCAAAGUAAUCAUGCUGAGCAGGAUUAAUCUGUUGAUGUUCAGUUAAUGAAUUUACCCUAGUUGGGCUUUGUGGAAGAUGUGGAGAAUUUUGUUGAAGAAUUUUUUAUUCUCGAACGCGCCACCUUUUGCCAGACUCUUUAUUGUAUUAUAUUCUCCUAGUGUGUCAAGGAUUCUUUGAUUAUAAUUAUGUAGUGUACAACACAUACUGAGAUUAACCAAUUGUCCAACUUAUUAGUUUGGUCAGGAUAGAUCCCUUGUAAUCCUUACUUUUGAUUAUAGUGAAUUUUCUGUCUCUAUCCAUGGUUUUGUCCAGUUGGGUUUCCACAUAAAUCUUGUGUUCUUGUGUUUGUUUAUUUUCAUAUUGCCUAUAUCUCGCCCUUAAUUGAUAACAUAACAGAAAAAUGGAAGAGGACACAGCUGCACUCCUCAAUUGCAUUGACACCUCAUGCGGACAAAUCGUGAGAAUUUGGAGACAGUUACUGGAAGCAUGCAUUUUACUAACAGAAUAGAAAUGAAGCAAAUAUUAAGCUAAUUAUUUAUAGGGACACCAUGGUUGGGUUCUGUAUUCAGGCAGGAAAGACAAUUGCUUUUGAUUUCUUUUUAGUAAAAGUUGCUGGUUAUGUGCUUCAAGAUGGUGCACCUUUUGCUAGCAGGCGUGGCUAGACAUUUACCUAAUGAAUUAUCUGAGAGAUUCGGAGGAUGAGAAGAGUGGCAAAACAGUGUUAAUGUAUUUAGGACCAUGAUUCUGAGGGGGUUCAAUCAAUAUUGGAAGAUGUGGGGGUGUAAGCGAUGGUUCAUGGAACUUGUUGCCAUAUUUAUUUGCGACAUUUAUGGCAUCUAUGUAAAACCAAUUAUUUUGUGGCCCAUGUAAUAUUAAAGAAUUAAUUAAAGGUGGUUAAUAUUACUAAAAUUCUAUUGGCCCAAUUGAGAAGUGAUAGUUUUAUAAUUGUAUACUUUGAAGGAAAGUGGAGAGUUUUAUGGCUCAUAGGAGAUUGCCUCUCUCUGCCUAUAAAUGUGAAUGAAAUCCAUCAGUUAAUUCAUUCAAUCACAGAUAGGGAAAGUGAGAGAACAGUUUCUCUAAUUUAACAGUUUCUUAUUUUGCUGAUCUAAAAUUCUCAAUUAUUGCAAUGGAUUAAUGUAUGUUUCUUGAUUUCAUAUGUGAAAAUCAUGAAUUCUAAAGAUCUUGGCAUUAGGGUUAAAUUUAUUAAUAUGGUAUUGAGCCAAGUUGAAGAAUUUUUGAUUUUCCUUAAAGAUAUAUUGUUUUACGUAUGAGAUCUUUAAUUUCUUAUUAAUUUAUGGAUCAGAUCAUUACAGCAAAUCUCAUUUGCUAUCUGCAUCGAUUAAUUGGUUUUUCCAUGGAUCCGAUUUGGGGAGACUAUAUCGUGUUCAAAUUAAUUGGCUUUUCCAUGCAUAUGAGAGAAAGAGACAGCCCUUCAAAGUCCAUUAUUUCGACUAUGUGCUCCUGUUUGUCAUUAUUAAUUAUUCAAAGUUUAAAUAAAAAAAAUUAAAAGAGGGGCAAAAACGUGUAAAAUUGAAAUUGCAGAAACCAAUUAAUGCAUGAAAACAUUUGCAAGACACAUACUGUUUCUUUCUAUAAUCCCAUGGCCCAAUUAAACCCCAUCCUUGGAAAAUCAAAUGAGGCUGACAAUUUCCUAGAAUGUCGUACUGUAGGUAUAUGUUUCUACCAUAUACGUUGAGUUGUUUAAGAAAAUGUCAGUCCCUCGUAUUGGUUUAAGGUAUAACAUUGGCUGAAGUUUAUGCAUUUGUGUUCAAUAUAGGUGAAGUACAUAUAUAUUGACUGUUUUUGGCAAUUGGACAUUUAUUGUUUCAUAUUUAAAUUUGAAUUAUGAAUUAUAUUAGAUUAUGUCUAGUUUAAUUACUUAUAUUAUUCACAUUUUAUUUAUGUAAGUAAUGUUCGAUUGAUGUUGUUUGUUAGUCACCAAAGUGGCCAAACAUUAUGGUAUUUCGAACACUAAAUUACAUAAUUUAUUUUUCAAUUACUCCUGAUAGUUUGAUGCUUAUAAAUGAAAAUGACUUUAUUAUUGGUGUCAAGAGUAUAUUGACAUUCAUAUAUUAUAAAAUUAUUAUAGAUCGCCCAAAGGUUGAUCAGUUAAUUUUAUUAAUCUUGAACAUAAUCGCGAUUAAUUGAUUUACUUGGUCGGAUGUGUUUUGUAUAUCCAAAGAUAUCAUACAUGUUUGAUUAGAGUAUAUUUAAUUACCAAUUAAGUGAAAUUAAAUUAGCAUCAUUAUAUUUAUUAUGAUGGUAUAAUGUAAUAUCACCCAAAGGAGAACUACGCUAUACAUUUAUUGUUAUCUGAAUCAGAAAUUAAAACUCAAAGUAUUAUUGUUAAAGCAUUUUAUAUUUUACAGUAUCUGUUCCCGUUUCUCUGCAUUCGCAUACUUCAUUUGCACCACUGUUCAAUGGACUCAAUUUCUCUGACUAGUGUGAACAAGUCCAGUUCAACUUAGGUGUUUUGGACUUGGAUUUGACAUUUCAAGUUGAGAAACCUGCUGAUCUUACUGAUGAGAGCAGUACUGAUGAAAGAUCAUUCCAUAAAGCUUAGGAAAGAUCAAACAGAUUAAGCUUAAUGUUUAUGCGGAUGACCUUAGCACAGAAUAUCAAGUCUACUAUUCCUAAAACUAAGAAUGCUAAGGAAUAUAUGAAGUUUGUAGAAGAAUGUUCCCAAACAGCUGACAAAUCACUUGCUGGCACACUGAUGGGUACCUUAACCACCAUGAAAUUUAAUGGUUCUAGUACCAUGCAUGAGCAUGUUACUAAAAUGAGUAACAUUACAGCAAGACUUAAGACUCUUGGGAUGACUGUGGAUGAGAACUUUCUGGUACAAUUUAUCAUCAACUUCUUGCCUCCCGAGUACGGUCCAUUCCAUAUGAACUAUAAUACCUUAAAGGAUAAAUGGAAUGUGAAUGAAUUGCACAGUAUGCUCGUGCAAGAGGAGACAAGGCUUAAGAAUCAAGGAACUCAUUCUAUUCAUCUCGUAAGUCAUCAAGGAGCUCGAAAGAAAUAUAAGAAAAUAUCUGAAAAGGGCAUUAAGCAAGGACCACUAAAGAUAAAUGAGUCUUCUACCCAAGUCCACAAUAAGGAGCACAAGAAGGAUAUGUGCCAUUUCUGUCGCAAACUUGGGCACCAUAAAAAGGACUACCUGAAACGUAAGGCAUAGUUUGAAAGUAAAGGUAAGAUUAUUUCUUAUGUAUGUUUCGAAUCUAAUUUGGCAGAAGUUCCUUAUAAUACUUGGUGGAUUGAUUCCAGAUGUACCACUCAUGUUACUAAUAUGAUGCAGGGAUUCCUUUCAACCCAGACCAUAAAUCCAAAUGAAAAGUUUGUCCUCAUGGGAAAUCGAGUCAAAGCUCCAAUUGAAGCCAUUGGAACUUAUCGUUUGAUUUUAGAUACUGGACAUCAUUUAGAUUUAUUUCAGACUCUUUAUGUACCUUCUAUUUCUCGUAAUUUAGUUUCCUUAUAGAAAUUUGAUCCUGUUCGAUAUUUCUUUGAUGGUGGAAAUGAAUGUUUAAAUUUGUUUAAACAAAAUCAUCUUAUCGGUUCCGCUAUUCUUUGUGAUGGCUUAUAUAAAUUAAAGCUUGAUAACCUCUUUGUCGAGACUCUUUUGACCUUGCAUCAAAAUAUUUGUACUAAACGUGGUUUACUGAAUGAACGAUCUACUAACUUGUGGCAUAAAUGUUUGGGUCACAUAUCCAAGGAAAGGAUAGAAAGAUUAGUAAAGAAUGAAAUCCUUCCUGACUUGAAUUUUAGUGAUCUUGAAACUUGUGUGGAUUGUAUUAAGGGUAAAACAACCAAACACAUAAAAAAAGGAGCCACAAGAAGCACGCAGCUUCUUGGAAUAAUAGACACCGAUAUAUGUGAACCUUUUGAUGUUCCAUCAUUUGGUGGGGAAAAGUAUUUUAUCACCUUUAUCGAUGAUUUUUCAUGCUAUGGUUACAUCUAUCUACUACAUGAAAAGUCUCAAGCUGUAAAUGCUUUAGAGAUUUUUAUCAAUGAAGUUGAAUGGCAAUUAGACAGAAAGGUAAAAAAUUAUUAGAUCUGAUAGAGGUGGUGAAUAUUAUGGAAAGUAUGAUGAAACUGGACAACACCCUGGUCCAUUUGCUAAAUUUCUUGAAAGUCAUGGCAUAUGUUCUCAAUACACUAUGCCAGGCACACCACAACAAAAUGAUGUGGCUGAAAGGUGUAAUCGUACUCUAAUAGAAAUGGUUAGGUGUAUGUUAAGCAAUUCUUCUUGACCCAUAUCUUUGUGGAUGUUUGCAUUAAAGACUGCUAUGUAUCUGCAAAACAGGGUUCCUAGUAAGGCAGUUCCAAAGACUCCUUUUGAACUGUGGACGGGAAGGAAACCCAGUUUAAGGCAUCUGCCUAUUUGGGGUUGCCCGGCAGAAGCAAGAAUUUAUAAUCCACAUGAAAAGAAACUGGACUCAAGAACAAUCAGUGAAUUUUUUAUUAGUUAUCCAGAAAAAUUAAAAGGGUAUAGAUUUUAUUGUCCUAACUGUAGUUCAAGAAUUGUUGAAACUGGAAAUGCUAGGUUCAUUGAGAAUGGGAUAGUGGGAGUUUUGAACCACGAAAUGUGGAAAUACAAGAAGUUAGUGUUCAAGUUUCUCUACCCUCAACUUCUUCUAAUGUUGUUGUUCCUCAAAUUGUUGAACGACAUGAUAAUUCUCCUGAACAACAAAUAAAUGAUCAAACACCUCACAAUGAAGUUGCCACCGAUGAACCCGCUUUAAAUGAACCACAAGAUAUAGCAUUAAGAAGGUCACAAAGACAACAUAGACCUGCUAUUUCUAAUGAUUAUGUGGUUUACCUGCAAGAGUCUGAAUUUGACUUGGGAAUUAUUGAUGAUGGUCCAGUUUCAUUUUCACAGGCCAUUGAGACCGCUAAUUCUAAUAAGUGGUUAGAUGCUAUAAAAGAUAAGUUGAAAUCUAUGGAACAUAAUGAAGUCUAGGAUCUCGUUGAAUUACCAGAAUCAUGUAAAAGAGUUAGGUAUAAAUGGGUCUUUAAGACCAAGCACGACUCUAAUUGUAAUGUCGAACGACAUAAAGCUAGACUUGUUGCUAAAAGUUUUACUCAGAAAAGUGGCAUUGAUUAUAAGGAGACAUUUUCACCAGUCUCUGAGAAAGACUCACUCAGAAUUAUAAUGGCUUUAGUAGCUCAUUAUGACUCAGAACUAUAUCAAAUGGAUGUGAAAACUGCCUUUCUAAAUGGAAAUUUAGAUGAAGAAGUUUAUAUGGAUUAGCCUGAAAGUUUUUCAAUUAAAGGAAAGGAACACAUGGUGUGUAAGUUAAAGAAAUCAAUAUAUGGACUUAAACAGGCUUCCCGUCAAUGGUAUCUUAAGUUCAACGAUACCAUUACUUCCUUUGGAUUUAAGGAAAAUGUUGUUGAUCGAUGUAUAUAUCUAAAGGUCAAUGAGAGCAAGUUUAUAUUACUGAUUUAGUAUGUUGAUGAUAUCUUACUAACUACUAAUGAUUUUGGUCUGUUAUACGAGACUGGGAAAUUUCUCUCUAAAAAUUUUGAAAUGAAAGACAUGGGAGAGGCAACCUAUGUGAUUGGAAUUGAAAUAUUCCGUAAUAGGUCACAAGGAUUGUUAGGGUUGUCUCAGAAAGCAUAUAUCAAUAAAGUUUUAGAAAGAUUUAAUAUGAAAAAUUGUUCAGCGAGUGUUGUUCCAAUUCAGAAAGGAGAUAAGUUUAGUCUCAUGCAAUGUCCUAAAAAUGAAUCGAAACGCAAACAAAUGACAGCUAUUCCUUAUGCAUCUCUUGUUGAGAGCUUAAUGUAUGCUCAGACUUGCACCAGGCCAGACAUCAGUUUUGCUAUCGGAAUGCUGGGCAGGUACCAAAGUAACCCGGGACUUGAUCAUUGGAAAGCUGCAAAGAAAGUACUGAGAUACUUGCAAGGAACGAAAGAACAUAUGCUCACUUAUAAGAGAUCUGAUAACUUGGAGGUCAUUGGAUAUUCAGAUUCGGACUUUGCUGGAUGUGUGGAUACUAGAAAGUCCACAUUUGGCUAUUUGUUCCUCUUGGCUGGAGGGGCUAUAUUAUGGAAAAGUGCGAAGCAGUCAAUCAUUGCUGCAUCCACUAUGGAAGCCGAGUUUGUGGCAUGCUUUGAGGCCACAGUUCAAGGAAGUUGGCUGUGAAACUUUAUGUCAAGACAUGGGAUCAUCGACAGUAUAACCAAGCCACUGAAACUUUAUUGUGAUAAUUCUGCAGCAAUCUUCUUUUCAAAGAAUGACAAGUACUCUAAAGGUGCUAAACACAUGGAAUUGAAGUACUUUGUCGUUAAAGAAAAAGUUCAAAAACAAGAGAAGUCAAUCAAGCAUAUUAGCACCAAUUUUAUUAUUGCAGAUCCAUUAAUAAAAAAAUUGUCACCAAAGACAUUCAAUGAACAUGUCAAAAGGAUGGGAAUUAUUGAAAAUUAUCUUUAACAUUAUUAUGUGAUUUAUGAUGCUUAUGUAUUGACAUUUUGAGCUCAUUUAUAUAUUGUUUUUGACAAAAUAUUAUUCCUGUCAUAACUGUUGCUACAUGUAUGUGAAUGGAUUAUGUGAAUGCUGACAGGGAUAGUCUUUUCGAAGACAUUAUUGAAAUGUAAUUAUCAAACUUCUCAUUAUGUGUCAUGUUGGGUAGGGACUAAUAUUGUAGUACAUGGAAGGAAUUAUACUUAUAUGAUGGUGUAAAACCGCCAUGACUCUUAUUAGUCUUUACUUAAGGAUGAUAUAUUAAGUGGCUAAUGUAUGAUGGAUUUUAGCUCAUGGUAUGCACAUUAUGUUAUAUACCACAUAACAAAGCAAUAUUACAUGAGCCAAGUGGGAGAAUGUAAAACCAAUUAUUUUGGGGCCCAUGUAAUAAUAAAGAAUUAAUUAAAGGUGGUUAACAUUACUAAAAUCCUAUUGGCCUAAUUGAGAAGUGGCAGUUUUAUAAUUGUCUAGUUUGAUGGAAAGUAUAGAGUUUUAUGGCUCAUAGGAGACUGUCUCUCUCUGCCUAUAAAUGCGAAUGAAACCCAUCAAUUAAUUCAUUCAAUCAUAGAGAGGGAAAGUGAGAGAACAGUUUCUCUAAUUUAAUAGUUUCUUAUUUUGCAGAUCUAAAAUUCUCAAUUACUGCCAUGGAUCAAGGUAUGUUUCUUGAUUUCAUAUGUGAAAAUCAUGAAUUCUAAAGAUAUUGGCAUUAGGGUUUAAUUACUUACAAUCUACAAUCUAGAAGACUACUGCUUUCAAUGUUGACACUGGAGGAUUCAGCAACAAUGUAAACUGCUUGGCAAGUUACAAGUACUUGAGUAGUCUGAGAAAUAAAAAAAUGAUUAGAUACACCUGGAGAUUAUUUUUCCUCUUCGUUCACUGUUCUUUGCUAUUGAAGUUGUGUCAUACAGCCAUAUUUGAUUAUUUAUGGUUACAUCUAACUAAACAGUUAAGUGUUUAUCUUGAUUAUGUUGAAAUAUGUGAUGAAGCUUCCCACUCUACAUAUAAAUAAACUCUCUUUUACAGUCUUACUCAAACAGGCAUAUCAUCUUCUCUAGUUAUUUUACUGACCUACCAUUAUCAUUUUAUAUAUUCGGAAAAGGUAGAAAACGUGUUUACUACAAUCAUCUUAGUUCUUUUCAGUCAUAAAUAUUGGUCUAUGAUUCCUGUUUUUUAGUCCUUGGGUAGUUAAUCUAUCAGAUAUUGUCAGUGUAAAGAUAUGCCAACAAUGGAAAUAUGCUCUAAUAUUUUUUGCUCCUCUGGCUGGUUGGUUAUUGUUUUCGAUAUGAAUUUUCUUUUGUCAAGUGCAUUUGCUCAGUGAUUGCAGGUAGUGGAUUUGUUAGACUAGAAAGUGAGUAUCAACAGAAACACAAUCUCUCGAAUGGCCAUGUCCCUGAAACUUUUGAUCCUGAGACAGAGAAUAGUUUUUCAGCAGAAGCUAGUGUAAAGUCCACAAUGCAGCUCUUUAUCAAGUUCUCUGUCGAGAUUAGUUCGGAAUCUUGAAAUGAAAACGAUAGGUAACACAAUGAUAUUUGCUUGGAAGUUAGAUAAGUACGUUUUUACAUACUUAUUCGGUCUACAAAAAACGACUAAUUGUUGAUGAAAUUGGUUGAAUAUGGCUUAAUUCCAUGCAAAUUUUGUUUUGUAGGACAACAUUGAUGAAUAUGGCGGAAUCUAGGUAAAACAAGUGAAAAAUGAUCAAAAUGGAAGAAAAUUAAAGUUCAAGGACCAAAAUGCAUAUAAUCAAAAGAUGACCGGGAAACAUAAACAAGGAUGUGAAAGAGUUAAAAACAAAUUUAGUAAGGAUUUGAAAUAUUGGGAGAAGAAAAAAAGAAAAAGGAUCUACAAAGAAUAAAGAAUUGAAUUCUGGGAUCAAAAUGCAACAUUCGAAAGUUUUUAUAAGUGGACGAUAGCCCAAUUGUUUUGAAUGGGUAACUGCCUAACAUCAAGGAACAAUUACUGAGGCGAAGAUUUUAGCCUAGUCAUCGCAGCGAAAGAAUUAUAGUUUUCUUAUUUGACUGAAAUUCUUAUGGAAACAAAUCUUAAGAUGUAUUUUAAAACCCUAGGGCCAUUCCUAAACAGGGGAGGACGCAUUGAGAGAGAAAAUAACACAUUUUGGAGGAGAUUUUGCACUACAAUAACGAAGAGAGACGCGAAGAUCAACGAGAUUACACGCCAAUUCUCACACCUGUGAUGUCAUUUCUUAAAAUUAUUGUGUAUUUUGUUAAUUUCUCUAUGCUAGGCUAGAUUUUCAUGUACUAGGAGAUCGAUGAACCUUGUGAUAUAACUUUUUAAUUUCUAGUUUUGCAAUUUUGACAUCAAACACAUUCUUGAAUUUUGAAUGAUUAAUACACAAUUAGAUGCUUCCAUGAUUAUAGGCCCGUAAUUGUGUGAGUGUAUUGACUUAUUUCAUGCAUUCGAGAGAAGGGGAAUGAGGUCGACAGGGUAUAAAUCAUCGUAUGGUCCGAUAGCGGAUAGAGAUAUAUCGUUAUGCCAUGCGUGAAUCUUUAAGUGCUCACAAACUUACAUGCAUUCUUGUAUAUUUGCACCCGCCAUAGAGAUAUAGGUUGAUGGAAUAUUAGUAUAGGUUCAACUUUAUUCGAGAGGCUGUUGGAUAGAAUUGGGGGGCAUUGAUUCUUCAAAAAUUCAAUGUGUUGUCAAUUUACGAAACUUGGGUUAAGAGUGAGCAUUGCUUAGGGAUUCGUGAUCCUGUUGCGCUUCAUAUUCAUUGAUUACAUCAAAAUUGCAUUCAAACAUCCAUUUUGCAUUCUAGUUUGUUUGAGUCAUACAUAGUUGCAUAUUAGGUUAAGGUUAAAUUAAGUAAAUACAAAUCUCGUUUGAAAAUUCGGUUUCGGUUAAUGUCGAGUUAGAUAAAAUUAAACUACUCAAUCUUGUGGGACGACAUUCGGACUCUAUUUUUCAUUUUAUUACUUGUUGCGAACUGUACACUUGCGGAAACAAAUCAAAAGAAUAAUUUUGUGAACAAAGCUUAUGGUAUCUCAGUAAAAUGUUAUGUUAAGUGGCAAACACAUAAUCUGGUAAGAUGAUAAUUCUCCUUUAUAUGCCUAAGUAACAGUAUUAAUUGGUUGAAACUUUUAUCAACUGAUUCGGGAUCAUUUCCAUACUCGUGCCGUUGAAAAGUCAAAUGAAAUGACAUUUGGAAAAUUGAUACGUUUUGUUUCUGUCGUGAAAUGCCUUUUUUUUUUUUUUUUUUUUUAAUUUUUUUUUUUUUUUUUUUAAUGUUUUUAGUUUUAUUCAUUUGCAAACGUCUCUUUUGGUUGCAAAGCUGAUCUCAUUUUGGCAAUAUAUAUGUCCAGUUUUGUUCAUUCAUAAAUUGUCCUAACGUAUCAAUCUAAAUCUUAAGUUCCAUGAUUAGUUUAACAAAUUUAGUGUACUAAAGAAAAUUCAUCAUCAAAUAAAUAAAUAAAAUAUAAAAUUUAUACUAACCGAAAAUUAUGUCGCAAACAAAAUAAAAAUAAUUCAUAAGUCAGUAGUAUUAUAAGGAAAAAAAAAAAGGGAAAAAAAAUUAUUUUUCUUAAUUCUCAAUAUCUCUAAAAAAUACAGAAAAAAUAAAUUUUUCUAAGUUACAACAACAAAGCAUCAUCGUGAUGACCAUGAUAAGUGUGUGCAAAUGAUUAACAUUGAUAUCUUGUUGAUAAUUUCAUCUGCAUCAUCAAUAUAUAUUGAUUUUAAUCAAAGUUAUGUGUAGAAAUUAUGUAUAUAUGUCCAACUAUAAAAUAAAGUAAUAUGUAAGUGUUAAGUAAGUAUAAACAUAUUCAACACAAUAACAACAAAACCCAAGCGCAAAGUCAGAAAUUCAACCAUCCCAAUUUUCGCAACAUAAUGAACUUCUCUUGAAUUAAUUUUGAAAUAUAGAGUCUGAAUCUGGUAAAGUUCACCGGCUUGUCUUCGUAUUUGAAAUGAGAAUUAUUCUUCUUGUACAAUCGGCGUUGACUACCCCAGUCGACAAUGUACUCACGGGAUGGGAGACCCAUGAUUUUUUUAUUCAGCGUGGGCCCUCCUCCCAUGUGUUUAAUUAUAAAUCCCGAUUGUACACAUAGCACAACUGUUGAAAUGAACUAUGAAUAUCCUUAUGAAACCUGAAAUCUUCGCUAAAUUAACAACAUUUGCUCUACAAACCCUUAAAUUUUUAAGGGGAAAAAAAUCUUAGAGUAAACUACAUGAUUACUGAGGCAAAAAAUGAAAUCAAACCAGCCCAGACAUACAAACUGGCAUUUCCUUGGAAGUUCUGAAGCUCGUCCAAAUUUAGAUUGAGUAGCCAUUAAUGUUUAGGUGGGGAUAAUAAGAAUCCUUAUAAAAGUAUAGAUACAAAUGAAAGACUGACAUUACAGUUUCAAGAAGCAUAAGUACAUUCUCCAUGGAUCAAUUCAAUUCAAAAUUUCAAAAAUAUUAUUAUCAUUGAUUCAAUUACAAAUUUACAAGGUAUGUAAAACUCCCUAUCCAACGGAUUGAUGCAUAUAUAAUAACAAUUUUAACUGAAUAGUUUCACUUUCACUGUUCUUUCUCAUAAUCAACUUUAAACUUGGGAUCUCAAUAAUAUUUGUGUUACUUCAUUCAACUGUUAAUUCCACUUUUCAUUUAGCGGAUGUCCCAAAACUAAAGUAUACUUUGAUAAGUAGAAUAAUCUAUGUACUACUUUUCUCUAACUGUAUGAUAUCAUCGACUAAAUAUCAUAAGACAUGAUCUGCACAUAAUGUAUAAAAAUCUCAAUUCCCUAAAAGCAACCAUAUUUUAUGAAUUGGGCAGAGUAAUUAAGGAUCGCAUGCUGCUCGAAAAUGAAAUGAGUUGAAAGGAACUAGCAGAAACGUUUGUGUACUAUCCAGCUUGACAUUAUUCACGUAAAUUAGGAACUUGAAUUUAUCAUCAUCCAUGAGGCUACAAUCUAAUAUUUGAACACUAUUUCUUCAGGUACAAACCAAGAGGUCUAAUUUGUGGAAAAAGGAAAUAAAUCUUUGUUGUCUUACAUGGAACAUAAUGGAUAGUAGCAAUUUCUACAGCCCCUGAUGCAGCUGCAAAACAAUAGGCGGUUUUUCCAUGUGCAUUUAGCAAUGCCAAGUCAUUAGAUUCUUUGUCAAUCUACUAUUCUAAAAUGUAUUAUUAAGAAAUAAUGGGGCUCAAACAAGCCAAAUAGAAAAACUUCAUGAAAUUUCACUAAUUCUAAUAGAAGAUGGCAACUAAGAUUAUUUAAGGAAUAUGAUAAACAAUAAAAACUUUGUUCAUCAAAUAUAUUCGAAUAAUUUAAUUUUUAAAAAUAAAUUAAUUAAUUAAAAAAUUUAAUAACAAUAUUGUCUUACUUAAAUGAAUGGAGGCAUUAAAAUGAAUUAUCAAAAAAAAAAAAUAGAAAAAAAAUUAAAUGGGUAAGUAAAUGGGGCAAUAGCCUUGCCCUGCCUUAAAUGAGCACAGGGCGGGAAAAUGCUAAGCUGUACGCGGGGCGGGCUGCCUCAUUGCCAUCCCUAAUUUGUCAUCAUCCAUGAGGUUAUAAUCUAAUAUUUGAAUACUAUUUCUUCAGGUACAAACAAAGAGAUCUAAUUUGUGGGAAAGAGAAAUAAAUCUUCAUUGUCUUACAUAGAGCAUAAGGGAUAGUUGCAAUGAUGCUUAUAAUUCUUUCCAAGGUCCGUCCUUCAUUUCUGUCACUUUGAGCUAACAAUCCUAAAUGGGUAGAACCAUAAGAUAUGAAACCAUUUCCUUGUUUCCGAGCAAAGCAGCUGCCUUUUCAAGUGGGGUCAUUUCUUGGCUGCCUUGAGUUGUUGGCAAAGUAGGAUUUUUUUUUACGUACACGACCUUGACAAUUUCUAUAACCCAUGAUGCAACUGCAAAGCAAAAGGUUGUAUUUCCAUGUGCAUUUGGCAAUGCCAAGUCACUAGAUUCUUGACAAAUUCAGUUUGCUUGGUGACAGCAGCUAUGCGAAGAGGCCUAUUUCCUCUUUCUUUUUUCUCUAUACAAGCUACAAUAGUGUCCACAUUAAUAACAAUUUCAACAGCCUUCCAAUCAAUCACCUCCUAGAGCAGCUGGGUAUAAAAAUGCAGGAACCUUCAGUGUACUUAUACUAUGUAGCACGUAUAAAAUUAGAGGACAUUCCCAUGUGCGAAACAUAUACAAUGCAUCAACUCUUAAAGUCUACUAGUAGAAAGGAGAACAAUUUUAUCACUCAAUACCAAAUCCAUAACUCUCGAAAAUACUAAUGAGUCUAGAAAAAUUCCAAAAUCUCAUCUAAAAUAAUUUUAAAACCAUCUUUUUUUUUUUGGCGCACUUUUAAAGGAUAGUAAUAGAUUUCAUGUAUCUUUUCUAUGCAAAUGUGAUACUAUACACAUUUGCACUUCACUAAUUUGCUCGACUUUGGCACUGGUUUAUUGAACUCAAAAACUGACUGCCAAAAGCUCUUAAAUAUUGGGCAAGGAUAUUGACGUUCAUAUUGAUAUUGGAUAUUGGAUUUUCAACUCUAAUUUCAAUCUGGCUAGGCGUCUGUUAUAAAUGUGAGUGAGAUAAAAGCAAUUAAAAGCACAACAAAAUAUUAAUAGGGAAACACAUUCUCAUGCAUGAUUAGGGAUAAUAUUUUUUUAAUUAAAUUAGAUGGUCUAAUUAGCAAGGAUUUUGAACCGUCAUUAUAUUCAAAUGUACGAGAAAAUUUUCAGUACUCAUGGAGUAUGAAAAUUAGUAUCUCGUGUCACUACUUAAUUGACAUGUAUAUUAUUAUAUGUUAAGAUUUGGGGUCUCACCUUAAAAGGUCAACAAUAAGAGGAGUAGUUCAAUUCUCUUUAUAAGUUAGUCUAUAUUUUUCAUCUUUAAUCGACAUGGGAUUGAGCAGACCAAUCAUGAAAUUCGUAUGCUCAUUUUUUUGAGCCUUAAUCAGAUCGAAUCGAUCAUUGGAGUUUAGUGGGCUCUAUUACCAUGUUAAGAUUUAGGGUUCCAUCUUAAAAGGUAACCUUAUUAAGAGGAGUAAUCCAAUCCGUUAUAAGUUGAUCUAUGUUUUUGUCAUUAAUCGAUAUGGGAUUUUUAUCCCUUAACAAUCUGAUUCCAAUCGAAAAGUGAGUCUCAAUUAUUUAGUACACAAGUCAAUUAAAUAGUAACCGAGAGUGCUAGAAAUUUCUCUGCCAAGUUCUCCCAAAUGCAUAAACACUUUCUAAACGUUCAGUAAAAAUGACACGAGUUCAAUUGGCAGCAAUUCAUUCAAUUUUCUGAAGUUUUCGCCUCUCCCUUGCUCCCAAAAUUACAUAUAUUUUCUGGUAUUUGGAUCUUGUAAUAUAUAGUAUUAAUUUAUCUUCUUUAUUAGCAUAUUUUCUGGGUUUUGAAUCUUGUUCAUUGCAAUUAGAACAUGGGUAUUGUCUAAUAACCAAAGUGCAUCGAUGCAAGGUGAGUUUUUUUUAUUAGGAAUCCUAGUGAUGAAUAUCGGACCGACAGCCAGGAAAAAAUUCAUAACGGAACAAGUACUACUUGUAGAAAUCCCAAAAUCAAUUAUGGGAUUAUUGUAUGGUAUAAUUAGAACAAAGUUAGGAAAUAUUUUUUUCUUUCUUGAGUUAGAAUAUUAUUUUCCUUUUCUUCACAAUUAUAUUGUAGUAUAUAUUGAGGCAUAAUACUGUAAGAAUAAUGUAUGGACGAGGAAAAAGAUUGUUUCCCAUUGUGUCUUUAUUAACUUUAUGGUAUUAGAGCACAGUUAAAUCCAAAAUCGACUCUUAAUGGUGCAAAACACCACCAAUAGUAAAAACUCAGCCACCUCUGAAAUAGGAACCGGUGAAACUGAAGUCACCCAUACCAUGAAUUCAAUUGGAAGUGAUUGAUGCUACCAAAAAUCGUACCUGUUGAUUUUUCGAGCUAGACGACUGAUAAUGAGCACGAACGAGAUCUUCCGGUACCUGAAAUAAAGGCGUCGAGGUGUGUCCUCAUCGCCCUCCGAUACUUAAGUCAGAGAGAGAAUUUGUGCGUAAGGCUAUGAACUGAAAAUUAUGUUAAACGUACCUGAAUAAUGAUUAAGGGCUUUGUAUUUAUAGAGGUAGGUGGUGUGUUCAUAUUAGGAUUCCGUAGUGCACUUGUAAUAGAACAGCUUGAUUUUGCAAUCUUAUACCAAUGAGUCCUACGCGAGAUAUGAGUUUGAAUUGUGGUAUAAUUGGGAUAUCAAUUAUCUAAUAGAGUUAUUCUGGACAUAGGAGACAUAGGUUGAGGAGUUUAAGUCAGAAUAAAUUUCUUAUUGGAUAAGGCGUUGACGCCGGGGACAUGUCGAAGACAUAAUCCCGAGGACACGUCGAAUGACAUUCCACAAACUCUUGGGUCAACAGCUCGGGCAUGUGAAAGACAUCCCGAGCACAUAUAUCCCGAGCAUACUGAUACACAAAUCGAUGAAAUAGAGUCCUCGGGUUUGUAUACGUCGGGAACAGUAUUUGGUAACAUCAGUGGCCCCCGUGCACCUGUGCUCGAUUAUAUGCAUGAGGAUAGGUACAAAAGAUCAAAAUUACAGUCCUCAGUAUAAUACCCCCAACAAGUCAUUGCAGAGGAAGGAUUCAUGAGGGCUGACGUCAGAUGUGGUAGUGACUCCAGCCCUAGUACAAAGGCGGUGUAACUUUUAGACCCUAGGAUGUAGGACACAUGGCAUGAUGGAACGGUUCAGGAUGUGACCUUUGGCCUCCCACCCAUGUUUCCCUAUAUAAGCCUCAUUUCCUAUUCAUUUUUUUACUUUUUCACUAUCAGUAAACCUUGUUGGAGUCGUCGGGAUAAGGUGAGUCCUCUGGACUUUAAGUUGUUUGUUUUUAGAAAAGUCUAAAUUUAAGAUAGGAUGUCGAGCAGUGAUAGUGAUACGUCAUCCUCGAGUUCAGGAACCUCAACCGAGGACUUAGGCCAGUCAAUAAUAUCUAUGGCCAUCUCCAUAAGUGUUAAUCCUCGAGCUCAGGAUAUCCCGACAUCGUUAGUAUACCCCGACCAACCGUGUAGGUUUAAGGAGCACUUAGCAGUGGCGACUGCUAGGGAGUUCGGCCUGAUGCCGAACUGUGAUAUUAGAUCUCCCGGGGAUGAGGAUAGGGUAGCUAUUGCUCGGGAAGGAGAGUUUGUCGUUUUUAAAGAUUCUCUGAAGGGGGGAUUUAGGUGGCCGCUGCAUCCUUUUUUCCUCGCACUUUUGAUCGAGCAUAAUAUGAGUCUGGGGCAAUUAGUGCCGAACGGGUGGAGGAUGUUGACGUAUUUUUUUAUUGCUUGUAGAUACCUCGGGAUUAUCCCAUAUGCCGACUUAUGUAGGAUGGUCUUCGUCCUAAAACAACUUCCCCAGUACUCUUGUUUUGCCUAUCUCUCAACCCGAGGAGGGUUUAGAAUCCCGAGGAUGCCUAGCUCCCUGAAAAGAUAGAAGGAUAAGUGGUUUUAUGCUAUACCUCAAGAUCCCGACGUUCCCUUUAGUCCUCGGUGGGGGGUGCCCGAUACUGCUAGGUUUUGUGGGGGUCAGGCGUAUUUUAGUCGUUGGAGAGGCAUAGGCAAAUGCUAGAGGAGCUCGAGCCCUUCGUUUAUGACUUGGAUGAUAUCCUCGAGCUUGUGAACAUGAACGGCAUUGAGGGUAGGAUAUGUGAUUUUAACACUUUAAUUUCCCGACCUAUAUUUUUAUUAAUGCUCGUGCUAAUAACAUGUCAUUUUUUGCAGAAAUGACGUUUGACCCAAGUGCCCUUCGCCAGGCAGUUAGCAAGAAGACAAAGGCUCCCCAGGCUCGGGCUCCAGACCAGAGGAUGGGCCAAAAGAGACCUCGGGAUUCGAAGCUUAAAAAGCAGACCAGUGGGUCAAUGAAUCGUCAAGGCCCAGAGGACCAUCACCGGGAAUAGGGAGGACGGGAACUCAGCAAGAAGAUCUUCUGGGUACUCCUCGAGGGCCUCAUUCUCGAGGACCUAUUGACGUGGUCUACCUUGAGGAUGAAUGCAUGCCAUCGGGCCCUGCUAAUCAUGAGGGAUGCUCCCCGUGUCAGUCCGUGCUCAACAUUGUUGACAAGUACCGGGCAGACGUCGAUUUAAGCAAUGGCUUGAGGCUUCUCGAGGCUAUGGCCUUGAAGAUAAGAUCGUCGACAGUUUUUAUUUUUAUUUUUAUUAUUUUUUGCAAUAUUUACUUCUCGAGGUUAAGUUACCCGCGCUCUUUUUUUCCAGACAUUGGGCAUAGCUUGAGGUCUUUCCUUAAAGGGGAAAGACGAGUCUGCAAAGACGGCCAACCUCGAGGGUGCCGUUUCUGCUCGGGAUCUAAGGAUCGCCGACCUCGAGGAGGAACGUGCUCAACUAAUGAGGAAGCGCGAGCAGAUGAGAAACGACCUUCGAUUGGCUUAGGAUGAGGCCAGUACUACAAAGGACGAGUCUGAGCACCUCAAGCUCGAGCUCGAGCGCACUCAAAAAGAACUGGAUGCAAAGCUAGCCGAUGCUCGAGAUGUUGUAGUCGAGGACUUUAAGAAGUCAUACUUCCAUGCCUUGAAGGAAGCUCGAGCUUUUAUUCGCCUGAGGCCAGAUGCUCGCCCUAAGGAUCUGAAGUUGAUUCCCGAGGUGGCUGAUGACCUUCAGCUUUCUGAGUCUGAAGAAAAUUCUGGGAAUGAAGACGUCGAUAUUGAGGGUGACGAUGUCGAGGAAGGCCAAGGCAGUCAGAACACCGACAUCUAAAGUUGAUCAGUCCCCGAGUAUUUAUUUUGAUUUGUAAUUUUUGAUGUAAAUAGUUUUUCCUUUUUACCGAGCUCAUUUUGUGUUAUCGACGUAUUUUUAUUUCAUUAACAUAUGCCGACAACUUUUGUCAAUUAAUUAUCCCGAUGACUGAGAAGAAUUAAUUAACUCGACGACUAAGAAUAUUAAUUAUCUCGACGACGAAUUAAUUAUCUCGACGAUUGAGAAGAAAUAAUUCGAUUUUAAGCAAGUCAUAAUGCCGAGGACAGUGAUGAAUGUAGGAUAUAGUUUUACACUUGACAGUAAAAAAUAUCUCGACGUCUAAGAUAAAUUAAUUAUCUCGAUGAUUGAGAAGAAAUAAUUUGAUUUUAAGCAUCAUAAUGCUGAGGACAGUGAUGAAUGCAGGAUAUAGUUUAACACUUUGACUGUAAAAUUAUCCCAACGUCAAUAUUGAAUCCAAUCCUAUGAAUACCUCGAGGACUAAUUACGAGGGGUGGUAACCUCGAGGUAUACGAAGAAUUGUGCCCGACCUCUGCACAGGAGUAUAUCCCGAGCUUUCUCUUUAGAACCUCAGACAAAAAUUCAAGGAUAGAUAGUCGGGGAUGUAUGUCCUCAGGAUGUUUACUUGUGCUGCAAGAUUUUGAUAUGCUGAUUAUGGGCUCCAAAGUUUGGGUGCUUGCGCGGGGCAAGGCUUAGGUGCUUGCGCGGGGCAACGCUUAGUUGCUUGCGCGAGGCAAGCCUUAGGUGCUUGCUCGGGACAAGGCUUUGGUGCUGAGAUCACAUAUUUUAAUGAAUAGCUUAAUACUUAAAAAUUGACUUGGCAUGCAGGCCUAACAACUAAAAACGUGAACCUUGGCACGUAGGCCUGACUACCGAAAAAUAAAACUUGGCACGCAGGCCUGACAACUAAAAACAUGAACCUUGGCACGUAGGUCUGACUAUCGAAAAAAUAAAACUUGGCACGCAGACCUAACAACUAAAAACAUGAACCUUGGUAUGCAGGCCUGACUACCGAAAAACAAAACUUGGCACGCAGGCCUGAAAACUAAAAACGUGAACCUUCACACGCAGAUCUGACUACCAAAAAAAUGAAACUUGGCACGCAGGCCUGACAACUAAAAAUGUAAACCUUGGCACGCAGGCCUAACAACCGAAAAGACGAUAAGAAAAAGAAAAAAAACUUAAAGCAGUGCAAAUAUUUACCUGCCAUGUGGUAGGGCGAAUUAUUUGUAAUAAACCUUCAAAUUAUCGGCAUUCCAAGGCCUAGGAAGGGGUCUUCCCGAAGUGUCUCUUAGGCUGUAUGCUCCUUUGCGAACCUAUCGUAUGACCUCAAAGGGUCCUUCCCAGAUGGGCCCGAGCUUCCCUGGGGGGUGACCUGCUGCUUUGGCCCUCCUCAAGACCAAGUCACCAGCUCUGAACCUCCGAGUCUUGACUUUAUUAUUAAAAUGCUUUGCUGUCUUAGUUUGGUAAAAGGCAACCUUUGUAGCUGCUUGCUCCCGUACUUCUUCCAAGAGAUCAAGGUGUUCAGUUGUAUGCCCCGAGGUUUCUGGCUCGAGUCUCUUAUGGCUUGGCAGUUUAAUUUCCACCGGGACCGUUGCUUCAAUGCCAUAGGCUAACAUAAAAGGGGUUUCUCUUGUGGUUGUCCUAUGAGUUGUUUUAUACGUCCAUAGUAUAGAAGGCAGCUCGACGGACCAAGAACCCUUAGCAUUACUAAUUCUUGUUCGGAGGUCUUGUAAUAUGAUUCGAUUUAUUACCUUGGCCAGACCAUUGCUCUGAGGAUGCGAAACUGAAGUCAGACAGUGACCAAUCCUAAGGUUUGAGCAAAAGUCCCUAAACCGUUGAUUGUCAAAUUGCCUACCAUUGUCGGUGAUGAGGACCUUUGGUAUCCCAAACCUGCAAAUGAUAGACCUCCAAGUGAAGGCUCUUAGCUUGGGCUCCGAUAUCAUUGCGAGAGGUUCGGCCUCUGCCCAUUUAGUGAAAUACUCUACUGCUACAGCAAUAAACUUUAAUUGACCACUUGCCACAAGAAAGGGCCCGAGGAUGUCAACUUCCCAUUGUUCAAACGGGGCCGAACAGUUAAUGUUGGUGAGGGCUUUGGUUGGUGAAUGGAUAACAUUACCAAACCUCUGGCACCUAUCACAUCUCUUAAUAUAUUCUGAGGCGUCUUUCUUCAUAGUUGGCCAAUAGUACCCAUAUCGUAUGAGUUUAAAGGCCAGGGCCCUGGCUCCUUGAUGAUUCCCGCACAUACCUUCAUGAACUUCGGCAAGGGCUUGGGAUGAUUCUGAUGGUCUAAGGCACCUUAGGUAUGGAAGAGUAAUACUUCUGCGAAAGAGGACACCGCUAAUCAUGUAGUACCUAGGAGCUCGAGCUCGGAUGCUUCUAGCCAACCUGGCAUCGCUUGGUAGAUUUCCACUUGUGAUGAAUUCUAUGAUUGGGUCCAUCCAAGACGGUUCGUUGUCAAUGUCCAUGACGUCGGGGAUUUGAUUGAUGUUGGGUUCUGUGAUGACUUUAAUGUGAACUUUUCUGUCCAGGCUGUUAACCCCCAUGAACACAAGCCUGGAUAAUGCGUCGGCUUUUUCAUUGUCCUUUCAAGCAAUUUUUGCAAUUUCACAACUCUUGAAUUUUCGUUGAAGAUCCUGAACCUUCAUGCAGUACAAACUCAUUUUCUUGUCUUUCCUUUCAAAUGAUCCUUUAAUCUGUCCGACCACCAGUUGUGAAUCGCUGAAUACCUUCACGAACUUGAGCUCAAGGCUAAGGGCUAGCUCUAGAGCAAUAACGAUGGCCUCGUACUUGGCCUCGUUAUUGGUUGCUUCAAACUCGAACCUAAGAGCACAUUGAAUCUCCGUAUGUUUGUCAGGGCUGAUAAUGAUGACCCCUGCACCAGAGCCCGAGGAGUUCGAUGCUCCAUCUAAAAAAAUUUGCCAAGUGUCCAAAUUAGUGCUCAUGCUCGAGCCGUCACCUGGCCCCCGAGGCCUAGGGGUUAGUUUUGCAAUGAAGUCGGCUAGCGAUUGGGCUUUGAUAGAUGGGCGUGGUUUGAAUUUGAUGUCAAAUUCUCCAAGCUUGAUCGCCCAUUUCAUCAGUCUUCCUGAGACAUCCGGCUUCUGAAGUAUAUGCCUAAGUGGUUGAUUUGUGAGCAUCACAAUAGGAUGAGACUGAAAAUACUGUCGGAGCUUCCGUGCUGCUAUCACCAAGGCAAGGGCAAGUUGUUCUGCCAAAGUAUACCUUGUUUCCGCAUCUAGUAGGACCUUGCUUACAUAGUAGAUAGGUUGUUGGACUCUGUUAACCUCUUUCACCAAGACCCCGCUGACCGCAUUUUGAGAUACGGCCAAGUACAAAAAUAGGGUGUCACCAGGCUCAGGCCUAGUGAGGAUAGGAGGAGAUGCCAAUGUUUGCUUGAGCUCCUAAAAAGCUUUCUCACAGUCUUCAUUCCAAUCAAAGCCUUGGUUUCCUCUGAGGACUUUGAAGAAGGGAUAGCACCUGUCUGAUGCUCGGGUCAUGAACCUGUUCAAGGCUGCUAUCCUACCAGUCAACCUCUGUAUCUCUUUCUUAUUCCUUGGUACUUCCAUAGAUGCCAAGGCUUGUAUUUUGUCAGGGUUAGCCUCUAUCCCCCGGUGAGUGAUCAUAAAGCCCAAGAACUUGCCCGAGGCUACACCAAAUGCACAUUUUGCGGGGUUCAACUUCAUUCUGUACUUUCGCAAGGUGUCCAAAACCUCUUCAAGAUCUGAAAUAUGCUCGUCCACCCGUUUGUCUUGACCACAAUGUCAUCAAUGUACACCUCCACAUUCCUUCCUAUCAAGUUAGCAAAGACUUUGUUGAUGAGCCUUUGGUAUGUUCUCCCUGUAUUCUUCAAACCGAAAGGCAUGACCUUACAACAGUAUAUGGCGGAAUCGGCCAUGAAUGAUGUUUUUUCUUGAUCUUCCUCGACCAUGAGGAUUUGAUGAUAACCAAAAAAUGCAUCCAAGAAGCUGUAUAGCUUAUGUCCAGAUGUGCUAUCCACCAAGUUGUCAAUCCGCGGUAGGGGAUAACUAUCCUUUGGACAUGCCUUGUUUAGAUCUAUGAAGUCAAUGCAGACCCUCCACUUACCAUUGGCGUUCUUUACUAAAACAACAUUGGCAAGCCAAUCGAGAUAUUGGACCUCCCGAAUGAAUUGAGCACUGACGAGUUUGUUAAUUUCUUCACGAAUGACCUCCCGACGUUCUAGGGCAAACUGUCUUUUCCUCUGCUUUACUGGUCUGGCCUCUGGGCUAAUGUUAAGCCUGUGGACUACAAUUUUGGGGUCUAUCCCUGGCAUAUCCUCAACCUUCCACAAUGUUGCGAGAUAAGCACCCAAUAAGUUCUGUCUUUAGGUUGACGUCAAGAUCCCGCCCAAUCAUCACCUUCUUAUCAUGCUUGAGCUCGAUUUCCAUCAAUUCCUUGACAGGAGCAAGUCUGACUUGUUGUCCGAUCUCAGGCUCUGUCCUUGAGAUUUGCAUGACAUCGUUAUUUGUUUCCUGAACACUGGCAACAUAGCAUUGUCUGGCAGUUGUUUGGUCUCCACGCACGACCCCAACGCCAUUGCUUGUUGGAAACUUCAUGGCUAGGUGGAAGGUAGACACAAUGGCUUUGAUUUUGUUCAAGAGUGUUCUUCCCAGAAUAGCGUUAUAGGCCAUUGAGACAUGUGCCACUUGAAAAGAUGUCAUCUCCGUAACCUGUUUCUGGCCAGAACCCAAAGUUAGAGGAAGCUCGAUGACACCCUCUGGAGUGAUGACUCCUCCCCCAAACUCCUGGAGAGGAGUUUUAACAGCUUUUGAGCUGUUGAGAUGAGAUUCCCAUUUUGGCAAAAGCCUCUUGUGAAAGUAUAUUGGCUGCACUCCCGUUGUCAACCAAGAUUCUCUUUACUUCAAAAUUGGCCACAAUCGCUAAGAUGACCAAGGCAUCAUCAUGUGGAAGUGAUACACCUUCCAAGUCCAUGGUUCCAAAAGUAAUAUCCUCCAGCUUUCCAUGAGGCAUCCCAAAGGCCAUUUAAUUGUUUUCUUCCACUGUUUGAGUCUCCUCCCGAAGCAAUACCCCCAAUGAUGAUAUUGAUGGUUCCAGCAGUGGGUUGACCAUCCCUUUUUCCCUACCACGAUCGUUCCUCGAGCGUUUGUCGUUGCCGAUGUAGGAACUCAGGAGUCCUCUUUUAAUAAGGACUUCAAUCUCCCAUUGCAGGGCCUUAUAGGUUUCCAUGGUAUGCCCAUGAUCCCGAUGGAACUCGCAGUACGUGUUCAUGUCCCUGGAUUCAGGUGGUGACCUCAUUCUGGCUGGCCAUUUGAGUUCCUUCAUAUCCUUGAUCUCCAUCAAUAUAUUUAUUUUUGACGCAUUUAAACGCGUGAAUGACGUCGGGAGAACCUCCUGUCUUUGUUUUCUACAAAGUGGUUCUUGACGGGGGUUCAGGUCAUGCUGUCGUUUAUGCUCGACCCUAUCAUGGGAUGGUCCAACCUUUCUCGGGGUUCAGUAUUUUCUCCAUAUUUAUGUAUUUCUCAGCUCAGGUAAGAAGCUCGGUCACUGUCUUUGGCGGAGUUUUGGAUAACGAUAUCUUGAAAGCCUCACACUUUAUGGCAUAUGUGAGGGCAGAAACUGCUGCAGUUAUAUGUAGGUCGGGAAUAUAAAGUCUUUCCUUGUUAAACCUGGUCAUGAAGUCACGUAGGAUCUCAUUUUGCCCUUGUCUAAGUUGCAUGAGGGAAGCCACUGUCUUCCUGAUGCGUUUACUGCUUUCGAAGAAAGCAGAGAACUUGUCCGCCAAAUCCAAGAAUGAGGCUAUGGAGUUGGGCUCCAAGGCCGAGAACCAAUCCCUAGCAGCAUUCGUCAAAGUUUGCGGGAAUGCCUUGCACAUCACCUGAUCCGGUACGACCUGUAGAUUCAUGAAGUCUGUGUAUACGUUAAGAUAAUUGAUUGGAUCGGUGGUCCCAUCAUACUCUUUGAUUCUAGGAUACUAAAAUCUAUCUGGCAAGGGAAAUGUCAAUAACUUGGGAGUAAAGAAAGUGUUGGGACUGAAUCUUAUUGACCCUUUGUUGCCCUGAAGUAGGCCCGUUGUAAUUCCUUCUUGAAUAAUCCUAGCGAGUUCUUUGGACUCCAUGGUCACUGAUCUCGAGGUCGAGGUCACAUGUGGUAUGCCCAAGGCCCCUGCUCCGCCAUUGUCAGGGACAUGUCGCUAAUCUCGAGCUCGAGCAUCAGCCAUAAAACCUCCCUGGGGUACCGGUGUGGGUGACGGAUGCGAAUUUCUUUGACUUAGCAGCUAAGUCAGUGUGGUGACCUGUUGUCUGAGCUCUUUAAAGGCUCCGGUAGUGACGACUGUCGGCUGGGGCUCUGGCACUUCUGAUGAUUCCUCUUGAGGAACAGGGAUAUCCUCAAGAGGAGGUUGGUUUGGAGCGAAUGAGCUUGCUGGUGGAAGACAUGAACGUGUGUUUACCAUGGCUUUUGGUAGUGCUUCCCACAGACGGCACCAAUGAUACUACCAAAAAUUGUACACGUUGAUUUUUCGAGCUUGACGACUGAUAAUGAGCACGAACGAGAUCUUCCGGUACCUGAAACAAAGGCGUCGAGAUGUGUCCUCGUCGCCCCUUCGAUGCUCAAGUCAGAGAGAGAAUUUGUGCGUAAGGCUAUGAACUGAAAAUUAUGUUAAACUUACCUGAAUAAUGAUUAAGGGCUUUGUAUUUAUAGAGGUAGAUGGUGUGUUCAUACUAGGAUUCAGUAGUGCACUUGUAAUAGGACAGCUUGAUUUUGCAAUCUUAUACCAAUGAGUCCUACGCGAGAUAGGAGUUUGAAUUGUGGUACAACUGGGAUAUCAACUAUAUAAUAGAGUUCUUCUGGGCAUAGGAGACAUAGGUUGAGGAGUUUAAGUCAGAAUGAAUUUCUUAUUGGAUAAGGCGUUGACGCCGGGGACAUGUCGAGGACAUAAUCUCGAGGACACGUCGAAUGACGUUCCACAAACUAAUGCGAACCCCGUAGCAACGUUGACUAUGAAACCCACAACGAGAUAUACGAACCCAAGAAAGCUAAAUUAAUCCAAGAGUUUAGAAUUAACCCGAAAGAAAGUCGAACCAAAAAACCCAACAAGAACGAUGCUUGAAAGACCCCUUGAUCACGCAAUCCAAGAAUUAAAUCCGGUUGUUUGAACGCCACAAGUUAACACUUGAUAAGUUCGAAAUUGUUCAAUGAAGAACGAUGAAGAGAAGACAAUACGUCUCACUUUUAAUUCACUAUCAAUAAUGUCAAAGGUUUUUUUUAACAAUUGAAUGGAAACUCCUAUUUAUACUAAACCAAAAAACUAGGUAAAAAUCGUGUAAAAGUUGAGUAUAAUCUCCAAAAUAUGGAAAAAAAAGUCAAAAUGUAACAAAAUAUGGAGAAUUGCCAAAAUUGGAAAAUUCGCCAAAUUUUUGGCCUAUGCGGCCACAUGGUGUAAAUCCAUGCGGUUGCAUGGUUCAACUAAAAUUGCACUUUUGAUUUUCGGUAUGCAUGUGUGCCGUAUGUGGUUUUGCCUGUGCAGUCGCAUGGUGUUGUCUUCAGCCUCCGCUUUCAUCGCUUGAUAACAAAUUGAUCCAAGUUGAUUCGACCUUCGACCCGAACAUGAAAGCUGCUCCAUUUUGAGUCCCGAACAUGGUUCCAUCAAUGGUUUCUUGAACGAGUAUUUCCAUUGCUUGUUUCACUUGCUUUGCCCUUGACUGCGUCAUUGGUCCGUCAUCAACUAUCAACGGGUCUCGUCUCGCACUUGCCUUUGUCGGGCUCGACUCCUGGAUCAUAUCAUCCCCUCCCUCUUCAAAAGGAUUCGUCCUCGAAUCUAAACCUGCAUCAAACAGAGAGAGAUCAGAUACAUUAAAAGUAGCCGAAACAUUGCACUCACCUGGAAGGCCCAACUUGUAAGCAUUGUCGUUUAUCUUUUCAAUCACUUGAAAUGGACCAUCGCCCCUCGGUUGCAACUUGGACUUCCUUUGCUCCGGAAACCGCUCUUUCCUAAGGUGCACCCAAACCCAAUCUCCUGGCUCGAAUGUCACGCGCUUCCUACCUUUGUUCGCCUACGACGCAACCAACUUACUUUUGUUUUCAAUUUGCGCUUUUACCUUUUCAUGGAGUGACUUAACCAAUUCCGCCUUCUUUUUGCCAUCUAAACUACCACGUUCAUUCACAGGUAAAGGAAUUAAAUCCAAAGGAGUUAGUGGAUUAAAACCAUAUACAAUUUCAAAUGGAGAAUAUGACGUAGUGGAGUGAACAGCUCGAUUCUAUGCAAAUUCAACAAAUGGUAGACACUCCUCCCAACUCUUCAACUUUUUAUUGAUUACUGUGCGUAACAAUUGUGUCAUAGUCCUAUUCACCACCUCGGUCUGCCCAUCUGUUUGUGGGUGACAAGUUGUGAAAAAUAGUAACUUAAUGCCUAACUUACCCCACAAAACUCUCCAAAAGUGACCCAAAAAUUUGACAUCCCGAUCCGACACUAUUCUUCUAGGAAUCCCAUGUAAACGCACAAUCUCUUUAAAGAAUAAGCAGCAAUGUUCGUGGCAUCGUCAAUUUUGUGACAUGGUAUAAAAUGUGCCAUUUUGCUGAACCUAUCUACAACCACAAAAAUAGAAUCCCGACCUCUCUUAGUCCUAGGUAAACCCAAAACAAAGUCUAUCGAGAUAUCAACCCAAGGCUCACUAGGUGUAGGUAAAGUUGUGUACAAACCUUAUGGUAAAACCUUAGAUUUAGCCUUUUUACAACCUAUACAUCAACUACAAAUUCGCUCAACAUCACUUUUCAUCUUAGGCCAAUAAAAAUGCUCCUUCAAUACAUCUAAAGUCUUUUGAACCCCAAAGUGUCCCAUCAAUCCACCACUAUGUGACUCCCUUACUAACAAUUCUCGAAUAGAACAAUUUGGAACACAUAACCUAUUUUCUCGAAAUAAAUACCCCUCAUGCCUAAAGAACCUAUCGACCACCCCCUUAAUGCUUGACAAAUAAAUAUCCGAAAAAUCAACAUCUUUUUCAUAUAAUUUCUUAAUAUGUUCAAACCCAAGUAACUUAGAAUCAAGAAUAGUUAGCAAUACAUACCUUCAAGACAACGCAUCCGCCACCACAUUUUCCUUACCUUGUUUAUACCGAAUGAUGUAUGGAAAGGUCUCAAUGAAUUUCGUCCACCGUGCAUGCCUCUUGUUCAAUUUACCUUGUCCCCGCAAGUGCUUUAGUGACUCAUGAUCGGUGUGUAUUACGAACUCCUUCGGCCAUAGAUAAUGUUGCCAAGUCUCCAAAGCUCGAACAAGUGUAUAAAGUUCUUUGUCAUAUGUAGCAUAAUUUAAAGCAGCUCCACUCAAUUUCUCGCUAAAGUAUGCAAUAGGCCUCUGAUCCUGUAUUAAAACUGCUCCAAUCCCUAUUCCUGAUGCAUCACACUCAAUCUCGAAUGUUUUAUCAAAGUUAGGUAAUGCCAAAAUAGGUGCUUCACACAAUAUACCUUUAAUAGUAUUAAAUGCAAGUUCCUGUUCAUCACCCUAAUGAAAACCUACACUCUUUUUAACUACUUCCGUGAGUAGUGCGGUGAUAGUGCUAAAAUCCUUCACAAAUCGCCUAUAAAAACUAGCCAAACCAUGAAACUCCUAACUUCUCUUAUGCUUUUAGGUGUCGGCCAAUCUCUAAUAGCUUUUAUCUUUUCAUCGUCUACUUCUAACCCAUUAGCACUAACCACAAAACCAAGAAAAAUAACUCUAUCCAUACAAAACGUGCAUUUCUUAAGAUUAGCAUAGAGUUGUUCUUUCCUUAAAAUAAUUAGCACACAUUUUAUAUGUUCAAAUGCUCUCCUAGGUUUUUGCUAUAGAUUAAGAUGUCAUCGAAGUAAACCAUGACAAAUUUUCCUAUAAAAGCACGUAAAACAUGAUUCAUUAAACGCAUAAAAGUGCUAGGUGCAUUUGUGAGUCCAAACGGCAUAACCAACCAUUCAUAUAAACCAUAUUUAGUUUUAAAAGCCGUUUUCCAUUCAUCACCCUCCCACAUACGAAUUUGAUGAUACCCGCUUUUAAAUCAAUUUUAGAAAAUAUGCAAGAACCAUGUAAUUCAUCAAGCAUGUCAUCUAACCUAGGUAUAGGGUGACGAUACUUUACCGUUAUGUUGUUGAUAGCCCUACAAUCCAUGCACAUUCGCCAUGUACCAUCCUUUUUUGGUACAAGCAAAACCGGUACCGCACAAGGACUCAUGCUUUCCCUCACGUAUCCUUUGCUCAUCAACUCCUCCACUUGCCUUUGAAGCUCCUUAGUCUCCUCGGGAUUACUUCGAUAAGCCGGUCAAUUUGGAAUGACAGCUCUGGGUAUGAAGUCAAUUUGAUGUUCAAUGCCUCGACUAGGCGGCAAUCCAUCAUGCAUAGCCUUCCUAUCGUAUUGCCAUGGUCGCCCCAAUAAAAUAUGUCCCGCUUGCAUUGGUACCACAUCACACACUAACUCAUCCUUAUAACUCUGAAUUGACAAAUUAAUUAACACUCUUCGAUUCACCCUCACCUCGCCACUCUCAUUCAACCAUUGCAAUUUAUAAGGUCUCGGGUGUCUCAACAAUGUUAAACCCAAUUUUUCUACAAGAGAUACGCUAGCUACAUUAGUACAACUAUCACCAUCAAUUAUAACACUACAUACCGUAUUGUUGACGUAGCAUCGAGUGUGGAAAAUGUUCUCCCGUUGCAACUCCAAGUCAUCCGCUUUGACGUGAGUAGUGAGAGCUCGCCUUGUGACUAAUAGAUCCCCAACAGGCCCUUCAACUUUUUCUUCUUCACUAACACCCUCCAACGUCGGCAUGUCAUCAAACUCGCCAUCACUAUCGCUCGUAAACUCUCCAUUAUCCCGCAACACCAUCGCCCGUUUGUUUGGGCAUUGAGAAGCAAUAUGCCCUGUUCCCAAACACCUAAAACAUUUGAUGUCCCGAUUGCGCGACGGUUGUGCCUUCGAUUUUGAUAUUGGUUUGCUAGAAUUUUCAUCCUUGCCCUUUUGCCAAUCAUUUUUACCUCUAGGUGCAGCCCCAUUUUUGUUGUUGUCAUCCCACUUCGAUUUCCAUGUUAGAUUAGGAGUCAAAGUACCUAAUGGUUGCCUAGACGUCCCCUUCCUCUUCAAUUGCCUCUCAACCUUCAUUGCCACAUGUAACAUGUCCUCGAUUUCCAUAUAGUGUUACAACUCUACAACAUUUGCAAUAUCCCAAUUUAACCCAUUCAAGAACCGUGCCAUGUUAGCUUCCCGAUCUUCCUCCACAUUAGCCCGAAUCAUAAGAAUUUCCAUCUCCUUGUGAUAAUCCUCUACGCUUUUCGAUCCUUGGUACAAACCUUGCAAUAUUUGAUGGAUUUUCCUAUAAUAGUGACUUGGAACAAACCUCCUCCUCAUCAACAUCUUCAACUCAUUCCAAGUGCUAAUUGGUCUUUCCCGACCCCUAGGCCAUGAUGUCAGUACUUGAUACCACCAAGAUAUUGCGUAAUCCACAAAUUCAAGCACAGCUAAUUUUACCUUUUUCUCCUCCGAAUAAUUAUAGCACACAAAAUCAUCUCAACCUUUCUUUCCCAAUCUAAAUAUGCUUCCGGGUCGCUUCUCCCCUUAAAUUGCGGAAUAUUCAUUUUAAUACUUCCCAAAUUUCCAUCUACUUCAUCUUCCAAGUUAUUUCUACCCCGUCUUUCCAUCCUAUUGUCCCUAUGCCUCACUCGACCCAUAUCAAUGUCAUUUUCAUCAAAAUCAUCCUCAUCACUACGACACUCAUCUCGCCUUCCUCUCCUAGAUUCACGCCUACCCGGCCCCCUAGCAUUAGAUAUCUCCACUUGUCCCCAGCUAAGAUUAGCAAUUGUAGUACCCAUUUGUGCCAUCCAUUCCCCUUGCCUAUCCACCUUUUCCCUAACAUCACCAAGUACCCUUUCAAACCUCCUUAUCAUGUCCUCCGAUGCAUUGUUGUCAUUACCAUUUCGAUUUGAAUUAGAACCUUCUCUUUCCGACAUCAUAUCACACAAUUUUUUUUUAUGCCUCACAAAGAUUUCACUUGGAAAACACUCACUAUGGCUUUUUCCCUCUAUUAAACUCACCACUCGGCCUUUUACCACUCAAAGUCUCCCUCCAAGCACUUCAAAGAACCAAGUGAACUAAAUCAAUUGUUUUACCGACAAUUCAAACAAAUCGAAUAUUAAUCAAAGACCACGAGACUCAAAGGACUUGAAUAAGUGGAAUAGAUGAAUGUUUUGACACGAAUAUGUGAAUAGACUCAAAAGAAGAAUGACAAACUCGAACCCAAUUGAAUAUCCCAAAAAUCAAACACAAAGUAGGUAUUGUUGUUGGUAGAAAAAAACACAAAAUCAAACAAUGAUAUCAAAAUUAUAUAUAUAUAUAUAUAUAUAUAUAUACUUUUUUUUUUGUGAACAAUACUUCGAGAUGAACAGUACCUCGAAUGUACAAUAACCUUUUUUUUCUUUUUUUUUACUCCUUGAUGAAAGAAGGUGAGUAAACUACCAACAACUCGACAAAACGAUGAAAAGAAAACAAAAAUGAAGAAAAACUAACAAAGAAAAAAUUAAUGACCCAAAGAAAUAAAGAAAAGAUAUAACCUUCAAUUAAUUUGGAGCCAAAGCUCUGAUAUCAACUGAUGCGAACCCCGUAGCAACGUUGACUACGAAAUCCACAACGAGAUAUACGAACCCAAGAAAGCCAAAUUAAUCCAAGAGUUUAGGAUUAACCUGAAAGAAAGUCGAACCAAAAAACCCAACAAGAACGACGCUUGAAAGAUCCCUUGAUCAUGCAAUCCAAGAAUUAAAUCCGAUUAUUUGAACGCCACAAGUUAACACUUGAUAAGUUCGAAAUUGUUCAAUGAAGAACGAUGAAGAGAAGACAAUACGUCUCACUUUUAAUUCAAUAUCAAUAAUGUCAAAGGUUUUUUUAACAAUUGAAUGGAAACUCCUAUUUAUACUAAACCUAAAAACUAGGUAAAAAUCGUGCAAAAGUCGAGCAUAAUCUCCAAAAUAUGGAAAAGAAUCAAAAUCUAACAAAAUAUGAAAAAUUGCCAAAAUUAAAAAAUUCGCCAAAUUUUUGGCCUGUGCGGCCGCAUGGUGGAAAUCCAUGCGGUCGCAUGGUUCAACUGAAAUUGCACUUUUGAUUUUCGGUAUGCAUGUGUGCGGCCGCAUGUAGUUUUGCCUGUACGGCCGCAUGGUGUUGUCUUCGGCCUCUGCUUUCGUCGCUUGAUAACAAAUUGAUCCAAAUUGAUUCGGCCUUCGACCCGAACAUGAAAGUUGCUCCAUUUUUUAGUCCCAAACAUGGUUCCAUCAAUGAUUUCUUGAACGAGCAUUCCCAUCGCUUGUUUCACUUGCUUUGUCAUUGAUCGCGUCAUUGGUCCGCCAUCGACUAUCAACGGGUCUCGUCUCGUACGUGCCUUCGUCGGGCUCGACUCCUGGAUCAUAUCACAAACUCUUGGGUCAACAGCUCGGGCAUGUGAAAGACAUCCCGAGCACGUAUAUCUCGAGCAUACUGAUACACAAAUCGACGAAAUAGAGUCCUCGGUUUGUAUACGUCGGGAACAGUAUUUGGUAACAUCAGUGAUAAUUCCCCCUUCCAACUCACGGUGGAAAAACUCAACAAUAGAAACUGCAGAGAAUGGGCUUAAUCAAUUAAGUUAGUGAUCGAUGGAAAAGGAAAAAUCGAAUAUCUUAUCAGCGAUACAAAGAAGCCCAUGGUUGCAAAACUUCAACAAAAAUGACAAUCAGAGAACUCCAUGGUAAUGUCUCGGCUAGUCAAUUCGAUGAAGCAGACAAUUGGCAAGAUCUAUCUCUUCAUGUCGACUAGGAAGGAUAUAUGGGACGCCACUCAAGAGAUGUACUCUGACACAGAAGAUUUUUCCUAAAUCUUUAAAAUUAAAACUAACAUGUGGCAGACCAAGCAAGGAGAAAGGGAUGUCAGUGAAUAUUACAUGGAGAUGACUACCCAUUUGAAAGAAUCAGACCUCAGAAUUGAUGAAUAGUGGGAUUGCGCAAAUAAUAGUGUUCGAUACAAGAAAAGUGUGGAGACUGAACGAGUGUAUGAAUUCUUGGUUCGGUUGAACAGGGAACUAAAUGAUGUGAGAGACCAAAAACUUGGCCAUCGGCCAUCCCUACCACACACGACGUCUUCGUAGAAGUAAGGCGAGAGAAGAGUCGUCGAGUGAUUAUGCUGAAGAAGGAAACUGGGUCUGAAGAUUUGGUUGAUGGGUCAGCCCUUUCUUCUACCUUUAUUGGGCCAACUGGGCCGAUUGAACAUAGGUCGAGAAUGGUAGCUAUAAAAAUUAAAAGAAAUUUAGAAGAUGGGCCUAAAUAUAUUGGGCCUGAUUUGGGAGCCCAGAUGUUUAGAGGAACUCCAAAAAUUGGAUCUGGCUCAAGAAAACAAAUGGGUGUGAUCACUAUCGAAAACCUAGACAUAAAGAAUAUACGUGUUGAGAUUUACACAGAAAACCAUCUAAUUGGAAACUAAGACAGAACACCAGAAAUCACGGCUAUCAAACCACAAUCAAUUCCACUGAAACACAAAUCUCUACUUCGAGUUUAAUUUCGAACAACUCCACAAAAUGUUUUCCAACCUACAGUCAUCUGGCUCGUAAGGCACCUUAGGUCGCAGAAGUAAUUUCUUAAGAGCUUACCGUACUCUCCAAAGUACUAUGGAUUAUUGACUCCGGUGUGUUCGAUCAUAUGACGGACUCCCACCAUUUAUUCCUUUUGAUACUCACCUUGUGCUGGUAAUCUCAAAGUUAGAAUUUGAAGAUGGCUCUCUCUAUCCGAUAUUUGAAAAAUGGAGUAUUCGAAUAUCUAAUUCAAUCACACUAGAACAUGUUCUACAUGUCCUAAAUCUAUCCUACAAUCUGCUAUCCAUUGGCCAAUUAACAAAAAGUUCAACUUGCUUCGCUAACUUUUUUUUCUCUCACUGUAUUUUUCAGGACCUAUCAUCGAGUAAAAUGAUUGGCUGUGCUGAAGAGUGUGAGGGACUGUAGUACUUUGACAAGACUGAUGUGAGUAAAGAAACUCGAUUUGUUAGUUGUGAUUCUACCUUUAUUUCUAAGAAUAGUAAAUUCUUUUAUGGCAUUAUAUAAUGGAUCAUCCAAAUUUUCAGUAUCUAAAGAAUGUAUUUCCUUCAAUAAUUUCGAAUAAAAUACCUUUUGAUUUUAAUUGUGAAAUUUGCGAACUCGUAAAACAUCAUCACUCUUCAUUUCCAAAAUCUAUGUACAAACCAUCUAAACAUUUACUUUCAUCUACAGUGAUUUAUGGAAACUAUCACGAACCCCUAAUCGCACCCACAAAAAAUGGUUUCUUACAUUCAUCGACGAUCAUACUCGAAUCUAUUGGUCUAUAUACUAAAAGAAAAAAUUGAUGUCCAUUUUGUGUUUAUAAAUUCUCAUUCUAUGGUUCAAAUCCAAUUCUAGACAAAAACACAAAUUAUACGCACAAAUAAUGACACAGAAUAUUUCAACAAUACGCUAAAAACCUAUUCCUAAGAAAAUGGAAUAAUCCUCCAAAGCUCAUGCGUCGAUAUACCCCAACGAAAUGGAGUUGUUGAAUGAAAAAGUAGACCUACUUGAGGUAGCCAGUGCCCUAAUGUUCACUAGUAAUACAAACAAGAUUUUUAGGGCAAUGCCAUUUUAACAUCAGCCUAACUCAUAAAUAGAAUGCUUAGUCGCACCCUCAAAUUUGAAACUCCCUUCUCUCCCCUAACUCCCAUCUCACCUCCAAUCUCCAUCUAAGAGUGUUUGGAUGUACAGCCUUUAUCCACAUACAGUUCCAUCGGAGAAAUAAGCUCGAACCCCAUGUACUUAGUGUGUAUUCAUUGGAUACUCACCUACAAAAACGGGUGUAAAUGUUAUGAUCUAAUCACAAAAAAAGGUGUUUAUCGGUCUUGAUGUCACAUUCUUCAAGAACAUUUACUUUAAAAAAUCCUCUCUUCAGGGAGAGAACUUAGGUGAAGAUCGGUUCUUGGAAAUCUCUCUUCAUCCCUUUGAAUCUAUCUCGAAUGCUAAACCUACAACACUACUAUGCCCCACUAUGCCAUCUAUGGAAGGUAAUUUGAACUCAAGGGGAAAGCAGAAAGAACAACAUGACAGAGAGAUCAUAGUUUACUCAAAAAAGCCAAUAUCAAAGGAUAAGGACAAACUCACACUCAAAGCACCAAGAGAUUGAAACCAAUGAUAGCUCCAGAUGAGCUUUCUCCAAAAUCACAUGACACUGAUUUACCUAUUGCUCUCAAAAAACAAAUUAGGUCAUGCACUCUUCACUCUAUCUCAAAUGUUGUUUCUUAUAAAGCUCUAUCUCUAGGAUUUUGAACUUUUGUCUCUAACCUUGACGACAUAGAAAUUCCAAGAAAUAUUUAAGAAGCCUUGAAAUUUCCAUGUGUAGAAAGGCAGUUAUGGAUGAAAUGAAAGCCUUGGAGACAAAUGAAACUUAGGAUGUGAUGAACCUACCAAAAAGGAAAAGACUUGUUGGUGUAAAUGGGUGUUUUAUGUGAAAUAUAAAGCAGACGGAAUAGUAGAACGGUACAAAGCUUGCUUGGUUGCAAAAGGGUGCACUCAAACGUAUGGCAUUUACUACAAAGAAACAUUCACACCGAUUACAUAAUUGAAUACAGUUCGGGUUCUCCUAUCACUAACAACAAACUUGGAUUGGCCACUCUAACAACUUGACAUGAAUUAUGCAUUCCUGAAUGGCGAGUUGGAAAAAGAAGUCUACAUGAUGUUACCACAUGGAUUCUCCAAGAAAAAUGAAGAAAAUAAAGUAUGCAAAAUGAAAAAAAUCUCUAUACGAUCUCAAACAAUCAUCUAGGGCAUGGUUUGACAGAUUUACAAAUGUGUUGAAAAACCAAAGAUAUCAACAAGGACAGUCGAAUCAUACUAUGUUCGUCAAAGUAUUUGAAGAUGGGACAAAAAUCAUCUUGAUCAUAUACAUUGACAACAUAAUCCUCAUUGGAGAUAAUGCAAUCGAGAUAAAGGGGUUUAGCUACAGAAUUUGAAGUAAAAAAGAAAACCUAGGACAAAUGUGAUAUAUUCUAGGAAUGAAAGCAGCUAGAUCAAAGAAGGUAUUAGUAUUUAACAAUGAAAAUAUAUUCUGGACCUCUUAACUGAAAUUGGCAUGCUUGGGUGCAAACCAAGUAACACUCCUAUGGAUACUUGAGAACAUUGAAGAAUCAGUUGAAAAGGAUAUAUAUCGACAACUAGUUGGAAAACUAAUCUACCUAGUAUACACUAGGCCUGAAAUUGAAUUUGUGGUAAGUAUGGUAAGCCAACACAUGAAUUCUCCAAAGAAAGCUCAUCUAGAAGUAGUAAACAAGAUUCUAAGAUAUCUCAAAGACUCUCCUCAGAAAGGACUACUGUUCCAGAAAAAUGAAAAAAGGGAGAUAGAAAUAUUCACUGAUGCAGAUUGGGAAGGAGCAAUAAAAGAUCAACUACUUGUUAUUGUACUUUUGUAUGUAAAAACUUGGUUAGUUGGAAUAGUAAGAAACGGAAUGUAAUAGCCAAAAACAGUGUUGAAGCAGAAUCCAGAGCAACUACUCAAAGAACAUGUGAAAGACUAUGGUUAAAGAAACUCGCGGAAGAAUUACAAAUUACAAAAAAAUUCCCAAUUAAACUCUAUUGCGAUAACAAAGUAGCUGUCAAUAUCUCACUCAACACCUUCAACAUGAUAAAACAUAGAAGUGGACAAACACUUUAUCAAGAAGAAAGUUGAAAAUGGAAGUAUCUAUAUGAUCUACGAUCCUACCAAAGAAUAAACUGCAGAUUUAUUCACCAAAGGGCUGCAAAGACAAAUUUUCAAUGAUUUCAUCUGCAAGUUGAAUAUGAUCAAUAUCUACAAUCCAACUUGAGGAAGAGUGUAGAAAUCCCGAAACCAAUUGUGGGAUUAUUAUAUGGUAUAAUUACAACCAAGGAAAUAUUUUCUUAAGUUAGAAUACUAUUUCCUUUUCUUCACAAUUGUAUUGUAGUAUGAGGCAUAAUACUGUAUGGAAGAGAAAAACAAUUAUUUCUCAUUGUGUCUUUAUUAACUUUACUACUAUUGGUAGUAGAGCACUAGACAACAUUGGACCUGCAAUAACUUUUGCAGGCAAAUGUCUGAUAGCUAUUGACAUUGGAAUGAAUGAGAAAUCAAUGCUCAACAAAUUGUUGAAGAAUCAAUCCCAAAAUAUUCCACACAGUGGCAAGGGGCGUUGAAUAUGAUGAGACUAACCACACACCGCCUAAUGGCUUUGCGUAACAUGUACAGUCGGUUCCCUUGUGCCCCUAGUAUUGCAAAGCAAUUCUAUAGUAUUUCGUGCCAAUUGAAAUUCAACAUGCCAGCAUUGAUAUCGUUUCACUUUUUUGAUUAAUAGUGGAUCUAUCCAUGUUAACCCUGAUGAACUCCUUUGUGAUUUCUUUUGUCUUUUCAUUUUAAUACAUGUGAGUUCUGAUGUUUCUCGUGGAAUACUCCACUUGAUUUAAUUUGGAUCGCGAUGAUAGUUGUGACAUUUAUAUAUAAAUAUAUAGAGAAGAAUAAAAAAGACGAAUUAAUAAGAAUAGAAAGCUUCCCACUUCUUUUACACUUGAAAAACGAAGCCUUUUAUUGGAAAAUACAACAACAAUAAAGCUUCUCCACUUUUAUUAGUAACGACAACUAGUAUUGGAACUCCUUUUAUUAGAAUAGCUUGUGCUUACCCAGUCGAGACAUAAACCUUGACAGUCGGAUUGUUGAGUGGAUUAGGGAAUUUCAUAACCUAAAAUUUAGCAUUACAUAUAAAGUAAUCGGAAGCAAAGCAAGACCAGCAACAAUUUUAGGCAAUAUCCGUGGCUUUUCUUCCUUGUGGGCCAAAAAGUAGGUUGUACUAAAUUUUAAGACCAUGCAAACGAUUGAAGCGAAGAGUGUAAAUAGUCCAACCAUCAACUUUAUCGGUAAUACAUAUAGAAAAUCAUCUUCUUCAUAGCGUGAAGUUAAGAUAGACAAGAACGUCAUUAUGGAAGCUGCCGAGCUAAACAUUGCAACUACAUUAGAUGUAACAAAAACUGUGAACCACCUAUUGUGAGCUUAUUUAUUCCCAUCUGGUACGGUAAAGGAUGCAUUUAGUGCAACUGUGGCAAUUAAGGUCGCCACAACCAUGCAAGAAGUUGCUGUGUCCUUAAUCCACUUCUCACCAGCUUCCAGUAACUUCUUAUGCUCCUCCGUAAACAACUCCCUAGGUGUUUUGCCCUGUUUGUUUUUAUUCUGAACAUCCAAAGGCCGUAGAAUCUUCUCCACCUCCUUUAAAGUUUACUCAAAUUAAUAUAAUUGCAUAAUCAUCCAAAUUUUAACUCUAACAUGGGGAAUUAGUUUUUGUAUCACGUAGAAUGGUGGAUUGGAGACUUCUAAGAACAUGGAUAUAUAUCCAUAUAUAUAUUCAAGAUAAUUAAGAAAUUAAUGAUACAAUUCACUGUCAUGCUAUGAAGUGUUCCUCUUCUCUUUAAGGGGAAAAGGAAAAGGGAUUUGGUAGUCAUGUCAAUUUCUCACCUUAAACCACCGUAACUCGCUCUACAUUUGAAGUGCUACUCCAGAUACACUAUUGAGUCUGCUCGAAGGUGGUAAUUUCACAGCCAAGUGCAAAAUGUUGUUUUUCUCUUUAUCUAUUUUGAGAAUCAAUCAAUCUUUAAUAGCUUUUGUGUGGUUAAUGAGACUAAAGACUUUCUCUUGUCGGUAAAUAAUAGCAACAUGAAAUAUGGAGUGCUUAGCUGAGUCGAUUCUCCAUACAAGUUCAGGAAAUGAGCUAAUAAGUAGAGCCAUAAACUCAACAUUCCCAAUUUUUGCAGCAUCAGUAAGUAUAGGAGUUUCGUUAAAUAGGUUGGAAAUUUUCGAGCCUUCUAAAGUCAGAAUCUGUUCCCAGAGCUUCUCUACCAAUUGAAUGGAUUGUCUCCGCUUCUGAAUUGAACCAUAUAUCCUUUUGAAACCUACAAAUCAUUGAUAAAUUAUUCCUAAAAUUCAUGUUAACUACAAGCCCCCCCCCCCCCGACCCAAAAAAAAACACUAAGAAAAAAGUGAAAUGGAUCUAUAUGUGGAUCAUUCACAUAUAAUGCUGAAGCUUGAGACUAGCAUUUGCUAGGCCUUAUUUUUAAAAAUAUAAUAAUCUGUAUUCUGAUAAUUUUGUGAUUGUAUAACCAGCUUAAUUAAUCAUCAAAAGACAAUAAAACAAAAGAGAAACACUAGGAAGUACAUAGAUGAGUUGAAAGGUGUAGAUACAUAAAGGUUGACGAUUCUAACAAGUCUUUCGCAUGACCAUUCUCGACUUGUAGCAUAGUGUGAUAAAGGUUUUCGAGCUAACGCAUGUAAGGCACUUCCUUUCGUCGAUUUUGGAGUUCUUCUGACUAUAUAUCUAUCUGCUUCCAAUAUUUUUAAUGCAAUAUCUGCAUAUAAGAAAAGCAAUAUUGAAACUAUUGCAAACAUAAUUUUCAUCGUCAUCUUGCCCAUAGUCAUGAACAGAGAUUCCAUACCAUACAUGUCACUAUCGAUCAACGCAAUAAGAAUGUCCAUGCGCUCCUUGGCCUUGAAAUCUUUAUUAAGAGGUGUAAUGUCGUAAAGAUAUUGAACCAUUUUUUUCUUUCCCAUCAAAGCUGCCCUUUCAAUUGGGCUCAAUUGGUUUUUGUCUCUAAUUGUCUGAACGCUCGAGCGAUACCAUCAAAUUGUUCAAUAGAAUGUUUGCCAGCCUAUCGCCUACUAUUCGCUCAAGCGAUAUAUUGUUGCUCGUUUAAGUGUUUCCCGAGUUUUCGUGCUUUAAAGCGUUUUGAACUCCUAUUCAUCUACAACUUAGUUUUUCUCUAUAUAUGUAUGAAAAGACAUGUAUUAUUCAUAUAACAUAACUUACAAAGUUUUGAGAGUUUUAGAUCUUAGUUGAGAGCAAUGGGAUCUUGUAAACACAAAUCCUAUUAAUUAUAGUGAUUUUUUCUUCUCUGCCCAUGGUUUUUUCUCGUCUUGGGUUUUCAAGUAAAUCUUUGUUUUCUUGUUUUUGUUCUACAUAAUUUCAUUAUUGUAAUAAUCUUUCGGGCAAUUCACAACAAAAAAAAAAAGGAUGGAACGCAGCCUAGUGCAGCGCAUCUGAGCUGCCAAUCAGCCUGAUUCCAGUUGCUAUCCCGUGUGUUUGGCUCAGGUUUUGGUGUCUUCUUAUAAACCAUUGUACCCAUCCGUGUAUUAGGUGUUUCUAUCUAUAUGAAUAAAUUUUAUUGGAUAGAGAAUGUAAGGGGUUAACUGUAGUAUAAUUUAUUGCUUUAAAUCAUUGGAUCUUUCAUGUUAAAUCACCAUGAAAUACAUAAAUAUGGCGAAGGCGUACCUGAAUCAGAUAUGGUUAAUGUAAUAAUAAAUUACGCAGUAUAGUCUUCCAAAUCUACAUGCAGACUCCUUUUUUCUCUCUGUGACGGGAUGCAGAAGAGAAUGAAUAAUACGUAUGUGUGAUUUGGGGACCAUAACCGUAUUUAUAUAGCAACUCCCUCUGACCUAAUUCGGCCCAUCAUAGAAUUAGGACUUGGGCCCAAUUUCUACACAUAUGUAAAAUCACACUUUAAUUGGAUACAUUAAAGCCCAAAACUGAAUCCUUAUUAGAUCACUUUAAUUGGGCUCAAUCGAAUUCGAUAGUCUUUAAUUUAACACACAAUUAUUCACACAUAUAAGCCCAUCGAUGGAUUAAAGAUCAUUACAAUCUCUCACUUGGGCUAUAUGUGUCACCUUAUAAUUAUGCAUUAAACAUAACUUUAUGAGUACUCAGAAUUUUGCUAUCUCUCGUCCAUCAAUCAUAUCAACAUAGGAUCAAAGCGUCUUUCGCUACCUUCAUUGUAGCUAAACCCAUCAAUGGUCACGUAUAUCGAUAUAACCGAAUGACAUGGAUCAAGCAUAGAUGUGUAACAUGGAAAUUACAUGUGAUGUGAUCUGUAACAUGUCUAUUUCCAACUGGUCUACCUUAAUGUCUUAGUGAGAUCAUUUUAAACAAGUUUAGAGAUAAUAAACCAAAUAACUUUAUAACUGAAAAUAACUUUAACAUUAAACCGUAUCCAAAAUAACAGUACAUGUGUCCAAUAUGAAAAGCAAAAAUACAAACUCCCACUGAAACUAGAUAUCCUCAAGAGAUACUAUACCCAUAUGAACAGUGUGCUCAUGAAAGACCUUGGGUAUCAAUCCCUUAGUAAGCGGAUCCGUAGCCAUGGAGUUUGUCCCAAUAUGCUCUAUUGACACCUGUCCACUUUGAACUCUUUAUUUAACAGCCAGGAACUUGAUCUCUAUAUGUUUUGACUUUGUCGAACUCCUGUUGUUAUUGGAAUACAGCACUGCUGAUUUAUUGUCACAAAAUAUCUUAAGUGGUCUUUUUAUAUUGUCCACAAUGUGUAGCCCAGUGACAAAAUUACGCAGUCAUGUUCCAUGAUUUGAUGCCUCAUAACACGCUAUAAACUCCGCUGCCAUGGUGGAAGUAGCUAUGAGUGUCUGCUUAGCACUCUUCCAGGAAAUAGAACUCCAGCAAGCAGGUAAACAUAGCCUGAAGUGGAUCUCCUACUAUCUUGGCAUCCUACGAAAUCGGAAUCAGAAUAACCGAUGAUCUCCAACUGAUCCGAUCUCCUGUAUGGGAGCAUGUAGUCUUUUGUUCUCUGUAAAUAUCGCAUGACCUAUUUGGUUGCUUUCCAAUGAUCCUUUCUCGGGUUACUUAAAUAUCUCCCUAGCAUCCCAACAAUGGACGCUAUAUCUAGAUGCGUACAAACCUUAGCAUACAUCAGACUCCCUAUAGCUGAUGAAUAAGGAAUUUUCUGCAUUUCUUUAAUUUCCAAGUCAUUUUUAGGCAACUGACUUAAACUGAACUUGUCUCCUUUAGCCACAGGGGUGUCACCUGGUUUACAAUCUUGCAUGCCAUGUCUUUUAAGAACUGCAGGGAUGAUUUCCAGCAAACACCAAGUUCAAACCGGGCUCAGUUUCACCUAUUUCAUCGACACCACCAAGGUUGAGACAACUCCAAAACCACCACCAAGGCCGCCCCACUUCCGACUGCUAUAGGCUGGGAAGAUGAAGUCCAAUGAUAUGCCCACUAAGGAUUAACCACAAAGGUCACAGUGAAGUGAUGAAAGAAACCAAGAGGAAAGUCUCACAAAGAGAGAAAUUAGGCACACGCAUAUGGAGGCCGAGAGAGAGACGGGAAUAUAAGCCAAGUAAAUAUCCAAAAUAGGUAAGUCAGGUUAGGUUUAAUUUGUGGACCAAACAAAGAUCGACUCAAUAUUAAUGCGCUUCAAAUUAAUAAUAUAGCCUUCCAAGGAAAUGGGGCGUACCGCGAGCAACACGUUGCUUCGAAUGAUCCAUACGAAUGUGGAUAGUGUUGUCUCGAUAAUUGUGUCGAUUUACUAGUCAAUCAUAUGGCCAAGGCCAAUUGAUAAUAAAAUCGAGUUUACAUCAUAGCACAGGGAGGUCGUUUGACAACAAAUUGCCUAACAACCUCCACCUUGGUGUCAAAGGACCUGCAAAAGAAAAUUGUCUUCCAUUAGUGACACCUCUAAUAGAAAACCAAUAAAAUUAGAAAUCAUUUACCUGUACCAAUGUUUAGAAGUUCCUUGCAACUUCUAAGCUUUGCCAGUGGCAAUACCUUUGUCCCCAUAUCAGAGGGGUUGUAGUGGGUGUGGACUUUCUCAAGUCUUACCACCUCUUGAGAUACUAUAUCUCUAAUGAAGUGGAGUCUAACAUCAAUGUGUUUAGUGCGCUCGUGAAAAAUAGGGUUCUUGCAUAAAUGUAUAGAUGACUGAUUAUCAGAAUACACUACCACAUAAUCAUUCAAUACACAUAGUUCAUGAAGCAGACCUCUAAGCCAUAGAGCUUCUUUAAUAGCUUCAAUGGUAGUAAUAUAUUCUGAUUCUGUAGUGGAUAGUGCAACAAUAUGUUGUAACUGUGAUUUUCAACUAACACAUGACUUAGAUAAGGUAAACACGUAAGAUGAAGUAUAUUUCCUACCAUCCCUAUCUCCCGCGUAGUCUGCAUCUACAAAACCCUUUAAUUUUAUGUCUUCUUUAUUAGCACUAAACUUUAAACCCACGUUACUUGUACCCUUCAAGUACUUUAACAGCCACUUUAGCGCUUCCCAAUGUUCAGGGCUCGGAUUCACCAUAUAUCUACUGAGAGUACUAACAUCAAAACCUAAAUCAGGUCUAGUGCAAACCAUCAAAUACAUUAUGGAACCAAUCACAUUAGAGUAAGGCACUCUACUCAUGUAUUCAACUUCACGCUCAUUGUAAGGAGAUUGUUCCUUCGAUAAAACAAAAUGAUUAGCUAGAGGAAACAUGAUAGGUUCGCAAUCACUCAUAUUAAAUUUCUUCAAUACUUUGGAUAUGUAUGGAGACUGAUGCAAAAACAAAACAGAGUUUGACCUAUCUCUUUCGAUUUCAAUACCUAAGAUUCUCUUAGCCUUACCUAGAUCUUUCAUGUCAAAUUCACCACUUAGUUUUGCUUUUAUGUUAUUUAUCCACUUAGAGGAUGAUCCAAUCAAAAGCAUGUCAUCCACAUAGAGCAACAAAAACAAAUAAUUAUCAUCAGUCUCAUUGUGUUGAAAAUACAGGCAGUGAUCAAAUUUACUUCUUUGGAACCCUAUAGUGAGUACAAAGGAAUCAAACCUCUUGUACCACUGUCUAGGAGAUUGUUUUAACCCAUACAAGGAUCUUCUCAGAAAACACACAUAAUCAGGUUUUGACUUAUCCUUAAAAUCUUUUGGUUCAUUCAUGAAAAUUUGUUUAUCAAGAUCACCAUGUAAGAAAGCAGUUUUUACGUCAAGUUGUUCAAGUUCCCAGUCAAAAUGUGCAACCAAUGCAAGCAUGACCCUAAUAGUGGUGUACUUAACAACUGGUGAGAAAAUUUCAUUAUAAUCAACGCCCUCCUUCUGUGUGUAGCCUUUAGCCACUAACCUAGCUUUAAACCUUAGGGGUUCCAAGCUGCUAGCUCCUUUCUCAACCUUAAAAACCCAUUUGCAAUCAACAAUUGAUUUGUUCUUAGGCUUAGGUACUAGCUCCCAAGUAUGAUUCUUUUCUAGAGAACUCAUCUCUUCUUUCAUUGCCUUAAGUCAUUCAUUAGAUUGAUCACUAGCUAUUGCUUCUUCAAAGGUCUUUGGCUCUUUAUCAGCUAGUUCUUCAUAACUAGCCUGGGCGAAAGCUAAUUCAGAUUCAAAACCGAACCUUCUUAGUUCUCUCGUCUGUCUCCUCUCUCUAUCCCUAACUAAGUUAUAGUUAGCUAAUGGAUUUUCUUCCUCAUAGUGCUCUUCUGUCACUAUUUCGUUACUAUUCUCCACCUCGGGUUCCUGAGUUUGAGUCUCCACCUCAUUUGAAGCAGUAGGGGUAGGUGGACUGAGUUUUCCUAACUCCACCUUAAACUGGUCUCUCUUUUCCCCUGAUUCAACUUCACUCUCAGGUUCAGUUUCCCCUUUAAUACACGACAUCUCAUUUUUGUUAAACAUGAUAUCUCUACUUAUGAUGAUUUUAACCCCUUUUUGGCUUCUAUCCCAUAACAUAUAACCCUUAACACCCUCGAGGUAUCCUAGGAAGACACACUUCCUAGCUCUAGGUUCCAUCUUACCCUCACUUUGAUGAGAAAAAGUUGUACAGACAAAAGUUCUAAGUAUCGAGUAAUCACUCAGUUUACCCGACCAUCUCUCAUGCAGAGUGUCACCAUUCAAUGCAGCAGAAGGAGUCAGAUUAAUCAAAUAGCAAGCGGUCAUAAUAGCCUCACCCCAAAAUGACUUGGGAACACCAGAACUAAUCAUCAUGCAACGUACUUUAUCAAGUAUAGUCCUAUUCAUCCUUUCUACUACCCCAUUUUGCUAAGGAGUGUAGAGAACGGUCUUAUGUCUAGUUAUGCCUCUUUCUUUAUAUAUACUAUCAAAUUCUUUAUUGCAGAAUUCUAGGCUGUUAUCUGUCCUUAAAAAUUUAAUUUUCUUGCCAGUUUGGUUUUCCACUUGUCUCUUCCAAUUAUUAAAACUAUUGAAGGUCUCUGAUUUAUCCUUCAAAAGAUAGACCCACGCUUUCCUAGUGUAGUCAUCAAUAAUAGAUAGAAAAAACCUAUUUCCACCCGAUGUGGGAUUACUAGCAGACCCCAUAGAUCAAAGUGCACAUAUUCGAGCAUGCCUUUAGCUCUAUUAACACUCGUGGAGAAAGAAGUUUUAUGAUGCUUACCAAGCACACAAUGAUCACAAAAUGGCAAAUCUGACACACAGUCAUUACCAAAGGCACCCUUUUCAUUAAGUAGCUUAAGUCUCUUGACCCCUACGUGAGCAAGUCUAUUAUGCCAUGUGUAUGUGUGAUCAAUCUUGGCAGAGGAGAUAGAGGAAUUCACACCUCUAAUCACUUCCCCAGUAGUAGUAUCUUUAUAUCAUUUUUCUUAAUUCCCUUAAUGAAAACUAAAGCACCCUUGAUCAUUUUUAGCAUACCAUUUCCAAUUUUACCAGUAAAGUCAUCCUUCUCAAGUCUCCCUACUGAAAUCAGAUUCCUAGACAACUCAGGAAUAUAUCUAACGUCCUUUAACGUAUACACAAAACCUGUGUCAAACUUUAUGUUUAUGUCACCAAUUCCAGCAAUAGUAUAGGCAAAGUUAUCACACAGUACAACAUACCCAACAUUAGAUUCAUGCAACUUAUAAAACCAAUUCUUUUCAAACGUCCCAUGAAAAGAUGCACCAGAGUCAAGUAUCCACUCAUGCAUGCGGGAAUUAGCAGUUAGAUUUAAUUCAGUAGUGUAUGCAACUGAACUUGUAAUCAUAAAGACCUCACCACCAUUUAUAUCGGAAGUAGAUGCUAACACAUUUACCUCAUCUCUCUCUUUAACCUUUAGCUUACCCUUCUCCUUAUGACAAUCUUUUAUAAAAUGCCCUGUGUUUCCACAACCAUAGCAUUUUCUGGCCUUAGUCCUAGAUUUUGAUCUAGACCCACCUUCACUCUUCUUUUUCCAUCCAUUACCACUUGACUCGCCACUAGUUUGAUAUCCCUCAUGACUAUUUUGCCUAAAUUGAGUUCUAACCCGUAUCAUAUGUACCUCACGGUUCCUCUUAUCAUGUUUUUCAGCCCUAAUUUCAUUUCUUUACUUCCAAGGGAAUCUAUAACAAUUUUAGGUGUUAACGUGUCUCUACCAUACUUAAUGGCGUUCUUAACUUUCUUAUAGGAAUUAGGAAUUGCAUUGAGCAAAAUUAUAGCCUUAUAAGUUUCGGACACAAUCUCAUCACAAUUAACUAUAUCUUGCACCAAUUUGUUAAAUAUGUCUAGAUUGUCAUCAAGAUCCUUUGAAAAAUCCAUUUAGAACUGAAAAAACGUUCAAGCAGGUAAAGUUUAUUCGAUGUAGACUUAAGCAAAUACAAGUCUUCUAAUUUCUUCCAAAGUUCUUUAGUGGUUUUCAGUUUCCCCACCUUUCUUAAAAUGACGUCAGACAAGUGUAAAAUAAUUGAGGUAUAAGCAAGCUCAUCGGCUUCUUCUCUUUGUUCUUGUGAAAAAUCAAUUGAAAAAUUGCCUUCAAUGGCUUUUGAAACCUUUUGUUGGACUAAAAUACCCUUCAUUUUUUGUUGCCAAAUAGCAAAGUCACCCUUUUCAUUAAAAAUUUCCAAAUCAAAACUGUGAGUUGUCAUCUUUACACAACAGUCAAAAAUGCACAAACCACAAUAAAACCACACAAAGUAGUCCUAGGGUCACAGACAGUAUACACCGUUCUAGAUUCCCAGGAUUUCGUAAGACUCGGUCUUAGAUCAAGGGAAUGUUCGAACGGGUAAGGUCACAGUAUUUCUAACGGAAUAAGUAAGCAGCGAAAAUAACAAUGCAGCAAAAAUACGUCUAGCAGAUAACUAGUCCCACAGUAAUUAGAUUACUAAGAAUUACAAAACUGAUUUUAACCCAAAAAACAAAUACUCAAUCAAAAGAUCAAUCAAGAGCACGUAACUUUAAUUCUAGCACAAGCAAUGACAACCCCCAACCUAUUGUUACCCCACACGGUGAUGCGCUAAUGCUGAAAAAUUAAUGGGUUAAGCCAAUUUACCAGAGCGGACGUGUCUGAGUUCGUAUAAUCGAGAGAGAUGCGAAUCUACUGCUUUAGAGCCCCAAUCUUGGCCUAAAGUAAUUCAGUAGAAAUAUGCAGUUUCAACCGUCGAUCCACCAGGGGCAAAAUUGUCCAACUUUUUCUGUGUAACCUGAAACAGAAAAUAAACAGUAUCAGUACGUUUAGGGGAUUGAAAAGAGCAAACUGCCUGAAGGAAGUUCGUCCGGAAUCGCCACCACGCGCCGCCGUUGGAUGUCACCACUGGCGCUACGUGCCGCACUAGAAAGGGCGCUUCAGCCUACUGGUUUCGGAUAUGGGAUUGGUUUCACCAGAAAGUCACUGGUUUGGCCGAAAAAUGGGACUGCAGGUUCGAUUUCCUAUAGAAAUCGCGCACACCAUCGCCAAUUUUGGGUAAUUUUCUGAUCGGAGAAGGUUACUCCGGCUCUAAUACCAGAUGUAGGGAUGAUUUCCAGCAAAUACCAAGUUCAAACCGGGCUCAGUUUUACCUAUUUCAUCGACACCACCAAGGUUGAGACAACUCCAAAACCACCACCAAGGCCGCCCCACUUCCGAUUGCUAUAGGUUGGGAAGAUGAAUUUGUGGACCAAACAAGGCUCGACUCAAUAUUAAUGAGCUUCAAAUUAAUAAUAUAGCCUUCAAAGGAAAUGGGGUGAACCGCGAGCAACACUAUUAACAAUAGGUUGCAUCGAACGGUCCAUACGAAUGUGGAUUGUGUUGUCUCGAUAAUUGUGUCAUGUACUAGUCAAUCAUAUGGCCAAGACCGAUUGAUAAUAAAACCAAGGUUACAUCAUAGCCAGGGGAGGUCGUUUGACAACAAAUUGCCUAACAAGAACCUUUUUCGAUAUAGCUCUUUUUUGAUAAGCUAAGAAUACCCCGAGAACGAUCUCUGUGUAUAUGAAUUCCUAAUACAAAAGAGGCGUCACCAAGAUCUUUCAUCUCAAAAUUCUUUGCUAUAAAUCUCUUGGUUUUGUGCAAUAAGCCUAUAUCGUUGCUAGCAAGCAAUAUGUCAUUGACAUAUAAAAUCUGAAAAAUAUACAUGCUCCCACUGAACUUGUGGUAUAUACAAUCAUCGACCAAAUUCAUCUCAAAACCAAAUGAGAUGAUCACUUGAUGAAACUUGUAAUACCAUUGACGAGACGCAUGUUUGAGACCAUAGAUGGAUUUCUUUAAUUUACAAACCAUUUGUUUUGCAUCGUCCGAUAUAAAAUUUUAUGGUUGUACCAUAUAAAUUGUUUCAUCAAGUCACCAUUGAGAAAUGCUGUUUUAACAUCCAUCUGAUGUAACUCAAGAUCGAAAUGCACUACCAAUGCCAUUAUAGUCCUGAAAGAGUCUUUCGAAGAAAUCGGAGAGAAAGUCUCUUUAUAAUCGAUGCCUUCUUUCUGUGUAAAGCCCUUUGUGACAAGAUGAGACUUAUACCUCUCUACAUCACGUUUCAAAUCCAUCUUGGUCUUAAAUAUCCAUUUGCAACCAAUGGAUUUUGCACCUUCAGGCAAUGGAACGAGGUCCCAUAUAUCAUUGUCCUUCAUGGACUUUAUCUCUUCAUUCAUGGCAUCGAGCCACUUUUGAGAGUUAGAACUUUCCAUGCCUUGACGAGAGUUGGUCGGAUCAUCUUCCACCAUUCCAAUGUCAACUUCAUGUUCUUGGAGAAAUACGAUGUAAUCAUUCGAAACCGCAUUUCCCCUCUGUCUAGUGGAUCUUCUUAAUGGCAUCGGUUCUUGAGGUUAGAGUUUAUUCUUCUAGAACAAUUUGUUGAUAUUGAGAGGGAGGUAUGACAUUGUCUUAAUCCAGAGUUGCUUCUUGAACAAUAUCAGGGAUAGAAACAUGUUCAUUGUCAAUGGCAAUUGGAGGAAUUUCAACAUAUUCCUCCUCAAAGACAAAGCCUGUAACCCUUUCUCUCCCCAUAAACUCAACAUCCUCAAAGAACCGAGCAUUUUCUGUCUCAAAAAUUGCCUUAGUUGUGGGAUCAUAAAACUUGUAACCCCUGGACCUUUCAGAAUAUCCAAUAAAAUAGCAACUGAUGGUCCUUGCGUCCAGUUUCUUUUCAUUUGGGUAUAGGGCCAUGCCUCAGCUGGACACCCCCAAAUAUGUAUAUGCUUCAAACUAGGCUUCUUGCCCGUCCAAAGCUCAUAUGGGGUUUUAUCAGUGGCCUUAGUUGGAACUCUGUUGAGUAUAUAAGCUGCGGUCUUUAAUGCUUCACCCCAGAGAGAUUCUGAUAAGGUAGAAUGAUUAAUCAUACUCCUCAUCAUGUCCUUAAGCAUUCUAUUUCAUCUCUCAGCAACAUCAUUCAUAGUGGGCGAACCCGGCAUAGUGUACCGUGGGACGAUACCGCAUUCCUCUAGGAAUUUAGCAAAUGGUCCUGGACGUUGUUCACCUGAACCAUCAUAUCUGCCAUAGUAUUCACCCCUAGGAUCAGAUCUGACGCUUUUAAUCCUUUUGCCGAGUUGGUUCUCAACUUCAGCUUUAUAGUUUUUGAAUACAUCUCGUGACUGUGAUUUUUCAUGAACGAGAUAUAUGUAGCCAUAUCUAGAAUAGUCAUCUAUGAAUGUUAUAAAAUAUUGUUGACCAUUCCAAGAACCCGAAGGGAAUGGUCCACAAAUAUCCGUAUGUAUAAGUUCUAAGACGUCCGAAAUCCUAUUGGCUUGAAAUCUCCUUUUAUUGAUUUGUUUUCCCUUUAUACAAUUGACACACAAAUCAUAAUCUAUGAAGUCAAGAGGGUGGAGAAUCCCGUCAGACACAAGUCUCUCAAUUCUCCUUUUGGAGAUGUGACCUAAUCUCUUGUGCCACAACGAAACAGAAUUCUUGUCGUUUAAUUUUCGCUUUACACUCCGAGUACUUACAUGCAGGGAUUCAUUAAAAGAAGCAAUUGUAUCAAUUGAAUAAAGAUUAUCGUAGCCUGAUAAAGAACCGGAGCCAACCAAUUUUGAAUUAUGAAAUAAACUAAAUUUUCCAUUUCCAAAUGAACAAGGAUAACCAAAUUUGUCCAAAACAGAAAUAGAAAUCAAACUCCAUCUAAAAGACGGUACAAUAAAUGUCUCAACAAGAUCCAAAUAAAAUCCAGUCUUUAACUGUAAUCUAAAUUUUCCUAUUGCCUCUACUUCCACCUUCUUGUCGUCCCCAGAAUAGAUGUAUCUUUCACCAUCACUUGGUUUUCGGCAACUCAGGCAACCCUGCAUAGACAUACUGAUGUGAAUUGUUACACCAGAAUCUACCCACCACGUAUGUCUAGGUACCGAAGUUAAAUUAACCUCAGAACAAACCAAAUGAAAAAGAAUACCUUUCUUUACACGCCAUGCGUGGUAAUUGGUGCAAUUCUUCUUCUUAUGACCAGCAGUUCCACAAAAGAAACAACUAUCUUCAGUUAGUUACUUAUGCUGUUUCUUUUGCGGUGCCGUACCCGCAGCUUCCUUAUUAAUCUUCCUUUUCUUGUUCCUUUUAUCCUUAGAGGUGGUGGCCAAAUGAGCACUUUCUGUCUUCUCAUGCUUCAAUCUUUCCUCUUCCUGGACACAGUGUGAGAUGAGCUCAUUAGGCGACCAUGAGUCAUUUUGACCGAAAGGGAUAUCAGAACCAAAUGCACCAACAAGUCUUCAGAUAAAUCCAACUUGAGUGCCUUUAGUUUUGAAGCAAUAUGAGACAUUUCCAUAAUGUACUCCUGAAUAUUUCAUUUCCCUUUAUACCUCAUUGAGACAAGGUUUACCAAAAGUGUAUUUGUUUCAGCCUUUUUCAUUCUUGGCAAAUCUCUUCUCAAGAUCCUUAAGGAAACCCUUAGCCUAGUUACCUUUUCGGACAUAGUGCCUCGGAAUGCUUCUGGAAUAGCACGCUUCAUGACCAUUAAACUUAUGCGGUUCGAUCUUUCUCACUUUUUCAUCUCCCUCUUGUCAUCAGAGGUACUCUUAUCAGUAAGUGCAGCAUGUUGAUCGACCCGCAAAGCAAGGUCUAGGUCCAUAACUCCGAGAACAAUCAUCACGUUCUCUUGCCAUGCCCUGCCAUUUAGCAUUGGAAUUGAAUUGAUGCUAGCAGAGAUAUUUGUAAUAGAACCUGAAACUGAACUAGAGAACAUUUAUUAUGAAUAGCUCACAUGAAUAUCUUUAAUAUACAAAUAAUAAUAAUCUCAAAUAGUGAUGGGGCCCAUCACAAGAUACCAAGCACAAUAUCAAUAUCCAGUCUUUGGACAGAGAUAUUGAUUUGUAAGUAGUACUCUUGGCGUAGUGAUCAAACAUUGACGAUAAAAAAAUGUAUCAAUCAAUAAACCUUUCUUUGGACCGAUUUAUUGAUCACACAUUAAACCAAAUAAUCAUCACACGUUUACCACCACAGGCACACAUGUAUUCGGCUAAAUAUUGACCUUCCUUUGGGCCGACCAAUAUUCCCAUGAAUAACACAUGCACAAAUACUUUUUAAUAUUCUAAAUUAGUCAAUUUUCAAAAGAGAAGCAACUUUCGAAAAUUAUAUCUCUUAAAAGAGUCCUUAGUACCAAAAUUUGAGAAAGAAAAUUGCCAAUUUUGCAUAGUUUGUUUAGUUUUAAACUUUAGGAGCCUUAGAAUUAAUCAUUCAAAACUUUAAGGGGGCUGAAUUAAUUAAUUCCAAACUUUACGGGUUGAAAUUAAUAAAUUUGAAACUUUAGGGACCAUAAUUAAUUAAUUCAAAACUUUAGAGGAUCAAUUAGGACAAAAUUAAAACUUUAGGGGCCAAAAAUUGACCCAAUUCAAAACUUUAAGGAUCAAAUUUUGAAAAUUUGAAAAUUUGGGGGCCAAUUUGAAUUAAUAAUUAAAGUUUGAGGGCUUUAAUUAUAAAUUUCAGAACUUUAAUGGCCUGAAUUAAUUAAUUUUUAAACCUUAGGGACUAAAUUAUUAAAUCCAAAACUUAAAGGCCCAAAUCUGAAUAUAACUUAAAUGUUAAGGACUGAAACUUUAAUUUUAUAACCCUAACUGUAAUUGUAAGCAAGGGCCUCAAGUAGUCUAAUUUACAAGACAAGCCCCACCCCCAAAAUCUCAAAAAAAUAAAAAAAUUGAAAACCCUAAGAAAAAAAUUUUCUUUUUCUUCUCUCCCUUGUGGCGGCGCACUCUGACACCGCCCUGAGUAAGGGCGCCAAUCACGCCGGCGCUAGCACUAGCAGCGCGAAGCGCGCUGCAGCACCUCACGCUGCUGGCAGAAGCGUCAGCAGCACGGUGCUGUUCGUAGCAGCCGAGCUGCUACAUCUUUGCAGCCACCGGAAUUUAAUUUAAUUUUUUUUUAAACCCAAAAUUUGUAAUUUUAAAUCCAAAAAAUCUGUAAUUCUUCAAGAAAAUUCAGAAUCUGAAUUCCAAAGUCUUUAAUCCAAAUAUGAAAAAUAAUAACAAAAAAUAUACCACAAAAGCUUUCAAAUUCAACAAAAUAAAGAUCUAAACUUGUUAAAUUUGAAAACUUCAAAAGAAUAUUGCAAGAACCAAAAAAAUUAUUCGAUUCUCAAUGAUUCAACAUGAAAAGGUUCUGAUACCAGUUGUAGUAUAAUUUAGUGAUUUAAAUCACCGGAUCCUUCAUGUUAAAUCAUCAAGAAAUACAUAAAUAUGGCGGAAGCAUACCUGAAUCAGACAUAGUUAAUGCAAUAAUGAAUUACGCGGUAUAGUCUUCCAAAUCUACACGCAGCUUCCUUUUUUCUCUCUGUGAUAGGAUGCAGAAGAGAAUGAAUAAUACGUACGUGUGAUUUGGGGACCAUAACCGUAUUUAUAUAGCGACGCCCUUUGACCUAAUUCGGCUCAUCAUAGAAUUAGGACUUUGGCCCGAUCUCUACAUAUAUAUAAAUGAGGAAAUUACACCAAAGCAAGUUUUUAAAUUUUCCAAUUCAAAAAUGAAGUUUAAGGAUUUUUUAUUCAAAAAUCAGGUGAAAUUUAAAUUUUAAUAUUAAUAAUAAUAUUAAAAAAUAAAUUAAUCUAAAUAUUCAUCUCACCCCAUUCAAUUCCAACCAUCCUAUUGAAUUUAACUUCCAAACCCUAAGUAUCUUCGUCUCUCCUCUUUCUCUCACUUUUCACCCCUCUCCCCCUCUCUCUCUCUCUCUCACACUUCUUUCUUCUCUCUUCAGUCGCUAGCCACCUCCGCCACCAAACAGCCUUCUUCUCCAUCUCUCUUCGGUGAUGACACCUUGUCUUUUUUGUGCUGGUCAAUGCCUCUCUUGUUCUGAGCGCAGGUGCAGCGGCUGCCGCAACUGCAAGUCUAGAUCUCUUGGACUCGCUAAGAAAUCCCUCGAAGAAGCCAAUGAGGGUUGAUAGACCUCAUCCACAGAAAAUUGGAUUUUCUCAAUCGGUAUCUCUAAAGCAGGUGCUAAAGGGGCUUUGCAUUUCUCAGGUUGCAGUGAAGAGGAUAGGGACAGAUCUGUUUUAAUUGAAGUUGGGGAAUCUGGCUUCUCUCUAACUGAUGGUGUAUUCGAUUUUGAUCGAUUAUGUGAGGUGACUAUAUGGUGUGUGGUUGUCGAAUUUUUGGGGCAAUGUUGUUGCAAUUGUUUGAUGACGUCGCUGCAGUUUGGUAUUGCUGUUUGAUGUUGUGGUGGUUAUGGUGGUGAGGUGGUGGUGCUGGGGAUAGGGACUCUUUUCAGAUCAGUGAUUUGAGAUAGUGGUAUAGUUGGAUGCCGUGGAGUUAGGUGGUGGUCCUCGUUGUAGUCAUCGCUUCAGAUUUUUUAGGAUGGUUUCGAGUCUAUCUGGCUGGUCAAAGUUUUUGGUGGUUUUUGCAGGCGAGGUUGCAAAUGGUGAUAGUGGUGAUGGUGUAGAGGCGGUGGUGGUGUAGCUAUUUUGAUCCGUGGGUGGUGUUAUCUGAUGUGCAGGAGUCGAUGCAGUGGUGGCUCAGGUGGUGUUGACUAAUUGUUGUGACAUGAUAGGGGUGCAAUGGUGGAGAUUGAUAGUGUUUGUGACCAAGUACUGUGGUGGAAUUGGAUCGGGAUCGAGUGUGGUGUUGCGGUGGUAGUGCAAUCGACGAUUGGAUGGUGGUGGUUUGUGACCAAGAUUGGUGCUGGAUAGGACCGGUGGAAGUGGUGACCAUAAAGUUUGGUCUGUGACCUUAAAAUUUGACGAUUUGUGACUAAAACAAUAAUAUGUGACCUUAACGAUUUGGUCCGUGACCUUAAAAUUUGAUAAUCUGUGAGUAAAAAAGUUCAUGACCUAUAAAAUUUUUGAUUUGUGACUUCGAAAUAAUCCGUGACCAAUUAAUUUAAUGAUAUGUGACUAGUAAAUAAAUAUGUGAAAUUUGUGACCAUUAAUUGUUUAACUGUGACUUUAAUAUAUUUAUUUAAUAAAUAAUUUUAAUUAAUUAAAUACAAACCUGAAUUUUGAAUUUUCAAACUUCUUACCUGGCUUUUGAAAUGGUGUAAAGAAUACACCUUAAAUAUGAUUUUUUUUCCCUAUGUAAAUCCACACUUUAAUUGAAUAUAUUAAAGCCCAAAAUCGUAGCCUUAUUAGAUCACUUUAAUUGGUCUCAACUGAAUUCGAUAGCCUUUAAUUUAACACACAAUUAUUCACACAUAUAAGUUCAUUGAUGGAUUAAAAAUCCUUACAUUAACAUCUCUACUGAAUGCUUGUUUGGUAGGGAUUUUGUUAAUUGAUUUUUUGACCGUUAGAGAUAAAUUGGGUCUUACCUGUGAGAGAAGAAUUCAAAAAUGAUGGCGGAAUAGUGAAAUAACGGUCAAAAAAUUAAUGUUAAUUUGAUUAAAAUAACUACCAAACAUGCUUUGAAUUACAGAACUGAACUACUAACUAAUUUCGUAAACUCUUUUCUUUUUCUUUUUUUUUUCUUUCUUCUUCAUCAAGUAGCUUGUCAAAUAAUUCGAAUAAUUACAUUGAAUAAAAUGAAGGUCUCUCGAAACCACGGUAACAGGAUUUCCAGCUGGAAAAUCAUAUCAUUUGUAGUUGUUUAACGUGAAUGCCUACAUAAAUAACUUAGGCACAGUCAUACAUUAUGUCUCAACACCCAUUACGGAUUUGUGGCUCGCCACAGGAAUGAGGUAUGCACUUACUAUAUAUUUGAUCAACUCUAGAAAUGGUAAACAUACGUUGUCGGGCAUUGGCAUUGGAAAUUGGACUUUCAACUUGGCUAGGCAUGCUUGUUUGCUCAACAACGGAUGCCUCGACAACCUCUGGUGCUGUAAUAUAGAAAAAUUAGUUGUAGAAACCUUUUUAAAACAGCUAUUAAAAUUCAAAAAGUGUUUGUAAUCGGCCACAUUAAAAUUACCUUUUGGGAAGUUCUGUUUUAUAUCCAAAAACUGCUCAACAAUAGUCAGACAAGUAGGGAAAGUUUGGGUAAAACCGGAUCUAAGCGUUGACUAAGUAAGUGUCCUAUAGUAAGAGGAAUAAUUAUGAGCCCUGUAGAAACAGAAUUUCCACAAAAUUGGCUGACGGAUGGUAUUCAGAUAAAAAUCUUAUUUCCUUUCUGUCUGAAACCUUGGAAUAGAUCUAAACUCCGAUUCUCUCAAUAUAUAUAUAUAUAUAUAUAAAGAAAAUCAGAAACUUACCCUGUUGGGCAUUGACAUUGGAAAUUGGAAUUUCAACUUUGACUUCAACUUGGCUAGGCGUGCUUGGCAGCUCAAUGGAUGCCUCAACAACCUCUGGUGUUGUAAUUGUAGAAAAAUUAGUCGCAAUUACCUUUUUAGAAUAAUGAUUAAAAAAAAAAAAAAAAAAAAAAUUAUCAAUCGAUAGUGAUUUCAUUCAUGACAGUACGACAUUUUAAACUUAAAUUGUUCAUUGUUAACUAUUGUGAUUUAUUUGGACAAAAUCUCUCAAUGAUUUUGUUUUACUGGAUAUAACUGCCUCUAAAUAUUUUAUUUUGCUGACUAGUUUUUAACAGAUAUAAAUUUGGAAUAACUAAAAUAAAUAAUAACCAUAAGAUAAUUGUAAUACAAAAUAAAAGAAGUCCUCGGUCCAAUCAAAAACUUAUAAAUGCUUACUUGAAGUAUGCCGUUCUGAAGUAUUGACCCCUCACAUAAAUUUCAUAUAUCGGCCAGCUAUCUCAAUUUAAUUAUUUUCUCCAAAUUAAAUACAUGAUCUAUUUUCAACAGUGGCUGGCUUGUUUAUAAACAUGAGUGUCCAAGAAUACGCACGAACCUUGUUGUCGAUUUUAUCCCACAAGUGGACGGAUCGUAACAAGUAGUAAAGUGGACCUUUUGAGUUCGGAUUAUCGUUCCCACGAGGACUAUAUUUUAGUGGUUAAUUUAUUAUUCCUAAUUUCUAUUUAAUGAAAAUAAAUAAAUAAAUAGAAAUUGAAUGUGAUUUUUAAAUCAAUCUAAAUACUAAAAAAAAUGCAAAUGGAUGCAACAGAAAAUAAGCGAGAAUUCAAAUAAUAAACGGGCAUUAGGGCGGAACAAUUUCACCUAAUGGUUACCUUUAUUUCAUAAAUCAAGAUUCAUACAACCUAAAGUAGUGUUCGGUCAAAUCCUUCUAUGGUAUUCAACUUACCCCUCUCGAGUUCUCGUUGAACCUAUUUAAUUAGUUCAAUUUCAUGUCUCUAUGCAAAUUAAAUUUAAUUAAACGCAACAUUAGUUCUAAGAAUUCACACACGACCGCAGCAAUCAAUAAAAGUAUCUCUACACGUUAUAUCAAUUUACCGGAUUUUAACAUGUAGUCUAAACAAAUAAUCCGUAUCUCUACGCAAUCAUUGUUCACAAAUCAUCUAAUUAGUUAUCAAGUAAUUAAAAGCAUUAAGCACGACAUUAAAAUCAACACAUCAAAAAUUAAAGCACUAGAAUCUUAAUUCAACGAAAUAAAGGAAUCCAAUUAAGUUAGAUUGUUCGUCCUAAAUCAAAUUUAGCUAUUCAUAAUAAUGGAAGAAACACAAGAUAAAAUAAUGGAAGAUAUCACCGGGAUUAAUUGACGAAACGUGAAUGAAAUUUCAAUUUUACUCCAGUCGACAGCUUCAAUGUUUGGAGUCCAAUUCUUCCUCGGUUUCCUGUAUGUAUAAGUGAUAAAUUCCAGCAAUUUCUGAGCUUCUCUGUGUGCCUUUCCUCAAUUUCUGUGAGUGCCUCCAAUAUUUAAUUGUAAUCCCAGCUGGAACUUCUCAAUUCUGCCCCCUCAAGCUGCCGUCUAUUGGUGUGUAUGUAAAUAUAAUAAUUGCCGGCAGCUUCAAUUCUUGCCUCCAAAUCUGCUUUCGACUUCCCUCUAUGCUUUACACGUUUCUCAAUUGAUUUAUCCAAUUGUGUGUCGGGCCUUCUUCCAAUUAAUCCUAGCAGUCCGCAAUUGAAUUUUUGUCCAGCCGUUAGAAAUUCUUUCGAAGUGUUGUAUUUGGCCGGCUGCAGUUCUCCUUCCAGAAAGUGCGUUCUGCUGGCUGCAAGGGGUAAAUAUAUAUGUAUGUAAUUCCAAUUUCCAGCAACCAAUUCCCCCAGGUUGUCUCCCCAAUUCCACCUCUCCAAUUCGUCUUUUUUUUUAUGUGGCUGUUUCCACCGAUUUUUUUGUCUUCAGAAAACUCCCCUCCGUUCUCCUAGUUGGUAUGUAUAUAUAUAUUAUAUAUAAAAAACCUAGGGCCACCCUAGUUGACUAAGAAAAGGAUUCUCUCUCCUCUCUUUACUUGGCUUGUACGUGCUUAUAUAUAUAAAAUAACCUAGCCACAAUAUGACUUCAAAAUAGAUUCUAGUAAUGCCAAUUGCCUGCCACCUUUGUUGACUAAAGAAAACUCUAAUUCAUGCAUGCAUGUAGGGGUUAAAUCAACACCAAUUGAUACCAUAAUUAUUCUUCAAGUCAUUCCACUUUUUAAGUUAAUGCAAUGUAGUCCUUGAGUUCCUUCAUUGUGCAAUCAACAUCCUCUUUAAUUUUUCAAGUGUUGAAUUUGAUCUUCAAUAUUGCAUCCACUAGCCAAUUUGUUCUUCAUCCUUUUCCAUUUCCUCCAAACGAGUCCAUCACUAAAAACAAACUAAAAUUAACUCAAGUUAAAUAGAAAUUAAUAAUUUGACGACAUAAAAGCUUAAUAAAAUGGUCUAAAUAAGUGCAUAAUUUGUACUCAUCAAACCUCCACGAGACAACUCCGACUGAUCAGCCCUUGCUGGUUCUAGAUCUGGAUACGAUUCAUAACUUCUCGAGCUCAUUGCUUUAUCCGUCCUUAGUCUUCUUCUACCCGUUGACCUGGAAAGAUAUCAAGAAAACCAGUAUUCUGUAGAUAAUUGGUAUCAGUUGUGUUAAUUUCUACAUAAAUGGUAAAUUUUUUAUAACAUUUCAACAUUGUGCACGUGACAGCUGAUCAGCUAUAGUAGUUUCAGUACUUGAUCAUAUAUAGAAAUGCUGUGAAUGCUGAUUAUUCCGUGCAGGCUCGGGUGAUACUGCCCAAAAGUACUUUUAAAAUGCUUUUAAGAACACCCAAACAAGCCCUCUCAAUUAGUUCUGUGCUAUGCUGCAUGGAAAGUGUUAGCGAAGGCAGUGAAUUUAUAGCUGAAGUCCUCAAUUAUUAUUCUAUUUUUUUAUUUUUAUUUUUUGGAGAAAAUUGCAGUAUUUGUCUUCAAUCUAUUGCCUUAUUAGCAAAUCAGUCUCUAAUAUAUUUUCUUGACAUUUAAAAACCUCAAAUUACAAAAUCAAACUGAAAUCGUUAUUUUCAGACCAUUGAUUUGGAUCUACAUAGACCCAUGAAUGUUUAGGUUUAUCAUUUAAAAUCGAGUUGAACCAUUAAUAUAAUUAGGAAAGAAGAAAACAAAUCCUAAGUUUGAGAGUUCAGGAAGCUGCCUGAAAAGUGAAAGCAAUUUAAACUAAACACCACUAUUUUCACUAUUUCAAUCUAUUAAAAAAGUGUUUGAUGGAAAUUAAAAUUAGAUUUUUUAGUAGAUUGUGAUAGAAAUUUUUAAAAUGUGUGGUUGAAUUAAUAUGAAUUGUUUGACUUUGAUUUAUAUUAAAAUCACAUUUUAAUCUAAAUCAAACAGGCACUAAGAUUCAUAGCCACAAAGCAAUUAUUUUAUAAGCGAUGAAUUAUAAUUAUAUCGUUACACCUUCCCCACUUAUUUGCUUGCUAUUUUGAUUCGUCAUUUUUUCCCCAUCCCGAACAAUUAUUAGUCAAUAAUGCAUAAUAAUUUUAUCAGAAAAUAAAGUUUAUUGGAUUUUCUUUAGUUAAUUGAACUUCUUCGCAUGCUCACGUGGUUCUUUUAUUGAUAUUACUUUUUUGUCCUUCUUUUCUAUUAAUUUCUUGAGAAGUGAAGAACAUAUGAGUUUCAAAUGUUAUAUUAAUAUUCUAGGAAAAAAUGGAAAAAUGUACUAUCCUUGUGCAUUUGGGGAGGCGCUUUCAUUAAGUAUUGUCAUCUUGUAGUUUAUUUUCACACCUCAUUUUGCAUUUAAAUUCAAAACCAAGGAAUUGUUUUUCCACAAAACCAAGGAAAAUGGGUCACGUGAGGGGUGAGGAAAAUGAGUUGCCAGGAAAAUUUUUGCAAUCAAAUAAUGAAAAGGUGGAAAAAAAAAUUUCCAUUUUCCAUGAAAAAUUGACCGAAUCAAACAGGCCCUUAAUAGUUAAUGCCUACAAAUGAAAAAGAAAGUGAAAGAGAGAUAUUAGUUCAUUGUUCUAUGAAGUAAUUGCUUCACUUUGUUGUAUUUGAGUGAAAAUUUAUUGAUUGCUUACUUGACAGACAAAUAAAAAAUAUAUAAUCGUUUUAAAUAGUUUGAUUUAUAUAUGGCAAAAAUCAUUCAAAUUCAACCAUUUUUUCCUUAAUCUUCAUGUGAAAGAGUGGCAACAUACCUAAUAUUAUUUAGGUCAUGUUUUGUCUUCAUUUUCUAAGAUUUAUUUUUCUUCAAAUUCUUUCAAUAAAACAAUAUUUCAGGUUGAUCCGUAGCUGUUUCCUACUUUUUAAUCACACAUUCUUUAAAAAAAAAUCAUGUUUACAAAAUAUAUUCUCAAAAAAUCUCUAUCAAACAUGUACUUAAUUGUUUUAGCAGCAAUGGUUGCAAAGGUUCGGUGGUUGAAAUCAGUUGCAUGUGGUGUGGUCCAUUAGGAAAUGUGAUAUAUGAGAUUUUCUGCAUUUUUGUUAACUAGGAAAUACGGUGUUACAUAACUUUAAAUAUGUGCUUAUUAAACCUUUGUUUGAGGAACCGUGCUGCACUUACCAAAAGGAAAGUCAUAGAAUUUUUUCAGACAACUCACAUGGGCAUGGGUGGGUGAUAUUUUUUGGCCUUUUUUUGUCAUACAUGGGACCCACAUAUGUGUCUAUUCCGAUAGAAUUCUGUGAACUGAAAUUCUAUACAAAUGGAAAUUUUUUUGAUUGAACUCCAUUUUCUCAAAACUCAUUUUUUUCAAAAUUUAUUUUCGAUUACAUCUUUUUUUAAUAAAAUAAUUUUACAUAUAAAUUUCACGUGUGCUCAAUAACUGCUUCUCUAAAUUUAUUUUGUUCUUCUAAAAGUCAAAUUAACUUCUCUUUCAUUGAAAUUUUCUAGUGAAGAUAAUUCUUUUCACUGAGGGUACUUAUGUUGCAUCCCAUAAAAACAUAUAUUAAGAUACGGAGUUCGACUUACAAAAUUUACAUAAGCUAUUCUUGUUAAGAAGAAUGACAGCUAUUCUUGUUAAGAAGAAUGACACAUACUCCUUUCUGUUAGUUAUUUGUCGUACAUAUAAUCAAUAUUAAUAUCGACAAAUAUGUGUUACUCAUAAGCUGAUCAUCUCACGGACGAAGGGUGAUGAAUGUGGUUAUAAAAUAUACAGCAUGAAAGAAUUAAACUUGACCAUUAAGUUACAAGCAUAACUGAAUAAUAAUAUAUUAUAAAAUUUCAAAAAAAGAAAAAAAAAUGGUCCAAUACCGCUCUAUUAGACCAGUCUACAAUCGAUGCAACCAAAAAUAAAUAAAUAAUGAAUAUUUAUAUAUAUUUAAAAAAAAAAUCCUUUGAACCAAACUCAAAUAACCCGUCGGAUCAUUGUUAAUUAAAAAUUUCAAAUUUUAUUUAGCAUUUGAAUAGUCGCAUAACACUAUAGACUUCAUUUUCAUCUUCUAGAGUUUUGGAGUAAAGAUUGAAAUAAAUAAAUAAAAUUAAGGAUUAAUUUAGUAAACAGUAAUUAUUAUUACUAACUUUUAUAUAAUAAAAAUAAUUUUUAUUAGAUUUGUCAUGAGUUAACUUACACAUUCAAUCACUAGAUUAGAGGUUGAACUAUUAACUCAAUAACCCAGCUCUAUAGUCAGUGACGGAUCCUGAAUUUUGAGUAAGCGAGGGCAGACGUUAGCAGUUGACCAUCGAUUGUAAUAAAAUAUUAAAAAUCAAAUAUAAUAAUUAUUUUGCUAAAAUUAUAUAUGUUAACAAUAUUCCCCAAAUGACAUAGUAGCAAGGUUUCUUGAAGGAGCAUGGAUUCAAAUUCUUUCAAAUGCAUUAAAACCACUAAAAUAAAUUAUAUGUUACCAAAUAUGUAACCUAAAACUUUUCUCUACUGUCAACAAAAAAAAUAAAAAAUAAAAAAAUAGUUCCCGAUGGAUCCAGCAUGCAAGGCCGCUAAUGUUUGCCAGGUACUGGAUCCACCACUGUCUAUAGUUGGGUUAGGAUUUGAAUUGAAUAUAAAAGCUAGUAUAUUACCUACAAAUAUUUAAGAACUCUAUUACAGGAACGUGAUCAAGCGAACUCUGUGAGCGUAUGAGAUUAUUGAUAAGUAAUAAAUGUGAUGAGAAAAUUUAUUGUUCUACAAGGAAUAAAUUUCAAUUUAAGUGUACUAAUUUUGUUUGAAAUUCAAAUCAUGUAACACAACAGAGAUUAUUUUGUGAUUAUGCUAAGUUAAUAUAAGAUAUAUGUAACACUUGUUUGUUUAUAUCAAAUUGUUGAUGAUUGUAUUGGAAUUUGAAUCCAUAUAUUGCUGUCUAUAAUUCUUGAUUAUACAAUUUAGUUUCGUUCAUGCAUUCUUGACAUCAAUAAAGUUAUUAUAUAUAAUUUUUUCCUAAGAUAAAUUAAAUUUAUUAUAAUCAUGACCCAAUCAUAUAUCUAGUCUGAAUUCGAAUGAUUAGAAUACAUUAAAUUACACGAUUAUCUAGAUGAUUGCACGCGUGAUAUUGUUAUUCCUAAUAUCUAUUAUCUAUGUGUUAAUAUUGCUGUAUUCUGAACUAUUGUGAACUUUUCAGUACUGCAACAAACAACUAAUAAAGAAGUGCAAGAAUUAACUAAAUUACUAGCUUUAACUUAAAUAAAUAAAUGAAAGGGCUUAUCUCAAUGAAUACAUGGGAGGAAUCAGACUAGCGUAAUGAUAUGUGUAAAUUACACAAAAAUUAUUGAAAAAAUAUCACCCGAAAUUUAUAACGAUGAGAGAAACAUGAAAAGUGUACUUUGUCUUCUUGAAUCUUGAUUUCAGAUUUGGAUCUUCAAUCUUCAUCCUAAUUGCCCUCGAUUUGCAUGCUAGUCCUCUUCCUAAUGGUGUAAUUAUGUUAUUUUAUGUUGUAUCUUCGUCCCUUAUAGCAUCUAGUUGCUUAAAUAGUAAUUAGAAUUUCGUCCCCAAAAGAGUUUGUAUCAAAACAGGGAUUAAAUGCGUUCAGGUUGAAAAUAGCAAAGCGCGCAUGCCAUGUAAUCGAUUCAAUCUUGGGUUGGUUGGAACACAGGCUCACAUUCAGGUCGUCCCUAAGCAGUCAUCAACAUUGUUAUUUGACUGAAGUGAUUUAGAGUACGUUAAAAAUCAACUCAAAAGGCUAUAAUUAUUUUAGAAAUAUCAUUUUUUCAAUUCGAACGUUUAUUAUGUGAAACAUGGGUCUCAAUUUGUGGCUGAACUUUUGAAACAUAACUUGUGCAACUAAAAAAUUGAAUUCUUUAAUUGUAUUUUAAUGAUUCACUCAUUGACUUCUACUUACAUCUAAUUAGCAUCCUAGCACUCUCCAAUUAUCGAUAUACAGCUCGAAUAAACUUUUGAAACUUUUCAUUUUAGUCUCCAAAUUUUUGAAUUUCUUUUGUUUUCAUUUGUUUCUUGUUCCUUUCUUCAAAUUCCACUAAUUUGCAUUGAGUUUAACUUAACAAAUAUAAUUAACACGUAAUAUUUCAUUCAAACAAUAAAUAUCUCAAUUCAAUGGCCUAAGUAGGUAUACAGAAUAUACUUUUCGGUAUGUAUUUCAUAAAACUGUCCCUGUUCAUUUUAAUUUGUGCCUACCAAACUAAUUAGAUAUCUGAUUAUAAUGGGAUAUGGAUUUUUUUUUUUUUUAUCAUCCAUUUGCUUGUCUAUAUACGGGCCAUUGAGCACGUGUUAAUGAUCGACUUUCGUUCAUUACUUGAAUCUCCUUGUUGAAGAGUAACAACAUAUUUUAUUUAGGUCAUGUUUAGUAAGGGUGUAAGCAAUUCGAUUUUACCGAUUUUUGACAGAUUUUCAAAUCAAACCGAUUAAAUCGGUUUGAGAAAAACCCUAGCCUAAACCAAACCAUUUUGAACGGUUUGAAAAAAACUCAAAUAUAAACCUAAUGGUUUGGUCCGGUUUUAAACCGCCAGUUUCGCUAUAUGUUUUUUUCCGUCUACUUUAUGUCAUUAAUUCAUUGAAUUCAAUAUAUAUUUAUAUCUUACUAGCAAUAAAUCUAAAACAAACUAAACCCCUGUUUGAACCAAAUUUUUGAAACAAAAAAAAUGAAAAUUUGGAUCAUUAUCCCACAAGUCCAACUACCUUUGUUGACCUGCUGUUUCAUGUGUGGGACCUAACCUCCUCUCCAACAAUCAAUUUUCUCAUUAUGAUGAUAUGGAAAAUAUGGCUCAAACAGAGGCUAAAUAUAUCUACUAUAAAUUUAAAUACCAACUAAAUCAAAGAAAAAUUACAAUAAACUAAAACAUAGUUUUUUCAUUUUUGUUCACCUUUUUUAGGCUAAUGACAAAAUAAUAACAUUACAAUAUAAAUCUACUAAAUUAGAUAUAUGGUCCAAAAAAUAUAAUGAUAUUUAAUAAGACCUCGUAAUCAUCAUAUCUGAAAAAAGGAUACUGAUUAGAUAAAGAGAAUAACCAACAACAAUAAUAAAAUAAUUAUUUAUAAUACCUAAACAUAACAAUUACACAAGUUUAAGUUUGUAUGAUAUUACGAAACGCAUUUAAUUUCAUAUUCUUACCUUAGUUUGUUCCAAAAAAAUUAUUGAUUUGAAACUUUAUUCGUAGCAAAUAUUAUCACUGAAUGUUUAGGAUCUCUUUGUCUCUAAUUGGGUAUAAAGACUACUAUUCAACUUUGAAGAGGCGUGAAAAAUCUGAAAAAGAAGUGUGUGGUGUCGGUGACUCAAGACCGUGUUGGAUGUCGGCUAGAGUUCAUCUAAAUUCUGAAGAGGAAAAUGAUUUUUGAUAGAUUAUAUCAGUCUUGAGAUUAUUAGCUAUGUAUUAGGAUUAUUGGAUGAUAAUAAUAAUAAUAAUAUAUCUGUAUUAUAAAAUUAGAAAUUGACAAAAAUACCCACAAAUGAAACUAUUGAAUUUUACAUAUUUGGAUAAAUUUUCAAAAAAAUUCAUUUUUUAAUUUUUUUUUAUUUUUAUAUAUUUUUUCGCUACUCCGAUUUGGUUUUAAACCGCAAUUAAAAUUCUCAAACCUAAACCAAACCAUUUUGACCGGUUUGAUUUGGGUCAAAACCAUUUCUUUGAUCGGGUCCACGUAGCAUCAAACCGACGGUUUCUAAAAUGCGGUUUUGGUUCGAUUUUUCGGUUUGGUGAUUUUUGCUUACAGCCCUAGCUUAAACUGUACAUCGUUGGGAUGUUUUUCUCUUCAGAAAUUAUUGUCCAUUUACAUGAAAAAUUCUACUGUUCCCAGCUGUAAUUUCUCAAGAAUUAUAUAGUAUUAUAUCCUUCAAGCAGAUGUUAAUGGCCUCUACAAUGUAUCUUGAAAUUUAUUUUUAAGCAUUGACUAUCUAAAAUAAAAAAAAAAAUGUCUUGUAUUUUGAGAGUUUUUUGGAGAUGCUCUCAGCCAGCCAAGAAAAAUGCAUUGAAGUUUUGUUUUGAAAUUUGCAAUAUAAAGCAGUUAAAUACUAAAAUUGAGGUACAAUUAAAUAUAUUUUCAAUAAAAAAAAUUGAUAUUUUGACGAUUAAAUAAAUGAAAUUUGCCACAUUAGAAAAUUAACUAAAUAAAACUUAUUAAAUUUUUUUUCUUUAGGAUAUGGGAUUACGUCCUGAAUUAUAUUUAAAUUAAAAUGCAAAGACGAAGAAAGAAAUAAAAUUGUUGUAUUUUGGGAUAGUUGGGGGUUAUUCAGUCAUUACAUUGCUACUUAGUGGGUUCAUAAUUAAUGUCGUGAUACAAGUUAAUAAUAAAAAAAAAAAAAAAAAGUUGAACCUCAACCUUAAAGGCCCCCACUGUCCCGCCCCUAGAACUUUGUGAGGGAGGUAAAUCUCGGGAUGUGCCUCAAUAGACCAGGGAACAAGAGUUGUAUAUACACUGCACCUACAAGAAGUCCAAUUUCAUGUCUCAGGAAUCGAACCUCCCAUACUGCGACUGUCAACAAGACAUGAGAUAACCGCAUUCCUGUCCUUUGCACCACUGGAUUAUGCCCCGAGGGCAAUACAAGUUAAUAAUUAUUAUGCGAAGAAUGGAGACUAAGUAGCAACUUUGCAACUAUUAGAGUGUUUAGUUAAUAUUAUUUCUACUUAUGAUUUAGAUCCACAAUUGUAAUUCACUACUUAAUGACUAUUUUAGAUAAUAUUUUAAAUGAUGUACAUGUGACUUCAUUUAGCUGUUUAAACAUUUAAAUCAAUGAUAAAGUGUUUCAACAUUAUGUACUUUAUUUUGCAAACUUACACAAUUUCAUUACAUUUUAUUCAACUUCGAUCACUAAUCUAUACACAGUUUAGAACUGAUUUAAAAAUUUCUCCACUUAAAAUCAAAAAUUUCUUAAGUAAUCACUUAAUUGCUCGUCACAAUAGAGGCGAUCCACAUAUGAUAUUUAAUUUACAUUAUUGAGACAUAACUACAGUGUUAUGCUUACUUUUUAUAGUUUCUCCAGAUUGGACAUUAUCGUUGAAUCAUACCUUGAAAUUUGCAUUCAUACGGUAUGACUUUUAGCACUUUGAACACUUAAACUGCUAAUGUUACUCCUUCAUCAUCUCCAUUAUUAGCACGGUCUCUUUCCCUGUUCUUAUUUUAAACUAACCAAGGAAUUCAUAGAAACUCUCCUUGCAAAUGAAGAAUUACAACAUUUUUAUACUUAGUGGUUCACGUCUCUAGCACCAUCAACGCCCUCUUUACUCAUAUGUAAUUGUUUAUGUACAAGUAACUCAUUAUUCUAAAUUAAGAGGGUGUUUGAGAGCUAUUUUUAUGUAAAAAUACAUUUUAGAAUAAUAAUUUGAUGGGAAUUGUGUGGUUGAAAAAGAAGGAAAAGUUUUUUAUUUACGUAUAAUAUUAUUUUAAUAAAGAAUGUAGGGUUAAAAAGAAGAGAGAAAAAUACAUUUUGAAAAAAAGAAUGCCGAACGGGAGCUAAAUUGUGAAUUUUGUUAAAAUGUUACUCUUCAACAAGGAGAUUCAAGAAUAAGGAAUCAACGUAAGCCAGAUAUUUAACACAUGCACAACCCCCAAGACCGAUUUAUCAAAUGCAUACGGACGAUGCUACUCGUACCAACCCCCUGAAAAUAGGGGGUCUAUGAUUUUUUUAUUCAUUGUGAAGCCUCCUUUGUUGUUAGGGAUCGGUGCAUAGGAGUGUCAAACCCGAUGUACAAGUAUCAAAAUCCAAUGCAUACCCUCAAGACAGCUCUUAAAUAUCUGUAGGCAAUAUCAUAGUUUCUAGAUUCGACUUUAAAGCUAACCUAGCAGGGGCAAGUAGGGGGAGGCAGGGCUGGGCCCCAAAGGGUUUUUGCCCCCAAACACGGAGGAAGCCUCAAGCUGUCAACCACAUCUGUUCUCUCCAAGAUGUCCAUCACAGAUUCCGAUAAUUUCUCGGCAAUUUUUCAUUUUUGUAAUUUCAACUUUCCGUUGUUACUUUUUCAUCGUCAAAUUUAUCGCAAAAGGCGAACCACAAGAAGAUUAAAGUCGACAUGCGCUGGUUUUCGAGCUAUCAUAUGCUACACGUGAUACUUUCGUAUAUUACAUUGUAUAAUAUUUUAUAUGCAACAAAAACAUUUCAUAAAAAAUGUGUAACAUGUAAUGGAAAUCACAUAUGUAAAAGAAAGGCAGCCUUAAACAUCUUUAGAGAUUAUAAAUUAUGAAUCUGGUGAAAAAGAAAAAAAUGAAAAAAAUAAUAAUGAAAUUUUUAAUUUUUCAAAGGCAAUAUAUUCUUAUUCCACGUAUCACGGAGGUAAUUGGUGUCAAUUAAGCGGGAUCUAUUUUUUGCAUGUAUUAAACAUGGAAAUUUAGGUGCCCGACUUUUAAGGAAUUGUACUCGAUGGUGUUUAGUUGUUUUGUAUUUUAACGUCAUUAUUUAAAUUGUGAAAGGAUAAAAUCUCAUAUCCAAUAAAGAUGAAAAUAUAGAUCAUUUUAUAAGGCUUUGAGCUACUCAUAUCUAAAAGGUUGACCUUUUAAAAUGAAACACUUGAUCCGAUUAAGACUUAAUAAAUGAAUAUACGGAUUUUAAGAUUGAUCUGCUCAAAUGAACCACCAUCUUGCAGGUAUAGCUAUAAAUGGAUCGUAUAUGAAGCAGAUAUGUCCAAAUCCGAUCCGAUUCGUUAAGAAUAAUUAUCGGUCCCAUCCGAUCCAAUAAUUUAACAGAUAUUUGAUUGUUAAAUCCAUAUUUGGUUUGCUAUGUUAUCCGAUAAUCCGAUCCGAAUUUAAAAAAAAAAAAUCAUUGUUCUAAUACAAAUUACUACAUUAAAUUUAAUCAAUAAAUAUGGAUUAUAUUUUUUUAAUUGUUAAACUAAAAUUAAAAAAAAAUUAGUGAUAUAAUAUAGUUUAUUUGUGUAUUUAUUUAUUUAAUUUGUCAUACAGUUCGAUUACGUUUCAACCCUUUGACCCUUAACCCUCUUCAUUUUUUGAAUCGAUGCUCGAGUCAAUGUUUAAAACAUUGGAAAAAAAUUAGAAGGAGAAAUAUUUUAUAUUAGUCAACUUUUAAGCCCUAAACUUAAAAGGCUUAGAUGGGUUUUUAUUCAAUAAAUAAUAAAAUAAUUAUUAUUUUUAUCUUAUUUUAAUUAAUAAAAAAAUAAAUCUCCUUAAAUAUUUCAAAUAACAAUAUCAUAUCAUUAUCUAAUAUUAAUUAUCAUUUGAAAAUUAUGUGUAAAGUAUUUCAAAAUGGAAAAAAUUAUGUUUUAUAAAAACUUCCGAUGAUAUAUAAAAUAUAUUAUAUUAUUAUAAUAAAUCGGAUCGGAUUGAUCUAAAUUCAUAAUUAUUUCAUUUAGUUAAUGAAUUAUCGGAUUCAGAUCUUGAUCGGGUUAUCGGAUUAAGACCCUAAAUCCAUCUCCCAUUAAUUUUAUCGGAUUCGGAUCAAAAUCCAAUCUAUUGACAACCCGACUUGCAGGGGGCAUAUUAAGAGAUAAAAUCUCACGUUGAAUAAAGAAGAAAAUAUAGAUUAAUUUACAAGAUUUUGAGCUACUCCUCUUUGCCAGGUUGAUCUUUUAAGAUGGAACCCUAAAUCCUAUUGUUUUGUAAAUUUUACGUCAAAAAAUUAGUAAUUUGGAGUAAAGAUUUUAAACUGGCAUUUUGUGUUUGUGUUUUUUUUUUUUUUUUGGGUUAGACGAGAUAUAUAUAUAUAUAUACUCUUUAAAAAUUUUUGGACUUACAUAUAAUAUUAUUUUAUUAAAAAAUAAAUUGUUGAAAUGGAUGUCAAAUCACUAUUAGAAAAAAUAUUUUUUAAAGAAAUUUGGCUCAAACAUGGCCUAAUGUUAGUAAUUAUCAUUAUUAUAUACUAAGCCCUCAUUUGUUUUCUAUUAUUUUUUCAUUAAAAUGAAAAAUAUAAUCGUUAUCUAUCACAUUAAGCCAAUGCCCUAUUUGUUUUCCAGUUUUGUAAGAAUAAGAAUGAAAAAUAUAGUUGUUAUGACUUCACACGAGAUAUAAAUUCAAACUUAGUACUUUGAUGUGAUUGAUAACGAUCAUAUUUUUUAUUUUAAUGAGAAAAGAAUGGAAAACAAAUAGGGGCUAAAUUAAUCCUUAAUUUUAGUUUCAAUCUUUGCUCCAAAAACUCUGGAAGAUGAUGGUUUUUAAGAUGAAGUAUAAAAAGCUAUUAGCAAUUUAAAAAAAAAAUGAAAAAUGAAGUCUAGAAUGUUAUGCAACUUUUCAGAUGCUAAAUAAAUUUUUUAAUUUUUAAUUAAACAAUGAUAAACGGGUUAAUGGGUUCGAUUCAAAGGGUUUUUUUUCAUGAAAAUUUGUGUGCGUGUUUUUUUUUUCAAAUUUUAUUUUAUUGUGUGGAUUGUAAACUAGUCUAAUAGAGUGGCUCGAAUAGGUUAAUAUUGGAUCACGGGUUUUUCGCUUGAUCGUCUAUCUUAUUCCAGUUUAAUAAUACUGGGUAAUACAUCUUCAAUGAUUUUUUUCACUAAAUUGGUUGUAGAUAUGAUAUUAUCUAACAUAAAAGGUAUCAUAUUAUUCUUCUUAACAUGUAUUUCUAUGGGAUGCAGCAUAAAUUCCUAAUUCUUUCUUCUUCUCCAUCUUCUUCAUUAUUAUUAUUAUUUUUUUUUUUUUUCAGAGAAUAGUCUUUACUUGAAUAGUUCAAUGAACAAACAGUUACUUUGACUUCUAGUACAAUUGGAUAAGCCCCAUUCGGCUCCAAUUAAAAUUAUAAUACAUUUUUUAAUCUCUUGAUUAAUCACACAUUUUUAAAUAAAACAAAAUUACGCAUAAUUUAAAAAUAUUUUUUCUUUUUUAAUCACACAUUUAAAAAAAAAAAAAAAAAAACCCAUUUUUUAAAUAAGCCUCGUUUGUUCUACAUUUUUUUACCCAUUUUUAGAGAUUAUUUGUCCAUUGCACAGAGCAAUCCAAUUUCAAUUGAUUGAAGUUUCUGACAUAAAAGGACAAUUGCAUAUGAAUUUUGAAGAUUCUACUUUAAGUUUUUGACCUUUUUUACAGGGGUAAAAAGGGUAAGUGAUAAAUGAAAGGAUUCUCAUUAUGCAGGCAUAUGUCUUUUAUCAUGUCAGACGGGUGCAAUGGUCUGAUAAUAUCUAAAAAUGAAUGGGAAAUGGCUACCAAACCCAAGACAAGAAAGUCGCUGGACGCACUACUGUACGGAAAUAAUGAUUUUUUUAUUUUUUUAUUUUUUGGUUCAAUCAUUUGGGACCCAUGAUGUUUAUAUAUUAGUAGAAAAUGGUUUAACCAUGUAAUCUUCAAAUAUUUAAAAGGGUGGUUAUAUUAGCAACGUAGAGCCUAUUUGGUUUAGAUUAAAAAUAAUUAGUCCUUGUUUGAUCUCCAUUUUUUGGUAAAAACACAUUUUUCAACAGUAUUUUAACAUUAUUUCAACCACACAUUUUUCAAUAAAAUAAUAUUACACACAAAUCUAAAAUUUUUCCUUAUUUUUAACCACACAUUUCACAUCAAUAGACUAUUCAAAAAUUCAUUCUAUCCCCCAAAACGGGGCUCAAACAAGGGCUUAAUAUUAAUUAUAUCUUUUAUGGAUCCUACAACUUUUCAAUAACAAAUUUCAAAAACUUCUAUCACAAUAUAUUAAAAAUCUAAUUUUAAUCCCCCACCAAACAUCAUCAUAAUUUUUUUCUUUUUUCUUUUUUUUUUCAAAGACCUUUUAAUUGGAGUAUAGCUCCUCAAUUUUUGCUCAUUAUAGCAAUUAGCUUCUUAAAUUUUUUGUCUAAUUAUUAUCUUUAGCUUUCCAUUAAUUAGUAUAUCUUUUCUUUGAUGAUGAUUUAUAUCAAAAUAUUUUAUUUCCAUGAUUUAAAAUAAGAAAAAAAUAUUUUUUGUACUUAUUUAUUUAUUAAAAGUACAAUGGAAAGAUAAAUUGUUAUACGCUAUUUCAACGUACUUUUUAGGCAUAAACUAUUACAUAAAAACAAAAAUGCGUUAAUUAAUAGAAAGUUCAAGGAUAAGAUCAAUAUCAUAUAAAUUUUUUAGGGACAUAAAUGCUAUAUUGAGUAAAGAUCGAGAACCUUAAAGAGUAUUUUGCCCUUCCGAUAGUGCUAUCUAUGAAUGGAGAGAGGGAAAAAUGUAAUUAUGCAGGAAUAAUUGUAGGAUAAAUUUGAUAUUUUGUAAAAAUGAAAAAAAAAAAAAAAAAAGUCCUAUAUCCUACAACCAUUCUCAAAAUUUUCAUAUUCUAGGAUUAUAUUUUUAAUUCAAAAAAUCCACCAGACGGUGAUAUUUUUAAAUUGUAGUAUACAAAUAGAUUAAUUCACAAUUAUGAGGACGAAACACACGCAAAAGACUAAGGAGCGAGGAAAAUUGCAUAUCAGCUUCCAAACUAGUUAUGUAAUAAUAAAUAGGUCCCUAUUCUACUUUUCUAAUCAUUUUAGUCCCCUCCUUUUAAUUUUUACGUUGCACCAUGCUUUGUAGUUAACAAAAACUAUCCAAUUGUCAGUGAAACAUCCAUACAAGUCUCACAUUACACAUUUCCUAAUGGACCACACCCCAUGCAAAUGAUUUCAACCACCCAUCCUUUGCAACCAUCGUUGGUAAAUCAGUUAUGACGCUUUACGAAACAAGGAAUUCAAGCGAAAAUCUUAAAAAUAUAAUUUUCGAAAUCCACCAAAUUAUGAAGAAAUAAGCUCAUGAAAUUUUAUUAUCAUCUUUUUCAAAAAGUGCAAAAGUAAAACUCUUAAUGCAUGAUUUCAGUUCGACUUUGUAAUCUGACAAGGCGUACUGCAAUUUCCUCCCAAAAAAUGAAUAAUAAUUGAGGGCUUCAGCUAUCAGUUCACUGCCUUUGCUCAAACUUGAGCUAACGCUUUCUAUACAGGGUAGCACAUAACAAAUUGAGACCCUGUUUGGGUGUGCUUAAAAGCAUUUCAAAAGUCCAUUUUGAGCAUUAUCACCCGUGCCUGCGCGAAAUAAUCAGCAUUCGCAUUAUAGCAGAUCAGGAGUUACUUGUACAAUGUUGAAAUGUUAUCAAAUUCAUAUCUACUAUAUAUGCAGAACUUAACCCGAACUGAUAUCAAUUAACAGUAGAAUAUUGGUUUUCUUGAUAUAUUUCCAGGUCAUCGGGUAAAAGAAGACUAAGGAGUGGUAAAGCAACGAGUUGGAGGAGUUAUGAAUCGGAUCCAGAACUAAAUCCCGUUAUGAGCCAAGUUGAAGUGAAAGUAGAAAAUCCAAUUUCCGGAAAUGGUAAGUUUCUCAUUUUAUUUUAUUUUACAAGUUCGGGAGUUGAUCAAAUAUAGGGUAAGUGUAUGAGUCCAAAUUAGGCCUGGACGUGAUUUAGUUUGAAUCGAUUUUACUCCAACUUGAAACUAAAACCAAAUUAGUCGGUUUGGGUGAAUUUCAAUCCAAACCAACUCACUAUAACUCUUACACCGACUUUAUAUUAUAAGAACUAUUGACUGAAAAAUAAAAUCAGGUUAAUAGAGACAGAUCUACAGAAAACUAAAGAAUUUGAUUUUUUUUUUUAACAUUUUGUAAUCUGACUGUUUUAGUAGGGAAAAUAUACUAAGUAUAUUAUAAUGAGCUUGUAAAAGAAAAUUUUCAAUACUAUUACUUACUGACAACAUCAUAUAUUGGCGGGAAUUGAGAUAUGGUUAUGAGAUUAGAACUUAUAUUUUGAUUUUUAUUUUAAAAAAAAAACAUACAAGUGGGUGAAGUCGGUUUGGUUAACUAGCAUUUUGACUCUCAAACCAUUGCUGAACAGACCCAUCGUGAUGUUAUUUAAGAAAAAAAAAAUCUAACCAAAUUAAUUACCUAUGUCAAACUGACCCGAACUGGUUUGAUCGAUUUUCUAUUUUUAUUGCCCACUUCUAGCCAGAAUUUGGACUAUAAAUGGAUUGGAUAUAAACCGGAUCGCCCAUAUCCGAUCCAUUCCGAUCAGAAUAAUUAUUUGAUUUGAUUUGAUAAUCCAACAGAUAUUUGAUUGUUAAAUCCAUAUUUGAUUUUCUAUGUCAUCGAACAUCCGAUCCGAAUUAAAGAAAUUAGGAAAAUAAAAUCAAUGUUGAAAUUAACUUUUUUUAAUACAUAUUUUUCUUUCAAAUUCAUCAAUUCUUAAACGAGUUUAAUAAUUAUGAAUUUCUAACUUGUAGCCAAUUGGAUUGAAAGACAAAAGGUUGCUUAUCCAUUCAUUGACUCAUUUAUUUAUAGAUGACGUUUCUAAACAUUUUGUUAUAAACUUUCGAAGUGGGAUAAUAAUUCAUUUGGUUUCGCUGGAGUACAUUGUACGUUUUGUUUGGUUGUAGUGUAUUUUAGAUUUGGUUUGACAGUAGGAUAUUGAGUAUUUUAUUAUUAUAUAAAUAGAUAUUUAUAUUUUAUUAAAUUAAUCAUUUUUCAUAUCUUUUACUAUUUAAUAAAAAUUUAAAACUCUCCAAAUAAUUCAAUUAACACUAUUAUUAUCUUGCUUAUCGAAUAUAUUUAUUUUAUUAAGCUUUUAACAUUGCAUUUGGUACUAUAAUUUGUAUGUAUCAUUAAAGGUGCAUUUGAUUGCCAAUAUUUUUCAUGGAAAAUGUAUUUUUUCCAUCCAAAUUCUUAUUUUUGUGCUGUUUAAUUAUCAUUUUUUUCAAGGAAAAUGUCCUCUUACUUUUGGUCACGUGAUAAUAAUUUCUUCAAAAUCAAGGAAAAUACUCUCUCUCUCUCUCUCUCUCUCUCUCUCUCUCUCUCUCUCAUCUAUUCACUCAAAUGCCUAGAAUUUAUUUUUUUCCAUACAAAUUUCAUGCUCGCAAUGAAAUGAAAUAAUUUUUAGACCGAUUAAAAUUUUAAAAUAAUAUUAAUAAAAAAAUACAUUUUUACAUUUUUUUACGCCUAGACUUCGUCUAGACUCACCUAACCUGAAACCUUCACGCAUUACGCUUUUGAGAACAUUUUGUACACAUUAAUUGACUUUCUUACUUUUUAUGUUUUGAAUUUGAUGACUUUUUUAUUCUAAAUUUCUUUACUUUCUCAUUUUUUUUAUUUUACUGUCAAAUAACAUGCCAUAAAACUAUUUAACCGACUUAGCUAUUUAUAACAAAUUGGAUAGGGUUGUUAUUGAAUCCAAUUAACCUCUAUCCAUUUUUUAUCCAUUUAAUUAACGGAUUAUAGAAUUAAGAUCUUGAUCGGGUUAUUGGACUAAGACCCUAAAUGUAUCUCCCAUUAAUUUGAUCGAAUUCGGAUCGACUUCGGAUCAAUAUCCAAUCCGGGGGUGGCAAGAUGACUAUGAAUAUGAGCAUAACGUAUAAUCUGCCCAAGUUAUUUAUGUACACGGCCACGUCCCAUGCAAGUUAUAUGAUUUUCCAGCUGGAAAUCCCGUUACAGAGGUCUUAGGUUGGGACUAUGUGACAUCUGUGGCCGAGUGAUAAAACGAACCAUGAGGGGGAGAGAGAGAGGCUUAAAACCUAUUAAGAGGUUUCGACAGACUUGAUUUUGGUUCUAUGCAAUUUUAUUUUGUUCAAUGUAAUUAUUUUCGUCCAAUUUUUCACAUCCCCUACUUGGAAAGUAUCCAAAAAUCAUCAAUAUCCUCGUUAUGAUUUGAACAAAUUUCAACAGUAAUGAGAUGGAAAUUGUUGCAAUUAGCGUUGGAACAACUUCAAUACAAAGUUGAUGUGGCUAGUAAAUAUUAAGAUUUGAUGAUUGUGUACUACGUUAUGUAAGUGGAUUUAUGUCUACUUUAGUUUAAUAUGUGUUACAUAGUUGUGGAGCAUCUUCCACUUUCAACACAUGUCUGACAAUAGUUCUCCCCGAACAUCAUCAGGGGAAGAAAUGAAAAAAAAGUCCGUAGCUUUGUAUAUCGUUAUAUAAAGCUGCUUUAAAAGGAGAUUGGAAAGAUGCUGAAACUACUCUCAGAUUGGGUAAAAGUGCAGGUUCUCUUAAGAUAACAGAAAGAGGAGAAAGGCCUCUUCACAUAGCUGCUCUCGCUAAGCAAACUGCGUUUGCCCAUGAGCUAGUCAAACAAUUGGACAAAGAAGACCUGAAAUUGCUGAAUGAUUAUGGACACACAGCUUUCUAUUUUGUAGCUAUAUCAGGGGUUAUAGAAAUUGCCAAGGCCAUGUAACAAAAAAAUGAAGAACUGACAAAAAUUCGAGACGAAAGGAAUAUGAGCCUGAUUGAAAUGGCAGCUUUGAUGGGAAAGGAAAAAAUGUUUGAAUAUCUUCACGGCAUUACACCUAUUAAUAAAGAUUUCAAGGCCAAGGAGCACAAAGACAUUCUUGUUGCAACUAUCGACAGUGACAUGUAUGGUAUGGAAUCUCUGUUCACGACUAGGGGCAAGAUGACAAUGAAAAUUAUAUUUGCAAUAGUUUCAAAAUUGCUUUUCUUAUAUGUAGAUAUCGCAUUGAAAAUAUUGGAAGCUGAUAGAAGUAUAGACAUUUCUCCAGACGCCGUGAAAGGAAGUGCUCUACACGCAUUAGCUCGAAAAACUUUGUCACACUACGGUACAAGUCAAGAAUGGAUAUGUGAAAAACUCGAGAGAAUCACCCCUUAUGUUCCCUGUAAGACCAUUCUAUUUAUACUAUAUUUGACAGGCAUUGACCCAUAGGGUCACUUGUUGAACCACUGACCCCGUCGAACAACUGCAUUGUCUGAGUCAGUGUCUGGACUGAGUCUGACAACCAUGGUUUAAAGUCUGGACUUUGUGUAUAUACAAACACACAAAUUUUGGUAUUUUCAUUCAUAGCAUACAUUUGUAUAUAUACACGAUUUCUAAAAAUGAGAAAGAACUAUUUUACUACCUACAUCAAAAGCAAAUCCCUGACUAUGCUCUUAAUUAAUUUAAUUACAAUGAAUGAGUAAUACAUGCUGGAAAGAUCAGAUCACAGUGCUAAGAUCAUGGUGAUUUGUUUGCUGAGUUUAUGGAUGAUAUUUCUUCCCUUAUAGAUGAUCAAUACAUAGAUUUAUUCACUUUUUUCUUAGUAGUUGUUUUUUCAUUUUUUUUUUUUUUUGGCUCUGUAGAUAAUAUGAAUUUUAGAAAUAAUUUAGCAAUGAUUUUAGGUUUCAAAAGGGUGUGUGGUUCAAUUCAAAUGUGGAAACAAGCCAAUCAGUUGGUAAAGGAGCUCUGCGCACAAUUAAAGGACUGGGAAAUUUCAGUCAUAUGUAGCCAACCAAAAACUCCUAUGCUUACUGAUGCUGCAAAAAUUGGGAAUGUUGAGUUUUUGACUCUGCUUAUCCGAUCAUAUCCUGAUCUUAUAUGGAAAGCUAACUCAAAUGGUCACACCAUAUUUCAAGUUGCAGUUAUUAACUGACAAGAGAAAGUCUUUAAUCUCAUCUAUGACACAGGAGCUAUUAAAGAUUUAUUGAUGUCCUUAGAAGAUAAAUCUGAAAACAACAUUUUGCAUUUGGUUGCAGAAUUACCACCUUCAAGCAGACUCAAUAUUGUCUCUGGAGCAACCCUUCAAAUGCAUAGAGAACUACUGUGGAUUAAGGUGAGAAAUUAACACGACUAACAAAUUCCCUUUCCUUUGCCCCUCAAAGAGGUGAGGAAUACUUUAUAACAUGACGGUGAAUUGUGUCAUCUCUUGUUUAUCUUGAAUUAUAUAUAUAUAUAUAUAUAUAUAUAUAUAUAUAUAUAUAUAUGUUAAUACAUUAAUUUGAGUAAGCUUUACAAGAGGUGGAGAAGAUUCUACAGCCUUCUGAUGUUCAGAAGAAAAAUAUUAACAAAAAAAACACCUAGGGAGUUGUUUACGGAUGAGCAUGAGAAGUUACGAGUUGCUGGUGAGAAGUGGAUGAAGGACCCAACAACUUUUUGCAUGGUUGUGGCAACCUUAAUUGCCACUGUUGUGUUUGCUGCAGCCUUUACCGUGCCAAGCGGGCAUAUGGAAGAAACGGGGGCUCCAAUUUUCUUGAACGACAAGUGGUUCAUAGUUUUUGUGACAUCUGAUGCAGUGGCAAUGUUUAGCUCGACAGCUUCCAUAAUGAUGUUCUGGUCUAUCUUAACUUCAUGCUAUGGAGAAGAUGAUUUUCUAUUUACAUUAACAGCAAAGUUGAUGGGUGGACUAGUUACACUCUUUGCUUCAGUCAUUUGUAUGGUCUUAACAUUUAGUGCAGCCUUCUUUUUGGUCUAUAAGAAAGAAAAAGAAGGGACAUUGCCAAAAAUUGUUGCUGGUCUUGCUUUGCUUCCAAUCUAUAACAUCCCAAUUUCUUGAUGAGGGCUUAAGUGUCAUUAAAUCAGAAAAUAAUAUGUAUCAAACACAAAAAAAGAAGAAGUAAUGAUCAUUUUUUUAUAUAAAAAAAUGUUGUCUUUCAAAAUAAAAUAGAAAUAGCAUUUAUUCUCAAAGUGACUAAUCAUUUAAAAAAAAAAAAAAAUUCUUCCGAGAAUAUGAAUUCCCUUUUAUUUAAAUAAGAACAUUCUGCCACCACUGACCAAUUACGAGCUCCAAACUUCCGAUCUCUAAUUACCUGAAAGGGGGGGAAAUUUAAAGGGGCGAGAUUUAAGAAAAUCUCAGUAAGUGUGUGCAAUGGACAAGUAAUUUACAUAUAAAUUAAGGAAAACAGGAUUUCAUAUCAUAUGUAUAGGAGACACACGAACUAUUCCGAACAUAGGUGGUAGCAAUUCAUGUGCGUAGCGCUACUAAACUCCGGCCCUUUUAUCAUCACAUAUAUGGCCCAUGAAAUGAAUUCCAAAAUUUAAAGUACAAAAUACAAAUUCACAUAAACCACAUGCAACAUCACUUACCUCGUAAUGAAAUUUGAUAAAUAAGUGUGUGAAGAACUUGACUGUCAAAAGUCCCCUUGUGAAUUCUUGUGUGUAGGACAAAUGACUUGUGUGUGUGAGAAAGGUGAGAGACGUGAGUUGUGUGUGUGGAAAUGAUAAAAUAUUUUCAUGGGUUAAAAUGGAAUCUUUCCUUUAUUUUCUCCAUAAUUGUGGUAUCUACAAUUAUUGAUUUCUUGUGUGUGAGACAAAUGAAGUGACGUGUGUGUGAAAGAAGAGUAAUUGCCGUGAGAUUGGCUGUGAAAAAUAAUAAAAUAUUAUCAUGAAUUGGAGAGUGGAAUCUUUCCUAGUGUGGAAAUGGAAAUUUUCCUUAUUUGUUCCAUAUUUAUGGUAAUUAUCAUUAUUCUUACUAUAAUUUGGCAUACUUGACAUAUAUACAUGCAUGUAAUUAUGUUAAUUACCUAAACAUAUUUUAGUCAUUCAUGGUUAUUAUAUAAUCUACUUAAUUAUUCCAUAAACAAAAUGAUUUUCUAAUUAAACACGUCCUUAACUAUGAAUAGUCCACAGUUUGAUCCAUAAAUUAUGUAAACAAAAUAAUUUGGUCCUUCAAUAUUCAACUUCUCGCUAAUAGAUCCUAAUUUCUAAUAUUAAUGACUAUAACGAAUUUUCGGGGUGCUACACAAUCACUUUACAUGCUAUGCUGAAUUUUAGGUUAUGGAUUUCCCUAAUCCACUCAACAAUCUGGACAUCAAGGUUGAUGUUUCGACCCCAUAAGCACAGGCUUUUCUAAUACUAAGAAAAGUGGAGAAGCUUUUUUUUUGUUGUUGUUGUUGUUGUAUUUUCUAAUAAAAGGCUUUGUUUUAAGCUUUUGUUUUUUCUAGUUAUUACUUUGUUGUUAUUGUUGUUGUAUUUUCUAAUAAAAUGCUUUGUUUUUCGAGUGAAGUAGAAAAGCUUUCUAUUUCUUAUUAAUUUAUCUUUGUUAUUCUUCAAUAUAUAUUUAUAUAUAAAUAUCGCAAUUACCAUUGCCACACAAAUUAAAUCAAGUGGAGAAGUCCACGAGAAACAUCAAAGUUUGCAUGCCUCAAUAAAGAUUUAUCUCUCUUUUCCACAAAUUAGACCACUUGGUUUGUAUCUGAAGCAUUAGCAAUCAAAUAUUAGAUUAUAGCCUCUCGGAUGAUGAUAAAUUCAAGUACCUAAUUUACCUAAAAAUGUCAAGUUGGAUAUUCCACAAAUGUUUCUUUGGAGUCACAUACGUGCCUUCAUUCUUCGUUCACUUCAAACAAAUACAGUUGCCUUUUGGGAAUUAAGGUUUUAAUGCAUUAUGUGCUGAUCUUGUCUUCUAAUAUUUAGUUAAGAAUAUCUUACAAUUAGAAAAUAGUCAAUAUUCUACUUAUCAAAGUAGACACUAGUUUUGGGAUAUAUAUGCAUUAAUCUUUUGGAUAGGGAGUUUGACAUGCCUUACAAUUGAAACAAUGAUAAUAACAUUUAUGAAUUGAAUUGAUCAAUGGAGAAUGUACUUGUGCUUUUUGUAAGUGUAACUUUAGUCUUUCAUUUGGUUUUUCCUUUGUAUCUAUACUUGUAUAAGGGUUCUUAUUUUCCCCACCUAAUAUUAAUGGCUCCUGUUGACCUUGAAAAAUGCACCUCCAAUGUGGCUAACAAAUCCUAAGACCUUUCACAUCCAUGCGUACUGAGUUCUUAUACACUUGGACAAAUCAUUGCCACACGUGGCCUCCUCCAGUGGAGUGGAGUUGGCCACGCACAUUCCAACGGUCAUGUCAGUUAAAGGUAGUUAUAUGAGUGUGUGAGGGCUUUGGGCAUGAUCCUCCAAUGUAAAAGAGGAUUGGUUUUUGUGAGUAACAAAUAGAUAUAUCAGAAAGUUAUUGUAAGAGUCUAAACUUGCAUUACCUCUUGCGUGACACCAAGUGUAAGCUUUUAUAAUAGAGGAAGGUGAGCAUAAACUGUGGGAUGAAAAGACACGUAGUCUCAUCCUAGUAGCUGAGGUCUCUUGUCAUAGGUAUCUAUCCAUUUAAUGUUAUGACUAUCUGUAGCCUUAGGCCAGAUAUUUUAGACUAGACUUGUUGAUUGAGUAGAGCCACCUAUUCAGUGAAUUGUCACAUUACCUACUUGCUUCAAGAUCUUGUACGAAGAUCCUCCAUGUGGUGCUUUUAUCUGACUCUUCUCAUCCAUAGGGGUUCAGUUCAAAGGCUCGGUUUAUGGGGUUCGGCCAUGCCACAAGUGUAGAUGACAUGGAGUGUUAGCUUGUGUCCUUUCUGCUGAGCGGCUACCACCUGGCACUGUUUAGAGCUUCGUUGGAAGAGGUGUAACUAUAGUUCCCAAGUCCAUAUAUGAAUAUUAAUAUAAUGUGUGGACUUAAAAUGUACAAUAUUAGUAAACUAUCAAAGCAGUUCCCCAACCUGAUUUUAAUGCAAAGCCUUUAUAUUUAGGUAAACCCUUUGUAAAAGGAGAAAUUUGUAGUGAGGCAGAAUCGGAUUUCAGAAAAAAAAACCCUGGCACAAGGAAGAGCCCAUUAGUGAAGAGGUAGCCUGUUGGUGAGGCAAAAUCAAAGUUGGUUGAGAUCUUUGUUUUCUCUUGUUUUGGAGAAGGGCCAGCCCGUUGAGCCACUUAGGCUUAUAGAGGCUAGCGCUCUAAGGAUUUGAGAGAAAUGCCAGUUCCUGAGCUAUAGUAGCGACAUGGAAUCAUGAUUUUUAAUGUAUGUGUUGUGGGCGCAUUUAUUGCAUAAUGAUGGUGCUUGGUACAGCUAGCAGAGGUUACUCGAGUCCUUAGUGUGUACAAUUCAUAGAUCCAUUAGAGCCAUUGACCUGAGUUUUUUUAUAGGCACCCUUUGAAUUUAACGUAUUUGAUUGUGAUAGAGUGUUUGGCCACGAUUAAAUCUGGUUCAAUCAAACAUUGGUGCUCCACUCACGUUGCCUAUAUAAAGAGGAAAGCAACCAUUCCUUACUUUUUUACUUUACAAAAAUCUCCCAAACCCCUUGAAAAUUUCAUUUUGGGUCACCAUUGCUGCUGUCCCAGCGAGAAUUCUUGCCCACAUUUUAGUGUCAUUUUGCGAGCUUUGUAGGUAAAAAACUUGAGUUUUUUUGUAUUUGUGUUGUAAGAUAAUGACGUCCUCUUCAAAGAAGAAAACAAUAGGGGGGUUUGUGUUUGUGUUGUAAGAUAAUGACGUCCUCAUCAAAGAAGAAAACAAUUUGCCACUAAUUUGUGCUAAGGUCAAUUUGCCUCCAGUGAUUUUGACUAACAGGAUUAUGGAGGUCAUGGGAGACCUCAUAGUGUGUAGAUAAUGCAAGAGGGUCCAAUAGAUUAUAGCGUUAGGUGGGAGACUUCGUUGUGGUCGACCUGUGUAAAGGAGAGUGAGCUGGAUACCUUUAGGGAGAGGUAUAGAAUCCAUGAUCCAUGGAGAUGAUUAUCCUAAUCUCUGAUUAACGAGCCUAUUUUCCCAGAAAGAGGUGUGAAGCAAUGAGUGAUGUGAUUCUUAAUGGGAGGAUGAAGCUACCUCUACACCUAUUUCUACAUCCUUAGGAAAUAUAACCUAGUCCCCACCCAGUUAGUACCAAAUGUAUUGAGCCAAUUGGCAGGGGCCUUCCAUCUUUAGAAGGAGGCCACUCUUGGAGAGGAUAUGCCUCUCAUAUUUUUCGUACACUCUUUCAGCCCUGAGCCUCUAGUGGGAGAGGAUUGCAAGGGGGUAGUAUUAUAUAAACCCUUGGGGUCUGCAUUUACCCUUCAUUUGGGGAACUCUACCUUAAUAAAAAACUGGAAGUCAUCUUGGUUUUGGAUUAGGAGAUGCUGGUAGACAGUAGAGAGAGACGCAGUCCCGGUGCCAACCUAGUAUCAUGUGUAUAGUGAGUUUAGAUUCAAUUGAAGAUCUUUCAUUUAUCGUAUUUCAGUAUCUAUUUCUAAAUUGUGUUUUGUGCAGUUGUAGUUAACCAGUUCGAGUUCAAACCUUCAAAGUGGGCCACCAUUAGAGCUACUUACGAGUUGUCCACUGAGAGGAAGUACUUCAACACAGUGCUUAAGAAGUGAGCUCUAUUUGUGAUUCUUACUAACGACGACCAAAGGUAAGCCAUCGCCAAACAUUUAUCACUCUUGAUAGUUUGACUUGAUUUUUGGCUAUACUAAUGGCGUAUUUCACUUGCAGAGUAACAUGGCAGAAAGAAGUAUGUCAAGCACGACAUGUUCUAUAUGAGCCACCUGGCCAAAGAGAAGAAAAAGAAACUAUUGAACUCCAUUUCUUCCGUCGGCAAGGAAGUUGGUUCUAGUAAUGAACAUCGGGCCUUUACCUCUUCCCAAGCGCCAAAUGACAAUUGACGAGUCGUUGAAAAAAAUAAUUGAGGCAAACUCCAUCUCUUCCAUGAAAAUAGUGGAGGCGAAGGAAAUGAACGAGGAAGAAGGGUGCCUCAUAAAAAAAGAGAGGCAAAGAGGCUAGUUGAGGUGGCUUUUUAAAUGGUCCUUCGGAGAGAAAGGCUCAAAAUUUUCUUAGAGGCAAGUCUGAUGAGAUCACCCUAGAGGUUUUGGAAAUGCUCCCUGCCAAGGUCCAAGCAGCUACAAGGAUUCAUCAUAAGUACUAAACUGAUAAGUACUCAUUUUACACCGAGACCUGUGACUCGAUUAACAUGAUGGAGGCUGGCCUCUUGCAAGCUCGCUCACAAGGCUACUUUUUAAAUGCCCAAAUGGACAUGAGAAGACUGCAGAGGCUGAAUGAGGAAUUUAGCCAAAAGGUUGUUGAUCCUAAGGGCGAGGCAAAAAGGCUGAAGGUUGAGGCCUCUACUGCUGACGAGGUCAUCGAGGCCUUUAGAAUGAAGCAAGACGAGGUCGAGUUAAGGGUUGGGCUUCUUAUUGCUGAAAAAUGAGAAAAUUAAGAAAGAAGUCCACCUUUGCAAAGCCGAGGUGAACCUUUGAAUAAGUGGGUCGAAAACUCUGACAAUCUACAAAAGAUAGUUUCAUCGGCCUUGGAGGAGGCUAAUAAAGAGAAAGUGGGGCUACAGGCUCAGGUGGUUGAGUUGACUGUCAAGGUUGCCAACCUAAGGCAACAACUGAAUGGGGUAGCGGAGGCAAUUGUAAACGAGGAAGGUUGCAUACAAUAAAGUUUUUGGAAGAAUUGUUGAGCUAUAUCCCCAAGUAGAUCUAACUACUUUGAAGGAAAAAUUCUUCCCAGCUGAGCCAUCCACUCUUAUAGAUGAUGCUGAAAGCUCUGAAGGCUGAGAGAGCUGAGCCUCGGUAGGAUGAAGUUGUUGUAUAGAUUUUGCCACGAUUUUUCCUUUUCAACAUCGUAAUAGCUAGCUUUUCUUUAUAAUGAAUCCAUUUGAAUUAAGCAAGUUCCUUUUGAUGAAACAUGUUGACAUGAUGACUCUACAAUCUGAGUUUUUCGUGUUUGUAUAUGAGCUCAUAUGUAUCACAUAAAUAUAUCACAACCAUUACUUUCUUUAUAUAUAAUUAAUUUGACCAUUUAUCUUCCCAACCAUUAAUUUUUUCUUUUUCUUUACAAGAAACAAAAUGUCACUUUUCUCUCUUUAAAAUUUACGAUCAUUGCUUUUUCUAAUGCUUUCGUGGUGGGUCUUAUACGUAUCCAAGGAGCUACUGCUAAAGGCAAUGAUAUUCAUUUCUCUCUCUAGGUUCUUGCAAUUCGUUUUAUUUGUCCAUUUUUUCCAAUUUUCCAAUGUAAUUGUAUUGAUUAAUGUUUUAAUUAAACUGAUGCUUCUAUGUGUUGUGUAAUCUGCUUGUAUUUUGUCUUCUAAUUUUCCUCAUUAUGUUUAAUUAUUUUUAAAUUUUAUUUAACUAUUUUCCAAGUAAUAGUCAAUCAACAAUUAAAUUUAGCCACACAUUUCAUAGGAUCCACAACUUUUGGACCACACAUUUCAACAACUUUUAUGAAAAUAUAAUUUUAAAUUUCUGUCGAACUGGAGCUUAAUAUUCAUAGGGCCCCACAUUUGGAGUUAUCAUAAGGCCCUAAUUCAAACCUCACUCUAUAUAAUUUUAAUUCAUCGCUUAUAAAAAUACUUGCCUUUUGCUAUGAGUCUUAAACAAAUCCUUGGCUCGUAAAAUACUUGCCUUGUGGCUUCACAAAAGCGGCAUGGGGAGGGGGGAAUGGGGGGAUGGGAUACAACAAAGAGAAGAAAAAGAAAACAAAUCCUAAUUCAAUUAGGCAAGUAUUUUAAUUAGGAUUCCGGUUUCAAGCAGCUUCCCAAACACUCUAACUUAGGAUUUGUUUUUCUUUUUUCUUAAUUAUAUUAACAGUUCAAUUCGACUUCAAAUGAUUUUUAAGCAUCAAAAUUAGAAUCUACUAUUUCUAAACUGUUUGGUUGAUUUAGAAACCUAAACAUUGACAAGUUUAGUGGACCCAAAUCAAUGGUUUCUCUCAGACUUUAAGUUUGAUUUUGUAAUUUGAGAGUCUUUUUAAAUGCUAAGAAAAUAUAAUAGAGACUCAUUUGCUAAAAAGGCAAUAGAUUGAAGACAAAUACUGCAAUUUCCUCCAAAAAAAAAAGAAUAAUAAUUUAGGACUUCAGUCAUAAAUCCACUGCCUUCGCUCAAUCUUGAGGUAACACUUUCUUUACAGUGUAUGUAAUGCUGGUUGUAUAGCCUGCAUUACAGACUGCAUAACAAAAGGUACAGUAUCACCCGAGCCUAUACAUAAUAAUUAGCAUUUGCAUUUCGAUUUAUGAUUAUGUUGAAAAUUGGUUUCCAAAUUUGACAAAAACGGAAAUUGGUUAAGUAACAAUUGAAAUCGAAAAGUGUAACUAACAUGUCAAUUUCAGACGAAUAUUCGGACUUGAUUUGAUGGUCAAAUUAUGAAAGUAAAUAGGCUAACUUGUUCUACUCGUCGAGUAGAUAAUCGUAGUAUAUUUGGACAUUAGAAAUCAAUUCCAGGUAAAUGAGAAAUUACGUUCCAAAGUUGGAGGAAGAAAAUGAAAAACAAAAUAAAAAUUAAGUAGGGCCAGAUAGUACUAUCGCUCGAGUGAUAAUCAGGCGAAAAGCAAGCGAAAAAGGCUCUGCUUGAAUUUUUGAAGGGUUGUUCGAGCAAAAAUCUAGCGAAAAUGAAAGGUUGCAUCUACUUGAAAGAUUGCACAAUUUGGCCCACACCACUUGACCACACCCCUUCUUUCUAUAUAAAUAGGACCCCUUGGAUGUCCUAAGGAUACACUAACUCAUAUUUUGUAUUGAGAACUCUUCUUCUCUUGCAAAAUCUCUCAUUCUUUUCUCUUGCAUAAAAUCCAUUUAUAAAGGGAAAAUUCUGUCGGUUCGCCGGUUCUUGUAGUGUGAAGUACUGCUACCACAAGAUUAAAUAUCCGUUGUAUCUUGGGAGACAAGUGUCGUCAACCGUGAGCACCAUAGUGAGGCAAUAUUGUUUUAAGGAAAGAGUGGAAACACUUGCCUCGAAUUUGAUCUCCUUUUCUACUCCAUUCUUAUUUUCGUUUGUUACUUUAGUUUUGUGGUUGUGUGCUACAUUUUCAAAUUCAUAAUUUUGUAGUUUAAUCACGCUCUUGUGGGUUAGACUUUGCUUGAUUUGGUAUAACACCAAUAACCAUCCUAUUGCUCACAAGUAAACCCGGAAUAAACAAUCUUAAGAUAAUAUUUAUCGGUGGUUGUUUAGUUGUAACCCUCAUUUUAAUCUACUUUUUGGAAUAGUCCUUAUACAAUAUUCCUUUCUCUACUUUGCGUUGUGAUUAUCUUCUGUUUGUAUAACAAGAAUGAGUACCAUAGAUGCUUCAAGUCAAAAUGGUACGAACAACGUGGUUACGCCAAUGGCUAUACCACUUCAAAAUACUUUGAUCCCGCAUGGUAAAAAAUAAAAAAAAUUCAGUGGCGUGGAGUUUAAGAGAUGGCAGCAAAAGAUAUUGUUCUAUCUCAUGACCCUCAGCUUGGCAAAAUUCUUGAAGGAAAUUGUACCGACUGUACAAGAGGGAGAAAAUAAUCAUGAGUCAAUUAUGGCGUUGGAUGCAUGGAAGCACUUGGACUUUCUAUGCAAAAACUAUAUUUUGAAUAGGCUGGACAAUAUACAAUUUGGAGUGUAUAGUUCUAAAAACUCGACCAAGGAACUGUGGGAUUCAUUGGAAAAUAAAUAUGAGACUGAGGAUGCCGAAAUCAAGAAGUUCAUCGUGGGCAAAUUUUUGGACUACAAGAUGGUAGAUACCAAAACUGUGAUAAGCCAAGUGCAAGAAAUUCAAGUUCUCUUGCACAAUAUACAUGUCGAAAAGAUGGAAUUAAGCGAAUCCUUUCAAGUGGCUGCCAUCAUUGAGAAACUCUCUCCUAUGUGGAGAGAUUUCAAAAACCAUCUCAAGCACAAACGUAAAGAGAUGAAUUUGGAAGAAAUGAUCGUCCGCUUGAGAAUUGAAGAAGACAAUAAGAAAAAUGAAAGGAAACUUAUUGACCAACUUGGAGAAAACUUUGUUGAAACAGAACAAAUGCUUUUGAACAAGAAACGAAAUCUCUCUAACGAUGCACCGCGUAGAGAUAACUCCAAGAAGGCGAAAAAGUUCAGAGGAAAAUGUUAUAACUGUGGAAAGGCCAGAGAUCGUUCAAAUGAAUGUCGAAAGCUAAGGAACCUGCUCAAGCUAACAUAAUUAAGAGGGACAACCUUUCUAAAGGAAUGCAGGAAAUGAGUCUAUCUGCAGUUGUGUUCGAAUGCAACAUGGUUGGAAACAGAAAUGAAUGGUGGGUCGAUACCGAUGCAACCCAUCAUGUGUGUGCUGAUAAAUCAAUGUUUUCCAACUAUCAAGAAUUGAAAGGAGAAUAAUUGUUCAUAGAGAAUGCUACAAGUUCCAAGAUUGAAGGAUAAGGUAAAGUCACUUUGAAGAUGACAUCCGGGAAAAAGCUAGUCCUCAACAAUGUCCUACAUGUGCUAGAUAUUCGGAAGAACCUUGUGUUCGAGUCUCUUCUUGGUAAAAAUGGGUUUAAACAUGUAUUUGUAUCCGAUAAAUUUGUGUUGUCUAAGAAUAAAAUGUAUGUAGGGAAAGGAUACAUGUGUGACGAAAUGUUCAAAAUGAACGCUCUAACUGUUGCACCAAAACAAGGCAUUAUAAAUAAAAUUACAAAUUCUGUUUACUUGCUUGAGUUUUGUUUAUGGCAUAAUCGAUUAGGACAUGCGAAUUAUAAUUUGUUGCGCAAACUUAUGAAUCAAUGUUUAAUUUCGAUGCUUGAAAUCGAUCCUAAUCAUAAAUAUGAAGUAUGUGUUGAAGUAAAAUUAGCUAAAACACCGUUCCAUUCAAUUCAGAGGACCAUGGUACCUCUAGAAUUAAUACAUAGUGAUAUAUGUGACUUGAAAUUCGUUCAAACUAGAGGUGGUAAGAAAUACUUUAUAACUUUUAUCGACGAUUGCACAAAGUAUUGUUAUGUCUUUCUUUUAAAAGGUAAUGAUGAAGCCUUGAAUGCAUUUAAACAAUAUAAGACUGAAGUUGAAACACAACUUGACAAACGAAUUAAAAAUAUUCGUAGUAAUCGAAGAGGUAAAUAUGGGGCACCGUUUGAAGAAUUCUGCUCCAAACAUGAAAUUAUUCAUCAAACAACGGUUCCAUACUCUUCUCAAUCAAAUGGUAUUGCUGAACGCAAAAAUCGAACUCUUAAAGAGAUGAUGAAUGCGAUGUUAAUAAGUUUGGGUUUACCUCAGAACUUGUGGAGGUAAGCUAUCUUAACGGCGAAUAGACUUGUCAAUCGAAUACCGCUUAAAAAAUGGAAGAAACUCCAUAUGAGUUAUGAAAAUGUCAUCCUCCUUCCUACCAACAUUUAAAAGUGUGGGGAUGUUUGGCAAUGGUUGAAAUACCAAACCCUAAACAAAUUAAAAUUGGUCCCAAGACGAUCAAUUACAUAUUUAUUGGAUACGCCAAUAAUAAUAGUGCAUGUGGUUUCCUAGUACACAAAUCUGAUAUUCAAGAUGUACACAAGGGUACCAUAAUUGAAUCAAGGAAUGCAAUAUUCUUUGAAAAUAUGUUUCCUUACAAAGAUAGAGAAACAGCAAGUUCAAAUAAGAGAACUUAUGAAUCUGUAAAUGGAUCUUCAAAUGAGGAAGAACCAAGGCACAGUAAGAAGGCUAGAACGUCUACUUUAUUUGGUCUAGAUUUUCUAACUUACGUGGUAGAAAAUGAUCCAAGGACUUUCGAGGAAGCAAUGUCUGCCCCGAAAGCACCACAUUGGAAGGAAGCUAUCAAUAGUGAGAUAGAUUCCAUAAUGCAAAAUCAAACAUGGGAGUUGGUUGAUUUGCCUCCCAGAAAUAAGCCUUUAGUGUGUAAAUGGAUAUUCAAAAAAAAAAAAUUUGAAACCGGAUGGAUCCAUUGAUAAAUAUAAGACUAGAUUGGUUGCCAAAGGAUAUAGGCAAAGAGAAGGACUUGACUUCUUAGAUACCUACUCACCCAUUAUUUGAAUCACUUUGAUAAAGUUGCUAAUUGCAAUUGUGGCAAUACAUAAUCUUAAGAUUCAUCAAAUGGAUGUAAAAAUGACAUUCCUAAAUGGUGAGUUAGAAGAUGAGAUAUAUAUGAAGCAACCUAAAGGGUUCAUGUCUCCAAAUGAAAGUCAUAAGGUUUGUAAACUUGUUAAGUCCUUAAAUGGUUUGAAACAAGCUUCUAAACAAUGACACCAAAAGUUUGACAAGACAAUAUUGUCAAACGGGUUUAAAAUAAAUGAAUGUGACAAAUGCGUAUACGUGAAAAAUACAUCGAAUGCCUAUGUGAUUGUAUGUCUAUAUGUAGACGAUCUGUUGAUAAUGGGCAAUAGUCACGAAAUGUUGAUGAACACUAAGAAAAUGCUAACAAGACAUUUCGAAAUGAAAGAUAUGGGAGUGGCAGAUGUAAUACUAGGGAUAAAGAUCUCUAGAACAUCAAAAGGAAUUAGACUUUCCCAAUCUCAUUAUGUUGAAAAAAUACUCAAGAAAUUUGAAAUAUUUGAGGAAAGUUUUGCAAAGACCCCUAUUGACACAAGUCUACACUUGGUCAAACAUAAAGGUGAAAGCGUGUCACAACUAAGAUAUUCACAAAUAAUUGGUAGUCUAAUGUAUAUUAGGAACAUCACUCGAUCGAAUAUUGCGUUUGUGGUGAAUAAAUUUAGUAGAUUCAUGAGUAAUCCAAGCUAUGAUCAUUGGGUGGCGUUAACAAGGGUUCUUAGGUAUUUGAAGUAUACCAUAACCUAUGGAUUAUAUUUACAAAAUAUUCAGCAGUAUUAGAAGGAUAUUGUGACGUGAAUUGGAUAUAUGAUAUGAAGGAUUCUAAGUCCACAAAUGGUUAUGUGUUUACCCUUGGUGGAGCUGCUAUUUUAUAGAAAUCGUCAAAGCAAACAUGUAUAACUCGAUCAACUAUGGAAUCAGAGUUUACUGCUUUGGACAAAGUUGGUGAAGAAGUAGAAUGGCUUCGAAAUUUCUGAGAAGAUGUUCCAUGUUGGCCUAAGCCAGUACCUACCAUAAGCAUACAUUGUGAUAAUCAAUCAGCUAUUGAAAUGGCUAAAAGCAGCAUGUACAAUGAUAAGUCUAGACAUAUAUGUCGUAGACAUAACACCAUUAAGAAACUGAUCUCAAUGGGCGUCAUCUCCAUAGGUUAUGUGAAAUCAAAGGAGAACGUAGUAGAUUUACUUACGAAAGGUUUGCCAAGAGAUCAAAUAUUUAGCCUAUUGAGAGGAAUGGGAUUAAAGCCUACGACGUUAGAGUCCUUAUAAUGGUAACCCUACCUUGUUGACUGGAGAUUCCAAGAUCUUGGUUCAAAAGGACAACUAAGUUAUGAGGAUUCCAUGAAACACUAAAGAAAAUAACUUCCUCACUCAUUCUUAUGAAUAUAAAGUGCUUUUCUGUAAAAUUGGAAGAGGUCAAGAUAAUAUUUUAAUGAUUCCUAUAUCUUGAUUAAGUCAAGUAGAGUAGGGCAGAAUACUCUUAACAGGAAGUCACCUAUAUGAGUGUGAAGUGAGGCUGCUUCAACGAGAAUUAUUCAAGGGUUGAAUUCUCUAAACACUUGUAGAACCAAGAGAGGUUCAGGGCCAAAAUAAACGAAGUCAUGAGAACCAAGUACGGAAUUAUGGAAGACAUUGUGUGAGUAUUGUUGUCUUGGCUUAGACUAACGAUUUGUCGGUUCAAGACAUCACGUUCACCAACUAGCCAAAUAAACUAGAUAAAAUUUCACUAGGGAAGGUUCAAAGCUGGAAGCUACCUCCCCCGAUGCAAUGUUCUUCCGCUCUCUCUCUCCCUCUCUAAAUUUUCAUGUAUCGUGUCGCAUAUCAUUUGCAUACCCGAAUUUCCAUUAAUGUGGGGGAUUGUUGGAUAUUUUUCCAAAUUUGACGAAAACGAAAAUUGGUUAAGUAACAAUUGAAAUUGAAAAGUGUGACUAACAUGUUCGGACUUGAUCCGAUGGUCAAAUUAUGAAAGCAAAUAGGCUAACUUAUUCUACUUGUUGAGUAAAUAAUCGUAGUAUAUUUGAACAUUAGAAAUAAAUUUCGGGUGAAUGAGAAAUUGUGGUUCAAAGUUGGAGGAAGAAAAUGGAAAAUAAAAUAAAAAUUAAAUGGGGCCAGAUAACACUGUCGCUUGAGCGAUAAUCAGGCGAAGAGCGAGCGAAAAAGGCUCUGCUCGAAUUUUUGAAGGGUUGCUCAAGCGAAAAUCUAGCGAAAAUGAAAGGUUACAUCUAUUUGAAAGAUUGCAUGAUUUGUCCCACACCACUUCAUCCACACCCCUUCUUCCUGUAUAAACUAGGACCUUUGGAUGUCCCUAAAGAUACGCCAACUCGUAUUUUGCAUUGAGCACUCUUCUUCUCUUGCAAAAUCUCUCCUUCUUUUCUCUUGCAUAAAAUCCUUUUGUAGAGGGAAAAUUCUAUCGGUUCGUCGGUUCUUGUCGUAUAAAGUGCUACUACCCAAGAUUAAACAUCCGUUGUAUCUUGAGAGACAAGUGCCGUCAAUCGUGAGCACCAUAGCAGGGCAAUAUUGUCUUAAGGAAAGAAUAGAAACGCUUGCCUCGGAUUUGAUCUCUUUUUCUACUCCUUUCUUAUUUUCGUUUGUUACUUUAGUUUUGUGGUUGUGUACUACAUUUUCAAAGUCAUAAUUUUGUGUUUUAAUCACGCUCUUGUGGGUUAGACUUUUCUUGAUUUGGUAUAUACACCAACAACCAUCCUAUCGCUCACAAAUAAACCCGAAACCAAAAGAUUAAGCACUGAAGUAUAUAGCUGGUCAGCAAUUACAUGUACAAAAUUGAAAUGUUAUCAAUGUACCAUAUAUGUCGAGACUAACACAAACGAUACCAAUUAACCCUAGAAUAUUGGUUUUCUUGACAAAUUUGCAGGUUAGCGGGUGGAAGAAGAUGGAGAAGGGAUAAAGCAAUGAGUUCUAGAAGUUAUGAACUGGAUCUAGAACUACAACCAGAACAUUUGGAGUUGUCUGGUACAAGUUCGAGCCUACCCGUUGUUAAAUGGAUAUCAUAUAUUUAUUUUGAAAAAAAAUAAUUAAAUUGGGAUAAUUGGUUGAGUGGUAAAACGUGAAAUUUAUGUGGGAUUUAGAUUAGAUGGUUUGAAGCAUACUCUACAAGUCUAUUAUUUGACUUGGGUUUCUUAGACUAAAAUAAAUAUUUUUUUAUUUUAAUUAUUUCCAGAUUUACUUCUAUUAUAAACUUGUCAGUAAAAUAAAAACUGUUAGAGGUAGUUAUAUCCAAUAAAAUAAAACAAUUAAAGACCAUUAUUAGGUGAUUUAAAGAGAAUAAUAUAGCCUAGAAUGGCUAGAUUAUUUAACCAAAACAUUUUUGCGUGUUUGUGUAUUUGUUAAGUUAUGUUAUAGUUUUGUUUGAGGACAAACAAAUGUUUAAGUUUGGGAGUAUUUGAUAAGUAUAUUUUAUACACUUAUUUGGACCUAAAAAUAGAGAUAUUUAAUAGUUCUUUUAAGUUAUUAUAGCAUAAUUUAUUGUAUAUUUCAUUUAUAAGAAAGACUCAAUGAUUGAAUGUGGAAUUGAAAGAAAGUAGCGAAAAAUGACGAAGUACAAAUGUUGAGGACCAAAUUGCAAAUUUCCAAAGGUUUAUUUGGAACUUGACUUUGAAGAUUACUAGGAGUCAAUUGAAUACAAUUAGAAUUCAAAUAAGGGAUGGAAUAUGAUCAAAAUAUUAUUAUAAAUCGAUUUCUAAUUGUACAAGUUAUAUUCUAGAUUUUUAGUCAAAAAUUGAGACCCAUUUUUGACAUAGUAAAUGUUCGAAUUUGAAAAUUUAUAUUUCAAGAAAAGUUGAGCUCUUUGCGUUAUCUUUCCAAUGCAUUUUGAAUUGCUUCAAUUGAAUACAAGGAAAGAGAUUUAUGAUUAAAAUACUGACUACUGUGCAGAGACAAAAACAUGCACGCGCGAAGAUAACCUUCUUUAUUCGAUUGAAACUCUUUUGAAAUUCAAUUUAGACGUGAUUUUAACCAAUUUUCAACUCCUGCAAAUACCUAUCAACAAAAUACAUAUUAGACACAUCUUAUAUACAUAUUAUACUCCAAUUUUCAUCAAUUAUUAUUAUCAAAUGAGGAAAAUUCAUAGAUUUUUAUGAGAGGAUAUAAGGGGACUUACAAGAAUUCAAUCAAGUGAAGAUUCAAACUUGAUCCUUGGACAAAGAAUAGAAAUCGUAAGUGGAAAUUCAUUAAGAAACCAUUAAAGAGAUUCAAUAUUUCAAGAUCCAUUUCCGUCUUUUCAAUUUAUCAAAAAUUCGGUUUAUAUUUUUCCACUUAUAUAUGAUUUCUUGUAAUUUCGAUAUUUUAGGCUAGUUUUACACAUUGUUAGGAUGAGAUGAACCAUUUGAUAAUUUUUAGUUUUUAAUUAAUUAUUUUGACUUUAAUUUGGUUUGAAUUAUGGAUGUUUUUUUAUAGUUUUUAUCAUUAUUUUCAAUUGUUUGAUCAUCAAUUGAAUUAUUAGUGAAUUUUAUUGUAAUCGCGAGAGACAUUAGGAUUUAAGCAUAAUAUAAUAAACAUUGUAAAGUUCGAUAAAUGAUAGAGAUAUAUUUCUAUACUUUAUAUGAUUCCAAUAGGCGUUCUAACACUUGUUAAUGAUUUAUCAUAUUUGCAUUUUUCAUCGAGAGAUGGAAAAGCCGCAUGAGGAGAAUAGAUCUGAUCGUUAUCAAGAGAGACUUUCAAUUAAAUUAGAAAUAUUGAUCAACACGAACGAUUUCAAAUUGUUGCACUAAAAAUAGAAUAACAAGGGGAUUCGAUAACUUAGCAAUGCAUAUCACAUAUUUGAAAAACACAUCUACUCGCUUUCACUGGUUUAACUGAUAAGUUAGGGAUUAUUAUAGACAAAUUGCAAAAUCUUUUUGCUAUCGAUUAAAAUUGCAAUUAAUUUUAACUCGAUCAAAUACAUAGUCCUUAUGAGUUCGACACUUUAUUCACUACUUUAUUAAUUGUUCACGAUCUCGUUCACUUGCAGGAAAUCAAAAGGGUCAAUCAUUAUUUUUCUAAUGCUCUCAUGGUGGGUCUUAUACUUAUUCAAGAAGGAGCUGCUAAGGGCACUGAUAUUCAUUUGGUUCUUGCAUUUUGUUUUAUUUCUCCAUUUUAUUUCCAAUUUUCCAGUGUCACUAUAUUGAUAAAUGUUUUAAUUAAACUAAUGCUUCUCUAUGUGUUACCUAAUCUACUUUAAAAAAUUUUUGAUCCACUUAUUCUUUUUUUUUUUUUUCCUUUUUUAAUGUUUGUAUUGGAGUUUAAAUCUUGUAUUUUGUCUUCCAAUUUUCCUAAUUAUGUUUAGUUGUUCUUAAUUGUAUUUAAUUAUAUUAUAAGUCAAAGUCAAUAAUUAGGUUUAACUACAUAUUUCAUAGGACCCGCAACUUUUUAACCACACAUUUCAUCCACUUCUAUCAAAAUCUACUAAAAUUCUAAUUUUUAAUCUCUAUUAAAUAGGGGCUUAAUAUUUAUAAGACUCUGAUUCAAACCUCGCUUUAUAAAAUUUAAUUCAUUGCUUAUAAAAAUACUUGCCUUGUGCUAUGAGUCUAAAACAAAUCCUUGGCCUGUAAAAUACUUGGCUUGUGGCUUCAAAAAAAUAAAAAAAGAGAAAGAAAGAAACCAAAUCCUAAUUCAAUUAGGCAAGUAUUUUAAUUAGGAUUCAGUUUUCAAGCAGCUUCCCAAACUCUGUAACUUAUGGCGUGUUUUCUUUUUUCUUAAUUAUAUUAACGGUUCAAUUCGACUUCAAAUGACUUUUAAGUGUUGAAAUUUAAAUCAAACUAUUUUUAAACGGUUUGGUUGAUUUAGAAACCUAAACAAUGAUGUCAAGAAAAUAUAUUAGAGACUUGAUUGCUAAUAAGGCUAUAUAUUGAAGACAAAUACUGCAAUUUCCUCCCAAAAAAAAGAAAAAGAAAAAAGAAUAACAAUUUAGGACUUCAGCUAUAAAUUCAUUGACUUCGUUUGGUCUUGAGGUAACACUUUCUAUGCAAAAGCGUGUGUAAUGCUGGUUGUAUGUCCUGCAUCACAGAUUGCAUGAUAGAAUGUGCAGUAUCACCCGAGCCUGCACAUAAUAAUCAACAUUCAUAUUUCUAUAUAUGAUCAAGCACUGAAGUAUAGCUGGUCAGCAGUUACUUGUACAAAGUUGAAAUGUUAUCAAAUAUACCAUAUAUGUAGAAACUAACACGAACUGAUACCAAUUAACAGUAGAAUAUUGGUAUUGUUGAUAACUUUCCAGGUCAGCGGGUGGAAGAAGACGAAUGAGGGAUAAAGCAAUGAGUUUUAGAAGUUAUGAACUGGAUUCAGAACUAGAUCCAGAACAGGCAAGGGUUGAACGGCCGGAGUUGUCUGGUACAAGUUCGUGCCUACCCUUUGAUACUCGUACCUAUAAACAAGCCACUUUUAAAUAUAUAUCGUGUAUUUAAUUUUAAAAAAAUAAUUAAAUUGGGAUAAUUGGUUGAGUGAUAAAAUGUGAAAUUUAUGUGGGAUUUAGAUUAGACGGUUCGAACCAUUGACUUGGGAUUCUUUAACUAAAAUAAAUAUUCUAUUAUUUUAAUUAUUUCUAGAUCUAUUUCUAUUAUAAACUUGUAAGUAAAAUAAAAACUGUUAUAGGUAGUUAUAUCCAAUAAAAUAAAAUUGUUAGAGACCGUUAUUGGGUGAUUGAAAGAGAAUAAUAUAGCCUACAUUUUUUUUAAUUUUAUUAGUUUCGAAUUAUUAUUGUAAGUUAAUUUUCGUGGGCUAAAUAUACGACUCAUUGUCUUGAAAAUUAUACAAAAAUGAUUUUAUGCACUUUAUAAAAAAAGUCAGUUUAUAAAUUAUAAUUAUUUUUGUUGAGAUAUAAAGACGGGCAAUUUUAUUUUACAAUUUUGCUUUAUGCACAUCCUGGUUUAAACCUUGGCUUAUUGAAUUACACUUGAUACAAUCUCAUAUCAUCUUUCACAUCUCACAUAUUUAAUUCAAUUAUUAUAACACUUCCAUGUCUCAAAUAAGAUCUACAAAUAGCUUAAUCUUUUAUUUUAAGACAGAGUCUUGCUCAUUCAAUAAGUCUUCUUACUUUUGACAUUUUAAUUGUUGUACUGAAAGGGUAAGUUUGAUUAAUUUUUCUACAGCCACAACAUCAGAUGUUGUCGAGGCACCAGCCAUUGAGCUUCCAAGCAUGCAUAGCCAAGUUGAAGUCAAAGUUGAAAAUCCAAUCUCCUAUGCCAAUGCUCUGCAACGUAAGUUUCUGAUUUUCUUUUAUUUUACAAGUUCUAUAGUUGAUCGAAUAUAGGAUAAGUGUAUACUUUAUACAGUGAGAACUCUGUAGUGGGUGGCAAGACAUAACGCAUAAGUGUGCCUAUGUUAUUUAUGUAGACUGCCACAUUAAACAAAUACAAAUUAUAAGAUUUUCCAUUUGGGACUUUAGAUAUGACAUCGAGGCCAAGUGAUGGAUUAACCGUCUAUCAAGAGUUUUCAUUUUCGUUCUUUCCCUACUUGGAAAGUAUCCAAAAAUCAUCCUUACCCUCUUUGUUGUCAUUUGAACAAAUUACAAAAGUAAUGAGGUUGAUGUGCUAGUAAAUAUUAAGGAUUGAUUUUGUGAGUGGAUUUGGUUUAAUAUGUGGAGCAUCUUCCACAUAUCUGAUAACAUCAUCAGGGGUAGAAAAGGGAGAUCAGCUAAGGCUUCGUUUACUAUUAUAUAAAGCUGCUUUAAGAGGAGAUUGGAAGGAUGCUGAAACUGCUCUGAUAUAGGACGAAAGUGCAGGUUCUCUGGAGAUAGAAGAAGGUGGAGAAAAGCCUCUUCAUAUAGCUGCUCUCGCCAAGCAAACUGCAUUUGUCCGCAAGCUAGUCGAAUGCUUGAACAAAGGAGACCUGGAAUUGCUGAAUAAUGAGGGACAAACAGCUUUCUUUUUUGCAGCUAUAUCAGGGGUAGUAGAAAUUGCCAAGGUACGAAAAAAAUAAUGCUUUGCCAACAAUUCGAGACUUAAACUAUUGAGCCCAAUUGAAUUGGCAACUUGGAUGGCAAACAAAAAAAUGGUUGAAUAUCUUUACAAAAUUACACCUCUUCAAAAUUUCAAGGCCAAGGAGCGCAUGAACAUUCUUGUUGCAACAAUAUACAGUGGCAUGUAUGGUACGGAAUCUCUGUUCACGACUUUGGGCAAGAUGACAAUGAAAAUUAUGUUUACAAUAGUUGCAAAUUUGCUUUUCUUAUGUGCAGAUAUCGCAUUAAACAUAUUGAAAGCAGAUAGAACUAUAGUUACUUCUCCAAAUGUGGACAAAGGAAGGGCUCUGCAUGCUUUAGCUCAAAAACCUUUUUCAUACUAUGGUACAAGUCAAGAAUGGAUAUGUGAAAGUCUCGCUAGAUUCGUCCCUUAUGUUCCAUGUAAGUUUAUUCUAUUUCAUUAUUAACUUUCAACUGACAACAAAUUAAAAACUUAGCUUAAUUUACCUGAAAAUUUCUAGUUGAUAGUAGACAUAAAUGUAUCUGAUGGGACCGGGUGGAAACAAAACGCAAGAAUUGAGAUUUAAUGGACACCAAUUUGAAGGAUAAAUACAAGAUCGCGAAAAUACCAUGAACAAGAUUAAAGUAAAGAAAUAAACUGGCAGAGGAACGAUGUUAUUUUAUUCCAUCAAUGAAAUGAGAGAAUUACAACAAUUGGCUUCAACAAUACUGAAAGAGGAAUAUAUAUAUAUAUAUAUAUAUAUAUAUAUAUAUAUAUACUUUUCCAAAUUUGAUUCCUUGGAUACAAAUUGAUUCUUUCCAAGUGAAAUACGCAUCUUCCAUGACUUCUUACCCAAUUGAGAGUCACAAACCUAACAAUCUCCACCUUGACUCGAAAUUCCGGUGCAACGAACAAAACUCCAAAAUUUCUCCACCUUGAGAAAUAAGUCCAACUAUAUCAGAAUAACCAAGCUGCUCAACACAGUAACCAAACUCUCCACGAAAAUAUAUUCCUCCGCCCGGCGUCCACACGCGACACCCAAACCCAAACCCGGGUUCCGAAAAUUCCUCCUCGAAUUAACAAUCACUGGAUAGGGUCGAAGGACACACUGUAGCAGAAACCACACCAAAUGCACAAUCAAAAGGUCCCUUCCCAAUAUUGUCGCCUUCAAUGAUUUCUAAAGCAUACGGACAUCUCCAAAACUGUACAUACGCUCCAAGAGUCCAUUGGCAUUACAAGAAUAUAGUGUACCCGCUAAAAUUAGUGGCAAAACGGAAUCGCCAACACUCCCUUGAGCAAAGUUCUUAACUGAUCCAGAGCCAAACCUGAGAGGUACUGUACCAAAUUGAAUGUCCUCCACAGUACUGAACUUGUCCAAAUGUCUUUGAACUGGUUCUGUGCUCCCCUGCAAGAUGUAUAAUUGGGAUUUCCUCCGUCCCUCCAGUACAACCAGGACACCCCUUCAAACCUUCAAGACUCCACCUCCACCAGAAAAUUUGUACCCUUUUUCAUCCAAGAUACUCAGUGAUAUGAGAUUCUUUGUCAAGUCUGGAACAUGGCACACCUGAUCAAGUGUCCUCUCUGUUCCAUCCUGUAGCCUCAAUCUGACCCGACCGAUUCCUGCAACCCGGCAAGAUUGGUUGUUUCCCAUGACAACUCCACCUUACUUCACCGUCUCAUAUGUUUGAAACAAAGUCCUAUUGGGACACAUAUGAUACGAACAAGCAGAAUCCAGAAUCCACUCCUCAGGUUUGGAUUCUCCGUCAGAUACAGCCAACAUCACAUCUCCAUCAUCACAAAAAUUUUCAGCAAUAUUAGUCUCGUUCGAAUUACCUGAUUGCCCUGCAUGAUUUGCAUGUAAAUCACCUUUACCCUACAACUUGUCACAAUCUUUCUUGAUGUGUCCUUUCCUCUUGCAGUAAUAACAAUACACAUUGUUGUACCUCGCCUUCGAUCUACCCCUCCGUCGAUCACCAUAGUAACAAGAGCAUCCCCACUCCUAGAUGUAGGAUCUCCAACCAACAGCUCCAUCUUAUCCUUUGAGAGCAGGGUGUCGUAUACCUCUUCAAUAGAUAACGUGUCAUGACUAUGCAGAAUAGUAUCACAAAACGAUGAAAAAGAAUUGGGUAGCAAACACAACAGGACCAAGGCUAGAUCCUCUUCAUCAUAUUUUACUUCCAAUGUCUCCAAAUCUGCAACGAUCUCCUUGAACACAGCAAUGUGGUCCUGCAGUAACCCUCCUUCUGCCAUGCGAUGAGAAUACAACCUCUGCUUUAGAGCCAAUUUGCUCGUCAAACUCUUUGUCAUGCACAACUGCUCCAACUUGAGCCACAAAGCAGCCGCUGUCUUCUCCUUCAAAACAUCUUGCAGCAAAUUGUUAGAUAAAUGAAGUUAGAUUUGUGCUAAAGCCUUCUGAUCCUUCGGUUGUUUCUCCUCCAUAGAUAAGUUUGCUGGCAUCCUAUCAAAACCCAGCAAAGCAUCAUCAAGAUCCAUCUGCGUCAACACAGCUCUCACCUUUACUUGCCACAGCGAAAAUCUUGUAUUGCAAUCCAAUAGCGAAAUUUCAUACUUCAACGAAUUCAUCCUUGAAAUAUCUCAACCAAAUCACAAGGAACCUGCAACACCCAAAACUGAAAACUUCCGAACGUGCAAGGAGGCAAAAUAGUCCAGAACCACAAUUUUGCCUAAAACUGAAAUUGGACACCACCAUAAGGUCUGUCUCGUCGUCUAGAGAAAAUUGUCUGAAGACACCGUCGUCGAAAACCACCGUAUGCGCCACCACCUGCUCGUCGGAGUUCCCAUCGUCGGCGACUGGCCUGAAACGCGUCGGCGAUCUGUGACCCCUUUUUGGACCAUCUCUGUCUGCUGAGUCUACUUGUGGUGUUCGUUUCUCCAAACUCUUUUUGGUUUGACCAGAAAAAACAAAAAAUAGAUCCGGUAGAAAAUCGAAAAACUGGAUAGAUUCGUUUUCUGAUUUUCUGGUAAUUUUCAGACCAAUUUCCGAUCAGUUUAAGGCUAGAAAUCCACCAAUAACCCCAUUCUAUUACCACUUGUUGGGACCAGGUCGAAACAAAAUGCAAGAAUUGAGAUUUAUUGGACACCAAUUUGAAGUAUAAAUACAAGAUCACAAAAAUACCAUGAACAAGAUUAAAGUAAAGAAAUAAACUGGUAGAUGAAGGAUGUUAUUUUAUUCCAUGAAUGAAAGGAUAGAAUUACAACAAUUGACUUCAAAAAUACUGAAAGAGGAGACUCAUAUAUAUAUAUAUGCCACGAGUUUACACCUAAAAAAGUCCCUAAAAAGUAGAAAAUCUAGUAAAAUUAGGCCAAGGCACGUAAAUUGAGAUGGGAUUCUUGUUUCCUUUUCCAAAUCUGAUUCCUUGGAUACAAAUUGAUUCUUUCCAAGUGAAAUACGCAUCUUCCAUGACUUCUUACCCAAUUGAGAGUCACGAACCUAACAGUAUCUACACCUUUAAACUCAUUGCAAUUUGGAUUCACAUGCACGUAUGCUACUCUAUCCACUUCGAAACAUUAAUUGAACUUUUUUUAUGCACGGGUUUAAAUUGAAACUUUCAAGCUUUACUUUUCACAUUUAUGCCCUUCUUAGUGUUUCUGUUUUGGUUUAUUGUCUUAAUCACAAAAUUAUCAGAAUAUAGAUUAUUCUAUUUUUCAAAGUAACUCCUAGCUAUUAGUUUAAAGUCUAGGCUUUAUGUGUGGAUGAUUGACAUAUAGAUUUUUUCUUAGAUUAUUUCCAUAAUUAUUUAUUUAUUUAUUUAUUUAUUUUGAAUUUUCAGCUCUGUAGUUAACAUGAACUUUAGAAAUAAUUUAGUAAAAAUUUGUAGAUUUCAAAAGGAUAUAUGGUUCAAUUGAAAAGUGGAGACAAGCCGGUCAGUUGGUAGAGAAGCUCUGGGACCAGAUUUUGACUUUUGAGGGCUCGAAAAUUACAAACAAUUUUUUGCCAGAUUCCUAUAAUUAACGAUGCUGCAAAAAUGGGAAUGUGGAGUUUUUGACUCUGCUUAUCAUCUCAUAUCCUGAUCUUAUAGACGUCCAAAAUAAUAACUCCAUAUUUCAUCUUGCUGUCACUCGCUUACAAGAGAAAGUCUUUUGUCUCAUUGACCACACAAGAGCUAUUAAAGAUUUAUUGAUGAUCUUUAGAGAUAAAUCCGGAAACAACAUUUUGCACUUGGCUGCAAAAUUAGCACCUUCAAACAGACUCGAUAGUGUAUCUGGAGCAGCUCUUCAAAAGCAGAGAGAGCUAUUAUGGUUUAAGGUGAGAAAUUAGCAAGACUACCAAAAAAAUUAGCAAGACUACCAAAUUCCCUUUCCUUUUUCCCCUUAAAGAGAAGAGGAACACUUUAUAAAAUGAAGGUGAAUUGUCUCAUCUCUUGUUUAUCUUGAAUAUAUUUGUGGAUAUUAUAUAUAUCCAUGUCACUAUUCUACGUAAAAAAAAUUAAUUCCCCAUGUAACAAUUAAAUUUUGGAUGAUUAUGCAAUACACAUUAAUUUGAGUAAGCCUUACAGGAAGUGGAGCAGAUUCUAUUGCCUUUCAAUGUUCAGAUGAAAAACAUUGAUGACAAAACACCUAAGGAGUUGUUUACGAAGCAGCAUAAGAAGUUAUGGGAAGCUGGUGAGAAGUGGAUGAAGGACACGGCAACUUCUUGCAUGGUUGUGGCAACCUUAAUUGCCACUGUUGUGUUUGCUGUAGCUUUUACUAUACCAGGUGGGAAUAAGGAAGAAACAAGCGCUCCAAUUUUCUUGAGCAAUGGGUGGUUCACAAUUUUUAUUACAUCUGAUGCAGUGGCAAUGUUUAGCUCUACAACUUCCAUAAUGAAGUUCUUUACACUCUUUGUUUCAAUCGUUUGCAUGGUUUUAACAUUUAGUGUAACUUCUUUUUGGUCCAUAAGGAAGAAAACUUAGGGAUAUUGCCAAAAAUUGUUGCUGGUCUUACUUUUCUUCCAAUUACUUUAUAUGCAAUGUUAAAUUUUAGGUUAUGGAUUUCCCUAAUCCACUCAACAAUCUGAGCGUCAAGGUUUAUGUUUUGACCGGGUAAGCACAGGUUUUUGUAGUAAAAGGAUCUACAAUACUAGUUCUUGUAUUUGUUGCUGUUACUAAGAAAAGUGGAGAAGCUUUGUUGUUACUUUGUUUUAUUUCUAAUAAAAUGCUUUGUUUUAAGCCUUUGUUUCUUCUAGUUAUUACUUUGUUGUUGUUGUGUUUUCUAAUAAAAGGCUUUGUUUUUCGAGUGCGAGAGAAGUGGAGAAGCUUUCUAUUUUUUAUUAAUUUGUCUUUGCUAUUCUUCAAUGUAUAUUUAUACAUAAAUAUUGCAACUAUCAUUCCGACACAAAUUUAAUCAAGUAGAGAAGUCCACGAUAAACAUCAGAAUUCUCAUGCCUCAGCAAAGAUUUGUUUCUCUUUUCCACAAUUUAGACCACUUGGUUUGUACCUGAAGCAAUAGUAUUCAAUUAUUAGAUUAUAGCCUCAUGGAUGAUGAUGAAUUCAAGUACCUAAUUUACAUGAAAAAUGUCAAGCUGGAUAGUCCACAAAUGUUUCUUUGGAGUCACUUGCGUGCCUUUAUUACUCCGUUCACUUCAAAAAAAUAUGGUUGCUUUUUGGUAAUUGAGAUUUUUAUGCAUUAUGUGCAGAUCAUGUCCUUUGAUAUUUAGUCAUGGAUAUCAUAUAGUUAGAAAAUAGUCUAUAUAUAUGCAUUAAUCCUCUGGAUAGGGAGUUUUAAAUACCUUAAAUUGAAUCGAUGAUAAUGAUAUUUCUUAAUUGAAUUGAUCCAUGGAGAAUGUACUUGCGCUUCUUGUAAGAGUAAUUUUAGUCCUUCCUUUGGUUUUUCCUUUGUAUCUAUACUUAUAUAUGGGUUCUUAUUAUCCCCACCUAAUGUUAAUGGCGACUCAAUAUAAAUUUGGACUAGCAUCUUCAGAACUCCCUGGGAAAUGCUAGUUUGCAUGGUUGGGCUUAUGUGAAGACAUUAUGGCUACAUAUAUUGUGUUGUUAUUUCGUAUUUUCUGCAUCAAACAAAUAGUGUCAAGAUUUUGUUAAUGUAAUGAAUAGCCAAACGUCGUCACAGAACACAUUUUGUGACUCAUAUAGAGCGACAAUACUCGCAACAAAUAUAUUGUCGUCGGAAAAUUACCUCUGCAACAAAAUCUCAAUUUUUGCGACAACAUUUUUCUGUCGCGAAAUCAUUUAUUUUUUGUAGUGCCUCUCUACCAUGUAGCUACAGCUUUAAGGUGACAUGUUCGUCUUGAGACUUUUACUGUACAAGGGUUUUUGGAUGACUAUAAGUUCGAAAAUAUUUCUAGCAAUGUACGAGUUACUAGGCGUGCACGGGGACAAUGGAGCUGAACUUAAGGACACUUGCUCAUUGCUUAGUUCAUGUUCUGGUUUACUAUAUUAGACUCUGUUUUAAAUAAUAGAUGAGGUUAAUAUUUUGCAAGCAUAUACAAGGGCUGGCCGUAGUAAGAACAAUCAGCCUUGUGAAACAAACAUGUCUUCCCUUCAUUAACAACCAUAAAACGACCUCCAUUUCAUAUAGAUCCAUGAAAACAAAAGCAAUAUCGACACUGUCAAUGUCAUAAAUGGUGUAAAGUGGAAUUAGAAGGAUAUGGCACAAAUUUUGCCCCGCUUUAUAAUUUCAGAACAGCCAUAUUUGACAGGUAUGCAUAGGGUAUAAGAAUGUAGUGCCUUAUUUGAAUAGGGAAUUAAAAUGGUUGCUGCAAAUGAAAUGUAGCCGCUGUAAAUGCCAGAGAAUGCUGAUAGUGCAACUUCUGCUUGUAUCUUAAGUUUCUUUCCUAUUUUUGAAAGCCACAAUCAUUUUUAAGUGAAGUCCCUAUCGCUCGAUUCAACUUCCUACCAAGUACAUAUUAAGAAUCUUCAUCAUCAUUGCUCUAAGGAGAGGUAAAGAUGGCCACAUCUCAGUGGCUCGGUCUCUUUGGUAAGUCAUAAAUCCUUGAAAUAAUUGUAGUUGCGGGCUAAAUAUGUUGCCUGGUUUUCCGUAAUUAUGUAAUGGUUGGCAUCUUAUUUUUUCUUCUAAUAUGUAAUCGUAUUGCAUUAAUAAGGGUUCCCUAAUUACAUGAAGCAUGUGAUACACAGAGUAUACCAAAAAUGAAAUCUCCAUUAAGUAUCCAAUCCACUAAUAUCUUUAUCGUUAUCUCCCACCUGCUUUGAAACCUAUAUACCUGCUCUGCUUCCUUUUGCUUUAUCCGUCCAUACUUCGCCGUCUUCUUUGAUUCCAGUAUCUGUGGCAAUACAUUUAUUAUCUUCAUACAAUAAUAUAUACUGCACAUUUAACAUGAGACAAUGAUCUUGUAGAAACCUAGGAACGUUUUAAAACCAUCAAAAUCGCAAGACUAAAAAUCAAAAUUUGCAGAUCUGAACAAAACAGUAAAAGAACACAAGUGAUUUUUGGCCGAAGCCCCGAGGUUCAGCGAUUUAUCAGAUCGCCUAGUCCCCGUUGAGCAUCCAUGAAGGAAUAAGCUCGAAUCCACUGGAAAACAUCGGCCCAAAAUUACAACAGUUUUGAAUUACAAAUGGAACACACAGUUCCAGCCACAGUAACAACAAAAUCCCCUAAACAACACUAAGAACUCACACAAGAGUUCAUAACAUCACGCAUACUCUCAACCAACAAUAGAAAAUCGACAAGAUCCAAGAUGAGAGAGCCAAAGUACAGAGAGAAUUUUUAACUUAAAGGAAAGUUGCGUAAAAUGAGAGCCUCCAAACCCUAGGCGUUUUAGUUUCUUUUAUAUGAAAGAAACAAAUCAUUUGUCCAAUGGUCCAGCAAUUGCCAGUGUCGAGAUCAGGUGAAAGUCAUUUUUCACAACUGAAAACGUGUUUUUCCUUUAACCCAAUUGAGCUUCCAGAUUAUUCUUUCUUUUAGACCAUUUAACUGGGUCAUGGGUUGAGCAUAUUAACUUUGGGCUUCACAAAGGCAGCAACCCAAUUUCUACAUUCUCGACCUUUGUUGUCUUUUGUGCCUGCUUUUGUGGAUUCAAAACUUAUCUCCAUUUCAUUUUCUCUUAUUACCUUUAAAAAACAAAAUAAUGAAAACCAGUCUUCUUCAAGAUUAAUUAAUCUAAAAGAAUCAAGAAACUUACUAAUAGGGAUUACCUUAGUUCCGACAUCUACUAGAUUUACCUUAGUAGGUAUUUUGAUCAAUCUAAUAUCACCCCUAUCAAUAAUAUCUCUAAUAAAAUGGAACUUUACAUCUAUAUGCUUGGAUCUAUCAUGCAAAAUAGGAUUUUUACUUAGAAAAAUAGCACUUUGGUUUUCUGAACACAGCUCCACUUGAUUUUCUAUAAGUCCUAAUUCACUAAGUAAACCCUCCUUAACUGCUUCAGUUGCAGUAAUGUAUUCAGCUUCGGUUGAAGACAAUGCAACCAAUUUUUUAAGCUGGGAUUUCCAGCUAAUGCAUGUAUCAUUUAUAACAUAAAAAUAUGCAGUUGUAGACUUCCUAUUGUCUGGGUUACCAGCAAAAUCUGAAUCUACAUAAUCUUUAAGUCUAAGUCCUUUUUUAUUAGUUUUGAACAUUAAACCUAAGUUACUAGUUCCGUUCAAGUAUUUAAUCAAAUUUUUCAUGCAUUGACAAUGUAUUUCACCUGGGUUACUCAUGAAUCUGCUUAACACACUCACAGUAUAAGCAAUAUUAGGCCUAGAGCAAACCAUAACAUACAUGACAGAUCCAACAUCAUUAGAAUACGAAACAUUCAUCAUUCUUUUAUGUUCUUCUUCAGUUUUAGGCAAUUGAUCAACAGAUAAUUUCAUACCAGCAAAUAAAGGCAAACUAAUAGGCUUAGAUUCAUGAAGGGAAAAUCUUUUAACAACCUUAUCACGAUAAGAUUUUGUGUUAGAAACAACUUUCCAUUUAUUCUAUCUCUUUUUAUUUCCAUGCCCAAAAUCUUUCUAGCUAGUCCUAAAUCUUUCAUUUCAAAUUCCGAUUUCAGAUUUUCUUUAAUUGAGUUAAAUGCAUCAGAAUUAUGACCAGCAAAGAGCAUAUCCUCAACAUACAAAAGUACAUAGAAAAAAUCAGAUUCACCUUCUUUCUUAUAAUAGAAAUAGGGAUCAUAUUCUGAUUUCUUGAAGUUCAAAUCUUGUAUAAAAGAGUCAAAUCUUUUGUACCAUGCUUAGGGGCCUGUUUUAAACCAUACAAGGAUUUCUUUAAGAGGCACACUAAGUUUCCCUUUCCUUCCACUUCAAAAGGCAGUCUUCACAUCGAGUUGUUCUAACUCCAAGUCAAAUUGCGUCACUAUAGCAAGUAGGACUUUAAUGGAUGUAUAUAUAACAACCGGUGAAAAAAUUUCGGUGUAAUCUAUCCCUUCCCUUGGAUUAAAGCCUUUAGCUACAAGUCUUGCCUUAUAUCUUUUAUCAUUAGCCUUAGUCUCACCCUCUUUAAUCUUAUAAACCCAUUUACAGUCAAUCAGUUUACAAUCUUUUGGUUUUUCAACUAAAGUCUAGGUUUCAUUUUUAAAGAGUGAGUUCAUUUCAUCUUCCAUUGUAGCAAUCCACUUAGGGGAUUCUUUGGAAGAAAUAGCCUUUUCAUAAGAGGCUGGUCCUAUGUCAAACAGUUCAGAUUCAGUCUGAUCAGAUGCAAAAUCAGCAUACUGAUACCUAGAAGGAGGUCUUAUCUGCCUCCUUUCCCUGUCUCUAGCAAGCUGGUGGCCUUGCAGGUCAUGUGCAAGCUCUAGACGCUGUUCAUCUUCCAAUAUUUCAACAUCAGAGACAUUCUGUGGUUCUACGUGAUGUGGCUCCACCUCAAACUGAGCCUGGUCAUCAGUAUUUUGGCUAUCAAAAUUAAUUUCUAUGAUAAUAAAGUCAUCUUUUCCCAAAUUUUCACCUGAUUUGUCACUAAGACAAGAAAAAUCAUCUUCAUUAAAGAUAACAGAUCUGCUUGUUAUCACUUUAUAACCCCUCAUAUCUCUUAACCACAGUCUAUAGCCUUUAACACCUUCUCCAUAUCCUAAAAACACACCCUUCAAUGAUCUAGGGUCCAAUUUUGACUCAGUAUGAUGUGCAUAAGCUGCACAUCCAAAGGUUCUUAGGUGAGAAUAAUCUGGCAUUGAACCAGACCAGAUUUGUUCGAGAAUUCUGUUAUUUAGAGAGCUGGAAGGGCAUCUAUUGAUAAGAUAACAUGCUAUUUUUACAGCCUCACCCCAGAAAAUUUUUGGAAGGCCUGAACUGAUUAACAUACAUCUGGUCCUUUCAAGAAUUGUUCUAUUUAACCUCUCGACAACCCCAUUUUGUUGUGGAGUAUAGCUCACAGUUUUAUGUCUCAUUAUCCCUUGUUUACUGCAAUAUUGGUCAAAUUCGGUAUUGCAAAAUUCAAGCCCAUUAUCAGUUCUUAAAAUUUUUUAUCUUCUUACCAGUCUGAUUUUCAAUUAGUACAUUCCAUUCUUUGAAAAUUGCAAAGGUAUCAGAUUUAGAUUUUAGUAAGAAAAUUCAUGUCUUUCUUGAAUAGUCAUCGAUUGUAAGAAGAUAAUAUCUGUAACCAAAUACAGUAGAAACAGGUACAGGUCCCCAUAAAUCAGAAUGUAUGUAUUCAAGGACAUCUUGGGAUUUGUGCAGCCCUGCCUUAAAAGGCAGUCUGGCUUGUUUUCCCAUGAUAGAGUGUUCACAAAAAGUCAAUUUUUGAACACUAUCCUUCCCAAAUGCCCCUUGAUAUGAUAGUGUUUUUAAACCUUUUUCACUUAGGUGGUCAAGUCUUUUAUGCCACAGUUCUGAUUUAUCGGGAUGUGUGACAGAAUUCACAUAAUUUUUUGGUGAAAUUAUUUCAGCACCUAUUACAGAAAUUCCAUUAAGCUUAGGUGAACUGAUAAUGAGUUCUUAACUUCUUAUUAUAUUUGUAAAGCCAUUUUUAAUACCAAUUUGGUAAUUUUCAUCAUCAAGAACUCUUAGGGAUAUGAGAUUUCUUCUAAGUGUUGGUACAUAUCUUAUAUGUUUUAACAACAUGUGAUGACCAUUUUUAAAUUUCAACAGCAGAUUUCCAAUUCCCUUCACUUGGCAUGACUCAUCAUUCCCAAGUUUUACAAAUCCUCCAUCCAGACUACAAAAGUCUGAAAUGUAGCCUAUAUUGGGUGUCAUAUAAAAGGAACAACAUGAAUCCAGGAUCCAGUCCUAAUCAGUAUUUUCAGAUAGAGACACAUAGGCAACUCCAAUAUUUACACCGACUUCUUUAUAAUUAGCAGCAGCUGCUAAAGAAGCAUUUUCAGUGUUAGACCCAUUCUUUUGGUCAUUUACCUUUUUAAAACAGUCUUUAAUAAAGUGGUCUAUCUUUCCACAGUAAAAACAUUUUAUGUUACUGUUGCUGUUCACUUUUCCUUUAAUGGUUUCUUGCCUUUCCCUUUGGUGUUAUUCCAUUGCCUUUUGUUAAAAUUUUUGUUCUUGUUAAAAUUGGAAUGACUGAAGUUACUUACUCCUUUAACAUGUGGUUUUUGGUUUGAUGACACACCCUCAACAUGGAACAGUUCUUUGUGUUAAGAGUUUAAUUCAAGUUCUUUGUUCAAAAGAGAACUAUGAAUUAUUUCAACAAUGAGAUCACUCUUACCAUACUCUAGAGCAUUUCUUAUGUCUUUAUAUUUAUCUCCUAGAGCAUUAAGUAGGCCAACUACCUUCUGUUCAUCAGAAAUUUUCUCAUCACAGUUUGCUAAAAGUCUUGUGUGAUCCUAUUAAACCUAUCCAUAUUAUCUCCCGUAUCAAAAUUAGGAUCAAACUUAAAACUAAAAAACUGUCUCCAAAAAAAACAUUUAUUUGGUACAGUUUUAGUGAGGUAGUGUUUUUCUAAGGCAGUCCACAAUUGUACAGCAGUUUUAGUUUCUCCUACUUUCCUAAUCACGGUAUCAGAUAAGUGUAGAAACAAAGUUAUCCAAGCUAGUUCAUCUUGUUUAGUUUUUCUAGCUUCAGAUAAGGUUUCUGGCCAAGAUUCAUCAAUAGCUUUAGCACAUUUUAAUUGUAACAUGAGUGCUUUUAUUUUCUGACACCAAAGACUAAAGUCUCCUUUGCCAUCCCAAAUUUGGACAUCUACCUUAGAGUUCAUGGUGUGCUAUAGUGUGAAAUUGUUCACAAGUAUGAUAAAACAGAUAUAUCAUAGUAGUAAUUCAGUCAAUAGUAUGUCACAAAGAUCACUGUCUUAUUAUUUCAAUUUCAGAUUAUGUAUAGAUUGUGCUUUAGUGUGAUGUGUACAGAAGUAUUUCAACCAAAUUAAGACACAUUCAAUAUACAGAUCACUAAGCAUGCAAUGAAUUUAAUCACAUAAACUUACAUACAGUAAGUUACCAAAAAAUGUAAAUGCAAUGUAUGUACCUUUGAAGCAAUAAUUCUUAGGCAGUUCAGCACCUGAGAAGAUCAAUUUGAAUAUUAGUACAGUUCACACAGAAUGUACAAGAAUUUAACUAUGGAAAUAUAAUUUUUGGUUUUAUUAUCCACACUCAGUGAGAAUUUUUAAAGAAUAGUUUCGAAGAUUACAAGUUUCUUGAACCGAAGCCCUAAUCCCCAAAGUUUCUAGGGUUCUCUCAGGGAACCCUAGACAGAGGUAGAGUUAGAAGAGGUUCUGUGGAACCCUAGUUUGGAAAAAUGAUUUUAUUACCAAAAUAAUACUUCCAAGAACUAAAUGUACCAACAAUACAAUACAAAAAUCUGAUUAAUCAAAAAUUCAAUGUCUACAGACUGCAGGUACCACAAAACAAACAAGACGUGUCUAUGAAUUUCAUCAAGAAACAGGUUAGUCUACUGCUUACAAUAUACUCAAAAGUUAUCACUAUAUUGCAGCAUUUACAAAACACAAUAGGCUUCAUUUAUUUUGUAAACGAAGAUCAACACCAACAUUGCAGGUGAUCAAGUCCUACAGUAUCAAGAAAUUUCUUUCCAGUUUUAAGAAUAGCACCAACCGGAAUUAAGAGGACUCCACAACCAACAAAAACGCUUCAGUUUCUUAAAGAAAAGCGACACCCACAUUGAUUCUGUAAGGGUGAAAGAAGCACACCCUACAAUGCCAAAGAAAAAUAAUUUCAGUGUUACUCGAAAAAAAAAGGAGAAAAUUAAAAAAAUAAUGUUGGCAGAUCUUUCAAGAUCUACCGUUUUCCUUUCGGCCGAUGAAUGGAAUUUCAUAUCCUCGACUAAAAAGAUGACCGAAAACAGCAAAGAAAAAUAUUCCAAGCUUUGAUACCACUGUAGGAACCUAGGAACGUUUUAAAACCAUCAAAAUCACAAGACUAAAAAUCAAGAUUUGUAAAUCUGAACAAAACAGUAAAAGAACACAAGUGAUUUUUGGCCAAAGCAUCGAGGUUCAACAAUUUAUCAGAUCGCCUAGUCCCCAUUGAACAUCCAUGAAGGAAUAAGCUCGAAUCCACUAGAAAACACCAGCCCAAUAUUAUAGCAGUUUUGAGUUACAAAUGGAACACACAGUUCCAGCCACAACAACAACAACAAAAUCCCCUCAACAACACGAAGAACUCACAUAAGAGUUCAUAACAUCACGCAUACUCUCAACCAACAACAGAAAAUCGACAAGAUCCAAGAUGAGAGAGCCAAAGUACAGAGAGAAUUUUUAACUCAAAGGAAAGUUGCGUAAAAUGAGAGCCUCCAAACCCUAGGCGUUUUAGUUUCUUUUAUAUGAAAGAAACAAAUCAUUUGAUCCAAUGGUGAAAGUCGUUUUUCACAACUGAAAAACGUGUUUUUCCUUUAAUCCAAUUGAGCUUCCAGAUUAUUCUUUCUUUUGGGCCAUUUAACCAGGUCAUGGGUUGAGCAUAUUAACUUUGGACUUCACAAAAGCAGCAACCCAAUUUCUACAGAUCUAUUAGACAAUGGGCAAGAAUUGCUAUCAUAUUGUUUUAACCUUUUCUAUAUAUUGGUUAAUUAUAAAAGCCGACAGCUUUAUGAAUGCCAAUUGUUUGUGUCUUUGUGGUUCUUCCAAGAACUUCAUGACUUCACUUGAAUUAGCAACCUUAGUUCCAGGUCUUUCGGUUUCUGUCAAAAAUAAUUUGGCUUCAAUAUGCAUUAAAGUAUGUUAUCAUCCCCUCUUAGCCCUGCUGCCGACUGAAUCGGUACAUGUGUAAGGUUUUUUGAUGCACUGUCAUGCACAUGUUAUUUAGUUUACGCUACAGGAUUCCUUCUUGGAGUGGAUUUUGCAUUUUAUACUUUAGCAUUGAUUAGCUGAAGAUCUAGAGGUACCAGAAUUUUAUGGUUACUGAUUAGUCAUUUGAAUACAAUAUAUUACAGGAGCUGAGGAGUUCGAGAAUCCUAUUUGGAAGUUAUUUACUUUUAUAUAUAAACAUUUUUGAGGAUUCAGCCCCUAUUGGGCUAAGUAUUAGCUUCUUGUCAUUCAUGAUGAAUAACUUUCAUCUCACCAUGCCUGUUUAGAUCAUUUAACAAACCUUUUGAAAAUAUACAGCGGGUACCAACAAAAUUCAGUAGAUUUCCCAGUGUCCAUAUAUUUUUUGGGCAAUCAGUUAAUUCACUAAUUACUUUUUUGCAAUAAAAUGAAUAUACAAGAAAGAAAUGAUCAAGACUUGUUGUUGUUCAUGCUUAGCUUCCAAUCACUAUAUAUGCAGGUGCAGUGCUAAAUUAUAGGUUAUGGAUUGCCAUGAUCCACUCGAUUUGUAUCCACCACGCCGCAAGCAUAGGUUUUAUUAAUAAAAGGAGCUACUAUACUAGUUAUUUAUUUAUUUAUUAUUUUUUUACGAAAAAGUGACUCGUGCUUUCUAGUUCAAAACAAGUGGGAAAGGUUUCUAUUUCUUAUUUCCAUGGACAAAUUCUACUGGAAAUUUGUAACAAUUAUUUAAACAAUGAUAAGUAAUUAAGUAUGUUAUUAUGAGUGCUCAUUAAUUAUCGCAUGCAUAACAACCUUCCAGUAUUCAACUCGAGACUGAGCCAUGGCUAACCACGUGGGAUGUUUAACUUCUCCGAUGAAGCCAACCUUAAUAUGCCAUUCUAACAGGACUUUCACCCAUAUUUUUACAACUUCUUCCUUGAGACAACCUCGAUACGUUAUUCUAUUGUUCCUCUAGCUAGUAGUGAAAUACAUUGCUCAAUCACACCUAAAAUUGCCGUAUAAUCUCCAUAUAUUGUUCGUUGCAUUGUUGUCCAUUUACACAAAAAUUAUACCGUUCACAGUUUUAAUUUCUCAACAAUCGUAUAGUACUAUCCUUUCAAGCAGAUAUCAACGCGCUCUACAAUUUAUCUUUUUUCCCAUGGACCCUAUGCGUAUACAUAAUUUCUUCAAUCUUUCACGUACAUGGAGUAUAGUACAUGCUAGACUUUCCAAACAUAGUCAAAAUUGCACAUACUUAUAUUAAUUGAUUUUUCACCGUUUCAUUAGGGCAUAUCAUAGCGUAUUCAAAGACUUUAUAGUUACAGUUGUGCUACAUAUACACCACAAGUUAUAGAUUUGUAUACUUACACGUGAUAUGGUAAGAUAUAAUUGGGUAAAAAUUUCUUCAAUUAAAUUAAAAAAAAAAAUCACCCUUUUUUACACAUUAUCUAUCUGUAAAAUUCUCUGUAACUUCUUAUAUACAAGUAGCAUUAUUAUUAUAUUUAUAAUAAGCACCUUAUAUAUAAUAGAGAGAAUCUUUAAAUUUCACUAAUAAAUAUUUUUUAUACACGAUAAUAAUGCUUUCUAUUUUGACUUUUCAUUUUACUUUUUCAAUAUAUAUUCAUUAUUUCAACUUUGUCUUUUAUUUGACAUAACUUUUAUAUGUAUCAUUUAAUAUUAUUCUUUAAAUAAUUUAAGCAGUAGAGUAUUGAAAUCUAAAGUUUAUUAAAUGCAUCAUUAUAAAGUAAGAAAGAGAGUAAGACUUGGAGUCUAUCGGAGUUUAUUUCUAAGCAUUGAUUUUUUGAAAUAGAGAACAACUUGUAUUUAGAGUCUUUGGAGAUGCCCUCGGUCCAGCUAGAGAAAUGUAUUGCAGUUUUGGUUUGAAAUUUUCGGUACAAAGCAAUUAAAUACUUAAAGUGAGGUAUAAUUAAUAUAUUUUCCAUAAAAAAAAUAGAAAUGAUUUUAAAGGUCAAAAAAUGAAAUUUGCUACAAGAAAAUUAACUAAAGAAAAACUUAUUUGGUGGAAAUUUUUUAGUAGAUUAUGAUAAAAGUUGAUGAAAUGUAUAGUUGAAAAGUUGAGGAUCCCUUAAAAUAUGUGACUGAUAUUAAUUGUUGACUUUGACUUAGAUUAAAAUUUAAAUUUUAAUCACAAUCAAACAGGGGCUAAAUUUGGAUUUGAGAUUAUGUUUUGAAUUAUUAAAUUAAAUGCAAAGAUGAAGAAAUAAAUAAAGGGAAAUUUAUAUAAAUGUCACUAAAAUUGAAAAUGUACAAAAAAAUUUCAUUUGCACCAAUUUUUUCCAAAAAGUUACUUUUUCUGCGAAAUUUCCAUUUUACCCCUUGUGACAUAUUUUUAGGAACAAUAUAAAUGCUUGAUUUGAAUGCAAUGAAUGGUGUGAUGUGAUAAUUUGUUUUAUAUAUUUUAAACAUUUAAGAUAUUCAUAGUAUAUUGUAUAAUCUUUUUUAUUGUUAAAAAAAGGGGUGAAAACUUAAAAAAAAAACUCACAAAUACUUAUGAAUACAAACCCUACCUUCUUCUUCACCAUCUUCAUUCCAUCAUCAACAAGUAAAAGCUAUUGAUCAAUCUUAAAGGUGAGCUACUAGAAAAAUUAUCUUUUCAUGUCAUAGUUUACUACAUUAAAUGUUUAAUACAACAUGGUAUAUUUAAUUGAACGUUUUAAUCUCUUAUUCAUUGAUGUGUUUUAUUUUUGAUAUAUUUUUUAAGGGAAAAAAUACCAAUAUCCUCUAGAAAAUGUGAAGGAUUCUAUAUUUAACGAAGCAUUAAGUUAUUCCUUCUUUAUUUGUGGGAAGAUAUUGUUAUGUUGUAGGUGAGAAUUGAUUAUCACCAUUAAUAUUUUCAAUAAUAUUUUUCAAACAAUCAAACACAUGUUUUUAAGCUUUUCCAAAAAUUAUGGCAGUUCAACUGUCGAACAGUAUCUUCAAAACCAUCGGGUUAGACAUUUUAAUUGUCGAGCUCGACAUUUAGUAACUGUCAGGAUAGACAAUUUAAUUGUCGAUUUCGACACCUGAAAAUUGUUGUCACCCUUUUCCUUUUUGGUACUACAUGUAUCUACAUGUCGCCAUAUGGAAUAUACAGAAUAUGUCGAGAAAUUUGAAUUGAUGAUUCUUUGAAAACAUGUAAAAUGCCCUCCAACUCUAUGCUUGUUCAAAAUAAUUCAACCUACUGCUUCAAAACCUUUUAACACAAUCCGCUCAAAAAGAUAAUUUUAAUCCCCACCAACUAAAUUGUAGUUUGUAAAUUGUAAAUAGUAGACUCAUAUUUUUUUCACUGUACAUUGUCACAAUCACAAUCCAUUAUCGUUCGCAGACAAGCAAACACAUGUUCAACUUUACAAGCAAAAUACGUAGCCAUAGACAACAUACUGCAUACAAUCUAAUAGUUCAUCUGUCAUUUUUGAUAGAUUGUUCCUGUCAUUCUCGACACUUGGAUUGGAGUACAAAAAGAACACUGCACCAGAAAAGGCAUAAGGGACAUGCUCGUGCUGAUUUUUUGGUAAAAACAUUACCAAAUUCAUCCUUGCAAAACAAAAGACUAUACAGAAUUUAUUAAACUAUAUUUCAUCAGUGUCUAGUUCAUUCGUCAUCAACAGCUGAACCUUCUCCCCCACUCUCUUCAUUUGACUCAUCCGACGAGAUGACAAUUAUCUCAUUCUAUGGGAUGUACACCAACUAGUCGUCAUCGUUGGAUUCAACUUCGUACCGAACCGUGACCUCCAACACCACAUCGAGCACACCGUUCGGAGACUGCAUCCCUUCAGUCGCAACUUCAUCCAAGUUGGGAAAAGUUAUAGCGAAAAUGACUCUCCUAUCAAUACAAGGGCUAACUUCCUCAUCCUUUGACAAAAUGUAGAUUGAAAAUAGCGGGUAUGAACCAAAAAUUGGCAAAGGCUCGAUCAACUUCAACAUUUCGUUACUUCCCGUGGACGAACUUAUUAUGUCGACACAAUGCAAUUGAUGAAACGGUUUGUGUAUGUGAGAACUUGAAAGUCUCACAAUGCUCAUGAAGGGUUUUAUGUGUAAUUGACAAUGACAACAUGUUAUUUAUAGCCAACUUGAAGGGAAGAAGCAAUUAUGGUUAUUUACUACCCAACCACCAAGUCCAAUCUCAUCUAAAUUUAGUUGGCAUGAUGGUUCAAUAAAAUAAUUGUACAUUUAUCCCCCAUUUCCCAUAAUUACUAGGAUAUUGUAACUCUUAAAUCAUGUGAACAAUGGAUUCAACUUUCCUGCAACUCACAUUAUGCAAUUUGUAAAUUAGUUGUAACAUGGUUUUCAUGGCUUUGGCAUAAUUAUAAAAAUGGCUCAUCAUCUUAACCUGAUAAUAAAAAAUAAAAAAUAAAAUAAAAACUCACAUUAAUGUCCUUGUGAAUUAGUUGUAGCAUGGUUUCCUGAAAUGGAAAAAUUUUGAUGGUUCCUCAUCUUAACCCAAUCAUCAUUGACGAAGGACUAAUUGAUUCGAAAAAAAAAGAAAAUACGGUCCAAGUAAACUAUGAACUCUACACAAAGUACUCAUGCCUUCAUUGCAAAAAUAAAAUAUAGUGUACAUAACCAUUCAUUAUUUGCAAGAUCCAUGCAUUCGCUAUGCACUAACCCCACACUGCUAAUCUUCAUUUAUUUUAUUACAACAUUCAAACUAAGAAACAGCAGACCAACUUUUAUCAUAUGGAUAAUAUUGGCAAUAUCUUUGGCAGAUGCAAAGGUAUAAUUUUUUCAACUACUAUCCAACGACUAGACGUCUAAUAAUAGACUUCAGCCAAAAGGUUGAACGACAGUAUCCCACUUUCCAAGAAACAACUGAACAAAUAUAGGCCUGCAGUCUUGACGCGGCACGCUUUGCAACGUUCAUUUUCUCCCUCGACAGUGCAAUGUCGUGCUUUAGGCUACCCUGCCCUGCAUACAUGGCAUGUCACCAUGCCUCAUUGGAAGAAGCUCAUGUUCUGCAAUGACUGUUCCACCCCCAGCAAGGUAGAAAUACAAAGCCAAUGGAUAAAAUGCACACAUCAUGUAUUACGAAUCUUGCAAGGACAUUUUAGCACUUUUUCCCUAAUGUACACAAGUGUUUCUCGCAAUCGGUCACGAAUCCUCCAUAGCCACAUACAUCUCAUGCAGUGCUUCAUUCACUAGAUCAUAAUGGAGCUCUACAUUACCAAAAUAUGACUCUUAAAUCAUAUAUUUGACUACCAAUUGUUGGAUGAGCUAGGCAAAGAAUUGUAUGUCAGGCAUCUAAGCCAGGAAUUAGAGUCAAGAGUUUUAGAAGUCCUCACACUAUCGAUCGUCGAAGGUCUGCGAAAUGUAAGCCCACAUCCAAGUAUUUUUCGGAACGAGGAAUUCAAACUCCAUUUCUCCUGCAAGAUACAGUGAGAAAAACACGGAUUAGAUCAUGACGAAAUAUAGAAAUGUAACACGGAAUGAAUCGAACCCAUGCUUGUAGUGAGGUGAACUGUCGAGAAAAACUGACAUCAACCAUCGGUAUGGACAGUUCAUCUGUCGAUACCAAUGGUUAAUCUCGACAUAUGCUUGAGAUUCUGUCAUCUGUCGAGAUUGGCAGCGUUGAACUGUCGGGAACGACAGUUCAAACAGCCUGCACACUUUAGCAAUCUACUAAAAUGAACACGAGACAUAAAAGUCCGACAUUUACUGCACCAUUUCUAUGCAAUGCAAAGACAUUUUGUAGAAUGAAAAUGGAAUUACCCACACUUGGACAUAGCCGAACAACCUUGCACUAUCAUAUGAACACACACGUGCAUGCUACAAAACGUGACACGUGCUUAUUUGUGCAUAGUUGACCAUAAGAUGCCUAGGUUCAGACCUAGUUGAAACGAUUAUUCGCCGAAUGUGUCUAACCCAUUAAAAAAUGGAAGAAAGUGUCAUCCUCACCCGGGAGAUCGAAAUGGAAGUUUUUUGAAACAAGGAAUGGUUGUGGAUGUUCUCUGGACGAUGACUAGAACUCGAAAUUUCGAAGCAUGACGUCAAUAAUUGAUCCCCUAAAAACCUGAUUCGCAUCAAACAAAGGUGAGAGAUACGAAAAAUAGACACAACAUCAUUACUUACAUAAAACUUGAAGUAAGCAUGUUAAACAGAAUUGCACACCAACGAAAAGCAAAUUGUGUAUAUAGCACAUAACAUGCGAACAGGAUUUAGGACAACAAAUUUUUCAUAUAACAAUUCACUUCAAAUUUGUAAUUGAACUUCGAGAAUUUCAGCAAGUAACUGUCGAGAACGAUAGUUCAUCUCGAAAGUUUAUUCUAUGACUAUCGAUAUUGACAAGUUACGUGUCAGAGUAAAUUUCAAGACAACGGUCAGGUUAUACAUAUCUUAAUAACAAUACCAAUGGCAUCCAAUAAAGUUCCACUACACACAAGUAUUCUGAUAAUAUUUGGUAAUAGGGUUCUAUAAUUAAUAAAACAGAUUUCAACCCAUAAUCAACCACCAAUCAAAGUAUUGUUUUACAAAAUAAACAAAGUUUACAAAACCAAAGAAGGGUUAAAACAAACUUCAUCCCCAAUCAAUCUAUCGUUCUACAAAAUUCCAUAUUUGAGGAGAAGUCAAAAGUUUGUGUAAUUCAAAAAUAAUGAACAAAUAUAUCCCUUGUUUUUGAAUGUCGUGUAUGAUUUUAAUGCUCAAGUUCAUCAUUUAUGUUAGUAUUGCUCAAGUAUAUUCUAAAUGUUAUUUGGUUAUUUCUUGCGGGUUGAUUAUUGAAUUCCUUCACCUGGCGAUAUUUGAUAAUCUGAGAUAUUUUGAAUUCUACCUCAUCAAUCAAGUUCUAACGUUUUAAUUGCUUAUAAUUAUGUCCUCUAGAAAAUUUGAAUAUGGAUAUUCUAAAAGAAAACGGAAUAAAAAGGUUGAACAAUUAAUUAAAUCUCAAGAGGGAGCCCUUGAUAAAUUUUUUUAGUGGCAGUAAAUGGAAACAUAAUGAAGGCGCUGUUAUUAAAGGAGAGUCCAAUAAGAAUGAUAUCAGUGAUAAUAUAAUUGAAAAACAUCAUUGUUUGGUGAAUGAAGAGGUAUGUAUUGGGGAUGAUGUUAUGGAUGAAAGAAACAUCAACGAAAAGGAUAGACUGGAUAGUGAACCAUUUUCCCUUGACAUUAGUGAUCUAGCAAAUUGGGAAAAUAUGAAUCAGAAUUUAAGAGACUUAAUUGUAAUGAAAGGUCUAAUACGAGACAAUGAUGUUAUUUUUUCAAAAGUUUUCAUUUGAAUGUACAUAUAUAUAUAUUUUUUAAAUAUUGUUACACGUGUAAAAAAAUAAAUAUUGGGCCUCGAAAUAAUUUUUUGCUUAGGGCCGGCCCUGCAAAUCGGGCAUUAUUGUCAGAUUUGGCAUUGAACUAUGCAUGCACACAGUACGACUCUUCGCACUUCAGGCACGUGACUGCUAAUUUUACUCCUCCAACAUCUUUAUUUUUAGGAAUUCAUUGCUGUUUCUCGUUCCAAUUAUUUUCUUUCGUAUAACCUAAGGGAUCGGGGACUGCACCUCUACCUGAAACUCUCUCCUUGCAAAUGUAGAAUUAAAACUACUAAAUUUAAAGGGAGAUUUUAUAAGAAAUUCAUGGAUAAAACCACAAAAGAUUAUAGCAGUUUUACGAUGGAUUAACCACGGUUUAUGCACAGCUGAGCGUUGCAAACAAAAAACCGAUAGAAAAGUAUAGAAAAUAAAAUUGAGCAAGAUCUACCCAGCAAGGGAGUGGCAGACUUGAUGUGCCUAGCUUCGAUCAGUGUCAUUUAUAGUGCAACUACUUGGGUCAAUCACAUUAGCACUUAGCAGUGACUAUAUUUUAAUUCAAUUUUCGAAAGAGUAAUUAUACUUCAUUUUGAAUCAAUCAGAUCACUAUGUUUUAAUUUUGUAUCAACUGGAUCACUAUAUAUACUAAACUUUUGUCUCAAUUUAAGGCUUCUAGAUUCAAUUCUGCAGUGUUCAAAGUCAGACUCAAAUGGUUGUGGUUGUCACAUACUAACGUCUGUCCUAUAAUGUCAUACCCCCCCCCCCCCCCAACCCCCCCCAAAAACCCCCCCCCCCCCCCCCCCCCCAAAAAAAAAAAAAAAAAAAAGGACCUGGAAGAAGUGAUGGAAUCAAAGAACUCAUGUUAUGCGUUAGACCAGUGGAUUAAAAAUAACACAAACCAUAAGUUUUGUGAUUCUAUUACGUCCAAGGAUGAUGGAUAAUAGUAUUUAAUUAUUAUGUCAGCGUCCAGUUUUAUACAAUACAACAUAAUUAAAGAAAGUGAUCUAAAUUGAGACAACUUUAAAAUACUAUGACCCAAUUGUUACAAGAUUAAAUUAUAGUGAUCAAAUUUUCACUUAACAUAACUAAUUAAAAAUUAUGUUCAAAGUACCAUCACUGAUAAUAGAAUUAACGAGUUAAUUAAAUGGCUGCUCACUGAAUUUUACCAUUGGUUACCACUUGCUCACUGAAGAAUAAAUGGUAACUGAAUGCUCACUCAACUUUUCAUUAAUUUAUCCAUCCAUCACUAGAUCUAAAUCCGUCUGUACAGUUAGCCAAUAAAUUCCACGUAGAUAUAAAAAAAUGACUUGGACGAUGAAUUAAUCCCACGUCAUCAAAAAUUAUUAUUUUUUAAAUCCCAAAAUCAUAAAUUAUUAACAAUUGUUUUUUAGACGGCCAAAAUCACAGUUCUAAGAAAUCAGAGAUGAAAUUUAUCCCCAAAUCAUCUUCAUCUUCAAAUCUCAUCUUCUAAUCUAACUCAUUCAAUUGGUAAUUUCAGCUUUGUAAUCCAUAUCCAAGAAGUUCUAUAUCCACAUCCCAAUUAAUUGAAAUUUACACUGCACGGUUCAUUCCAAUCGUCUGCGUCAUUCUUGAUAAAAUAAAAAAAUUUGGUUAUAUGAUUCAUCUACAAUUAAAUCUACAUGAUGAAAUUUCAUAAGAAGAUGGAGGUGUGAAAUCUGCAUCAAUUCACUGACGACCUUUGGCAAAUUGCAGCUCUGGAUAUGGCUUGAUGAGUUCAUUCGAAAAAAAAAAAAGAACCGAAAAGUAAAAUUGUGAGGAAUCCAUUCGAUUUUCUUCCUUAGUUUUCCUUGUUGAGGCUUCUUUCUCAAAGAAUCGAUCAUUGAAUGCUGAAUUACUGGUGCAAUACUAGCAGGAUAUAAGCCCAUCUCCUUUACUUCUGCAAUACUGGCAGAUAGAAGCCAAUCUCAUGAUUCUAAGAAGUGGAUGAAGAGAUUUUAUUGAUGAAUUUGGUUCUUCAUAGGGUUAGGUUUCAAUUGGGGAUUUCAGAUUUCUCUCUUCUAUGGAGAUCGUCAUUUUAGAUGGAAAAUGGAAUAAAAUUGCUAUUUUAACAAUUGCAUUCUUAUCCAACAUGUAUUCAACUAACGUCGUCAUUGCCAUGUCAAGUUUUCAUCCUCCACGUGGAAUUUAUUGGCCAACUGUACUGACGGAUUUAAGGCUAGUGAUAUAUAGGUAAAUUUAUUGAAAGUUGAGUGAGCAUUCAGUUACCAUUUAUUUUUUGGUGAGCAAGUGGUAACCAGUGGUAUAAUUCAGUGAGCAUCCAUUUAAUUAACUCUAGAAUUAACUGGCAGCCACCCAAAUUGAAUACAUGUGAAUAUUUGAUUUCUUUAUGUACUUCGCUUUCUAAUUGGUCUUGAAAUUAUGGUCCUUCAUAAUUUAGAUUAAUUAUAUACAAGGUAAAUUUGCAAAAUGUAUAAGAUUUUAAUGUUUCCCAACUGCGGGAAAAAAAAAACAUUCCAUAUUAUAAGCGCAAAUAUUAGCCCCUGUUUGUUCUAACUAAAAAUUAAUUUUUAGUAAAUUUUAAUAAACGUUGAUGAAAUAUCUUGAAAGUUUUGGUUUGUUGGAUUCCAAAUUAAAGUUAAUUAUUGAUUUUUACUUAAUUUUAAUCAAUUAUUUAAACUAUAUCAAAUAGGGGCUCAAUGAAAUUUUAUCUAUUUGAAGAGGUGGUCCAAACAAAAUUACUUUUCGGAAUAAUUGUAGUUGUGCCCCCAGACUUUUAAAACGAUGUCGAUUUUUCUUUAACAUUUUUUUUUGCAACUGUAGUCCAAAACCUUUCAAAUGCGUGCGUUUAGAGCCUAGAUGGAUGGAAACCAUCCAAUCUAUCAUUAGUUGACCAAGAAAAUUAAGUUUCACCACAUUUUUAACAAUUUCAACGAGGGCAAAAUAGUAACUUCAUAAACUUUCACAUAAAAUGAGUUAAAUUUUAAAUUAGAAAAAUCAAAAUAAAUAAAUAAAAACUUCCAAUAGUGUAAUACUGAUUCUUCUUCACCCUCAGCCUCAAUCUACAGCACUGCCCGUCGACCAUCGCCACUCACCGUUGCACUGUAAUGGCCGCCACCGCCAUCUCAAACCGCCAGCUGCCUUCACCAUGCUCAAAUAUACUUCUCGUUCAUUCACACAUAACCCUUUUCAAAUCCACCCACAAAUAGUGCAGCUAUUUUCAAAAGAAACUGUGCAAAUAACAAUCGAGGCAUUUUAAGGAAAAUGCUGAACAAAACGAAAAAGAAAGCAGCUUCAGGAGUUAGGGUUUUUCGAUAUUGAACACGUCGAUGACAAUUUGUCUUGGAUUGCCCCGUCGCUACAUAGUCAAACUCCCAUGGUGUAAAACACGAUCGAGAUAAAAUUAAAGUUUAAUGAUCCAGUUGAGACAAUCAAUUGAAAUUUAUGUUAAAGGACAAUCAUUGUGAAUUAAACAAACUCGCAAUCACUCAAAGUGGAUACAUGUGAAUAUAUUGACAUGUCUCUAAUAUCGUACACUUGACCGUGUUCAUAAAUAAAUUUGGUAGACCCUACAUAAUAAAUGUUAAUCUAUUGUUGAAAAAAAAUUAUAAAUUUACUUCUAAAAAAAUAAAAAUAAAAUAAAUGUAUAUAUAUCGUACCAUUGGUCUUCAACCUAUGAACUUAUUACAAUUUGAUCUUUCGACCUAUUUUUCUUGACAGUACAAUCCUCAACUUUUUAAAUUUGCAGCCCUGUUGAUCCAUCAACAUAGAUGUAAAUUGAAACAAAAUCAAAUAUAAAAAUGCAAUCGAGAUAAAUUUAAAGUCUAAUGACCCAAUUGAGACAACCAAUUGAAAUUUAUAUUAAAAGAAAAUCAUCUUGAAUAGAAUUAACUCGCAAUCACUCAAAGUGAAUUCAUGUGAAUAUCUUGACAUAUCUCUAACAUUGUACACUUGGUUGUUCAAUAAAUAAAUGUUGUAGACCCUACAUUAUUAAAUCUUAAUAUAUUGUUGAAAACAAAAAUUAUAAAUUUACUUUUAGAAAAAAUAAAAAUAAAAUAAAUGUAUACAUUGCGCCAUUAAUCUUCAAUCUAUGGAGCUUAUUACAACUUGAUCGUUCGACUUAUUUUUUUGAUAGUACAACCCUCAACAUUGUAGAUUUACAGUUUUGUCAAUCCCCGAUAGAUAGGUAAAAUGAAAAGAAAAAUUUAAAUAAAAACACGCAGUCAAGAUAAAAUUAAAGUUUGAAUACAUGUGAAUAUCUUGGCAUGUUUCAAACAUUGUACACUUGAUUGUUUGAUAAAUAAAUGUGGUAGAUACUACAUUAUUAAAUCAUAAUCUAUUGUUGGAAGCAAAAAUUAUAAAUUUAAUUCUAGAAAAAAAUAAAAAUAAAAUAAAUGUAUGCAUCGUACCAUCGGUCUUUAACCUAUGGACUUAUUACAAUUUGAUCUUUCGACCUAUUUUUCUUGACGGUACAAUCCUCAACUUUUUAGAUUUGCAGCCUUGUUGAUCCAUCAACAAAGACGUAAAUUGAAACAAAAUCAAAAUAUAAAAAUGCAAUCGAGAUAAAUCUAAAGUCUAAUGACCCAAUUGAGACAACCAAUUGAAAUUUAUGUUAAAGGACAGUCAUCGUGAAUAGAAUUAACUCACAAUCACUCGAAGUGAAUUCAUGUGAAUAUCCUGACAUAUAUCUCUAACAUCGUACACUCGGUUGUUCAAUAAAUAAAUGUUGUAGACCCUACAUCAUUAAAUCUUAAUAUAUUGUUGAAAACAAAAAUUAUAAAUUUACUUUUAGAAAAAAUAAAAAUAAAACAAAUGUAUACAUUUCUCCAUUAAUCUUCAAUCUAUGGACCUUACUACAACUUGAUCGUUCGACUUAUUUUUUUGACAAUACAACACUUAAUAUUGUAGAUUUACAUUUUCGGUGAUCCCUGAUAGAUAGGUGAAAUGGAAAAAAAAAAUUAAAAUAUAAAAAUGCAGUCAAGAUAAAAUUAAAGUUUAUUGACCAAUUGAGACAACCAAUUGAAGAUUUUAUGUUAAAGGACAAUCAUUGUGAAUUGAACUAACCCGCAACCACUCAAAAUGGAUACAUGUGAAUAUCUUGACGUGUCUCUAACAUCGUACGCUUGAUUGUUCGCUAAAUAAAUGUGGUAGAUACUACAUUAUUAAAUCUUAAUCUAUUGUUGGGAGCAAAAGUUAUAUAUUUAAUUCUAGAAAAAAUAAAAAUAAAAUAAAUGUACAUAUUGUACCAUUGAAGUUCAACCUAUAGACCUUAUUACAACUUGAUCGUUCGACUUAUUUUUUUUUUACAGUCCUCAACUUUUUAAAUUUGCAGUCUCGUUGAUCCUCGAUAGAGACGUCAAUUGAAACAAAAUUAAAAUAUAAAAACAUAAUCGAGAUAAAGUUAAAGUCUAAUGACCCAUUUGAGACCAAUUGAAAUUUAUGUUGAAGGACAAUCAUCAUGAAUAGAACUAACUCGCAAUCGCUCAAAGUGGAUACAUGUGAAUAUCUUGACGUGUCUCUAAUAUCAUACACUUGAUUGUUCGAUAAAUAAAUGUGGUAGACCACACUUUAUUAAUUCUUAAUCUAUUGCUGAAAACAAAAAUUACAAAUUUACUCUUAGAAAAAAAAAAAAUAAAACAAAUGCCACAUAUUGAGCCAUUGAUCUUCAACCUCAUAUUUAUUAAUUUCUCCUCAUAUUUUAUUUAAAAUAAUUUUUUAUACGUUAAUGACCAAUCAAUUUAAACAUGACUUGAAUAGUUUAAGAAAUAGAAUAUUGAAAUAUGUGACUUAUUAAAUACAAUAAUUUUUCAUUAAAAAUAGAGAGUAAGUUUGGCUUUCUAUAUUUAAAGAGUCAAAUAAAAUUUCUAUUUUAAAAAGUUAAAAUAAAAAGUCUCUUAGAAUUUAUUUUUUAACUUUAGUUCUUUAGAAUAAAGAGCAUUUUUUUAGAGAUACUUUUGAAGAUGUUAUUACCAUAGUUAAUAGGCAUGGAUCUUUGGAGACCCCAUGCAAUUACGUCAUGCUACAAUUGUAGAAUCAAACGGGCAUGUUUUUAACAACCGAGAGACUAAUUCAAUCUAGUUAUGUAUCAACAAAUAGGUCCCCAUCAUAUUUUUUCUAAUAAUUUUAGCCCUAUUUUCGAUUUUACAUAGCAUCACGGUUCCUAGUUAACAAAAAUGCAGACAACGAGAACUGUUUUUUGAAUGUCCGGUCCAAGUAUGCGUAAAUUGUGACGACAUUCAAUUUAUUGACGUGGCUAACUAAGAAAGCAUGUCGCUACUCCUCAAGAUUCUUCAAAUGAAAUUUGGACACUUGAGUCAUAAAAUGCAAACAAGCCCCAUGAAUUACAUUUCCCAAUGGACCACUCCACAAGCAAAUGCCUUCAACCACCCACUUUUACAAGUAUCUCUGUAAAUCAAUCAAGUUGAUAUUUGAUAGAGAUUUUUUGAAAAUAGAUUUUAUGAAAAAUAUUUUUUUGAGAAAUGUAUGAUUGAAAUUGAUAAUUAUUUUUUAUUUAGUUUCUAUCAGAUAUUUAAGCUAUAACAGCAAAGGCUCAAUGAAAUUUAUCUCUCUGAAGAAGGGGUCUGAACAUAAUUACUUUUUUGAAUAGUUAAUUUUAUCAUUAAAAAUAGAUUUAAUGAGGGAGUGUAAAUUAGCUUAAGGGCAACACUCAAGCUAAAAAACCGUGUGAAUGUGAGACAAUCAUUAACACGUGCCCAAUCGCCCCUAGAUGGACAAUCAAACGGAGACGAAAAAUAUCCCAAUGUAAUCAGAUACUGUAGGCCACAAAAAAAUGAAUGGAGAUUAUUUUACGUCACACAAUUACGUCAUGCUAUAAAUCAGUCUUCGAUGACCCCAUGUAAUUACGUCAUGUUCUAAUUACUAGAAUCAAACAAACACGUUUUACACCACCAAAAGGCUAAAAAGGAAGGAAAAUUGUGGCUUUCAAUUCAAUCGUGUAACAACAAAUCGGUCCCGUUCUACUUUUCUAAUCAUUUUAGUCCCCCAUCUUUAAUUUUGUAGACCCAUGAUUCCUAACUAAUAAAAACUAUCCAAUUGACAGUGUAACAAGCAGACAAAUCUCGCAUAUCACAUUUCUUAAUGGACCACACCACGUGCAAAUGAUUUCAACCGCCCAAACUUUGCACUCAUCGUCGCUAAAACAAUUAAGCCCCCAUUUGAUUCUCAUCAAAAUGAGAGGUUCUCAUUUUCCAACAAUAAAUAAAUAGUAUUAUAAAUGUUUAAAAAUGAUCUUGUGCAUAAGAGUUGUUAGAACAUCAAAAACGAAGGCAAACCCCUCGUUUUUUACCGCCAACAUUUAAAUCAAGGGUGUAUUGGGAAAGUGAAAUUUUUAACAUGACAUAUCAAUAAACAAGUUAACAAUUCUAGUGCAUUCCACUGCCCAACGGACAGAUUCAUUUAUUACGGCUCCACUGAAGCAGAAGAUGAAAAAAGUUAUGCUGGACGGGCUCCCAGCCAAGCGGACACGUAUCCUCCUGGACGUGGCCCUCUCCAUCUAGAAAUAGGCCUCCCAGUCAAGCGGACACGUAUCCUCCUGGACGUGGCCCUCUCCAUCUAGAAAUAGGCCUCGUUUGAUAGCCAUUUUUUUCAAAAUACAUUUUUCUCUUUCUUCUUUUCAACCACACAUUCUUCAUUAAAAUAAUAUUACACGUAAAUAAAAAAAAUUUCUUAUUUUUCAAUCACAUAUUUCACAUCAAUUUACUAUUCUAAAAUGCAUUUUUACAUAAAAAUACCUAUCAAACACCCCCUUAUUGAAAUGAAAAUGCCUUCUAUCUCAUAUUAAUGAAUAUCACAAUAAUGCUGCACAUUGCUGUACAUGUACAGCAUUUUCACAAUCGUGAGGUCCACGAUUAGUUUAAUCGUGGAACCCACAUUUUAUAUGUGAGAAGGUUGUCAAUCAUGAUAUCAAAAUUGCUGUACUUGGAGCAUGUUUCAUGAAUAUCAAACAAGGUUUAAGAAGUCCAAUGUUUGUUAGAAAUAUUUUAAGAAUAAUUUUUUGUGAAAAAUAUUUUUUUUAAGAUGUGUGAAAAAAAAAGUGAAAUUAUUUUGUUUCCAAAAAAUGUAUAGUUUAAAAAAUGAGGGCAAGGCCUAAGCGUAAGUUUGAGCCUCAUUCAAAUGAUUUUUUGGCCAAUUUCAUUUUCUGAAUCUGUGGGAGCCACAUUGUCGGAGAUUAUGAGAAAAUCACCGCGAAGUUGACUUUUGGGAAAAUUUGCACGUCCAAGAAUUUAUGUCCCAGUUUACCCUUCAAAAAAAUGGUGGGAGUUAUUUAAAACUGAAGGAAUGGGAGGGUUAUUUUUGGAAAUUGGUUUUCAAAAAUAGGGUAUUUUUGACAUUUGAAUUUAAAAGUUUUUUGCAACAAUUAUUUUGCCUGACAAUACACCGUGCACUACAUAAUUUUUUCAAAAUUAAAGUACUGUUGAAAAAUUAGAAAGCUCAUUACAAAUGAGAUUCAAACACACAAUUAGGUAUGUUGUUACUCUUCAACAACAAGAUUCAUGGAAUGAAUGUAAGUCAAGUAUUAGCACGUGCCUAAUGGCCCUUCGAUAAGCUAGCAAACAUAGAUAAAAAGUAUCCUAAUAUAUUAGAUAUCUAAUUAGAAUGGUAGGCCACAUAUUGAAUGAGUCGAGACAGUUUCAUGAAAUGCAUACCUUGAUGCAAUUUUUAAAUUAAUCGAUAAUAUCAUAGUUUUAGAUUUGACUCAAACACUAACUUAACUGAAGAGGUAAUGUCACUGGAUCAAUUGUUAAACCUGUAAUCUAAUGGUUGAACGGAUAAAUCAACUCAUGUCAAAUAUUAUAGGAAUUAUUUUUAUAAUAUAAAAGUUAGUAAUAAUAAUUAUACUAAUUUACUAAUAUAAUCUUAUUAUUGUUGUUGUUGUUGUUGUUAUUUUUCAAUCUUUGCUCCAAAACUUGAGAAGAUGAAAAUGUUUUAAAGAUGAAGUAGAAAAAAUAGUUAGCAAUGAAGAAAACAUUAAAAGAAGUGAAAAAUGAAGUGCAGAGUGUGUUAUGCAGCUAUUCAAAUGCUAAAUAAAAUCUGAAAAUUUUAAUUAACAAUAAACCGACGGUUAAUUGGUGUGGUUCACAGGCUUUUUAUGAAAAUUCAUGGUUUUCUUGUUUUUUAUUGUGUCGAUUACAGACUAAUCUAAUAGUACAGCUCGAACUGGUUUGGUAUCAGGUUACAAGUUGUCCGUUGAGCCGUCUAGCUUACCUGAAUUUUAUAUUACUGAAUAAUACAUCUUGAACGAAUAUUUUACUAAAUAGUAAAAAUAUAUUAUUAUUUCUUUUAAUUUAUACUUUUGAUUAGUAGUCUAUUAUAAUUCUUUCGCGUUGUAUUAUUCAUCACGCUUCACCCAUGAGAUGAUUAUCUCUUAAGUAACAUAAAAGGAUUUGUCGAGUUUAACAUUUGUUAUGGAUAAAAUAAAUAGCUAACAUAAAAAGUUUCUAUCAUUCUUCUUAACAUAAUUAGCUUUUGUAAAUUGAAAUCCGAAUCUUAAUAUAUAUUUCUAUGUGAUGCAACAUAACCCGAAUCCCCCCCCCCCCCCCCCUCCAUUUUUGAAACAAUUAUCUUUACUUAAUAUUUCCAUGAAAUAACAUUUACUUUGUCUUUAAAUAUAACGAAAUAAAUUUCGACUAGCAAUUAUUAAGUGAAUUUGUCUAAUGGUACAUAAUGGUAUGUAACGAAUGGUAUACACCCCACUCACAUGGGUGUGGGACCCAUGUGAAAGAAAGGAUAUUUUAUUCGAGUGAGUCCCUCACUCAUAUGAGUGGGGUAUACACCAUUAGGUACACCCCGAUAUACCACUAGCAAAACCGUUAUUAAGUACACAUGAAUUUUAGCAAACACAUGUACUACACUUCCUUGACUUGCACUGAUAAUAAAAAUAUUUUUUCUAUAUAUUAAUGCUAAGAAAUAAUAAAUUACGUCCAUAAUUUUCAAUAUCAUUGUGCAAAACGUUCUUAUCUUUCAUUUUUUGGUAUUUUCACCCCUAAUUCAAUCUUUCAUUGCAUAAAAGGUAAUUUUCAUCCAUAUUUUCAAGAAAAAGACAAUUUUACCCACCAUUUAAAUUUAAAAAAAAAAAGAGGAGGAGAAGAAGAAGAAGAAGAAAAAAGAAGAAAUGAAAUGUGAGGAUAAAGAACUAAUUACAAUAGUAAUCCCAAAUUUUUAAAAAAUUAUAAAUUAAUCAUAAAUAUAUAAUUUAAAAUCAAUACAAAAAAAAAUCAUUCAUUUUCUUCCUCCAUAUUCUUGUUCCAACUCCCUACACGUCUUAGGCAAGCCCAGCUACCAACACCAGCGGAUCCCAAAUGAAGAUCCCAAUUCUGUCGUUGAUCUGAAAAUCCUCCUUGACUGGGGCUAUGGCCGCGUCUAUUCUCACUGGUUUUAGUUGGUUCCUUGUGUAAGUUUUAUGCCAUAGAUCCAAUCGAUUUAGGUUGUAAACGUUUUUAAUAUGUUUAAUGCAUUUAAUUUUGGCGAGAUGUAUUAUUUAUUUAAAUUAAUUUUGUGAUAAAUAAUAUUAAAUAAUAUAAUCCGAAGAUCCAAAUUUAAGUGAUUUGUUAAUCAUAAGGAGUUGUGAGAUACAGAUUACAUAUAAUUGGAUUUUGAAUAAAUUGUGGUCGUAAAUAAUAACGAGAUACAGAUAUCGUUAAUACAGUUAGACUAUCACGUGUGUCAUUUUUUACUUGUGAAGUAAGUAGCUGAUCUCACGAGUUAAAGUGUGGUGACACUUAAAUGAACACGUGGAUUUUUGCUGUAGAAUAAAAUAUUGGAGACCCGCUAAGAGAUUCCACACGGAUAACUAUCUGAGUGUCAGUAGUUAAUCUCUAACGUUCGGUAGUGAAAUUGGUCCUACAACUUGAGGUCAUCAUAAUGCCUUGUAUGAGGACAAUCAUGCUUUGACGGUGUUGGAUGUUGCUCUACCAAGGGCAGCUAAUACGACAUCGUUCGAGUAUGUCAAGAAUCAUACGAAGGUUGUGUGAAUGACCAAUAGAGGAUUCGUCACUCUUAGAUAGUAAGAGAUUGUGAUUUGCAUUGCAUUCAAUUAAGUCAAUAACGAAAUUCUUGGCCAAGGUAUACAUAUAAGUCGAAAAGGAGUUCUUUUCGACUCAUAUUGACUUAAUAGUAGAAUGAAAGAUAUGAUCGAUAAUCGAGAUUGACACACUUUCAUAUCUCGUAGUUGAUCGAAUCAUAUUGACGAAGGGAUUAUAAUUUCAUGGUAAAUGAACAGUUUUGGUUUUGUCAUACCACGUGACGUUUUCCGUCACAUGUGUUGCCCUAAUACAUUGCUAGAUGUCAAUCUGGGACGGCGAGUGUGAAUUUGUGAUAAAUUAAAAUGGUGUUUAAUUUAUCAGUUUUGAUUAGAUCAAAAUAAUAUUUCACGUCGUUAGGUAUCGUGGUCGAGAACCUAAUGGGUCGCACACAAAAGAGAAUUGGAAGAUUGCAAAUUGCCAAUUGAUUAAUUUAACAAUCGUUGGAUAAAUUAAUUAAUUGAAUUUGUUAUUUAUAUUCCCGAAUUAAUUAAUUGGAUUAAUUAAUUCACGGAUCGGGUUUAAUUAAAUGGAUUAAUUAAACAUUGGACCGGAUCGGGUCGAACCCGUUUGGGUUUAUAUAAAUACAUAGUUAGGGUUUGAGAUCCAUAAUGUUUUCAUUAUUCUUGCUGGCAUAAGAGAAAAAACCCUAACAGUUGCAGUCUAUUCUUUGUGUGGAUUUCAUUGGAGGUUGGACAAUUGAACAGUUGUGAGAGACAGAUUCAAGUUGUUGGAAAGGAAUAACGCGAAGGAGUUUGCAAAAUCAAGAAAAUGUAUAUUUCUUAUCACAGUUCUUAUCUAAAUAAAAAGUUGAAUCCUGAAUGGGAAUUGAAAUUUAUUUAAUUUCGCUGUGCAUUUUUAAGUAAAUUUCCAACACCUUGGAGGAAUCUUGGCCGUUGAUUUUAGCGAUAACGCCUUUAGGAGGGGACAGAGAGGAGGAGAUGGAGGAUGAUGAAGUCAUACCGGUACCAGCGGCAUAGAUGGCGAAGGUAGUAGAGUUAGCACUACUGUUACUGUUAUCCAUAGUGAUGGGCUUUUGAUGAAGAAGCAGAUUUGGAGUUAUUUUUUUUUUUUUUAGGGGCUGGAUUGGGGAGAUUUGACGGACUUUUUGAGCUUCUCCAUGUUAAAAAUGGUGGUUAUUCAAUCUAUAAAAACUCUAGUGAGUUCACAAAAAGGGGGGCUGUAAAUAUUAUAAUUAUUAGAAGAGAUUGAUGAGCUGUUGAGCCAAAGGAUUAAAGAAAUAGCCCAGAAAUGCCUACAUUGGGUUUAGUGAAAUGGAGCAUGAAGACUGUAAGCUUUGGGCUGAAAACGCAAGAGAGAGAGAGAGAGAGAGAGAGAGAGAGAGAGAGGAGAUUUUACUGUUGCAUAGAUACAGAUUUGCAUUUUGCAAAUGGAUGCUGUUCUUUGAUGUUGAUGGAUUAAUUUUCCACAAAAUCCCUUAAUAUUAUAAAUUGUUGGAGUUUAGUGUAGUGGAUGAAAUCGAAUUAAUUCAUAUCAUAUAUGAAUUUUAUAUGUUGGAUUUAGACAUACCAUAUAUAUGCAAUAUACCGUAUUUACAACUUACCGUAUAUACAACAUAACGUAUUUGCAGCAUACUGCAUUUGCACAACAUACCGUAUAUGCAAUAGCUUAGCAUAACGUAUAUGUUGCUUACCGUAUAUGCACAUUUUGUUUUUAGAUACCGAUUUUGUAUUUACACAUACCGAAAUUGCAGAACACCGUAUAUGCGGUGAACAAGACAAAAUCUUGCAGAUUUAAUUUUCAAUAGAAUAAACAAAUUAAUUUGAUCAACUAAUCUAGCUGGCCAAAUAAUGCAGAUUAAUUUUUAAUAAAUAUAAAUGGAAUGACAAAAUAAUAAAACUCCAAGUUAUAUGAAUCACACAAAUAAAUCGUAGAAAUAUAUAAAUAACGAAUGAACUUUCAACUUGAAGCCUAUACAAGUACUGUUUCUUUAAAACAGAUUCGCCCCUUCACCGUAAGCUCUUGAAAUUUAAUUCGAGCGUCUGUUUCUCAAGAUACAACUGUAAAAAAGUAGAAUUUGAGCUCUACAAAAACUACUCCGGUGAACUGAUUAGUAUCCGAACAAUAUCACCAUCAAGAUGAAGCUGAUAGAAAAAUUAUAGAUGCAAACAGACUGAACGACACUGUGAUACAGAACAAUUUUUCUCUGUAUUUUGUGUAUGCAGUAUUUUCGUGUGUUCUGAAAUUGCUGGAAAAUGAGAAUUUAUAUAGAUAAAUCUGCCAUUAAACUCUAUGGCAAUAAAAUUUGGAGUUGCUUCAAUUUUCGGGAGUUUUGACACUUUCAGAAACUCAAAGGUCAGUUGGAGAAAGCAAAAAAAUUACAAAACGUGGAGACUUCAAGCAAGCCAAUUUUUGCUCUGUUCGGUCCGACAUUCGUGUACGCAGGUUGUGCCAGCACACAAAUUCAAAGUUCGAAGGCUAUUUCGGUCCGUUAUUUGCACUCCCUGCGUGCACACGUGAAGAGAGCAUCUAUGCUACACAUGAUUACACCCUUCCAAUGUACAAUAAUAUUUAAAGUGAUUCUUACUUUCAUAUUUUUCUUACGUGGGAUAAAACUCAAUUUUCCACAUAAACUAUCUUCCAAUGGUCAACAUUGAGCUCCAAUUUCUCAUUCACUCAAACUUCAUUUUUGGCAGGUACAUAUAUGGUUUUGAUGCUCUUAUAGAGAAGAACACAAAUCAACUUUGAUAUCCUAAAUUGGAUCAACGAGUCUCACCAAAAAUUGUGCCAAAAGUGAGUCAUUUACUCAUUUUUUUCCAACAUAAAUAACCCAUUGUUUAGUGUUUGAAGUUAAUUUGGGAACGAUUGAUUGUGUUCUUAUUUGUUGAUAAAGAUUUUGGGAGAGAAUGAAGAGGGAUUUUCGCUACAUACAAGGAAAAGAUGAAUGGUUUUUGUUUUUGUUUUUUGUUUUUUUUUUGUAUUUUUUUAGUUUUGAUCUUUAAUUUUAUAUUUGUGAUUAAUUUGUAAUUUUUUUUAAAAUUUGAGUACAAUUAGUUCUUUAUCCUUUCAUUUCAUUUCUCUUUGUUUUUAUUUAAAUAUGAGGGUAAACUCGUCUUUUUAUUGAAAAAUAGAUGAAAAGAACAUUUUGCACAAUGAAAUGUAAAAAUAGGGGUGAAAAUGUCGAAAAACGAAAGGUAGUGAUGUUUUUCACAAUAAUAUUGAAAGGUAGGGACGUUUUGUUCUAUUUAUUCGAUAAAGUUAGGAUUUUUCGACAUCGAAUAUGUUGAGUACAAUUUGUCUCGGAUUGCUCCGUCACUAUAUAGCCAAACUCCCAUCGUGUAAAACGUAAUCGAGAUAAAGUUAAAGCCUAAUUACCCAAUUGAAAUUUAUGUUAAAGGACAAUCAUCACAAGUAGAACUUACGAUGACUCCAAGGGGAUACAUGUGAAUAUAUUGACAUGUCUCUAAUAUCGUACACUUGGUUGUUCCAUAAAUAAAUUAGGUAGACCCUACAUAAUUAAAUAUCAAUCUAUUGUUGAAAAAAAUUAUAAAUUUACUUUUAAAAAAUUUAAAAUAAAUAAAUGUAUAUAUUGUACCAUUGGUCUUCAACCUAUGGACCAUAUUACAACUUGUUAUUUCGACUUAUUUUUCUUGACAGUACAAUCCUCAACUUUUUAGAUUUGUAGCCUUCUUGAUCCCUUGAUGGAGAUAUAAACUGAAACAAAAUUAAAAUAUGCAAAUGCAAUCUAGAUAAAUUUAAAAUGUAAUGACCCAAUUGACACAACCAAUUGAAAUUUAUGUUAAAGGACAAUCAACAAACAUCGUGAAUAGAAUUAACUCGCAAUCACUCAAACUGGAUACAUGUGAAUAUCUUGACAUGUCUCUAAUAUCAUACACUUGAUUUUUUGAUAAAUAAAUGUGGUAGACCCUACAUUAUUAAAUCUAAAUCUAUUGUUGAAAACAAAAUUUAUAAAUUUACUUUUACAAAACAUAAAAAUAAAAUUGAUGUAUAUAUUGUACCAUUGAUUUUCAACCUAUGGGACUAUUGCAACUUGAUCCUUUGACUUAUUUAUCUUGACAAUACAGUUCUCAACUUUUUAGAUUUUCAGCCUUGUUUAUCUCUCGAUGGAGACGUAAAUUGAAAUUAAAUUUAGAUAUAAAAAUGCAAAUUAGAUAAAUUUAAAGUCUAAUGACCCAAUUGAGACAUCCAAUUGAAAUUUAUGUUAAAGAACAAUCAUCGAUAAUAGAAGUAACUCACAAUCACUCAAAGUGGAUACAUUUGAAUAUCUUGACAUGUCUCUAAAAUCAUACACUCGAUUGUUCGAUAAAUUAAUAUGGUAGAUCCUAUAUUAUUAAAUCUAAAUCUAUUGUUAUAAACAAAAAUUAUAAAUUUACUUUUAGAAAAAAUAAAACUAAAAUAAAUGAAUAUAUUGUAUGUAUCAUCGAUCUUCAACCUAUGGACCUUAUUAAAACUUGAUUCUUUGACCUAUUUUUCUUGACAGUACAAUCCUCAAACUUUUUAGAUUUGCAGCCUUGUUCAUCGCUCGAUAGAGACGUAAAUUGAAACAAAAAUAAAAUAUAAGAAUGCAAUCGUGAUAAAGUUCAAGUUUAAUAAACCCAAUUGAAAUUUAUGUUAAAGGACAAUCAUUGUUAGCGUGCAAUUACUCAAACUGGAUACAUCUGUCUAACAUAGUACAAUCAGUUGUUUGAUAAAUAAAUAUGGUAGACCCUACCUUAUUAAAUCUUAAUCUAUUGUUGAAAGCAAAAAUUAUAAAUUUACUUUUAGAAAAAAAUAUAAAUAUGAUAAACGUAAAUAUUGAUCCAUUGAUCUUCAACCUAUGGACCUUAUUACAACUUGAUCCUUCAACUAAAAUGGGAGCCAAAUGGAUGUAUUUCAAUUGUUAAUAAGCAUGAGUAUUCGGUGACCACCCUGUGCAAUUAUGUCAAAGCAAGCACGUUUAAUACAAUCAAAAGACUAAAAAGCAAGGAAAAUCACAGCUUUCAAUCUAGUUAUUGUUGGACAAAAGUUUUUGGAAAGAUUUGAUAAGAGAAUAAAAGAUGUAGUAUUGAGAACAUCGAAAAAUAUGAAGCUAAGACUUGAACAGAGAUAACACAAUCAAAUGACUAAAAAGCGAGGAAAAUCGCAGCUUUCAAUUUAGUCAUUGUUGGACAAAAGUAUUCGGAAAGAAUGGAGAAGAGACUAAAUGAUGUAGUAUCGAGAACAUUGAAAAGUAUGAAACUAAGACUUGAAGGCGUUAUUGCUAUUCUCAAACGAUAUUUGUCCUAUCUAGGAUUAUUUUGGUGAUUAAGAUUGAACAAACCUUGAAAAUGAAAAUACGUACACUUGUGAUAAUCUUCCAAAACUCAAAGAACGCAAUAGGAGUUUAAAAAUGAGAAAAGAAUUGAAUUUAAGGAACUCUAUAGUUAUUUUAUUUGAUGAUGAUGAUGAUGAUGAUGAUGAUGAUGAUGAUGAUGAUUGUUGUUGUUGUUGUUGUUGUUGUAUUUGAUUGAAAUCUAUUACCUAUUUAUAGAUUUUAAUCAACACCUUAUGAAAUAGAGCCAAUGGUUCAUGAAAAUCAAGUAUUUUCAUGAAGUCGCUUGAAUUUAAACCAAAAAAUCAACCUAACAACUAUUUUAGGCCCAUGCACAUGCAGGGGCGGACCCACAGUGGGUCCUGGUGGGUCACGUGGCCCACCAAGUUUGGAUUUUUUUUAAUAAAAAUUUAUUCAUCAGAACCAGAGGAGUCUAUCCCAUUCCAAAUUGCAGUCGAAAUAUGAGGAGGAAAACUAAUUGUCCCUCCGUAAUGUUCGUCUCGCUUGAACCCUUCCCUAAUCCUCCUCUUGACUUGAGUGUUGUCGGCGAUUGAAGACUUAAAUCCAUCCACCAAUCCAUCCACCAUCCGCUGCGAGCCUAUUGCUGCCAAUUCAAUCGAGUGGUGCUGUUUCCGAUUCAAUGGAUUUGACGAGCUAGCCAUUUGCCAUCAUCCAGACGUUGACAGUUGUCGCCACCAGUCUACCGUCUAUUGCUAUAGCCGCCCCUUCCCAAAUCCCAUUGACCCAAGGUUAGUUACAAAGUCUACAAGUCUUUACUCUUAUUUUGUGUUUAGAUUUUAACUUACAUAAACACUACAUCUCCUGAUCUCCGAACUCCGGUAAUGACAUUAGUUAUGGCAGUGUGGCAAAGUGAAAUUUGAACUGAAGAUUUAUUUUGUGAUUUAGGAAUCUAUUUGAAUUUGUUGAACUAGAUAUGUAAAUGCUAGGGAUUGAAUUUGCUUGGAGCAAAUCUGAAUAUAUUAUUUGUGAAUUUCUGUGAAUGUAUUGAACUAGCAAAAUAGGUGUGUAAAUGUUAGGGAAUAGGGAUUGACUGUUUGAAUUUUGUUUGGGAUUUGGGAAUUUCAUCAAAAAUUAAAAAUAAAGAUAGUGUUAUUAGGUAAUUGUGAGACUGAUAUGUUUAAAACUUCAGGCAAUUAUGAAAUUUAUUUUGUGAUUAUUGAUAGAAGGACUAUUUUUUUUCAGUGUUAUUAGGUAAUUGUGAGACUGAUAUGUUUAAAACUUCAGGCAAUUAUGAAAUUUAUUUUGUGAUUAUUGAUAGAAGGAC
rnacentral:lncRNA from 1 species